UCCUUUUUACUUCGCGUAUAAGAUUUGUGUCAAGUCAAACUUUGCGAAGUUUGACCAAAUUUAUAUUAGAAAAUAUCAAUGUUUACAAUACCAAAUAUAUAAAUAUGAAACUACAUUCCAUAAUGAAUAUAAUGAUAUUGAUUUGGUAUUGUGAAUGUUGAUACUUUUUUCUAUAAGUUUGGUAAAAUUAGAAAUACUUUGACUUCAGACAAAAUUUAUAUGCAGACUAAAAAGGACCAGAGAGAAUAUGUGUUAAUUACCGCCUCAUCAUAGAGCGAAGCAUGUAGUUGUAAUGUACCAGAUGCCCAAAAGUGAAAAGGAAAUGUACAACAUGCCUCUCUGAGGAGUCAACUGCUAGGGGUGCGUUAUGGGCGCGUUUGGUUGGAGGCCACACAAGCGAAAAUGCUAAACAGAGACCGAGCUCCAUGGAGGUCUUUAUUUGAAAACUUCAAAGUUCAAACUUUUCAGUUUCAAAAAAUUCUGAAAAUAAAUACACAUAUACCUAGAUACAUAAGGUAUAUGUGUGCAAAUUUUUAGGUCGAAAUACAAUAAAACAUGAGCUACACAAAAAGACAAAUCUGAGGCUUUUUAGCAUAGGUACUGUUCAUCUUUAAAGUCUAUGACUUUGUUUUUUUUUGUGCAGUUCGCAAUUCAAGGUAUUUCAUCCUGAAAUUUUUCACACAUACACUUUACAUCCUUGCAUACAUGUGUAAUUUUUUUUCAGAAUUUUUUGAACUGAAAUUUAUGAAUUUUGAAUUUUUCAAAGUAAAGGGCUCCAUGGAGCUCGGUCUCCAAAAUGCCCUACUCCCACACAAGCGAAAAUGCUACUUAGCCAGGCAGUAAUUUCAAUGUUAGGCUUGAGAAAUCUAACGUUCUUUUGAGGAAGCAAACCAAACAGGCCCUACGAUCUGCCAGCCGACCACCUCUAGACCAUCCAGCAUGCUGCUUAGCCGGCCUCUGUCCCACCGCCUACACAACGGAUGUCACUGCUGUAAAAAUGCCAAAAAUUUGAACACAAAGUCAGAAGCACGAUGCAAGAACUGCUCAAUGAUGAUCUUAUUAUCAUAGUCCAAAUGGUUCACAUCAUAGCCGUAAGCACCAAUAAGAAAAAUGAGCUUGCUUCUUUCAGUGGUUAAAGUUUUGUGUUUUUUCUUUUCUUUUGAUGACUCAAGAUUUGCUCAUUUUACUUAUUGAUAUGCAUAAAUGAUGUAUGCAGAGAUGAGUGAAUAAUCUUAGGCCACUUAGCUGACGUAGACCCCGGCUGCUUAAGAGUCUAAACUAGUGUCACCAUCAGUAGUGGAUAUGGAUGCCACCACAGUUCCCGCCCGCGGGAAAUGCAACUAGCCAAUGUCAAUGACUGCACAGCGUGUGAACGCCCUUGACGAUACCGUUCGUCAAGUCAAGUCGAUAUAGUUAAAUCAGUGCGUUGCGUGAGAGAGAAGGUGCACAAGCGUAAGCGUGUGUGACGACACCGAUAAUUUAAAUUUGUGCGUGGCGCGCGAGAACAACAUAUCCAAUGAGGCGAGUCGUCGCCAUCACCCGGCUCAGCUAGCCUCGUUCUCCCCCGGCGAGAGGGAGACCAGUUCGACCAGAAAACACCAGCCGGCGGGCGGAAGGAGAGGGAGGAGCCAUGGCCGAGCUCGCGGCGGGCGCCGUGAGCUCGCUGCUGGUCGUCAUCCGCAGCGAGGCCCUGCUGCUGCGCGGCGUCCGGGACGACGUGCAGUUCAUCAAGGAGGAGAUGGAGAGCAUGAAGAGCUUCCUGGCGCACCUGGCCAGGUGGGCGCCCCCCGGCGGCGAGCACGACGAGCAGGUGCGCACCUGGAUGAACCAGGUGCGGCUGCUCGCCCAGGACUGCAACAACUGCAUCGACCUCUACCUCUACAGGGGGAAUCCUGACAUCCACCGCGCCAGAGGUGGGCUCCGAGGCUACCUCUGGUGGGCGACCUGGUUCUUGCACAAGCUGGCUGCACAGCACCGCGCGGCUGAGCAGCUGCGUCUUCUCAAGGAGCGGGCACGCGAUGUCGGCGAGCGGCGGUUGAGGUACGGCGUGGAGGUCCCGGACAAGUCCGGGAAGGGGCAAUUGGCUCUGACGGCAUCCUCGUCAUUGUGGGCUGCUGCGGCAGGUGGCUAUGCGGCCGGGGAUGACGAAGAAGAAGACGGUGAUGGUCAACUCAUGGGGGCAAUGGCGACCGACGGCCAUUCUGGUCCAAGAGCCUUCACUAAGCCUCGCACUCUGGACGACUACGUCAAGGCAAAGCUAUGGGAGUGGUUGCAAGGAGUUCCUGGUAACGCCGGCGAAACUUUGUCCAUGGUCGUGGUGGCACCCUACACAUAUGAGGACCUCCUCGCUCUUGUACAAGAAACUUGGCUUUUGAGUCAAAACCGGAGGGGCUACCAUCGCAUUGUCGUGGUUGACAUCCCAGCUGUGCACCCUGAUUUUAUGCUGCUACGGCCCAAGGAGGUUCUCUUCUACAUUCUGCGGGAGCUUAAGCUUGCCAAGUCCAAUCCCCAGGAGCAAGGCACAGAAGGCCAAGAGGAUCUGGACUCUUGGGAAGUUUACCUAAGAAGAUGGCAAAUUUACCGUGAAAAGAAGAGGGCUAUUGCUCUUCUUGACAUCGAGGAGAAUAUCGAAGAGAUGAAGAUUUAUGAAAAGCUUGACAAAAUCAAAAGUGAUAUUCAAGGUCGACUAGAGAAGGGCGACGGGCUUCCCAAGGGCGACAAGCUUCAGGGUGAUUUUGACAAGUUGGACCUAGACGUACUACUUCAGCUGCUGCUCCAGACAGCGUCUCAACAAGAUCAAAAGGGGAAGAACAAAGACAUGCAUAGAUUACCACCGUGGGACAAGGACAACAUCAUCGUCAAGAAGCUCAAGGAGCAUAUGGAAGUAGAGGAAAAGGACAAGAAGAUUGAAGAGAGAGAAGCUGCCAAGAAUAUGGGGGUGGAAGGAGAAGCCGCAGUUAAGCAUAUGGAAGAAGAGGGAGGAGGAGAAGUAACAUCCAAACAUAUGGAGGAGGGGGGAGGAGAAGUAGCCAUACAUAGGGAGGAGGAUAUGGAGGAGAGGGAAGGAGAAAUAACCAUACAUAGGGACGAAGAGGAAGAAGGGGGCGGGAGAGGAGAAACAACCGGGCAUAUGGAGGUGGGAGAAGGAGAAGUGGCCAUACACAGGGAGGAGGAUAUCGAGGGGGGAGGAGAAGUAGCCGCACAUAGGGAGGAGGAUAUGGAAGGAGAAGUAACCAUACACAGGGAGGAGGAGGAGGAGGAGAAAGAAGAAGAAGAAAAAGAAGAAGAAGAAGAAGAUGAUGAUGAUGAUGAUGAGGAUGAUGAUGAUAAUGAUGAUGAAGAAGAAGAGGAGGAGGAGGAGAUGAGGAGGAUGAGGAGGAGGAGGAGGAGGAGGAGGAGUACGCCACGGAUUCAGCUCGAUGAGGCACAAUAUGCACACAUCCUGAGGAAGCUGUUUCCCAAGAGCAGCAGCAGCAGCAGCAAGCCCGUGCAGGCCCAAGACAGAUCCUUGGACAAGCAAGCUACAAAGACCACAACGCCUACACUGGGUGAGGAUCAAAUCAAAAAACUCAUCCAUGACGCAAAGGAAGACAUCUUACGGGAGUUGCAGCAAGGCAAAUAUGACAAGAGUGAAGGGACAGGUGAACCUGGUGCUCCGGAUCAAAACCCAGAAACUGUUUCUGAAAAAAUACGUGCCGGUUUCGUGGACCAGAUGAUGGAAAAAAUGAAGCACGAGUUCAAAGAGCAGCUCAAGAUCAAAGGGCUCGUGAACGAGAUUAAAAAUAACUUGAAUCCUCAUCCGUUCCGGGAUAACAGGUGUGAGUGCCCCCUGUUUAUCCUAAAAGUUGAUGAGCUGAUGGAUGUUUCCACAUGUGAGGAUAUCAGAAAUGCUUUGAGCCUGUUAAACUGCAGUGCCGAUUUGAUGAUUGUCACCGCCGCAAAGGACAUCCAGCUGGCUAAAGAAUAUUGUUACCCACCUCGGGAACCAAUAGACUAUUCUCUUGCUGGCCUCUACCAUGAUACAGUGCUCAAGCUAACUAGUCAGCAGAAGAAUGAAGACAGCUACAACCCCCAAAUUUUUCAUGAUAUCUUGUAUGAGUGUGAGCCACAUGAAUUCUGCAUGAAGGUCUUCACUCAUGCUUUGUAUGCUAACCCCAAGAGGAGCGGCGAGGAGUUACAAAAGCUGCAUAGCACCUUGCAGGCUUUACCAACAACAUCAUUCAACAACAUUGCUAAGGUGAUGGUCAAGUUCUCUUACAAUGACCUGCCUAAAGAAUACAAGUCCUGCUUUCUGUACCUAGCUAUCUUCUCUCCGGGACAAAAGAUCAGUCGGUCAACCUUGGUUGCACGGUGGGUUGCAGAAGGGCUGACAUCCAAGGAAGAUUGGCCCAGUUCUAUGCGUCAGGCCAACCGAUGUUUUGACGCACUUGUUGGCCGGUGCCUUGUUCAUCCUGCAGAUAUUGGUACCACAGGAAAUGUAAAGAGUUGCAUCGUUGGUGAUCCGGUUCAUGGAUUCAUUACUGCCAUCGCCAGAAAACAACACAUUGUGGAGACACGCCUGUCACAUCACUUGGCUCGCCACUUCUCCAUUUUCAACGAUCUCCAACUCCGCAGCUCCGAUAGAAUUGAUAAAUUCUUCCAGGGCCUCUCUAAAUCAUCUCAAGUGUCACUGCUCAAGGUGCUAGAUCUAGAAGGUUGUCAGUGCUUUGGCGGGAAGAACCAGCGGUACCUCAAGGAUAUCUGCAACAAGAUGUUAUUGCUCAAGUAUCUGAGCCUGAGGAGAACAGAUAUUACCCAGCUACCCAGUGAAAUCAACAACCUCCGUGAGCUAGAGGUACUGGAUAUCCGACAAACUGCAAUACCUCAACAUGCAACAGCGAAUAUCCUGCUCUUGAAGCUGAAGCGUCUGCUUUCUGGUCACAUUGAUCCAAACAAUUUUGGAUCUAGUAGUCGGAUUCCUCAUAGGAUCGACAAAAUGGUAAGCAUGGAGGUACUAUCCAAUGUCAAGGCCCAGCAGAGUUAUGAUUUAAAAGAUAUUGGAAAGCUAUGGCAGCUGAGGAAGCUAGGUGUGGUUAUCGAUGAUAAGGAUAGUCACCUCAAGAAUUUGCUUCAGACGAUCAGUGACCUACAUGAGUGCCUCCGUUCUCUGUCAAUCACUACUAUUCCCGUAGCCACACCAUGCGAGGCAGAGUUUCCAGAUGUCAAGAACCAUCCCAAGAUUCUCGAGUCUCUAAGCAUCAAGGGAACCACACAAAAUGGGCGUCUUCUUCCAUUUUUCAUAGAAGGUAAUAACAACAAACUUGCCAAGAUAACUCUAGGUCACACUCUGCUGAGCCAAGAUGAUCUGAAAGUCCUUGCCAAGCUGCCCAAGUUACGGUGUGUUAGGCUCCAACACAUUGUAUGCACCGAGCACAUGCUGAACUUCAAGGAAGGUGAAUUCAGAUGCCUCAAGUACCUUGUUGUUGAGGGCUCGGACUUGACUAAUAUCACUUUUGAGGAUGGUGCAGCCAGUGAGCUCGAGAAGAUGGUUUUGUCUAUCACCAGCAUAUGUUCUAUUUCUGGAGUUGAGUAUCUUUCUGAAUUGAAAGAGCUUGAGUUGAACAGCAGCUUUUGCGGCAGUUUGCUGUCAUCAUUUGACAAUGCCAAACAGAUAGCCAAGCUGACUCUUCGUAAUACAUUGCUAGAGCAAGCUGCUCUACAACUGCUCACCAAGAAACCAAAUAUACGCUGUCUGGUGCUCUUGGACAAGUCUUUUGGUGGAACACAAAACAAGAUCACAUUAGAAAAAGAUGAGUUCUUAUGGCUCAACCUCCUUGUUGUUGACUGCUCGGCCAUCACCAAGAUUGUCUUCAACAACGGGUCUGCUUCUAGGCUCGAGAAGAUUGUCUGGUCAUCUUCCACAUCUCUGUCCGGCAUCGACAAACUUCCCAGAUUGAAGGAGCUCGAGUUCAAGGGUGACCAAGUCCCUCCUGAGGUGAGAGAUGCCAUUGAAAACCAUAAAAACAAGCCUAGUCUUAAACUCAAUGGACCAAAAACUCAAGACUAAGCAAAAAGGAGAUGAAGAAGAGGAUGACAAGGAUGCUGCAACAUUCUCUUUCUGCUGGAAGAAACAGGUUUGACACCGGAAGGGCCUCUCCGUUGAUCGCACGGUGUGGUUUGCGUGUGCUAGUGUGGAUUGCAAUCUGUUCUUCUUGUCUGUUGAAUUUUUUUCUGAUGCGUGUUUAAGUUCUGCGUGCAUUACAACUUAAGUGUGUCCGUUUACUUGCUCUACAUGAGUGCCCUAGUGGCUCCGAUUGAGCGUAAACGGUUGUAUCUAUGCUUGGAUUUGAAUUUGUGUGACUUUCCUUUGUAUAAAACAUCGUAUGCAUUUGUGUACAGUAUCAUGUAAUAAAGUGUGAUGAUUGUGGACACAUUUGACUUCUUAUUAAUAUAUACAGUGUGAUAUCAGUAUGCAUGCUUUGAUUGGGUUCUGCAACUCAAAGAUGAACUGGAUACAGUUACCUCUAAUGUAGGCAUCCGUUUGCUUCAAACCAGCUGAGUAGCUCUUGCACUGAUGCCUGACUAUGUACUUGAAGCAGAACUUUAUGCAGAUUAAGAAUGUGUGACACAAUCUGUCUGCAACUCUGCAUCUUCUGAUUGUCAGGCAAGCACUAGCGCCCCGGGAAGAAUCGAAAUUGUUUUCAGCUGUAUGUUGGCGUGCAUUUGGUAGCUCGCGUAGUCUCUCCCAUUGUUUGCUGGUGGAGAUGCCAAUACAGCUCCAUAUUUACCAAUCCACUUGAAAUGUUCAGACACAUGCGGCAAUCACGGUUCUUCGCUUCCUCAUGUAACAAACCAAAUCGAAGCAUAAGACCUGCAGAGAUAGAAGCAAAGAUAUUAGGCAUAUAAACUCAGCCGGACAGGGUACCUCGUCACCCAAUUGUCACGACCCGGAUCAAAACCUCGACAGCCAAUGUGGAACUAAACAGUGAGAAGUGCUCCAUUAGGCUCUGACGUAUCUAUUGUAGUCAUCUAUCCGAAAAUCCAUCCACUGCAAUUCAUUCAGAAAAAACCUGUAUAACGAUGUAUAUGGGUGGAGAGGAGCACUAGCACCUACCAAUCCACUUGAAAAGUUCAGACACUUGCAUAACAAUCUUCACUUCCUAAUGCAAGAAAUCAAAUCGAAGCAUAAGACCUGCAGAGACAGAAAAACGCCUAUUAUUGAGGCCUCGAGGAGGAAAAUCAUCAAGAAAAUGUAGUCUCUGCUGCUCUAAUUCCUGUUUGAGAUCGGCAGAUCGGAAGGGGUUGGGGGGAGGCGCGGUGCCCCCACCUUACCUCGAAUCCGUGAACGACGACGAGCCGCAAAACACGACACUGACGACGGCUUUGUCCUUCCACUUCGUUGGUACUGGGCGAUCUUUUUCGGUUUCGAUCGAGGCCGCGACGGAGGAGGCCACGGCGAGGGUCCAGCCGCCGAGCCUGGAAGAGGAGGACGGAGAAAAGAGUGUGGGGAUGCGGAGAUGUCGGCCCACGUGUCAGCCACUGUAAACUCACCUGACUUAAGUUAGAGAAACAAGGAAGUGCAUUCUCCUUUUUGGCAAUAAUUCACCUUUUCUGUUUAGCCCUUAACAAAAUUUUGGCCCGAUCUAGUCUCGUAAACUAUUAUAGUUGGACUAAUCUGCCCCUAAUAUUUUUUGCUUUGUACUACCUCUAUCUAAAAAACGUCCUACGACGGAGGUAGUAUUAGUUAGGCCGUGCUUGGAAUCCUGUAAUUUUUUACAACUAUGUAUGAUUACCCCUGUAUAUUACUAGAAACCAGUAUAAUACAAAUCUUAUAUAGGAUGCUUAAAAUGGUCUGCGCUGAACCGGGCAAGACACUGGCUGUGUAUGCCGGCGACGGGGUGGCGGCGGCCAUCAUGGGAACCAAUCUGCGGCUACCUCUCAUGUUCUACUUUUCGUCGGUGUCGGCGGCCGCCGCAGAUGCGCUGACUGCCUCCGACUGCAGGGCGCAGUUCCGCCAACGUUUGCGGCAGUUGACGUGGCUGAAGGCGUGGGACGAGCGUGACGACAUGACGGCGUCCAUGACAGGCAUCAUGGUACUGACGGCCUGGGACGGCGAGGGAGGUGGAGCAGCGAGUUGCCUAGCUCGUGUAUCAGGUUGGCUUGGCGACCCACACAGCCGGCUUUUAUGCUGGAGAACCCCUCUUCCCUCUCGCCGGAUGCCAUGAAGAUUGUGCAAAAUAUGGUGCAAAUAGGAGAUGAGGAGCGGAGAUGUGGUGCAGGUCUUGCCCGGUGUCUGACCUCAUUUAAAUAGCUAGGGAUGCGAGGAGCCAACCGGCAUUUUGUUUAAUGUUGGACGGCUCACGGGCGGACGUGUGUCAGGAGUAGGUUUCUUAGCCCACGCGCGGGUUCAAUGGAGAUACGCGGGGCAAUCUGAAGCUGGAUGAAUGCGACAAGGAGGCGUGUUUAGUCGGGCGUGCAGCCGGUAGUGAGAGGUCGCCUCGUUCUGCGCCAGCGUCAACGCGGAUCGGACGCUCUACAAAGACAUGAAUGCGAACAACUGACACCGGGAAGCGCGAGCGGGCGAGGGGGGGUUUGGUGGGGCCAAGAUUGUCAGAUGUGGGCGUGGCAGCAAUCCGGACUGUAACACCCCGGUAGAUAAGCUGUCGGUAAUCCCAUACUAAUGGUGUCAUGUCAUCAAAUUUUUUGCUAAACCUCACCUUGAUCCAAACCCAAUUCAAAAUCAAAUUUGAAAUAAAGUCAAAUAAUUAAAAUUUUCAAAAGGUAAAGUAAAAAUGUAGGUUGGGUUACAAAUAUCCACUAACUAAUUGUUAUGUGAGAAUCAACAUUUUGGUUGUGUUUUCAGGGAAUGAACUGUUGAGCAGGCUGAAUUGCUAUUGAAUAAUAUAUUGAGUAAUGAUAAUUAUUGGACAUUUCCUGAACCAACUCCUAAGCCGACUCUAAAGAAAAGGGGUAUUCUAUUUCUCAGUCCUGAAGAUAUGCAAGAGGCAAAGAAAUCUAUGAAAGAAAAAGGUAUUAAAGUUGAAGAUGUUAGGAAUUUACCGCCUGUUGAAGAAAUACAUGGUCUUGAUAAUCCUACAUAGGUAGUAGAGGUAAAUUCUUUCUAUGGAUUUGAUGAAGGUGAUAUCCCUCAUAAUAAUUCUGCUAGUCAAUGCUUGGAAGAGUUUGAUAACUUUAUUGUUAAACUAGAAAACUUUAAUGCUUAUGUUAGUAGACAAUUGAAACGUAAUGCUUAUAUGGUUGAACACUUGAGUGAUUAUAUGUCUAGAGUUAAAAGUGAUCUUAAGCUUAUUAGUAAAUAUGAUUCCAUGGUUACAACUCAAGUAGAACAAGUACUUAAGGCACAAGAUGAUUUGCUCAAUGAAUUAAAUAAUAAGAACAAUGAUAAUGCUAUUAGGGUUAUGACUAGUGGUGGUAAAAUGACCCAGGAACCUUUGUAUCCUGAGGGCCAUCCUAAGAGAGUUGAGCAAGAUUCUCAGAGAAUUAAUACGGAUGCACCUUGUCCCGCUAAUGAAAAGAAAAAGAAUACUGAUAGGACUUUGCAUGCUUCUAGUGAACUUAUUAUAGACAUACCCGAGAAUCCCAAUGAUAUUUCUAUUUCUGAUGCUGAGACACAAUCUAGUGAUGAACAUGAACCUAGUGAUAAUGUUAAUGAUGAUGUUCAUGUUGAUCCUCAAACUAGUAAUCAUAAUGAUGUAGAGAUUGAACCUGCUGUUGAUCUUGAUAACCCACAAUCAAAGAAUCAACGUUAUGAUAAGAGAGACUUUGUUGCUAGGAAGCACGGUAAAGAAAGAGAACCAUGGGUUUAGAAACCCAUGCCUUUUCCUCCUAAGCCAUCCAAGAAAAAGGAUGAUGAGGAUUUUGAGCGUUUUGUGAAAUGAUUAGACCUAUCUUUUUGCGCAUGCGUCUGACUGAUAUGUUGAAAAUGUCUCCUUAUGCUAAGUAUAUGAAAGAUAUUGUUACAAAUAAAAGAAAGAUACCGGAAGCUGAAAUUUCCACCAUGCUUUGUAAUUACACUUUUAAGGGUGGAAUACCAAAGAAACUAGGAGAUCCAGGGAUACCAACUAUACCAUGCUCCAUUAAAAGAAAUUAUGUUAAAACUGCUUUAUGUGAUUUGGGAGCCGGUGUUAGUGUUAUGCCUUUCUCUUUAUAUCAUAGACUUGAUUUGAAUAAGUUGACACCUACUGAAGUCUCUUUGCAAAUGGCUGAUAAAUCAACUGCUAUACCCAUCAGUAUUUGUGAGGAUGUGCCUGUUGUGGUUGCAAACGUUACUAUCUUAAUUGACUUUGUUAUUCUUGAUAUUCCCGAGGACGACAGUAUGUCGAUCAUCCUGGGUAGACCCUUUUUGAAUAUUGAAGGGGAUGUUAUUGAUUGCAACAAAGGCAAUGUCACUUUUCAUGUUAAUGGCAAUGAGCAUACGGUACACUUUUCGAAGAAACAACCUCAAGUUCAUAGUAUCAAUUCUAUUGGAAACAUUUCAACUAUUACUAUUGGAGGUUUUGAAUUCCCUCUUCCUUCUGUCAAAAAGAAAUAUGAUAUUCUUAUUGUUGGGGACAUGCAUAUCCCCGUUGAGGUAACAUAGUGUUAUUCAAAAAUUCUCCGGUUUCAUGUCAUUCGGAAGAAGUUUGUUAAUAAGACUUGAUCAACCUUGUUAAUGGAUUCCUUUUGAUGAGCAUGAGAUGGAUGAAUUUAGAAAGCACAACUUUCUGUACCUACUUUUUACCUUAUGUUAUUUAGAAUAAAUAAAGCCAAAAUAUUAUUUUCUGCCUGUUUUCUGAAUUAUCCUUGUAAUAAAAAUACCCUGAAAAUAUAGUAUGAUUUUUUCUAGAAUAUUUGAGAAUUUCUGGCACUGAGAACACACUAGGGGGCAUCACCAGUGGGCCACAAGGACGGAGGGCGCACCCUACCCCUGGGCGCCCCCUGUCUUGUGGGCCCCAUGUGGGUCCCCUCCACUUAUUCCAGCAUCCAUCCACUUCGUCUUCCUCCAGAAAAAAUCAUCCCGUAGCUCAAACCCGUGUUCUUGCUCAUUUUGCUGCCAUUUUCGAUCUCGUUGUGCAAAGCUCCAUUCAGAAAACUGCUUUGGGUAUGUGACUCCUCCAAUGGUCCAAUUAGUUUUUGUUCUACUGCUUUAUUUAUUGCAAAUUUUUGCUACUGUGGUGACCCUGUUCUUGAGCUUGCAUGUCAAAUUUAUAUGGUCCAAAGUAGUUUUAAUGCAUGAUUUAGCCUCUAGGUACUUGUAGGAGCAGUUGCUAUCAAUUUUGUUGAGUUUGGUUCACUUUUAUUUUGAGUCACUAAAAUUUAAAAAAAAUCACAAAAAAUUGUCUAGGAAAAUGUACCAAGGUGGUUCUUCAAGGAAGCAAGCACCGAGGCUCGCGAUACGUGAGCCGAACCUUGAACCACCAAGGGAAGCUCAAGUGCGGCCUUGUGAAUGGCCAUCAGAUGAAUUUAUGGUUCAUGCAGGCUUCAAGGAUGAAUUUCAUGCUUAUGUACGUAAUGCUGAUCUUGAUGUGCGGAGAUUUGAAUUUUCAUCUAAGCACAAUACCCAUACUGUUUUAUUUGAUCUUUAUGAUGAAUCAUAUACCAUGGACCUUGAAGAUUUUAAUACUGCCUGCAAAAUCCCACAGUGGGGCAUUCAUAGUGAGCCUCACAAAUCUGAAUACAAUGAUUUCCUUGCUAGCAUCACUAUGGGAGAAACUAGAAAUAUCACACAAGCUACCAUAGGGAGCAUUCACUUUCCUGCCAUACAUUACUUUGCUCUCUUUAUAGGUAGAUGCAUUAACGGUAAGCAUGAGCAUAGCCACCUUUGCGUUCCUGAUCUUAGUGUCCUCAAGAGUGCGGUGUUAGGUGAUAAGUGAUAUAACUUGGGGGCUAUUAUUGCGAGGAGGUUACAUCUUAAUGCUAAAUAUGGAGAUUUAUUUGGGGGGAUUUAUGCAAGUCAUUUAGCUAAUUAUCUUGGUGUACCUGCUGGGAAUAUAACUCCCAGGCAUGACCCGCCAAGGAGGGACCGAGUCAUACCAUUGGCGACUUAAGAUGAGAAGGCCCAAUGAGGUCCAAGAAUCCAGAUGGUGGUUCAUAGCGCAAGCUUAUUGGAGGCCCAAGACCCGGAGAAGGCUCGAGGCCCAAGGGCAUGAGCCGUCAUGUGUUAAACUUGUUCUGUAAGGUAGGUUUAGUUAGAAACCAAGCCAGUCACGUUUGUGUGAGCCGGCCGAGACUCUAUAAGCCGCCGAGAACAUCAACCUAUAUAUAAAGGGGUGACCUGGCGGCGGGUUAACUCAAGAAACAAGCAAUCGAAAGCUAGAUCGAGCGUAUUCGCUCCCUGGUAAUCGAAACCCAAGCAAUACAACUAAAAGAAGGAGUAGGCUUUUACCUCCACCGUGAGGGGCUGAACCUGGGUAACUCUUUGUGUCCUUUGUCCCGUUCAACCCCUUGAAGCUAACCUAGUUGCGAUGGCUCCACACCUAAGUCCUUUCACUAGAACAUCUGUCGUGAAACCACGAUAGUACCCAUAAGGGGAAAUGACAUUGAGUUGCCACCUGAUUUUCUAGAUUAUAAUGCUAUGGUACGCUACCAGUUUCUUGAGAGGAACGAAUAGUCCCUCCAGUACCGACUAAUCUUUGACAAACGGCGUGCUGUCCAUAUUACCCUUUCGUGUAUACAGAGCGAGCUGCCUUGGAUGCGGAAUCACAACGGAUUCAAGCAGAAACUUAUCGCUUAAGCUUGGAUCAGAAUGCAUCAAAUGCCGUUCUUCGCAGGAGGCACCAGAGUCGUCCGCCUCUGGAGUUUGAUACAAGAAAUCUUUUCAAUACGCCUGGGGCAGGACCAAGUAACCCGCCCGACAUGACCCGGGCCCCUGAUGCGCCUAGGACUAGAGCGGCGGCUCAGCCGCGCAGCAGACCCGCCCCGUGAUUUAAACCCACCUCAGCGAGUCUCAACACCUCCAGGUCACUUCUCUAACCCGUUGGACAACAUGAUUGCUGCGGCCUCACGACUGGGGGCUCUCCCGGUGGAAGGUGAGUCUCCUGUGACGGUCGAGGCUUGGAAGGCUGUGGAGCUUCUUCAAACGGCGGUAUCUCAGCAGGCGGCUUACUCCUACAGUCGCGAUCGAAUGCACUCAACUCCGCGUCAGAGUCGAAGUUACAGCUGGCGCAUUGAAUCUCCGGCGGUUUCCAGCAGUGAACGGCACCGAGCCCCGCCCCGUGGUAAUCAAGAUGCUCAGAACCAGGCAGAUCAGACUCGCACACGCCAAGAGGCGGAGCUCACGGCUCAGCUGGCGGCUCUUCGACAACCUCAAAUGAAUCCUUCAGCAUCUAUAGAGGCCGGGAUGACUUCCAGGACAACGGGUGCGCCAUGCUUAGUGUCGGCUCUACGCAAUGAGCGCUUUCCCAAGGACUUCAAGGGCCCUCGAAAAGUACCCAAUUACACGGCAGAUCAGCCUCCGGAUGCUUGGAUCGAGAGGUACGAGCUGGCCAUGGAGAUGUUGGACUUUAAUGAUGUUGUGUGCGCCAAAUAUUUCACCAUGAUGUUAGAUGGGCUGGCUCACACCUGGCUAAAGGGAUUGCCUCCAAAUUCCAUCAACUCAUGGACUGAAUUGAAGACGCGUUUCAUUCAGAAUUUUAAAGAUACAUGUAAGCAGCCUCUGUUGAUCAUCGACCUAGACACUUGCAUCCAGCGUGAGGAUGAGUCAACCUCCCAUUGGGUUCGCCGGGUCUCAACUAUUAUCCACUCGUCGGAUAGCAUCAACGUUGGUUCUGCUGUUUUAAUUUUGGAGAAGAAUUGCCAGUUUAUUCCCCUCAAAUAGAAGCUAGGGCAGAUUAAACGUCAUUGCAAUGACAUGGGAGAGCUUGUGGCGGCUCUUAUUAAAUACGCCGACUCAUAUAAUACUAAGGAUCCUGAUCCAGAUGAGAAGUUUGGUAAGGGGAAGAAAAACGGCAAGGGGCAGCAGCAGGAUACAACAGGUCAGAGUCAAGGUAACAAUGGUAAGCGCAAGCAUGCUGAUGGUGGAUCAGACUUUGUGGCCAACACUAAUGCACAGAUCGGUGAUCGCCAUCGCAAAAAAUUCCAGCCCUGGUCUAGAGGGCCGAAGUUCAAUUUAGAGGCGAUAUUGAACCAACCAUGUCCAAAACAUAGUCGUCCCGGUAGGCUAUCAACCCACCUCUGGAAAGAUUGUAGUAUCAUGAGGGAGUAUAGGAAUUCCAGCCUUUACCAGAACCACAACAACGGUAAUGGCCCGCAUGGCGGGUCAAGCUCCGGUUCGCACGGGUCUGGCUUUGGAGGUGAUGGUUCAAAUUCCGAUUUUCAAAGUCAGGGCAAUCAAGGAGGCUUAACCAGCAGCCCAAUCAGGGCAAUUAGCAACAAUAAUCAGGGUAUCAGAGCAACCCGAAGCAACUAAAUAGUGGCCAGUAUAAUGUUUUUACUACUAGCUUAUGCAAGCGAGACCAGAAAGUUCAUAAGCGAGCAGUGAGCGCGGUUGAGCCAGCCGUACCUCGAUACUUAUGAUGGUCAGAGCAGCCAGUCGUAUGGAGCCGUGAGGAUCACCCGCCCUGGGUUGAUAAUCUGGGUUAGCUAGCUUUGGUGGUGGCUCCUCGGGUUGAAGUUUACAAGUUCACUAAGGUGCUCAUGGACGGAGGCAGCAGUAUCAACAUCCUUUGUUAUCAUACUUUUCGCCGGAUGAAUCUGACUGGCAAAGAUCUUAAGCUGUCCUCUACAGUCUUUCAUGGAGUGGUGCCUGGUAAGUCGGCCUACCCAGUUGGUAAGAUUUCUUUGGAAGUAGAUUUUGGUAAUGAACACAAUUACAGGAUAGAGACAUUAACCUUUGAAGUGGUCAAGAUCAAAGGCCCCUAUCACGCUCUGUUUGGACGGCCGGCUUACGCCAAAUUUAUGGCACAACCUUGUUAUGUGUAUCUGCAGCUUAAAAUGUUGGGUCUCGAGGGUACCAUCAUAGUGCAUGGUGACAGGAAAAUAGCUCUGGGAUGUGAAGAAGGCGAUGCUGCUUAUGCUGAGUCUGUCUGUGCAACGGAGGAGCUGAAGUUUUAUAAAGACAAUGUUGACCCGCGGAUAUGACCCCUUUGAAGAAACCAACAACAGAGCAUGACCCGUUGCUAAAGUUUAAGUCGGCAGAUGACACCAAACAGGUUAACUUUGUCCCUGGUGAUUCAUCCAAACAGUUCACCAUUGGUGCUAAUAUGGAUCCGAAAUAGGAAAGCGCACUCAUCGAGUUCAUCCAUGAGAACCAGGACACCUUUGCAUGGAAACCUUCAGACAUGCCAGGUGUACCGAGGGAACUCGCUGUGCACACUCUCAAUGUCGAUCCCAAGUUUAAACCGGUCUUCGUCGUUUUAAUGAAGAGAGAAGCAAGGCCAUUGGAGAAUAAGUAGCCCGGCUCUUAGCAGCUGGGUUCAUCAUUGAAGUUUUCCACCCGGAGUGGUUGGCUAACCCGGUGCUAGUACUUAAGAAAAUGGCACCUAGCGCAUGUGUGUGGAUUACACAGACCUUAAUAAGGCUUGCCCAGCUGAUCCCUUUGCCCUCCCCCGUAUUGAUCAUAUCAUAGAUGCUACGGCAGGUUGUGAACAUUUGUAUUUUCUGGAUGCUUAUUCAGGAUACCAUCAGAUCAAGAUGGCAGUCAAAGACCAAGAGAAAAUGGCUUUCAUAGCACCCUUUGGAGCUUUCUGCUAUGUGGCUAUGCCUUUUGGGCUUAAGAGUGCCCAGGCGACUUAUCAGCGUUGUGUGCAGAACUGCUUUCACAGUCAGACUGGGCGCAAUGUUCAUGCUUAUGUGGAUGAUAUUGUUGUGAAAUCCAGAAAGAAGGAGACUCUGUUGGAGGAUCUAAAAGAGACCUUUAAUAAUCUCUGGGUCUACAAGUUGAUGCUUAACCUGACCAAGUGCAUUUUUGGUGUACCUGCAGGCAAGCUCUGGGGCUUUUUGGUCUCUGAGAGAGGCAUCGAGGCUAACCUGGAGAAAAUCAAGGCUAUCACCUCGCUAGCUAAGUCGGCGUGUGUUAAUGAUGUUCAACGACUGGCGGGUCGUAUUGCAGCUUUAAGCCGGUUUAUAAGCCGCUUGGGAGAGAAGGCUAUUCCUCUGUACCAGAUGAUGAAGAAAACAGAUCAUUUUGUUUGGAGUGAUGCUGCCAAUAAGGCAUUUGAAGCACUCAAGAAGCAACUAGCUGAGCCACUAGUUCUCGCAGCUCCUAUUGAGAAGGAACCUUUGCUCUUAUAUGUGGCAGCAAAUAGCAGAGCCGUCAGCAUAGCAGUUGUGGUGGAAAGGAAAGAACCGGGCAAGGAGUAUCCUGUCCAAAGGCCGGUUUAUUAUGUCAGUGAGGUUUUGAUUGUGUCAAAACAGAGAUACACGCAUUGGCAGAAGCUAGUAUACGGGGUGUUCAUGGCUAGUCACAAACUGAAGCAGUAUUUUCUUGGUCAUCCCAUUACUGUGGUAGCUCUGCUCCCUUAGGCGAUAUUAUUCAGAACAGGGAGGCCACAGGCAGAGUGGCUAUGUGGGCCAUAGAACUUGGUCCCCAUGGGUUGAAAUAUCUGCCAAGGAUAGCUAUCAAAUCACAGGUUCUUGUGGAUUUCAUCAACGAUUGGACAGAGUUGCAGACACCAGAGGAAAAGCCAGAUAACACUUACUGGACGAUUCAUUUUUACGGGUCAAGGCAGCUGGAGGGCUCGGGUGCUGGAGUUAUCUUGACUUCCCACGAGGUGAUAAGUUUUGUUAUGUGUUACGACUAAUGUUCCCUUGCACUAAUAAUGCAGCUAAGUAUGAGGCUCUGCUCCACGGCCUUCAGGUGGCUAAAGAGACAAACUUAAGCCGGGUGAGGUGCUUUGGCGACUCAGAUUUGAUGGCUCAGCAGGUCUCAGGCACUUGGGUCUGAAGACCCGCUUAUGGCGGCUUAUCACCGGGCGGUUGACAGUAUUGCUGGCCAUUUCAAAGGUUAUCAAGUGGAACACAUUGAUCGUAUAAAGAAUGAGGCGGCAGAUGCUUUAAGCCGGCUAGGAUCUCAGCGUAAGCCGGUGCCACCCAAUAUUUUUCUUGACAUAUUGCAUAACACUUCAGUUAAGCUACCAACAGAAAAGGAUCUUGCAAUCCCUGACCCGGAGGCACAGUUGGUGGUAGCUCUUCGUGCUAUUCCUAAUUGGACGGUUCCUUAUUUGGCUUAUAUGACCCGGGGAGAGUUGCCUGAGGAUGAAACGUUGGCCAGGCAAAUAACCCAGAGGUCUAAGUCGAUGACUAUUGUCAAUGGCGAGUUGCACCGAUGCAGCGUCACAAGUGUGUUCGACCACUGUAUUUCCCCUAAAGAAGGCUGUGAGAUUCUAAGACAGAUUCAUGAAGGAGACUGUGGCCAUCAUGCCGAGUCUAAGUAUCUCGUGGCUAAAGUUUUCGACAUGGGUUUUAUUGGCUGACGGCUCAUGCUGAUGCGGAAGAUCUGGUUAGCAAGUGUGAUGGUUGUCAGAAGUUUUACAGACGAGCUCAUGUACCGGCUCAAGAAUUGAGAAUGGUUCCAGUCACUUGGCCGUUUGCAGUCUGGGGGCUAGAUAUGGUUGGACCUUUCAAAAGAUCCAAGGAUAAAAAGACCCACCUUUUGGUGGCAGUUGAUAAAUUUACAAAGUGGGUUGAGGCAGAGCCGGUCAGCAAGUGUGAUGCGGCAACGACGAUUCAAUUCAUUAAGAAGGUGAUCUUCCGCUUUGGCUACCCACAUAGUAUCAUAACUGAUAAUGACACUAAUCUGUCCAAAGGUGCUAUGAAAGAGUUCUGUCAACAAGAACAUAUUCGUCUUGACAUUUCCUCUGUAGCUCAUCCCCAGUCCAAUGGUCAAGCUGAACGAGCCAAUCAAGAAAUCUUGCGAGGAAUCAACCCCCAGCUCAUGGUCCCUUUACAAAGGACGCCAGGUUGUUGGGUUGAAGAGUUGCCCUUCGUGCCGUGGGGUAUAAACACCACCCCCAACAGAUCGACUGGUUACACACCUUUCUUCAUGGUUUACAGAGCUGAGGCGGUUCUUCCAAGCGAUAUCUGUCAUGACUCGCCCCGUGUGGCGGCUUAUGUUGAAACUGAUAAUGAAAAAGCAUGUCAGGAUGCUCUUGAUUUGUUGGAUGAAGAGUGUGACCUGGCGGCGGCUCGUUCGGCGAUAUACCCGCAAGAUCUACGUCAUUAUCAUAGUCGCCGGGUUAAAACUCAAACCUUUCAAGAAGGUGACUUGGUGCUCCGGCUCAUCCAGGAUCAAACAGAUAUGCACAAAUUAUCCCCGCCUUGACAAGGGCCUUUUGUGGUCAACAAGAAUCUGAACAACGGGUCAUACUACCUCAUUGAUAUUCGGGAGAAUAAGGACUCGCGCACAUCAGAGGAGGAGACCCACCGGCCGUGGAACAUUGCUCAUCUGCGAUAUUACACUUGAGCCACCGGCUCUUGUGCUGUACAUACCUUCAUCAAUGUAUAUAUUUUGAUCAGUAUAAUAAAGUCGACAUCCCUGAAAAUUUGGGGCCUCUGUCGUUUCAUUUCAAAGUAUUUGAGUCUUUAUUGUUUGUUCAUAAGGUAAUUUGGGGGCUUCCUGCUCACCGAGCAUAGCUGUUCACACCCUCUUGAUCCGGUUUUCAAGCCGACUCAUUGGUCACUUGGGGGCUUCCUGCUCACCGAGCAUAGCUGUUCACACCCUCUUGAUCCGGUUUUCAAGCCGACUCAUUGGUCACUUGGGGGCUUCCUGCUCACCGAGCAUAGCUGUUCACACCCUCUUGAUCCGGUUUCCAAGCCGAAUUUGAGUUAAACCUGCCUGUUUGCAAGAUGCUACUCCGCUAGGUGACCCGCCGAACUCUUGAAAGAUACUCUUUUCAAUAAGACCCAGAACUUUUCAAGGUUAAAAUGGCGGCCUUUGUCACGAGAGAGCUGGCUUCACUACAAAAAAAGACACAUCCGUGACAUUUUGGGCCGAACGAAUUUUUUUCCUGUCAUACUUAUGACACUUCUAUGACAAUAAUUGUGACAAAAGCCGGUAUCAUCAUAGAUGUGGUGGGCUCCUACUUCUAUGACAAAAAAUCAUGAUAGAAAAUGGGCUUUUCUUCCUGGGCGGGCCGGAGACGCAGCUGCAUGACAUUCUUUGGGCUGUCCAUGACGGAAAAAACCGUGGUAGAAGCGAGGGCGAGGAAAAUAUCACGGUGUUCCCGGUUACGGUGGGUGGUCGGGGCCAAGUGAUGCAUGGAGGUUUGCGCAUUUCUCUCGCACACGCGCAUGGGUGCGAGGCGUUGGGCUCUAACUGAACCCGAGCGAGGCAUUCGCCUACUGAAUCCAAGCGAUUGCACUGCAGGCUACACGUUACUGAACCCGAGCGAUCGAUCGAUGGCUGUUAACUGAACCCGAUCGAGCGAUUCCUUCGCUACUGCUGCUAACUGAAGCCAAAAGAUGAAAUAAGUUGAUAGCGCGAUCUCGUACUAACACAUACUCUCUAAAUAUUGAAGAACUUGCAUGCGGCCUUCAAGCCACAACCGCGGUAUGAGUUCUGAUCUCAGACUUUGGUUUGGGGGCUGCUGGCCCCUUCGCGUCGACAAGGAAACUGUGGACGACAAUGGGUUUAGAAUUAGAAUAAAACGAAGACCCUAUCGAACAAAUAGAGGAAAGGGCGGAAAGGGGAAAAAGUAAAGUCUGAGGAAAUUGGACUUCGUAUUCUUCCUGGGUCUGGCUCGUGGGCCGACGUCGUCUUGUGUUGUAAUCGGGGCACGAGUAUUCGAAGUAGAAGCGCUAACAUUCCCCCUUCCUUGAGACCGAUCUGUAGCUGAUCUUUGAUCCCGAGCUUGAGCUUCUCUUUGAUGUCGGGUGAAUUGAAUUUCAUAUAUGGAGAAAUGUGUCGCUAGUCCAAGUCCGCUAUAGAAUUGUUUGUCUAUCACUUCGGCAACGAAGGUCAUUUCUUUAGAAGAUCGAUACUGGUAGUUGCUUGCGGUGUCUGAACAAGUUUCGAAAAAACUACUGUGUCUGCAUUUUCCUAAAGAUUGCUGUGAGGCUGAUAGUGAUAUCUUUCCAAUAACUGACUCAGCAGGUUCAAUUGAGGUAUCAUUCGAUUGAUAUUUCGAACCGUGUAGUGGUUAGGAUCCUCUUAUUGCCGUCAAGGGCUAUUUUGGUCGAUUCCAGCCAGAGAGUUAUGAAUAGAAAUAGCAGACCUGAUUCGAGACAACAGGAAGUUCCCGUUUGCAGAUCUACAUUUCUCAGGUUCAGGCUAUUCGUGGAGUCGAUCACCACCACUUGAGAUAGACGAUCAACUUCAUUAAAGAAGCAGUCAUCUCUAUACAGGAAGCAGCAUGUUUUCUAUGGUCCUAUGAAAAGGUUCCAGUGGGUUUCUCUUGCUGAAUGGUGGUAAAACACCAGCUUUCAUUCCUCACUGCAAGCUGCCUCGAUCGAUACCAUCCACUUAUUUCUCUUUCUCACGGGACACAUAAAGAUACCAGCGCUUGUGCGAACAGUUGAUGCUUGGCACCGGCAAGAAGCUUCUCGGCCACCCUACUCUGACUUGAUUAGCUACUAGUAACUAGUGUGAGGGGUGCUACUUUAGUGUUAUUCCUAGACUGAUGAAGUGAAGACUUUAGGCCUCGCUAAUAGUGGACCAACUGAGAAUGUUUGUUUCUCUUUUCUAUAGAUAUCUCAUCGAUGCUGCCUCUGGAUGAAUAGUGAGUGUUGUUGGGGGGUUUGCAUGAAUAGUUCCCGGUGGGGGUUGGAUGAACAGGACCCCGUGGUGUUGCCGCUGGAUGAACAGGACCCCGAUCGAUCCAGCCGGUUGGGCGUGGAUGAACAGGAUCCCGUGGAGGGCUGGAUGAACAGGACCCCGUGGAGGGCUGGAUGAACAGUAGCCGUUGGAGGGCUGGUUGAACAGUAGCCGGUGGAGGGCUGGAUGAACAGUAGCCCAUGGAGGGGUGGUUGAACAGGACCCCGUGGAGAGGGCUGGUUCAACAAUAGCCGGUGGAGGAGCGCGCGGUGGAGGCUGGUUGAACAGGAGCCCGCGGAUGAACAGUCGCGAGUGGAGGCUGGAGGAGGUCAACGAUGGAUGAACAGUAGCCCGGGGAGGCUUGAGGAGGUUGACAGUGGAGAUGAACUGUAUCCCGUGGAGUCCCGUUUUGCGGUACGCCACACCCUCCCGACCAACAGGACCCCGUUUCGACCGUAGGAGGUCCAACAGAAGUCCGUUUCCUCCGUUUUGCGGUACGCCGGACCCCUCCCGAUGAACAUGAUCCCGUUUCGACCGUGGCCAGUUGAACACAAGGCCGUUUCCUCCGUUCUGCGGUACGCCAGGCCUCGUUUCCAUCGGUUGUUCCGUCCAAGCCCUCCCGAUGAACACGACGACGCAUUCCGUUCUGACCCAGCCGGUUGGCUCCCCAUGAACACGACGACAACGUAGUUUCUCCGUUCCGACCCAGUCAUGUACAUGAGCCCUGGCCGUACGUAUGCGCGAGUAGGCGUUUGAGACCCCGCCCGUAUGUACGUACAUGGCCGUAUUUACUUUCUUGUACCCUGGCCGCUAUACGUACGUGUAUAUGCUACAUGCGCUCCUCUUCUACGACACAUGCGCGCCUCUACAUCGACCAGUAUGUAUGUACACGUUCGCGACUAGAAUUUCAACAGUAUCCCGAGUGUCAGCCACUUCCUUGCGUGCAAAGAUGUAGCUGGUGGGUCCCAGCAGUCAGGGGGGCGAAUCAUUUUUUUUGCCCGUAAUAUGGACGCACUUCCUUGUGUGCGAAGAUGUAGCUGGUGGGUCCCAACAGUCAGGGGGGGAAACGUUUUUUUCACGAAAUACAGUGGUCCAUCCGGUGGGUCCCUGCUGUCAGGUGGAGGAAUACUUAUUUUGCGUGCAAUAAGGAGCCAAUUCCUUGCGGCUGCCGUGGACCCAGCUCUUAGCCUAUCAACGUACAACACUCUUCCGAUGGAAGUCGUUCCUUGACCACGUUGACCACGCCGCGCCGAGAGGACCAGGGCGGUGGACGACGGCGAGGCCUAGGAAGGGGACGACGUGGAGCCGGGGAAGACGCGGCAGUGGAUGCCCACGCGUAGAGGAGUACGAGGGUUCACUGGUUCGGCUGCGGUGUGAGGCUGCCGUCGCCGUAGAAUAACAGGGGGUGUGGGUGAGUAGAGGGAUGGCCUGGCCAGCGGUGGGAGUAGUAGGGGGUGGUGAGGCCUCCGCGGCAUCACAGCCGUCCACGGGAGGCAGGAGCAUGAGGCACGACCGGCGCUGGUUUGGGCGGCUGGAGCAAGAAGACCAGAGGUUGAAGAAGCACUACGGCCGUUGGAUGGACAUCGUACGGUCACUGGAGCUAGAAUCGUUCAUAUAUCGACUAAGUUGACAAAGCCCUCCGUCCCCGUCAACUUAGUAGGCCCACAAGUUAGCCUCCCACUAUGGUGGGUCCUAGCUGGCAGGGGGGUAUUUAUUUUUUGUGCGCAAUAAGGAGACACUUCCUUGCGUGCGAAGAUAUAGGUGGUGGGUCCGACCUGUCAGCGGAGGGAACGUUUUUUUCGCGAAAUACAGAGGCCCUUUCGGUGGGUCCCAGAUGUCAGGUGGAGGAAUCAUUAUUUUGUGCGUAAUAAGGAGGCAUUUCCUUGUGUGCGGCCAUGGACCCAGCUGUUAGCCUCUCCACGUACAGUCCACUAGCGAUGGAUGUCGUUCGUUGACCAUGCCGCGCCGAGAGCACCAGGGCGGUGGACGACAGCGAGGCCUAUGAAGGGAACGGCACGGAGCCGGGGAAGACACGGCAGUGGCUGCCCUCGCCGUGGAGAGUAUGAGGGUUGACUAGUUCGGCUGCCGUCACCGGAAAAUAACAGGAGGUGUGGGUGAGUAGAGGGAUAGACAGGCCAGGGAUGCGAGUAUGGUGGGGCCGUGAGGCCUGCCCGGCAGCACAGCCGUCCACGGGAGGCGGGAGUAGGCGGUUCCGACGGCGCUGGUUUGGGCGGCUGGGGCAGGAAGAUCAGAGACUGAAGAAGCACGAUUGCCGUUAGAUUGACAUCUAACGGUCUGACGCUGGUAGAGUCGAUUGUUGACUAAGUUUCGUUUUUGAGAAACCUUGUGUACGCAUGAACUUAGUGGGCCCACAAGUCAGCCUCCAAAUCUAUGGCAGACAACAUAGAGCCCAUUUGCUAUUUUUUUAAUAAUUUGCAGCCCAUUUGCUAAUUCUUAAGUAAUUUAUUACAGCCCAUUUUCUGCCCAGGACCAUGGUCAAAAAGUUCAACCUUAUUUUGCAUAUUUUGGUGGAGUCCGAACUGUUGUAAUCCCGAAAUGAUAAACAUUUUUUAAGAACUUAUUGAUUUGCCAAAAAAAUCAUUUUGUUUUUGUAAGCAAAUAAGACAUGGGACAAUUGAGUUGGUUUAAGGGAAAACCAGUGGUAAAAAAAUCAGCGCUGGGAGGGAAAACAACAACAAAAAUAAGGAUGUAAAUAUGAAAAGGUAAUUUUAUGUAUUUUCAAUAUAAUGAUACGUGUAUAUGAUCUAGUAAACCUAUAGGUAGAGAUUAUAAAACGGAUGUAGGACAUGCGUUUCAAGUGGAAAAUAGAACUGGGCUGUGUGUUUGAUUCAGUAAAAAACUGCCUGCGUAUGUUGUAAGACAAAAUAUAACUAACGCUGGCAGGCCAGAGGCCAGUAGAUACCUGCUGGAUCUUUGUGCCCCGUUGUCGUCAUGGUCUGGGCUUGUUAAAAACAAAACCAAGCCUGGGCAGUCUACAGCCCAGUUGAAACUUGCUCGACCUAAAAAAACAAUAUACCUGCUCAAAAAACGAGAGAAUUCUGGAAGUACAGACUAAUAAUUGGGAUGCAGCAGGGAUAUUGUUUUUUCAUCAUGAUAAUAAGUGCAUGCACUUGUUUCGAAAAAUUUGGAGAACUGGGAAUUCGAACGGCAGGUGCUUAUGCUACCCAUCAAAUAAAAAUUAGGUGCCUGAAAAUUCAUUUCGAAACAAAUGAUUCAGCUUUAUAUCCACGUCGACCCUCGGCAUGAUGGUUGGAAGCAAAUGCCAAGUUCAUACCAAAAGAUCAUUAACAACAAUUCCAACUUGCGGACAACAAGGUAGUACAAGUACCAAUACCAAACUAACUUACACUACAAAAAAAUACACUUCCGUGAUGAUACAUGUUUGUCACAGUAGGUCGCAUUUUUUGUCAUGCAUAUACAUCCAUGAUGAUUUUAUGACAGAAUCAAGAUAGUCAUACCUGUGCUGUGGUAGAAGUGUUCCAUGACAUUACCAAAAUUAUCAUCACGGAAGUGUCCACUUCCAUGACGAUAAAUCGCGCGUCACAGAAGUGCUUUCGUCAAGGGUGACCGACACGUGGCAUCCACCGUAAUGGAAUGCCUAUAAGCUAUCGGGUCCGAUUUUGGAUCCGAUAACCCGUUAACAGCCGGGACCAAUGGGAAAUUUCCACGUGUAAAAUUCUGAUUGGCCGGAGGGAACACCUGUCAGCUCGUCAGUGGGCUAGAUGUCGCCCGUCCAUUGGAGGAGACAUGUCUAUGAUACAUCAACACAUGGCUGGGCCCAACAGAGGCCCAUAUAGGUUAAAAAGGCCAGCCCAGUCAAAGGCCCAUAGUACUUACUCAGGUACUAGUGGGCCAGCCCAAUAACGGCCUGCUUAAUAAAGGCCCAUUUACGGCCCGAAGCCAGAUCUGGCCCGUUAAUUGUUCGCCGAAUAUUUGGGCCCAUUUACGACCCGAAGCCAGAUCUGGCCCGUUAAUUGUUCGCCAAUAUUUGGGCCCAAUUACAGCCCAGUGACUUUCGGCCUGUUAGAGGCCCGAUGUACACAUGGGCUCAUUUCAGCCCGGUGUGACUUUCGGCCUGGGAAUGGCCCAUGCUGCCCAUGGGCCAUAUAUGGUCCGAUGGGACAUCGGGCCCACUAACGGCCCAUGAUAAAGGUGGCAACAGUUAAGCCCAACGUGACUUUGGGCCUGUUAAAGGCCUGUCGCAUAAUUCGGCCCGUUGAUGCCUGUACUAAGCUUUCGGCCUCUUAAAGGCCCAUGAUAUCAGUUGGCCAACUAAGGCCCGAGAUAUGUUUCGGCCUGGUAACGGCCCGUGAUAUAACUGGGCCCAAAAAGGCCCGGUCUACAUUUCAGCCUGCUGAAGGCCCGUCGACGACUAGUGAAAAUUGAGGCCCAACAUGCAUUUUGGCCUGCUAAAGGCCCAUGGUUUCAUCUGGGCCGUAACAGGCCAGUACAAUAUUCAGCCUGUUAAUGGCGCAACGCUACCUGGGCCACACUAAGCGCUGGGUCCACAAAAGGCCCAACUAAAAUAUAGGCCGGUGUAAGUUGUGGGCCUGGCACAAAGUGUGAAGGCCCCAAUCAUUCGGGCCCAAGAAAGAUGUAGGCGGGCCUGUUAGAGGCGAAUGUUUCGGCCCGGUCGACUACAUCUGAUUUUUUUCAGAUAGGGAAUGAUGGCAGUAACUAGUAGGAAUUAAGAAUAAACCUACUCUAUACAAUAAAUAAAUUACGGCAUAGUAACUAAGAAUAAACCUACACUAUACAAUAAAGGAUUUAUGGUAUAUCCACUGGGCAUCGAAGUUCGCCACCAGUGAUCAUAAAGCGCAACGAAGAAGCAGAUUACAAAAAACUAGGCACCAUUGCAGCGUAACAAAAUAAUACUGAACCGAUACCACUUCCAAGACAGUUCAAGAAAGGUUAGCCUUGCGGGGGAACUGCUGCGCAAGCUGCUGAGCAAGGCUGUGAGACCGGCCUAGCAUGUCGGUCAUAGCUUCCAGGUGUAGCUGUUUAGCGAUGAGGUUCUCAUUGGUGUUCUCCGCAAAGAUAGGACUUCAAGUCGAAGUUGAGUUGCAGAAUGCCUUUCUGCUAGAACUUGGGACUGAAGAAAUCAAACUGAUUCAGACAACGAAUUCUGUGAGCUUGUCUGACUGCUAGUCUCAAGUAACUUGAACACUGCAUCAAGACAAGACUUUGGAGUUGUCUCGCUAUCUUCAAGAUGUUUUGCCUUCUUUGCUGCAAUAUAUGUUGGGUUUGUCUCACAGCCUUCAGCAGACUUGUGCAUGCCAUUAGGCAUAUCGCCCUGAAACAAAGCAGAGAGAUGACAAGUUUUUCAUGUGUAUAAACAAAUAUGAUAACUGUGCUGUCAACCAUCCAAUUUCAAAUUAGAAAAUAAAGAGUAAGUUCAAAAUAUCAAUAACAUAAUUUGGCAUUGUUCAUAAUGCGGGGAGCUUCACCACACUACUGGAUUACCAUGUCAACAUAACAAGCAUAGAUGAAGGGCAAAGAAAAUCAUUAUAUCGAUUUUGGUUAAUGUGCAUGGCAUGUUGUUCAUAUCAUCAGCCACAUCAGUAAGAUAAAACAGGAGAUGACAAGGUGCAAACGUGGGCUGCUUCACCACACACUGGAUUAUAGAUCCACAAAAACAAGCAUACAUAUAGGGAGUAUUGAGUAAUGUGCAUGGUAUGAAUAAGGAAUUUGGUUUUACAAGUAAAACUUAGAACUUACGAUUCUUGCGAACAUGCAUUUUGGUAGAAACAGCAAACUAAAUAGCAGUAAACGACAGGGGGUAUGAGAAAAUUAAACAACAGUUGAGGAUAAAGGCUUUAGAAGGACUGACUUACAUUAACAGUUAACACUGGCUUUAUAAUGCCCUUCUCCGUGUCAAGGGAAGGAUAACUCAAGAAUUUCAGCACAGAAUCUUCUUCAUAAGCAUUGCCUGUACUCUACAUUUUGUAGAGAGUAAUUAUAGAUAUGAUAAUACUGGAAGGGAUAGAGGAUAAUGAAGAUAAGAUGCAGAUUGAUGCUACAUAAUCAACUACCAAUCCCUGGAAGUAUAAGCGUUACAGGACAAAAUGUACUGACAAGAGCAAUGGGCUACACUUCUGCACUGGCAUUGUCGGAGUAAAUGACCACGGGUAGCCUAACCGGCUCCCCCUGGCUCUUCAAAAAUAUCUGGCCGGCCGAGCCCUCAAACGUCCAAGACGCAGGGCCGCCUUCUCUUGGCUGGCUGCCCCACUGGCCGGCUGCUGGAAGGCGGCAAGGCCCUGAGAGCUCUCGUGAAGAGGGCCGACUCCUAGCAGCCGGCCACCAGAAGUCCGGCUCCUAGCAGGCGGCCAAGAUCGCACCCACAAAGUUCGCACCCACAUAAUGGCGAUGAGACGGGGCAUGGCUACAGUGGAGCCUGCCACCCCCGAAUCCCAGAGCAAGCGUGGCCACAGUACGCCGUACGGGGCGGCCAUCCCCCAUCCGGUGCAGCAUUGUUGCCAUGUUGACCACGACGCCACCCACGACAGGCUGUCAGUACAGCCCGUAGGCGGCGGGCCCCUCUGGCCAGAGAGAUACCAGAAGGCGGCCGAGCUUCAUCAAGUCAACCUGGGAGGGAGCCGGCUCCCAACAGUCGGCUCACCCUCUCCCUUGAAGUUCGUGUACCAUUAAGCUGAAAGGACGGGGUAAGGCUACAGUGAAAGCCCGUCAGGCGGCGGCACUGUAGCCAUGCUUACCCCGACGAAGCCGUCGUCACCAAGAGCGAGGCUACAAUAACCAGCCGCCGACAAGACCCCCAGCCGGCGGGACCCACCAGUCGGCGGGCCCUAGCGGCCGACAGAGAAGCCGGCGAUUACAGACACUGACGACCGGGACCCGCAUCCAUUCGGAUUACCAUUGUACCCCUGGGGGUAGGCCUAUAUAAACCCCCCCAGGGCACCCAUGCAAAGGGUUGAUCUCUUAGAGUUUUAUACACCACAUAGAGAGAAGAGGAGAGCUAGCCUUGUCCUUCUUCUUCCUCUAGCCGAACAGCUCAAGGAGCCUCCUGUAGCCACUUGUGUUGAUCUAGUGAUCAUGCGGAGACCUCGCAGAGCAGGACUAGGGGUGUUAUCUCCUAGGAGAGCCCCAAACCUGGGUAAGAUCCGCCGGCGUGCAUGUCUUCGCCUUAUCUCGUUUCCAGGCACCGGCGAUGUCUUACUGGCUCCCACAAUGAUAAGCCACCCGUUGGCAUAUGUCGCACCUACCACCCGACAUGCAUCGUCUGUGUAUUCUACUUGUUGGUAAGAUUAAAUAUAGAUCUGAUCUUUUUUAGUAAAUGGUGGGCGAGGGAGAUAAGAUGCAGAAUGCUACACAAUGAACCAAUCCCUCUUCCCAUAAUACAAGAGUGUUUUGAACACUAGUGUACUGUACAAAACGUUCUUAUAUUAUGGGAUGGAGGGAGUAGCUGUUAAUGUAAGUACAGUGAUAGACGACGUUUAGUCCUUACAAGAGGACUGCAGAGCUAAACCUCUUCAAAAGCAUUGGGUUGAUUCUAAACUUAUGUAAGAUUCCAUACGGAUCUUAUAAUGUCCACCAAUUGGACGAUACAAGGCUAACAUGUGCAGUGAUGCUACAUAAUCAAACAGCUAUGAAAGUAAGUAUGGUCAUACAGGGAAGAGGUACUCACAAGAGCAAUGCAGUGUGCAGUAUAGUUGCAAGAUUCUGUGGUCCCUUGAGAAUGAAUGUUCUUCUGCUAAUAGUUUUCGUACAAGUGAGACGUUAAGGCAAAUGCAGAAAUGUAGUUCAAAUUGUGAUGUGAUAUCAUAGGCAGUACCUUACGCUACAGCCGAGACCAAUGUGUAACAAGAUUAUUCCAGUCACCGUCGGAUAAAUGUAGCACCAGAGACUUUACAGAAAUUUCGUUUAGAGGCUUGCCAUCGAAGUGUGCUUGCCUCAGGUAGGAAUGAUACUUCAUCAACGAGUGCUUGAAAAGCGCAACCAACCCUUGCUCAUCUUCACAAUCCAGUUUGCUCCUCGCCUAUUUAAAAGAAUGAAAUCUGGUGUCUUUUGUCAGCAGAAACAUAUGCAGUAAUGACCAUGAAUAACAUUAGUACAUUACUUACGCGUAAGUUGCGGAGGAAGACUGGAAAUUGUUCUGUGUCUGCGGUGUAAUCUUUCCAUGAAGGAAAGAUGCGCAGAAAGUUCCUGACAACAAUAUAAGCUUCAUCUUCUAAACUGGGAAGAAAUGGAACAUGGGUCCUAUUUGCUGCAAUUGGGGCUCUCUCUGGUUCGAAAAGGGAUUUGGCAACUGGAUUUGGUGUACUCUUGCUGGAAUGGGGGUUUUGCGUCGUAGAGCUGGUGCUAUGUCAACUGGCAUAAUCAUACUGUUUGUUGCAGUUGGGGUCUGCUGAGUUGGGGCAUCAGAAAUGACCAGUGUAGUAGGGCUAGAGUCUGAUAGAGUUGGGGUGUUCUGUGGGUCAGGUGAUAUUUCAACUACACCUAUGGGCUAUUUGAUUUAUCAGGUGCCACUACCUUUCCCAAAUACUUUGCUUGUGCUCCUCCACGAUCAGCAAUCACCCUCUUCCUUUUGAACGUUUGAUACACAAGAACAACAUUUGAAUGAAUAAAUAUGGUAUGAUGACAGAUGGAAUAUGUACUGAAAAUGGAUAGGCAGGGCGUAUUCACAUACACAAUGUGUAAACUAAGAUAAUGGCAGUUCAACAAAGUAGAAGCAAUGCAAAGCAUGAGUUGCAAGAUAUGUGCGACCAAUAUAACCUUGGAAAGUUGGAGCAAGCACCUUGAUGGGUGAAUAAGAUAGGGCAUCUUCCUCUGACUCCUCAACUAGGGAGCUACAUUGACUCAGGUCUCUCUCUAGCUCAGAAUCACUAUUAGGAUCAUAUUCUGAGCAUGAAUCUGUAGGUGGAGAGCAUUUGCAUUGCAUUGCAUCCAGACUUGAUUUUAGUCCCUUAAUGCCAAGUUUGACAGCCAUGGCAUUGUUCUGCUUUAUUCUUUUCAUGCGCGCAAGCUCAUAAACAUUAUGAUGCUGUUCAGAAUCUGAGAUUCAUGAAAACAUAAAAAGUAGUUAGAUUAUCUAUGGAAUGCAUUGCGGAUUCAACUCGAAGAGUGUCUCCCUAUAAACCCCUGCAUAUGCAAAGUUCACCCCAACCGUGCUGACCAGACCACACACAGAAAUACAGACCCCUUAUGUCUCUAUAACCGGCAGACACACAUUUCAAAACUGAAGUAGGAACAUUAGAAUCAUAUGAAAUUCGUAUUUGAACAAAUAAACUAAAGAAUUAUGAGUGGCAUAAUGUUUAGAUUCAAGGGUGGAGUGUUGGUAGUGCGACACAAAGCAAGUAGGCAGAUUGUAUUCCAUGUAAAAGAUCGAAGCCUAUGUAAAAGCUGGAAAUGACACUUUCUUUCUAUACAAUGCAGUGUUCGUUGCCCACACAUGAUGGAAGAGAUCACAUAGAGAAAUACUAUUCACUCAUGUCUACGGUUCCAGUAUUUAGAAACAGGGUGGUCCACCCUAAAAGAAUAUUGACAACAAAUAUGACAAGGCAAGCAUAGAUGUAGUGAAUCAAUCAUUUACUUGUGAGCUUACUAGGACAAGUAUGCAGAAUUGUAACUGCAGUAAGAGACUGUCCAAAAUCUGAAUUAAGAAGUUUGUCUAGCACUUAUUGGUUGCAACUAAUUGACGUGAAUAAUUGGAUAUUAUAUCGAAUAAGUAAGAAAGACAAGUAAAAUUGUCAACAAACCUGGCUUGCAGUAGUAAUCUGGGUCAAUGUCACUACGACCAACAAUCCAAAAUGACUAUUGUCUGUUCCGAGGGCCGAAAUUUUGAAAACCCUGUGAACUUUACAUGUACUAAAGAUUACCAAAAUACAUCUGAACCAUUAAGUGUAGGUAGCACUGAGCACACAACAAACCCUAAUGACAGUCCUGCCUAAUGAGUAAUGAAUCAAUUAGAAAAUGGGUGAUGAGGAGUGGCUGCUGAGUGUUGAGGACAUAUCUCAGGAUAAAUCGGGUUGGCUUAGUGGGUGCUGCACGCUUGAGCCCUGAACGGACUGGGAAGGUAGGCACGGCGACGCGCCCGGGCAGCGGUGACGCUGUUGGGCGAGCGGCUCCUGACCUCCUGUUAGUCCGGCGUCUCCUCCUAGAGUCAUGCCGUCCGGGGACGGCAAGUCGCCCGCGAGGCAGGCGGCUGGGGGCGAGUAGAGAUCGGAAGCACGCAGCAGAACAGAGGGGAAUCGGGGCCUGGGACGACCCAAAAUCCGAGGGUGGGCCAGCCCACCGUGGGCACCCUGUAGAGAUACACACCCGAGCGGCGAACAUGCAUUUUUGAAACUAAUUUAGGAACAUUUAGCGGACCAAUUAGACGACUCUAUUUUAAUAAUAUCAGAUUUGUAUUUGAACAACUAAGCUUGUUUAGCUUGAUGGGUGGAGCAGUGCUAUUAUGACACGAAGCACGUAUUCUGAUCGUAUAGUUAUCAUAAAAGGGGGAAACUCUAAGCAUAUUUUUUUAGCAAAAGAGGGUUUCCCCUCCGAUUUCUGUUAAAGAAACCACCACGGAACCAACAUGAUCAAUUAAACCCUAAGCAUGAUCAAUUAAACCGUAUGAUGACUGUGCCAUGGCAGAUUUGAAGCUGCAAAUCGGAGAAAUGAUAUUUAGCAUCCAUUGUUUGCUUCGAACUAAGAACUAAAUUCUAAGAGCUAAAAAGAAAGUAGAGUAACCAAGUUAAGAUCUAUUUUCUAGUUGAGAUCAAAAAGUUGAGGAGAUAUGAAGUACCACCUCUCUUGCGGUGCCGUGUAGGCAUCGGGGGUGCGAUGGCUGUCAGUGGCGUUGAAGCAGAUCUGCGACGGUAGACGGGUGCAUCGGGGGAUAAGUCCCGUUUCGGUGGAGGAGAAGGUCGUGUGAGCAGCCCCGGCAAAGAGGACGACGGCGCCGAUGAAGUGAGAGGGCGCGAUGCAAGGCUCUUGGUUCAUCGCCGUGGAUGAGAAACGUCCAUCUCUAGCAGUGGACAACGCGGUCUUGGUAGGCGCUCCGGCAUGGUGGAGGACGGUGGCGAUGGAUGUGGUGGAGGACGGCGGUGAUGGAUGGGGUGGAGGACGGCGGCGAUGGAUGGGGUGGCAGACGGAGGCUGGUGUGGGGAUGGUGUUCUAGCGCGGACGGUGUAUGAACGGGAAAAUGGAGGGAGGGGUAUGGGGAACCAUGUUUUUGGGACGCGCCUGUCUGAAAUAUGGGAAAGUUAUGAACUUAGCCCGCGUUUAAAAUUUGGACGUCUCGUCAGUUGGGGAUAGGACGGUAAUCUCGCAUCUCGCUAAUAUUUGCCCAGAGCGAUUUCGGGCGAGGAGAGGGUGGUUGGCGCCCAUGGUUGGCGCCCACGGUGUAUGAAUGGGGCUGACAGGUAGGGCGGUUGUGUCACGUCUGAGUGAAGUUACAAACCUGCCCCUAUUGAAAAUAUUUGCCUACAUCGAUUUCGGUCGAGUCGAGUUUGUUUUGCCGCCCACCGUGUAUGAAUGGGGAAAUGGAGGGAGAAACAGAGGUCCUUCAUACGAGCUUGAAUCAAUUGUGUUUUGCCGGCCAUGUUUGGCGCCCACCGUGUCAGAAUGGGCUCAGAGGUGGUCGUGUCACGUCUAAUUGAAGUUACUAACCUACCCCAAUUUAGAGCAGUGGAAAUCGGGUCGAUGGAUUUUCCGUGUAAUGGGUAGACAGUAAUUUCCAUCUCCCAAACACUUCGCUUCGGGCAGCCGACGUGGGAGUGGACAUUUUGCCGCUUCUUUCGAAUUUUGGGACAAUAAACAUCCACGUUUACCCUAGCAACUCAAUUCAAAUCCAUUUUGUAUUCCUAUACGAAUCUUUAUAAAUCAUUCUAUGUGUUUUUAUAUAUCUUCAAAAUGACGACAAAGAUGUAUUCCACUGUCAUAUAUGAAUAUGGUUUACAAAUGCCGAUACUCAAAUUCAUAAGCUAGAAUCCAGUUUAAGGUGAAUUCGAAUAUUUGGAACACUUCAUGUCCAACUCAAAUGUCACACGCAGCAUAAUGUGUACUCCCAUUUAAAUAUGUACACAAGCGAUGUAUCAAGGUUCAAAUACCGAGUCAAUCAACCAAGAAUGUACAUAACUAACAGACAUAUAAACACUUAUAGAGUAUAUGGGUCAAUAAUAUCAACUAACAUACAUAAGCCAGGCCGUUGUACUUUUUUUUGCUACAACAGCAUCCUUUUUUUAGCCAAGCUACUACAGCAUCUUGGCCCUUUCCGAUGCGUGCCACUUAUGGUCCAUCUAUACUACUAUUAUUGCUGAAUGCACAUUCAGCCCGAUUGGCAUAUUUGUAGGUCUGGCACAACAAUCAAAAUGAAAUGUCUCCGAGUCUUAUCAAUUAAUACAGACUUGUGCUCAAAUAAAAUUACAAACCAAAAAACAAAAAACAAUUAUUACAUGAUCUCUAAAACAAAUGGUUUGAUUGAUUACAUGAACAGACAACACAAAGGUUAUUCAACGAUGGAAAGAACAUUUCACCUAUGAUUUACCAAGUGGGAAUUUAAUUUCCUUUUUUCCUUCAGGACCUUAACAAUGUGGUCAGUCUCAGCUUGCUUUGUUUUGAAGUCCACCAAAUAUUUAAUGGUUGUCUUGAGUACUGCUUGUGAUUGUGCCGUUUACUUCCUCAACAUGUCAACUUCAUCUCUAAGUGCAAAAGCAGAAUCUCUUUCUACCACUAGUUUAGCCUCUAGAGCAUCAGCAGUUGGCAAUUCAUAAUGCAGGAUUGGGCCAGUGCCACUGCUGUGGGAUGAUACAACGUCCAUGGGGACCUUGCUCUUUGAUCUUGGACUAACCUGUUUUGCCAUUAUAGUUCCGAUUGGAUUCAGAAAAGUUGAAGUUAGCAAAACAUCUCAACUGGGAGUUAUAACAGCAAACCAGUUAAACAAACAAGGAAUUAAAGAGUUUCAAUUGGAUGCUGAAAAGUAGUUAUUAACAUCAUUGUAACCCGUUGUUGCAGCAGCAAAGCAGUUAAACAAACAAGUAGCUAUUUAAGUUCAGGCAAACAGGUAAUUCUUAACAGUAAGUAUCAAACACAUAGAUAGACGCAGUCUAUAAUAGAAUUAAUAGGCUAUGGCAUUAUGUAAUCAGUAGGAAACUAAAUUAAGCCAGUCAACGUAAUUGAACAUUUUGCAAUAAGUGGCUAACUAAAAUUUCGAGAAGCAGGUAAUUGAACUUACGCUAGUUCUUUGUACAGGCACACUGCAACUUCUUUUUCGCUUACAAGGUUGUACGAAGGAGUCCAUGGCAUCAAUUGCUGGGAUAUGAAGUCCCAGUACUUAUUUCUUCUCACACUGCAUUGGUAAGUCGAAUGGUUAAUCUGGUAAGAUGGUGCGUCCUUGAUAUGCUAUAUGAGGACGUGUAGUCAGACUAGUUGUAGCCACACACAUCACACUGGCUUUUACUGUAUAUUUCAUGCGAUUACUUUUGGCAUAUCGAGAUCUAAGCAAUCUACAAUAGGAUGAAAAGACUGGCAUCCUUCACAUUAUUGGGGAACUCAGUUCAUAACAAGCAAUUCAACCAUUCUGUGGGUAAAUCAAAAGCGCCACUUGAAUAUUUUUCACUACCCCAAUCAUACAUGGAAAAGGGGCGACGCCACCAUAGGGGCUGGUAUGGGCGGCCGCCUCGGAUGGCUGGAAAGUGUGCACCGAGUUUGAGUCGUCCAGGUUGGCCCAGGCUAGUUUUGUUCGUCCCAACACACGAGCAGGCAAUGUAAAAAAUGAAGAAAAAUGUUUCAAUUUGGAUGGGCCAAUAACAUAAGUGCAAGGCAGGCCCUAUAGCAGGCUCGCGGCCCAAACGAGCGCCUCCCAUAUCGAUCGACAACAGGAAAAAUCCCAAUUCAUUCGCUCCAGCCUCUAGUCUGGUUCGCUCCUAACCUAGCCGCCGCUGGAUAGACCGACACAACACUUCCUCGCGCCCUCGUUGGAAGGCGGUCGCCGGGCUUCAAGCGAACAGAAGGACAAGAAGAUGAAGAUCCAACCCUGGGUGUAGCCUACAUGGGAGGCAGCGGCGGCAGCACGGGCAUGGCAUCGAGCUUGCGCAAACGGACAGUCGCAACUUGCAAGAGUAGCAUGCGCAACGAGCAGGUACAUCACAUCCCUGAUUAUAUCUAAUUCAACUCUUCAAUUUCUGGCCAAUAGUUAAACCUGAUGGUGUUGUAAAACUGCUUGUAUGUAGGGAAUCUAUGAGAAAAUGAAACCAAUUUCUACUUAUUUUAUAACUCCCCCAAUCAAUACAGAACUGACUGAAUCUAAUGUAUCUAAUCAAGUUUCCGGUGCAAACAUACAAGCUCAUGUUGUUCUUGAGCCUGAAGUGUCUAAUGAACAGACUGCUAAUGAAGGAUUUGAUGCAAACAUUUUACAUGCUCCUGGUGAUGACCAUAUAGUGUCUAAUGAGGGAUCUAAUGCAAGCAUUUUGCAAGCUCCCAUUGAUGGAUUUAGUGUCUAAUGAUGACCUGCUAUGUUGAGAGAGACAUAGAGAUUUGCAGGCAUUGAUGACAAGCAAAUUAUAGUGCAUUUUCAUGGCUUGAGGAAACGUCGAGGCCAUCUACCAGAAAGUCCCCGUAUCAUGACAACAUAGCAUAAAUACUUUUCUUAUCUGUUGUUUGAAACUAUUGGCAUACUUGUGCAGGAUAGAUAUAUUGAUAUGCAGUUUGCGCACUGGUUAUAGGUGCAAUUACACUUCGAUAUUUUUAGCCAGAGAACAAAUAAUUCAAGCAGGUACAGACCAUGUUUGUAGUCCUUGUACACCAUGUUGCAUUUUGUGUUUUUUGGUGCUUGCAUCAUUUAGUGUUUAUAAUCUGAACUACUUUGGAUCAUUAGCUGGUUUUCAAAGUGCAUGUAGCUUCACAUUUCUCAAGUUAUGUUGAUUUCCGGAGUGCAAGUGCCUUCGUAUUUUUUAAGUUAAAUGUUCGCCCCUGGUAACUUGAAUUCGUGGAUCCGCCACUGCACACAAAUCAUACACGAAUGCCAGUACGAAUUAAAUGAAAUGCAGGGACUUACGCUAGCUCUUUGUACAGGCUCACUGCAGCUCUACUUGCGCUUGGGAUGUUCCAUGUACAAGUCCAUGUUACCACUUGCUUGGAUGUGCAGGCCUUGUGCUCCUUGCAUCCCCCUCUGCAUUUUUGACACGGCGAAUGGUUGAUCAAAUAAGAGGAAUCGACCUUGCUGUUAUACCGGAGGACAGAUACUUACAAGGUUAUACGGGUGUGCAGGAUGUGUACGAUAUCCCGUAAAUCCGUCAUGCUUCGCUAAAAAAGGAUUUGCUUGUUUCAGAUGAUAUCUCCAGAAGAAAUAAGAGUUAAAGUCAGAGUUGCAUAGGCGUGUAAGCUAAGAGAGCAGUGAAAGGAUAUCCAAACAUCGUCGGAACAGUGCACAAGGGAGUGAUGUGUGGAUACCUAGUUCGGGCCGGCGUUUGGGCAUGCUCGCCUAGCUAGAGUGCGGGUCACUUCAGAGCCGUUGAGGGUGAUGCGUUGGCGUUGGCUGGCCACGCACGGAUGCAGAUCUUGAGUGGCAGNNNNNNNNNNNNNNNNNNNNNNNNNNNNNNNNNNNNNNNNNNNNNNNNNNNNNNNNNNNNNNNNNNNNNNNNNNNNNNNNNNNNNNNNNNNNNNNNNNNNNNNNNNNNNNNNNNNNNNNNNNNNNNNNNNNNNNNNNNNNNNNNNNNNNNNNNNNNNNNNNNNNNNNNNNNNNNNNNNNNNNNNNNNNNNNNNNNNNNNNNNNNNNNNNNNNNNNNNNNNNNNNNNNNNNNNNNNNNNNNNNNNNNNNNNNNNNNNNNNNNNNNNNNNNNNNNNNNNNNNNNNNNNNNNNNNNNNNNNNNNNNNNNNNNNNNNNNNNNNNNNNNNNNNNNNNNNNNNNNNNNNNNNNNNNNNNNNNNNNNNNNNNNNNNNNNNNNNNNNNNNNNNNNNNNNNNNNNNNNNNNNNNNNNNNNNNNNNNNNNNNNNNNNNNNNNNNNNNNNNNNNNNNNNNNNNNNNNNNNNNNNNNNNNNNNNNNNNNNNNNNNNNNNNNNNNNNNNNNNNNNNNNNNNNNNNNNNNNNNNNNNNNNNNNNNNNNNNNNNNNNNNNUGGGUUGGUGGCGAAUUAGGGAUUUGAGCAAUCUGGGCGCGGAAGGGGAUGGUGGAGAAGGGAGAUUUUGCAGGGCUGGAAUUGGGGCCGCCAGAUAUUUCAAUCCGAAACGUGGAAGCGCGAACUUAUUUUGUCGUCGUCCUUUUUUUGUGGGGGAGGGGGGAGGGAGGGAGGGGGUGGGCGGCUGGGUGCUACGCAUCUGUCCGACACAUGCGACCACCACGACACGACCCUGGUCUGCCUGGUGCGCCUACAUUUGAGAAUGCAAACGAAUCUUCUUUCAUUUGCAAACGAAUCUGUAUGUAUUACCAUGCCCAUGUUUUCCUUGCAAUAAUUAGUCAUUCGAAAUGAGAUACUCCCUCCGUUCACUUUUGUAAGUCGUUUCAGACAACUUAAAAUGAGCUGAUUUGCACAUUGUCUGAAAUGUCUUCAAGGUCUUAUAAAAGUGAACAGAAGGAGUACUAUAAAUUAAUUAAUGAGGAGUUAUUUGAAAAAAAAUCGAAACGGUAUCCACGCUAACGUGGAUUAGAGUGUGUGUCACAUAAUUAGUUAUUUGAAUUAGAGUGUGUGUCACGUAGCGAUCUCCAAUUCUAACGUGGAUUUUGCAUUUCACUGUAUCCAUGCUACUUUUUUAAUACAAAUUCAUAUGUAUAUGAUGAACACCAUGGUAGUGAGUAAACUUUUGGAUGGAUUCAAACAUAUGACCUACAAAAUAGCACAACAAAUUGAGUCAAUGUCAACUUUUCGAAACCUAGUAUGGCACGAAUUCGAAAUAAUUGCCCAUAUGCAUGGUCCUCAGUUCAAAUCUUACAAUGUACACCGAAUUGAAACAUCGAUAUUAAGUCUCGUACUAUCUACAUUCAAAUGUUGUUUUUAGCCCUCCCCCCCGCACACACGCUACAUACUUCCUGUAUCGGUCAAUCUUCCUCUCCUAACCACCUUAGGAAGCUAUCGGUUUCCAACACACAUUCAUUCUUUCUCUCCAUGUUUCGAUCUCUAACUCUCUCAACUACACAACCCCCUUUUUCCACUAUGUUACCAAAUGUAUUUACCUCACACACCCGCCAUUGCACCCCAUGCCGAGCUCUCUCUCUCUCCCUCUCCCUCUCACCCUCUCGCGCUAAAUACAUGCAUUUCCUAUCUAGCCCCCACCCUCUUGUGCGCACGCACGCACGUUGUCUAUCUAGGUCACUCCCUCGAUACUGUCUCACUCUUUCUUCCGCACGACGGGCCACACUCGCUCAAUCUCGCUCUCUUUAUCUGAGUCUCGUUUAACCUCGUUUUAUUUCACACACAAAUGAUAUAUCUCCCUAUUCGGGCCUCGAUUGACACACUCUAUACUCUCUCAUGCAGAUUGUCUAUCUAGGUCAGUGCAUCCAAGCCGCCCCACUCUUUCGAGCUCAUGGCAGGCCACGCCCGCUCAAUGUCUAUCUCUCUCUCUCUCUCCCUAUCUCUCUCUCUUUGUAUGUCUCGAUUGACCUCGCUCUUUCUCGGAAAAAAACGAUAUAUCACCAUGUUUGAGCCCAAUUUGACCUAUUCACAUUGUAUACUCUCUCACGCACAUUGUCUGUCUAGGUCACUCUCUCCAACCCGUCUCACUCUUUUGAUCGCACGACGCCCCUAUGUGAUCGAUUGACCUUGCUUCCUCCCACGCACAAAAUAUAUCUACACGUCUAUGACUGGAUCAUCUCUCAAGCUCUAUCUUACAGCACUCACCCUUGCCAAAAGCUAAAUCGGAAAAUAUCUCUCCAGAGCAUAUAUAUCUGUUCAAUGAAUGUCGGACCACACUCACUUUGUCUCUCUAUCUAUAUGUCUCUCGAUUGACCUCGCUUUCUCACGCCGUAUCUUCCACGCAUUGAAGCUACCUCUCCAUCCCUCGCAAAGCCGGAGCUAUUUACAUUGCGAGGGGCACUCCAACCUUAGAUUAAUUUCUGUAGGCAUUUAUUCCGGUCGGUUUAGAUUAUAUUUUCGUAGCAUUCGGCCCACAACUACUCCAAACACUGUUGCAACCCCCGCAACUCCCGUAGUUGAUUUCCCUCUGGCUCGGUCAUCACUCUCUCGCACGUCCUUUCUCGCCUUCAACGUCGUACCAUGGUAUUAUUGCAAAAAACUUUGUUGUUCUCUUUAAUUAUUAUAAAUAAGCUACAAAACUACACAGCGAUAGUCCACUUGGAAUGGAACAAAUUUCGACCCACAAAUUAAAGUGCUACAAACUACACACCGAGGGGCCCACAUGCCAUGAAACAAACUUGGACCCAUAUACAAAUUAAAAAUAAAGGACAAGGAUCGAACAUGCGACCAGGGCCUUCAAGCCGCACGUCAAUAGGCAACAUACGUAGAACAAUAAUGUUUGUUGUACCCCCUUUGUUCACAUAAUGUUUUUAUAUUACCACAGCCUAUUUAAUGGAUAACAUGUAAUAUUAUUUUUAGUACAUUAGUGGGACCGGCUCGUUAGCAUGUACUAUUCGCCUUCACUUACUGGUGGGUUCCAUGUGUGCUCUCUCUCUCUCUCUCUCUCCUCCCCUUCUGCGUUUAGACGCACGGGCAAACACGAAGAACUCGCGGGCGAUGUUGCCGUUGACCAUAUCUGGACGCGUUCACAAGUUACGGCACUAGUUUCACGUACUAGUAGCACUAGUCAGUGUGUACGUCCAAUGCACGUUAAUUUGGAAGUAUAUUAAGUGCAUGCGGAUAUUAAGUAGGAUAUUAUUUGCGUGUUAUUAUGUGAUUAGCACUAUUUUUGGCAUGAAAUUAACUGCACGCUAAACGUGCUGAGCGCUCGACAUUGAAGCAGUCUAGGUUGUUGGAUGACAAGGAAUACAUGUGGCUUGAUGACGUUUUAUAUUUAAUUUGAUACGGCUCUAGCAGAACAUUCAAUCGAUCAAACCAUAGAUUUCGUUCAGUCUGACUCCGACUUUAAAUUAUACGACGAUCGAUCUAAAAUAAACGGAAAUGAUAAACGUUCGGAUUUUAAGCAUGGCAAUCCGAACAUUUUUCAUGGCAAAUUUAGAAUACGUGGCGGCGGCGGGGGCGUCUUGCGGUGGGAAGCGGCUGCUCUGCCGUGCUCUGUGUGUCGUCGGGCCACUGACCGAUGGCGAUGGCGGCGCCUUGCGCCGUUGUUGGCGUACUCCUGGGUGUUGGCCUAGGUUCAAGGAAGGCCAAAAGUUCUGGACUUCGGAGCAAGUCAACUAGCGGGAGGAGGCGACUGGCGUUGGUGUAAGGAAGCGGUCGACGGCGGCCAUCCAUGCCGCUGAGGGGGGCACUGGCACCCGCGCGGGGACAGGCGUUGUCAAUGGCGCGACGGAGACAUUCGUGUUCAUGGGCACCGGCACGGGCGCACACGUCACUACACGUGUAGGCGCAUGAGCUGGCAGGUGCACGGGCACCGGCACGGGUGUGCGCAUAAGUGCACGCGCAGGCGCAUGCGCUGGCAGGUGCACGGGCGCGUGAAAGUCGGUGGGGACAUCGUGGAACCCCGUGGCAUCAAGCUCGGCGACAAUGUGCGGCUCCCAGCCCAUCAAUGCCACGGGGAUGGGCGCUGGUGCAGUCGGGGCGACGGGAGCCGGAACGGAAGCGGGGACAGGCACGGCGUCUUCCCGCAAGGCCAGUUCAAGCUCGUCCCAAAGCACCUUAUGUUCUUGAGACUCCGGCUGGGUGUCUUCCUCAGGAAACUGGAAGACUAAGGGCAGACCAUCGUGAUGCGGCAUGGCGUACAUUUAGGUCAGGCUGGUGGGAGGUAGACGACAGGAGAAUUGGAGAGGAAGAGAGAAGAUUAUAGCGAUACCGGGUAGUGCGGGGUUGAUUUUAAACUGCGGCACCGGCGACAUUAAAAGUGGGAGCAGUUGGGACGAAGGUGGGCGGUGGAGCCUGGUCAAACGGCUUGCCUCCCGGUGAGCCUGCACAGCGGUCUGCUCGCACGCCUCCCUGUCAGCCGGUGCAGCGGUCUGCUCGCACGCCUCUCGUCGACUCACACGCUUGCUCGGACGGCACCUGCCGAUGAGAAGCGGGACUCGUGGCGGCACGUAAACGCCCACGGUUUCAAUAGUGAAAGCAUUCACAUUAACGUGAUAGGUCUUUGUUCCAAAAUACCUUGACUCUUCAUUUGUGCAACUUGUCAUAAGCACCUUGUCUCAAAUUGAAGAAAAAAUUACAAAGUAAUAUUUGUGCCAUAUCACGUGACCAUGCUCAGUUUCAAGAAUUUAUGGUCACUUUUGGAUUUUCUGAAAUUUAAGAUCCAGGUUUCGAAACAAUGUCAUAACCUGCAUCAUGCAAUAAAUUUUCAAGCCAUACAUAUGUCCUGUUGUAUUUCUUAAGAAAGGAUUUGGUCAAACAUUUUGCUUAGUUAGACUUUAGACAAGUUAUAUAUGCAGAGUAAAAGGAUAAUCCCUCCGUACCAGUGCAUUGCCUGAUAUAUUAACUCAAGUACUAGGCACAAACAAACGGGCUCAAUUCUGUGCUCAUCCUGGUGUAGUAGUAGUACUAGGAAAUGCAGUUGAUGGGUGACCUUGGCGAGCGGCGACCGAGGGAAUUGAACCGUGCUCGGCAGGGUAGGUAACGUUGUCUAGUUCCUAAGCAUCCCUCCGUUGUUCAUCGGUAGUAGUCAUUAUGGACCGGGGACAUGAGGGGAAUUUCCUAGGGCUGGAAUUCUGGCCGCCAGAUAUUUCGACUCCAAACGCCGAGGCUUGACUGGUUAGGGUUGCCUAUUGUGCGUACCACGUACGCCACCAGAAGGACACGAGCCCGGUUUUUUUAUUUUUUUUUAUUUUUUUAGGAUCGACACGAGCCAAGGUCUGGCUGGCAUGCCGUUGGGUCCUACCAUUCGAGAAUACGAAAUGAACCUUUUAAAUUGCCGAACGAAUCUAUAUGUAUUACAAUACCCGUAUUUUCCUUGGAAAUACUAAUCUCAACGUGGUAAUUGAUUUAUGACGAGUUGUUGAAUUAGAGUGAGUUUGUGAUAUAGUGAUCUCAACGUGGAUUUCACAUUUCAUGGUAUCCCUAGUAAGUUUUUCAAUGCAAAUUCAAAUUAAAAAGAUGAACAAUAUGGAGGUGAGAAAACUUUGUAUGUAUCAAGCAUAUGACCACACACACACACAUACACAGAGAGAGAGACACGAACACAACAACAAUCCAAUAAGUAUAGUCCAUCUAUUUUUCCAAACCAUGCAUGUAUGACACGAAUUCAAAAAUACUCCUUCUGUUCCUAAAUAUUAGUCUUUUAGAGAUUUCAACAAGUGACUACAUACGGAGCAAAAUGAGUGAAUCUACACUCUAAAAUAUGUCUAUAUACAUCCGUAUGUGCCAGUCCAUUUCAAAUCUCUAAAAAGUCUAAUAUUUAGGAAUGAAGGGAGUAAAAUGUAAGACAUGCAUGGUCCUCAAUUCAAUAUUUAAAAUGAACAUGAAACUGAAACAUGAAUAUUAAGUCUAGUACUACAGUACAUGCAAAUGUUGUGUUUAGGCGGAGCUAUGAUUGUCGGGGGUCAACCCCUCGACCUUAGAUAAAAUUGUGAAGCUCUGUUUAGGGUUGUUUAGAUUAUAUUUGUCCCCACCCUCCCAACUACCGAUUGGUUGUGCACCCCCACCCCUCCUCACCGGGAGAAUAUCAUGUGCCCCCAUACCUUAGAUGCUAUAUGCCGAUACGAGUUGCUUGGAGCUUGUAGAUCUGAGAUAUAGCAGCUCACAUGAUGUCUUAAUAUUUUUACAGGAAAUCUUGAUGAGUUUGAGAAUUGCACACAAUUUGUACAAAAACUACUCAGAUGCCCUUGGAUCCCAUAUCCAACGACCUCGAAGCUCGUAUCACUGUAGCAUCUAAGAUAAAGGAGGACAUCAUAUUCUCCUGUAUGUAAGAAUAUCAUGUGCUACCACACCUUAGAUGCUUUGGUGAUACAAGAUCUUCGGAGCCGUUGGAUUUGUGACCCAACACCUCCUCGAUGGUUUGAAUGGUUUUUUGCAGAAAAGCCCCCAAAGAGUUCGACCACUGCUUACAAGCACAAAGACUGCUCAGAUGCCAUUAGAUCUCAGAUCAAACGACCUCGAAGCUCGUAUCACCGUAGCAUCCAAGCUGUGAGAGCAAAUUAUGUUUUCUCGCACGGGAGAAUAUGAGGUGCUCGCGCACCGUAGAUUCUAUGGUGAUACGAGUUCACGGAGGUCUAACGGCCCACAGUAGGAGGUUUGAAUGUUUUUGCAAUAUACGGCUGAGAGAGUUUGGGAAUUGCGCAGAAAGUACAAGUACAAUGCAUGUGCCAUCUGAUCACUGAUCAUACGACCUAGAUGCUCAUAUCACCGUAGCGGGUAAUUAAGCUACAGGGAGCACCUAAUAUGAGCAACGGGGAGCCGUUGGAUCCAAGAUGCAGCGGCACACACGAGGCCUGAAUGUUUUAUUUGCAAGAAAUCCUUUGGAGAGUUUGGAAAUUGCUCAUAAUUACAAAGACUACUCCCAAGCCAUUGGAUCUCACUUCCAACGGUGUAAAAACUCGUAUCACCAUAGCAUCUAAGCUGCGGGGUGGAUGUGAUAUUCUAUGCCGCUGUCAUUUUUGUUCAUAAACUUGCAAAAUACGUGUAACUCGUGCCGUUACUUGUCUAACCGCGUAAAGUGUUUGUUCAAAAAAACCAUCCUACACUGAAAUAUCGGAACAACACACGGGGGUCCCACUUGUCAUUAAUCAAAUUUGGACCUAAAACUAACAAAUCUGAAAGACGAGAUUCGGACUGGCAACCUGGACUACAAAGUGUAAGUCGAUAGCCUGAAAUAACAACGGUUGUUGGCUUUGUCCCAUAAAUUGAGUUUAUACAGUAUUACGUUGAGUAGAGUAGAGGGAGUGCCUCGUCAACACGUGCAUGACCGUUGACUCACUUACUGGUGGGUCCCAGGUCUGCGAUCUCUCUCUUCUCUCCAUCGUCUAACCUUUGCACAGGCACACACGAAGAGCGGCGCUAGCUUGCCGUGGUGUUAUUACAACCAAAAAAAAGCUUGGAAAAUAGAAGAAUCGCCUAGAACAAGAGACGUUGUGGCUGGUCGAGACGGAUCUAACCACACCUAUCCUCCGUGCCACGUUAGCAUGAUGAAGCUGUGUGGCUAGUGGGGUGUUUUCGACCGAUUGUCUGGGUCCCGAGGUCGAACCAUAGGUACUAUGUCUGAUACAGUAUAUUUUUACACGCACAUUUUUCCUCCAUGCCGAGACGUAUCACACCCUACCGCGCGGUUUCGGGGGUCCUCCUGGGUGGUGCACACAUAAAUUCUUCCUGACGUGGGACGCCCUACCGCGCGUUUUCUGGGUCCUCCUCGGUCGUAGCGCCAAAGCAAGUAAAUGAGUCGUCAAAUCACGAAAGCCCACUUUUCCCGCCGAGUACAUCAGUGAAGCACGGUGGCUAGCUAGUUGGGCCAGUUCGACCGAUUAGCUAGGCCGCCGCCACAUUUGUUUUUUCACCCCUUUUUUUAUCUACUUGCUGGCAGGUAAAUUUAAAUAUCCACCGCGGCGUUGCUCUGGUGUUUGGGUGCGGUAGGAUUUUUAAUUUUUUGAUUGACGGGAGCAGGCGCGGUAGGAUUUUUAAUUUUUUGACUGACGGGAGCAGGCAUGGCAGCAAUUAGUCACGAUGACUCCGCCUGUAAAACCGACUGCACCCUGAUGUGAGAAGUCGUCGACUGGUGUUUUACCAUGGUGAAAACCAAAAGAUUCCCCGCUCCUCCACUGGCUCCCUCUGCCUUCCUAUAGAUUGCAUUGCCUUUUAGCCGUUUCGCCCCGUUUGCUUCCUCUCCCCAUUGCUUCUACCUGGUGCCAUGGCGGCACAGUAGAUCACGGAGUCCGAGGUGAGGCGCUUGACACAGGAGCUUCAGGCCAAGGAUGCGGAGCUCGGGGCCAAGGAUGUGGAGCUCCAUGAGCUCAAGGAGGAGAGGAGUGCCAUGCUCCUCCGUUAUGUGCGGGACUUCACAGAGCUUCAAAAGCGGCAGGCGUCCACCACAAAGAUGCUCGAGGCGUCGGUGGCGUUGCUGCAGAAAGCGGGAGAUACGAUAGGCCGUGAGGGGAGCCGGCUGGAGCGCGAGCGGGCCGAUCGUGACGAGGUCCAGGAUCGCCUCAGCCACUCGGUGAACCAAGUUGCCACGCACGUGUUGCAGCUGCGCGAUGCCUACCGUUGUGCCAGCACGACCAUGCCGGCCGUCGGGCUAAACCCGUUCGACCACCCGAUCGACUUCAAUGAGCUGCGGCUUCCUGACCUGGUCUCCCUAGUACAACAGUAUUAUUUAUCACAUGGUAUAUCGUUGAUAGAAUUGCAACUCUCAUUGCUGGUUAGGAACUGUCGUUCGAUUUCCAACAGCUGCCGUGCUUUAUUCAAUUUUGUGUAUUCGCCUUGCGACAGCAUCUAAAACCAGCGUCGUACCGAUCGCUUGCAAUAUGUAAAGCGUUGAGGUAGAACACAUGGGCCCCCAAACAUGCAGGGUGGGCCUGCGGCCCAAAGUCCAUUACCGUGAGCCUGUCUGAGUAUUAUAUUCUCAGUUGAACCCCCAUAAUGCCCGUACGUUGCACGUAACACCAAGAUGCAUUUGUAUGAGUAUUUUAUCUUGUGAGAGAAAAGGAUGAACGAGGGAAGGCCUUAUUUGCAAAUGUGGAGAGGUCCUUUUUCCAAAAUUGCCACACUUUCCUUCCUAUCCGUCAGAUAUAAAUCGGACGGCCUAUAUUGCAGGAUGGCAGACACACCAUCAUCACCAACUCGUCUAUACUGUGUUAAAAACAACUCUGUUUUUUAUAAUUAUAUAUGUUAUAUAUAUUCCCCUUGAUUUUUCUUAUGUAUAAAGUUGUGAUAUAGAAGAUUUGUAUAUUUGUUUACAGAGGGAGUAUCUCUCUGUCAAAAAUAUAUUUAUGUGUAACUAGUUACUCCUGUCUUUCUACUUCCUUUCGCUGAUAUGUAGGGCAUCCGGCAACGGGGUCCACGUGCCAUAUGCACAAAUUAGAGUGCACAACUGCAUGGUAGACACACCCCGGUCGUAGCGCCGCAGUAAUGCCUAAUGAGCCAUCAAAUCACAACCCCCCUUUCCAGCUUUAGCAGUAAGCUGGACGGACGAAGCGACAAUAUUUCACUAGGCCUGAAUGACUGAAUCCCCUUCUCCCUCGUCUGCUUGUUCAGAGAAAACCCCCUCUCGGCGAUUGCAUAGGGUUUUCUCAUGGAGAACCAGGUAUGAUUUCUUCAUCCAUCCCCGAUAAAUCCAAGUCCCUUGGUCACGGGUAAUCCUAGGAUGGCAGCUGUCGCCGUUGAUGCAUUUUUCUUCCUACUGAAUCUAGUGUGUUUCAUUUGCAGUGCUCAAAGUGCGAGGACCCUAGAGGUUUCUGCGCCCGUGGCGAGACGCCACACUUGUUCCUUCUCAUCCUAACACAGGAUUUUAAAACGCGCACAAUAUGUUCCUAGAAUCCUCUUUUCUAUCCGAGAGGGUGGGUUUUUUUUGAACAUGCUAUCGACUAAUUUGGAAAUUUGGAUUGCUAUAUUUGGAUAAAAGGUACUACUAAUACGAUGGUCAACACUGAUGUGACGGAGGAAGUUAUUUCAAGGUUUGGAUAGGGAAUACAUUGUGUUCUCAUAUUAUUUUUCCUGCAGUGCAUUAUUUGCUCUGCCAGAACACAUGUACUCAAGAUGCCCGGCCUUGCCAUAACUGAAUACACCAGUUUAAUGGUCACAGUGAAGACAAGCCAUGGGUAUAAGUUCCAAGUUGGGUUCAUGAACCAAGAAGAUCACUGCUUUUUUUAUGGCCGAACUUGGAUAAACUUUCUCAAGUGUUAUAGACUGAAAGUUGGCGCACGAAUGUUGAUGGAAAUAGCAGAACCUGGUCUCAUCUUCACUGCGAUCUUCCACCCCGACGUUGUUCCAAUUGUUCAUCCAUGUUAGUUUUGUAUCUGGUUCUUGCUUGUUGCCUCGAUUACUUCUUAAUCCACCUAUUCUGUCUAACUAAUCACAAUUUAACUUUAGAAGUAGCAACGAAUCUCUCACAAAGAUGCUACUUCUAACUAAUAUUUUCUUAUAAUUGGUGGUACGUGUAGGUUUUUUCAGAGUUAAGCAGGCUGCUCAUUUGUUAUUCUGUAAUAAGUCGGCUGUUACUGAUGGCACUGAAGUUGACUGGGAUGACAUCCACAAGUUCCUACACUUUAUUGAUUGUCUUGAGGUCCUUGUGGGGCGUUUCAAUGGUGGAAGGCCACGUGGGAUAUGUGUGCCACUGCUGCACUCGUUGAACAGGUCCAACAGCGUCGAGAAACUUAUCGUACGAGCUGUUUUCUGUUAUAUAUGUUGUUCAUAAACUAUUGCUUAUACACAUCUUUACAGAUGUGAUCUUCUUGAAACAGAAACUUCCCAGUUCUAUUGUUCCUAUAUAGAUGCCUGACCAUGGUCGGGUCAGACUUGCGCUUGGUCACAACAUGAUGUUUAUGUCGACCUACUCCAUUCCCCUUGGAGGUGAAAAGAUACUUAUUCAUGGGUGGUCUCAAAUAAUGAAGGCCCGUCCAUCUUGGAGAAUAGGACAGAAGAUUAUGUUCCUGCUUUUCCAUGGCUCUAAAGCGAAUAUCCUGUUUAUUGACCACAUUGCGAGUUGAAGCCGCUUUCAGAAGGUUGUGGAUGCGCGGGGUGGCGCCUGGGCCUUGUCCUGGGGCUUGGCGGCCUCACCCUUGGUUAACCGUAGGCAAAGUAGCACUGUUCGAGGCGUGCUUUGUAUGGUUGAACCUGUAUAAGUACUCAUACUACUUUCAGCUAUGGUUGUUAAGUGCCCCUGCUGGUUUUAGUUAAGGUUGUUAAGUACUCCUGCUGCUUUUACUGUCUGUCGUGUUUCUUCAGUCCUGUCUUCCUCCAGCCGCCAAAACCAAACCAGCGUCGGCGGGGCCGCCUGCUUCCGCCUCCCACGGCUGGCUGCGCCUCAGCGCACGCAUCGCCGCCCCACCGUCUCUUAAUUCGUUAACGCCGACGUCCGAGGCCUCGCCAUCGUCCUCCACGCGCUUUGGUGCGCUUGCCGCGGCGCCUCCCUCUUGCGUUGUCAACAUGGUCAAUAAACAAUAGGAAUCGGCAGAAGUAUGUGGAGAGGAUGACAGUAGGGGCCCACCAUGUCAGCGUAUGGAAAAGUAAAAUGCUUCCUCCUAGUGUUUUCCUGACAUCUAGGACCCACGACAUUGUGAGCGUAUAUAGUCAAUAGACAAGAGCACAUCACAAGAUCGGCUAACACCUGGGACGUAGCUGCUCGAGCAGUAUUUUUUUGUUAUUGUUGAGACGGAGUAAGGUUUGAACUGGGCUGUGGCCCGUCUAGCCCAGGCUUAUAUUUUAUGUUCACCAUGUGACCAGCCCAGCUAUUUUUUGUUUGUGAAAAUGAGCCUAGUUUAUUUUUUCUGAAGAAUACCCAAUCCAGGCCUACUUACUUUUCUACGCCCUGAUGGGCUGCAACUCUUUCAAGACGCCUGCAAAUCUUGAAAGUAAUAUUAAAUGGGUUGUAAAUAUAAAAACAGAUGACAAAUUGGCAAUUACUUUAUAAUUUCUGAAUUUUUUCACAUUUUCAGAUUCCUAGUUCAUUGGGCAUUAACCUAAUUUAAAUAUAUCUUCAAAGUAAUUUAAAUCUGGCUCAACAUUUCGGUAUUAAAAAUAGUUUGGAACCCACAGAAAUAUGCGAAAUUGGCCCUGGCCAACAAAAAAAAACAGACUGCAAUAAAUUGCAUAAGAAGUUGCAAUGAGCUAUAUAUAAAUUAUUAAAAAAAGAGGGAAUGGUCUGACUUGUGGGCCUAUUGAGUUGAUGCGUAUGCAAGAUUUUUUUAGUUAUUAUAUACGUCAACAAACGAUUCUAGCAGAUGUAACCGUUGGAUGUCAAUCCAACGGCCGUCGUGUUUCUUCAAUCUCUGAUCUUCUUGCUCCAGCCGCCAAAUCCAGUGCCGGUGGGACCGCCUGCUCCCGCCUCCCGUGGCCGGCUGUGCUGCCGCGCAGGCCUCACCGCCCCCUACUACUCCCACCGCUGGCCAGGGCAUCCCUCUACUCACCCACACCCCCUGUUAUUCUGCGGCGACGACAACCUCACACCACAGCCGAACCAGUGAACCCUCCUACUCCUCUCCACGCGGGCUUCCACUGCCGCGUCUUCCCCGGCUCCGCGUCGUCCCCUUCCUAGGCCUCGCCGUCAUCCACCGCCCUGGUGCUCUCAGUGCGGCAUGGUCAACGACCGACUUCCAUCGGAAGAGUACUGUACGUGGAGAGGCUGACAGCUGGGUCCAUGGCAGCCGCAAGGAAGUGCCUCCUUAUUACGCGCAAAAUAAUUUUUCCUCCACCUUACAGCAGGGACCCAUCGGACGGGCCACCAUAUUUCGCGAAAAAAACGUUUCCCCCUGAGUGCUGGGACCCACCGGACGGGCCACCGUAGUUUGCGAAAAAAAACGUUCCCCCCGCUGUCAGCUCGGACCCACCAGAAGUGCCUCCUUAUUACGCACAAAAAGUGAAUAGUCCCCCUGCUAGCUGGGACCCACCUUAGUGGGAGGCUGACAUGUGGGCCUACUAAGUUUAUGGGGACGGAGGGCUUUGUCAACUUUGUCAAUAUGAAUGAUUCUAGCUCCAGUGACCUUACGAUGUCCAUCCAACGGGCGUAGUGCUUCUUCAACCUUUGGUCUUCUUGCUCCAUCCGCCCAAACCAGCACCGGUCGUGCCGCGUGCUCCUGCCUCCCGUGGCCGGCUGUGAUGCCGCGGAGGCCUCACCGCCCCCAACUACUCCCACCGCUGGCCAGGCCAUCCCUCUACUCACCCACACCCCCUGUUAUUCUGCGAUGACGGCAGCCUCACAUCGUAGCCGAACCAGUGAACCCUCAUAAUCCUCUAUGCGUGGGCAUCCACUGCCGCGUCUUCCCCGGCUCCGCAUCGUCCCCUUCCUAGGCCUCGCCGUCGUCCACCGCCCUGGUGCUCUCGGCGCGGCGUGGUCAACGCGGUCAAGGAACGACUUCCAUCAGACGUGGACUGUACGUGGAGAGGCUGACAGCUGGGUCCACGGCCGCAGCACGAAAGUGCCUCCUUAUUACGUGGAAAAUAAUGAUUCCUCCACUUGACAGCAGGGACCCAUCGGACGGGCCACCGUAUUUCGCGAAAAAACAUUUCCCCCCUGACUGCUGGGACGUACCAGCUACAUCUUCACACGCAAGGAAGUGCGUCCACAUUAUGGGCAAAAAAAUGAUUCGCCCCCUGACUGCUAGGACCCACCAGCAACAUCUUCACACGCAAGGAAGUGCCUGACAGUUGGGACCCACCUGGUCGAAGCGUACGUAGCGUUGUCAUUCUGGUCGCGAACGUGUACGUACAUACUGGUCGAUGCAGAGGCACGCACGUGUCGUAGUAGAGGUGUGCACGUGUCGUAUUAGAGGCGUGCACGUAGCAUGUGCACGUACGUACAACGGCCAGGGUGCAAGAAAGAAAAUACGGCCACGUACAUACAUACGGGCGGGGUCUCGAACGCCUACUCGCGCAUACGUAUGGCCAGGGCUCGUGUACAUGGCUGGGUCGAAACGGAGAAACAACGUCGUCGUCGUGUUCAUGGGGAGCCAACCGGCUGGGUCGGAACGGAAUGCGUCGUCGUGUUCGUCGGGAGGGCUUGGACGGAACAACUGAUGGAAACGAGGCCCGGCUUACAGCACAACGGAGGAAACGGCCUUGUGUUCGACCGGACACGUUCGAAACAGGAUCCUGUUCAUCGGGAGGGGUCUGGCGUACCACAAAACGGAGGAAACAGACUUGUGUUGGACCUCCUACGGUCGAAACGGGGUCCUGUUGAUCGGGAGGGGUGUGGCGUACCGCAAAACGGAGGAAAUGGACUUGUGUUGGAGCGCUACGGUCGAAACGGGGGUCCUGUUCAUCGGGAGGGGUGUAGCAUACCGCAAAACGGGACUCCACGGGAUACUGUUCAUCUCCACCGUCGACCUCCUCCAGCCUCCACGGGCUACUGUUCAUCCACCGUCGACCUCCUCCAGCCUCCACCUGCGACUGUUCAUCCACAGGCUCCUGUUCAUCCAGCCUCCACCGCGCGCUACUCCACCGGCUACUGUUCAACCAGCCCUCUCCAUGGCCUCCUGUUCAACCACCCCUCCACGGGCUACUGUUCAUCCACCCGUCCACUGUCUAUUGUUCAUCCAGCCCUCCACGGGGUCGUCCUGUUCAUCCAGCCCUCCACGGGGUCCUGUUCAUCCAGCCCCAACCGGCUCGAUCGAUCAGGGUCCCGUUCAUCCAGAGGCAACACCACGGGGUCCUGUUCAUCCACUCCCACCUGGAACUGUUUAUCCAAACCCCCCGGGCAAUGCUCACUGUUCAUCCAGAGGCAGCAUCGAUCGGCUUCAGUUAGCAGCAGCAGCGAAGGAAUCGCUCGAUCGGGUUCAGUUAACAGCCAUCGAUCGAUCGCUCGGGUUCAGUAACGCGUAGCCUGCAGUGCAAUCGCUCGGGUUCAGUAGACGAACGCCUCGCUCGGGUUCAGUUAGAGCCCAACGCCUAGCACCCACGCGUGUGCGUGUACGAGAGAAACACGCAAACCUUCGUGCAUCGCUCGGCCCUGACCACCCACCGUAAACGGGAACACCCCGAUAUUUUCCUCGCCCUCGCUUCUACCACGGUUUUUUCCGUCAUGGACGACCCAAAGAAUGUCAUGCAGCUGCGUCUCCGGCCCGCCCAGGAUGAAAAGCCCAUUUUCUGUCAUGAUUUUUUGUCAUAGAAGUAGGAGCCCACCACAUCUAUGAUGAUACCGGGUUUUGUCACAAUUAUCGUCAUAGAAGUGUCAUAAGUAUGACAGAAAUUUUUUUUGUUCGACCCAAAAUGUCAUGGAUGUGUCUUUUUUUUGUAGUGUUAUAAUCUUUUUACUCCUAGCCCUAGUGUUUGUCUGGUAGAAAAUCUUGCAGAGGACCAGCUCCCGCUCCUUCUCUUGCUCCAGGUCCCCGAGGUGGUACUGGUGCAUCACCCAGUUGGUCCUCUGCUGGUCGAAGUUCUUGUUGGUGUGCAGCACCAGAACCUUUUUGCUGCCCGUCUGCCUACCGUUGACCAUCACCGGCAAGGUAUUGCCGAUCUUGUGCCACAUCGCAUGCAUGCCGCACUCCGAUUGUAUCUUGCGACGCGUCCACAUGCCCCUUUCGAACGCCCUGGAAUUGCGCUGGAAGAAAUGCUUGCUUAGGCCACUUACUAUGAUACCUGCAGUAUUGUCGAAUACAGGUCUUAGUGUACGUAGUUGGCAUUUUCAUAACAUCUUUGGCAUGUUGCAGUCACUUGUUUCACUUUUUAUUAACUGUCAAAUUGUAAUUGCUUCACUAGGUCUGCGUCUAAAAAGAACAAUAGAGCUAUAAACAAAGGAAUAUGUUUGUGCAAGUAGACAGCCGAUCGAUGUCUUACCUGGAAGUUUCUCAGGAUGGGUGUAGCAUAUGCCGUGCUCGCUGUCGAUGGUUGGUAUGAACAAAUCGAUGAGAGGGUGAGAUCUCGCGCUGUCAGCACUCACUUUGGCCUCAAGGUGCUCGAUCAGCUCCUGAUCUGUGGGAUCGAACUUGACGCCAGCCGGCAGCACCGGCCAAUCCUUCUUCGACUUGCAUCGGUUAAUUCUAGUGAUAUGGUACUCAAUGGAUGAUCAAUCGACUGUUUUAAGUGAAUGACGAAAGAUUUUGACAGAUAAGUGGUACUCCAAAUCUGAAGUCCAGAAUACCCAAACACACUGCCGGGAAUCUUGCCGGGAUUCACGUCAAUUCAAUGUGUGGACAUGAUGAAUAAUUUGACCGGCGUAUACUAGUACUGCUACUGUACUACUUACUAGUCGUAUUUAGUGUCACAUUUUAACCAUGGGUUUAACUAACAAGUACGCACUUGAAGCCUAAUUGAUAUACAUAUAUAUAUAUACAUACAUACAUACAUACAUACAUAUAUAUAUAUAUAUAUAUAUAUAUAUAUAUGGCUUCUGCACAGCAUCUCCAUCAUCAUUAUCAGUACAUCCUACGCAGGUGAGUUAGGAUGCACUUGAUCCCAGAAAGGUAUUUAUCCUUCAAACCAGAGGAGUGCUUCAAACUAACAAUAGUACGUAAUAUCCAACUAAAGAGGGUCGUGCUACAGCAGCAGAAUACAUGGCUCAGUCUAGAUAUCAGUACAAAUCAAGUUGUGCAUAUUUGCUAUUGGCAUGAAUCACAUCGCCGCAUGUCAGGUUUGCAAAAGCCAUCCAUCACAUGGAAGCUUGAUACCUUUCACACACUGACGAUUAUCUGGCAACAAGCUAUGUCGACCAAUCUCUGGAUAUGGUGAUUCAUGAAACCCAUGAUAUGAUGUGUAAACACAGUCCCCCCUGGCGAAUGGAAGUUGCAUAGCACGGUAAUCAUCGCCGGUGAUAUGAUCGAUGAUUGGUUGGAUGAUCGGAUAAUUGAGCCCGAGGAAUAUGGAGUGGUUGCCGAGGCUGUAAACCCGCCUCCAGCUGAAUACGCCUGGCCCAACGGUGCUGGGAUCUUUCUCGAACACAAAGCAGCCAUAGCCAUCAAUGUCACGAACACUCUAGAUAUUGUAUUGCAUGUGGUUUGAUGCAAUGGUUUGGUCAAUUUGGUACGUGCGAAUGAGCAUCAAAUGACCACCGUCAGCUGAACAAGCGAGAAAGCACCACCCAUCGGCUGGUAUGAUUCUAGGUCCUGGAAUCAUGAAGGCCAGCGCAUUUGCGUCUACUGCAACAAUUCAAAUUGGAGACCAAAAGGACAAAAAUAAACAAUCAGGUUCAGAGUAUGUGUGGAAUUAAGAUUAUUAUAACAGUGACACAUAUCAUAGACAGAGAAUUGCAAUGCCGUGGUCAUAAUCAUACCCCAAGUUAAAAAAAUAAGCCAAUGGCUUUCAUAUUCUAGCAAUAUGUCAUGGUUCAAGUACUACUGUUCUCAUAUCAACUCUAAGUAAUAACAUGCGUUGUUAUAAAAAUCUUGGAAAUGAGAGUAACAUAUAGCAAUCAUGAGGUUAUGCUCAUAAUAUCUAUUCUAACAAUCAUUAGAUCCCAAUUGUUCUCAUAUCAACUCUAACAAUAACAUGUGUGGUCAUAAAAGUCUAGGAAAUGAGAGGAACAUAUAGCAAUGAUGUGGUUAGACAUACUAUCUAUUCUAAAUUUGUAACAAUGAAUAGGCAGUCGUAUUCAUAAGGUAAAGAUGAUAUGAGAUAGAACAAUUACACGACAAUAGAUUCCACCAGUAUAGGCAGCCAAUCUUUGCGUCGACUGCGUAGACAAUGCCAUCGUGCACUAUACCAUCAUACAAAAAUGUUGCCUCUACAGGAUUGACGAUGAGCCAUAACCAUGUAUGGCGACCGGAUUCCAGAUAGACUAAUCCCAUGUUGGACAAGACAAUGAGCUUGUAAUCCAUGUAGUCUUCUGAUGGUGUGGGCACUUCGCACAUUACAACUUUCAGCAAACAGAGGUCGAGCCAAAAGCUUGACGCGUCUCUUGCAUAGUAGGCAGGAGUGUCCGGCGGGCCGCGAGGCUCGAUGGCGGCGGUAUCCAACGAUGGAAGGGUGAUCUCUCGGUGGGUGUAGAUAUCCACGAGACGCCAUGGACUAUCGGAUUGGUGGAUGAGGACGAUCCAGUUGGCCUUCAUGCCCGCCCAGUAGUGGUCGCGCAUGAAGGACAGGUGGACGGGUAGUGGUAGCAUGUCGAGGGGCACCACGGCAACCUCCGUAGGAUCGUCAAGUCGGUGUCUGGGCCACCUGCGAGGAUCAGGCAUCAGCAAGCAGGGUGUCUUGAAAAGAGUCGUCCGGUUGCAGACGAGUAGAAGGUACAAAGACACCGAGCAUGCAGCCAGAUGGACGAUGCCGAGUAGGUCCAUAUGAUUACAUAUCUGCUCCAAGAGAACAUCGGGGAGGGAAUUCCAAUCGCGGCUCUGCCUGUCAGUCAGUUCUGCCAUUGGGGUUUUCAGUGCCUGUGAGCCAGCGGGGAAGUGGAUUCGGGCGGGCGAGCGAAGAAGCUUCUCCUUGUGUGGCCGAGCAGUGAGUGGGGGGAUAUGGUACGCGCGAGUUACCAAGGAAGAUGGUGCGGGCGGGCGAGUAGUGAGCGGGGGGAAAUGGUGUGCGGCCGAUGAUGGGGAAGAGAGGAGGAAGAAGAAGAGAGGAGGAAGAAGAAGAGAUGAGGAAGAAUAAGAGAGGAGGAAGAAUAAGAGAGGAGGAAGAAUAAGAGAGGAGGAAGAAGACAGAAAGACGGGGAAGAAAGUGCAUUAAACCUCAAUUCUACUAGUACUACUACCAGGAUAUACCGUCCUUCGGAGUGUAAAUAGUUACACCAAUGACAUGUGGGUCUACCUCAUCAGGGCCCGUAUGUGAGUUAAUGGAGGAGAGAGGUGCGUAGGCGUAUUUGCGGAAGCGUGCUCUACCGGCAAACAUGAUGGCAGUACUGGGUAAGGCUGAUUUAGUAACACCAACACGCUGGUUCAGCUUAUUAAUUAAGUAUCCCAUGUGCUGUAGCCUGUAUUGUCACUUCACUGCGAAGACUAGUUGAAUAGUUCUCUCUGACCGUGAUGGGGAAUAAUGGAUCGCAAAGACUUCCUAUCUACAUUAUCCCUAUGCCUCUACGCUCACUUCACUCAUUUUGCUCCGUACGUAGUCACUUGUUGAAAUCUAUAGAAAGACAAAUACUCCGUAUUUGGGAACAGAGGGAGGCUUUUACUCCGUAUUUGGGAAUAGAGGGAGUAUCACCUUAUGGAGGGAACAGAGGAAGCUUGAAAUAUGAACAUGCCAAUGGGAGGGAGUAAGCCUCAUGCAUGCAUGCAUGCAUGCAACAUGCAACACUCACACGUACACAUGGACGCACGCAACACUCACGCACCCUUGCGGCACACAACACACGACGCAACACACAUGCUCAUGCUCAAGUGCUCAACCUACUCCCUAUGUCCGUGAAAUACUGUACAUUUAGAGAUUUACACAUUGACCAGGGCAUAAUUAACGCCCAAAAGUAGCAGACUUAUGUGUGCAUGCGACCAUUGAGAGAAGAAGAUUAAAUGAAGGUUGUUGCAUGCUGUAAUUAAGGAUAGGCAUGUAGCCUAUACCUAGAGCACAAGUUGGUGCAUUAGUCAAUCAAUAUUGAUUUAGAUUAAAGGCUAAAUGCAUUGGAAGUGUAGAUCUACUACACACUUUGUUUUUUAGCCGAUGUACACUCUUUGUUGGAAGACCGAGGGAGUACACGUGCAUGCACUCACAUACACAACCAGCGUGGUUCGCGCGCAAGGGUUGGACUCCUGUCGCGCCUGCGUAAAAUUUUGUUUAACUGAUUUCUUUGCUCUGCCAACUGACAGGUGGGACCCAGAAACCAGGUGAAAAUUUAACCAGUUAACAAAGUGCCACGUCGACUAUGUGGUCGGUCAGUAGGGUGCAAUACGGUGCUCUACGAUGAGCUAGUGAUCGUAUAAUCACCGUAAAACUAUAUAUAGUUACCGUAAAGAGCGUAUUGUUAAAUACGUUGACCACCAGUCUAUUUUUCUUGUUUCAAAUUAAGCCAUAUUAACCAGAAAGAACGCAGUAUGGACAAGUACUACUACUGCUGUGAUGUGUCCCGUCAACUUGCCGAACGAGGAGAAGCUUGCUUACUAUGCCUCUCCCUCGCCCACGUGCGCGGUGGCUCGCAGGAUGAGGAGAGGGUUUUGACUACAACGCCCUCUCCCUCUCCCUUUCCCUCGCCCUCCCCCUCGCAGUGGACGUGUAGCAGUUCAAUCGGCGUCAGAUUGUCAGAAGCAUAUUGUACUGUAGUAUCAUCAUUGUUGGACCUUCCGAAGAGGCGAAGAGCCAAGUGCAAGGUUCACAAGAGUACGAACUGUUGAACCUCCUGAAGAGGCAAAGAGCCAAGCGCAAGGUUUUAUUGGAGUUGUCAUCCUAGUAGGAGUAUACUACAACUAUAGCGAACGAUGCUACUGUAUACUGCCGCCACGUCACCUAUAUCCAAAGCUGUGCCACCUUUAUUUUCUCAAAGAGCAUGUUGGAGCCCGUGCAACAACCACACAAGUUGCACGUACACAUAACACAUUUACUAGUAAUAAAUUCUAAAGGACAAAUGCCAGUAUGCCACACAAGUUCAUCUCCAAUUCAUGUGAUAAAUUUGUGCACGGCUACUCUACAUAUAUUCACAGCGCUACCGUUCACAAUUUACCACGCUAAGGCCAGCCAUCUGGCUCGAGCGAAGGCCAGUGUGGCGGCUUGCUCGCUCGUGAGUCACGCUCGGGCCAGCCUGCCAACCCGUGCGGAGGCCAAGACGGCGUCCGGCCCGUCCGGCGGAGCGGCGGCCAACUCGCUCAUCACCGGUGCCACAACCGAACACGCAUCAGUACUGUUUGAAGUAAUGUUCAGGAAAAAUAAUGAUUUGAGGGGGAAUAACAGGAUAGAAGGUCAGAUGUGGGUCCCUCGUGUCAACGGUAAAAAAAAGUGUUGGUUUAAGCUGCCUCAUCAGCACGGACCUGUGGGCCAACCCUGUCAUAAACUGGUUUAAACGAGCCUAAUCGGCACUAGGUAGUAGUUUUUGGCGUGGAUUAUGAAAUUUUUGGUAUGUUUUUGCUAUUUUUUGUACAAUAGAUUCUUCGUAGGGCUGGUUGAAAGUGGUAGUUUUUUGUUAAAUACUCUACAUAUUGUAAGUAGGAGUGAAAGUUAAGAUUUGGAAGCCAAUAAGCAAGGCUAGUUACAUAGUGCAUAUGUGUACAUGAUUGAAAGUAAAUAUCAACCAUGAGUGACUAAUAUCUUGAUGGAAAACUCGAAACUAUGGAAAUACUAGGAAUUUUUUUGCUUGGUUGGAAAUACUAGCAAUGUUCACGUUCGUUGCAACGGAUCAUAAUUAGAAUAAUACUUAUUCACAAACUUGAUACAAAACACUCUAAUUUUGAUAUACAUAUAUCACUAGAGAUAUAUUAUGUUUCUUUUUUUUGCGGGGUAGAUAUAUUAUGUUUCAAUUAGAAUAUAUUCCUUGGCUGUUUUGGUGAGGUGAGGGAGGGAUGUCGUUGGUUAUAAGAUACUAAUUAUGGGUUUUUCUGCAAAUUGGUAGAGAAGUGGGAUGUUGGUGAGAAAAGGCAACAACUUACCUCACAGUCGUUAGAUGUAGAUCUAAUGGUCAGAACGACGGAUGGCAGACACACCAUCAUCACCAACUUAGUCUUUUGUAGGAGUACUAGCAAGAUCCGUGCAUUGCACGGAACAUCAAGAUGCAUUUUUUAUGAAACACUUGUUGUGAUUGACCCAUGCGGGAGUAAUCCCAUGUGUAAAAACUAAUGAUAUCUCAAGAAAUAGGAGAUAAGGUGAAGAGGAGUGGGGCGUGGUGGUGAUUGAUGGUCGGACUGAGCGGAGGCAUGGGGAUUAACGACGCCGGCAGUGGCCACCAGGCCAGUUUGUUCCAGAGGCUUCCUUUCUUAAUUGCUCAACAAUGAGGUUGUUGGAGAUAAGGAUGAACGAGGCAAGGCCUUGUCUGGAAAUGUGGAGAGAGGUGCGGGUAUCUUUUAGUUUAAUUUCCAUCCGUCAGAUAUAGAUCGGACGGUCUAUAUUGCAAGAUGGCACACGUACCAUCAUCACCAACUUGGUUUUUUAUAAGAGAAGAAAUAUAAGUAUGGAGAUACAAACAUAUUAUCGGUACUUGUUUCUGUAAACUAGCAUCUACAUUCUACUCAACGCCUCAGCAUGUGGGGCCUUAGCACAAUGACUUCUCGACUGUGUAAAACAAAGGUUUUCCCAUCGCCGAUAAGGAGGGGGUGACGGCGGCACGCUUUUUGGCUUGCUCUAGUCCUAGUAGUCAUACUAGGUAGUCUAAGCACAUGUAGAUUUAUUAUUUUUCACGUCUCGUGUUCGCCGUACUGCCACGACUGUUGAUGAAUAGACGGUAAGUUAUUCACGGGGAAACCCUUGUUGAGCGUGUUUGCAAGAGAGAGAGAGACAGUGUGCGUGUGUGAUAUGUCUAGAGAUUGAGGCAAUGAUAAGAGAUUCUUUGUGUCUAUGUGUGUGGAGGAUAGAGAGAGACAUGUACAUUGGGCUUUGUGUUGUGUAACAUGGAGACACAUAUACAUGAUCAGAGAGUGAGUGUGUGAGAUACACAUGCGGACAUGGGGAGAGAUGAUGAUCCAGAUAAAUGGGUGUUUGUGCGUGUCUGUGUGUGUUUGUGCGCUUGUUUGUGUGUGAGUGGGAGUGUGUGUAUGUGGAGUAGAGAGACCACUAAUGAUGUAAACCUAGUAUAAGGGAAGGGGGAAUGUUGUGACAUGUGUAGUAGCGGGAUAGCAUGGGUGCGGGCGGGGGGAGCAUACUAUUUGGAAGAGACAUCAAGUGUGUGUGGGAGAGGGGUGUGAGAGCAAGAGAGAGAGAGCUAGCGACGGAGAGAGAGAGAGAGGAAGCGAGGGGGCGAGAGAGGGGUCGUUUGUGUCCAUAAAUGGUGUAUAGAUAGGGAGACAAUGUUGAUGUUGUUCGAAAUUGGCCUAUGUACGGAGACGUAAGGGAAGCGAGUCAUCAUGUGUGUGAUAGGGACUUCAUGAGAGAUCUAGAAUAGAUGGUGUAGAGAACAAUGUGCGAGAUUGAGAACGAUGAUACAUUAGGGAGCUAUGGAAAGAGCCACGACAUAUAUGUAUACAUGGAAGGAGCUGGGGCGGGUCCGCAUGUGGGAGAGAUAGAAAGAGGAGAGUGGUGCACAAGGAGACAAAGUGUGCUUGUUUGGAGUGGGGGUGGUGUGUGCGGUGAGUGUGCGAGAACCACAUAACUAGGGAGAUAGACGUUUGGGGCAACGUUUUGUGUGUAUGGGAAAGAUACACUCUACAUCAUGCGUGUGCUUCGGAAGGAGAGAUGCCGGGAGGCCUAGAGAGCGGGGGAAGAGAUGUGUGCAUGCCUGAGAGAUAAAGUGAUAGAGACCUAUAUUGGGGUCCGGACUUUAGAAGAGAGAGGGGUGUUAAUGUGCUCGUGUGUCGGUGUCUGGGGGAGAGAACAACUUCUCUGUGUGUGUGUGGGGGGGGGCGAUGGGGGGUUGGCUUCAGAUAAAGAGUGAGGUGUUUAUAUUUGAGGGACUUUAGCGUAAUUGAGAUAUAUAUGGUCAAUAGUGUGUGCACUCAUGGUUGAUCAAUUUGUUUCACAGUUUGGACUAUGAGAUAACAAUACAUUUGAAUAUGCGUGAUAUACCUUGAUGUUCCAGAAUUACAAACCUAAGAUUGGAAUUUUGGAAUUCGACUCCAUCAUUAGCUUUUGUAAUUCAUUUAAACGGAGGUACAUUUUUUAAGCCGGGAUUUCGUGAUUUCAAAGUCAUAUACCAAACCUAGAGAUAUACACAUACAGGCAUUUUCAAACUUUAUAAUCAUCCACUUUAUUCAUACACAUACACAUUUUUUCUUUUGUGAUCAUAUUCAGGAUAAACACAUUUGGAAUUUCAUUUGAAUUGGACCGUAUGAUGGUAUUUGCUUGUACUAGCUCAAUGAGCCAUAUUUGAAUUGAAUGGAAAAUCUAAGUUUCGAGUUGGAGACAUUGAUUUUCAAAACUUGCACUUUUUUUGCGUGCAAAACAAACAAAUUCUCGGCCAUGAUAUCAUAGUCUGCCGUACAAGAGUAGAAUAUAAUUUCAGGCGCCAAAAGCUUUCAAACUUCCCGCUCACAUCAAAAUAUUUCACGCCCGAAAGUUUAGCCCUGCGAUAUUCCUGUUUUACCCCUGCCACAUGAACGGAAAAGGGAUGCUUUGGUAACUCCAUUGUUUCCCCUCUUUGCCCCCAAGAUUCUUCCCCAGAGCCCCUCCCCUUCCCCUCCCCACCCCCCAACCACGGCAAGCCGCCGAAUCUAGUCCUCCGCCACAGCGGUGGACCUCGCACCCCGCUGGAUCUACCUUCCGCACCUUGGAACCCCUAACUGCAACCUCACCACUUCACCAGAGCCGCUUCAGCGACUGGCUUGUCCACCGCUCCGGAUCUCCUUGACCGCCAUCAUGGUCCACUGCACCGGAUCUACUUAACCGGCGGCCUCGUCCACCAUAGUGUAGGCCCUUCACUGAGUCCCUCGUCCACCCCAUCGCUGGCCCUUCAUACAAGCCCUCGUCAGCCACAACAGAUCCGCCUCACCGAAAGCACUGUACAACGCGCCCGAGGAAGCCUUCGUCCACUACACCGGACCCGCACCACGGACGCCAUAUUCAACUCCACCGGCCCUGCUUUACCGACGCCGCAGCCUCAUAAGGUUAUUCCGAUUUGUACUCCUUCGGUUUUUCUCUUUAUCGUGCAACUGUUCACUUACCACAGAUGAGCUUUCUUAUAUGUCGACAGGCGCCGCAACCGUAGCACCAGAGCCGCUUCAGCGACAGCCGGCCCAAACUCAACCGCAACACGAGCACCAUCGAUGAUCCUUAGCUAUCAAGUAUGACAACUAUACCCAUACGCCGCCGAGAAUCAGGUACUAUUAUCCAACGGCCGACGCCUACGUUCACUUUCUUAGCAUAAGCACCGCACCUUUGAAUUUCUUCAGGGCAUCAUUCAAUUUUUCAUGAGACACGUUAUUCUGCUUGCAUCUGUAUUGCCAUACUCCUGGUAGUGAACAUGUUACAUGUGCUAAAUUACAUACCCGUGCACAUAUAGUUAAUAUGCUUUAGUUUUGUCCUAAGUAUUACUGUACUUCCUAGAUAUCACUGCCUACUAUUUUACUUCUUGCAUGCUAUAUUUAUGAUAAUUGUGUUGUUUUGAUGCCACCUGGUGGUUCCAUCAGACUGCUUCAUGUUCUCUAUGCUUAAUUACACAUCAGCAAACUAGCAUGUGGUUCCGUUGCUUUUUGUUUGUUUUACCCUACAUUUUCUGAUGCUAGCUAUUACAUCACUGCUCCGAGCCUCUGUUCAUUACUUCUUUGUGUGUUCUUGAUCUUCCCAAGUUGCAUGACUAAUUUGAUGCUUCUAUUAAUUAUGGAGCUGCCAACCCCAUCAAGCAAAAUAUUUGUUCUUUUGGGGCUGGCACCUCGAACAAGCACAAAAAUAGAGGGAAGCAGAUAUAUUGUCGUGUAUGCACACACCCUUUUUCAUUAGUUUAGAUGAACCAUUGAUGAUCAAUUUGGACCAGUGCAUGCGACUAAAAUUAAUUUUACCUAAAUAGAGGGUGCAGAAUAAACUACAACAACUAGAUUUGCAACCACGGGGUGCUGGCGAUAUCUUCAAAGGACAUUGCAAUAGCAGCGAGGCUUCACAGCAACAUAUGGUAAGCCAGUGUGUUUUAGUACAUGUGAAAUGUAAUGCGAGUGGGCUGCUUUCUUGGCUUGUGCCCUCAACCUGUAAUCCUACAGAAUUACAAAUAGUUCAGUUGUCUGCUUUGUUGUAUUGCUUGAUUCGAAUGCUUGUUUGUUACUUGUUACGAUAUACCUGAGUUGGCCAAUAUGUCAGCAGUGCCUGCUGUAGUAUCGUAAAGAAAUGCAUGCCUAGUUAAUUUGAGUCCUUAACUUUUCCUCUGAACUUCAUCACAAGACUGUCUUUGUAGUUUAUAUGAGGCCACACUGUUAAGUGCUUUCUCAGAUUAUUUCAACUGCUUAGAUGCCAUGGCAACUUAAAUAUAGUGGUGGUACACUCCCUUUCAACUAGUGAUGUCAACUGGGCCCCGUUUAAUCCCGAUUAAAGUCCACUAGUGGUAUGAUAGUUCAAAAGAGUUUUUGUUUUUUUGAGGAAAAUGAACUAGGGAGCUAGCAAAAACUAACUAGAUGGGACUGGCGGAUGUCUUUUAUUUGCCACUUACAUCCCUAGUUUCAUCUUACCAUUUUAAUUUCUUUUCGGCUGAUGCUACUUCAAACCUUUUAAAUAUAGCUUGCCAUGCUCGGCAAUAAUUUGUAUGUCGUGUACCAUGUAAGCUUACUGCCUGGAUCAUGCGAUAACUAUCUCUUACUUAUGUCCAGCGGAAACCUUUCAGGAUGCCGUUCACACUAGGACACAAUGUACAACCCCAAAUUCUAUUUGUGGAAGCAGUGCGCCAUCCAUGUUACCAGAUGGUAGCAGUUCAGGGGCAACACCACCGGGGAGCAGUCCGAGCAUAGAUAUUAUAGUUCUUGAGGCUCUACUAGAGGCAGGAAGAGAUGGUGUGGCUGCCAUGAAUGAGGUAAUCUUUAUCUCGAGGCUGGAAAUUAUGCAAUUAGCGGCACGCAUUAUGCAAGCAACCCAAGAAUUGCAGGAAGUAAGAAUGUUGCAUUUGAAGACGGAGGAGGUCCUGCUGUUUCUGCUAUCUGAAGCCCAGGGUAAUCCCGGUUCUUCUUUAGAUACCAUUUGAAAUUUUCAUUAGAUUAUUGUACUUGCAUGUUGUGUCAUGUCUCUGAAUGGAUUAUGUUGUAAGAACCCCUAUGUUGUCCAUGUGUUGUAAUGAUCCGAAUUUUUUAGGCGAGGUAAUCCUCAGUACUUGUAUGAUUGACAUAAGGUGAACUAUUUUUCGUGUGAGCAUAUUGUAUUGGAUGAAAUAACUAUUUGACUCAAAGUGUAUCCAACCUACUGAAUUCGAAGAUCACGGCAUUUCUAAAUCAUAAUCAUAUAUAAAGGUGGAAUAAAUAUUUGUUGUGGUUUUGAAGAAAUAAAUAAAAAAACAUAGAAUUAUCUGUGGAUAUUCGUAAUCGAAUACAAAUUGGAUUUGAAUUUAGUUGCCAGGGCCCAGGGCAAACGUGAAUGCUAAUUCUCCCAAGUUUUGAAUGAAGCGGCAAAACACCCACUGCCCGAAAUAAGUGUUUGCGAGAUGGAAAAUACUGUCUACCCCUGACACUUGACAUCCUUAUCGACCGGAUUUACACUGCUGUCGAUAGGGGUAGACUAGUAACUUCAAUCAGACGUGACACGAUGGCAUCUGAUCCCAUUCAGACACGGUGGGCGCCAAACGUGGGCGGCAAAACACAUUUGAUUCAAGCUCGUCCGAAAGACAUGUGUCUCUCCCUCCAUUUCCCCAUUCAUACAGGUGGGCGGCAAAACAAACUCUCCUCGUCCGAAAUUGAUGUAGGCUAAUAUUUUAAAUAGGGGCAGAUGUGUAACUUCCCUCAGACGUGACACAACCGGCCUACCUGUCAGCCCCGUUCAUACACUGUGGGCGCCAACCGUGGGCGGCAAAACACCCUCUCCUCGUCCGAAAUAGUUACCGGCAAAUAUUUGGGAGAUGCGAGAUUACCAUCCUAUCCCCAACCGAUGUGACGUCCGAAAUUUUAAACGGGGGAUAAGUUCGUAACUUUCCCACAUUUCAGAGAAGCGCGUCCCAAAGUUUGAGAUCCCCCCCCCCACUCGUCCAUUUCCCCAUUCAUACACCGUCGGCGCCACGACAACCUCCCCACUGCGGCCAGACUCCACCAUCCACCACCCCAUCCUCCACCUUGUUGGAGCCGCUACCCCUACCCCGUCGUCCACUGCAAGAGAUGGACGUCUCUCAUCCACGGCGCUGGACUAGGAUCCUUUCAUGGCGUCCUCUCGCUUCAUUAGCGCCGUCGUCCAGCUUGCUGUUGCCGCUCCUACGACUGCCUCGUCCACGGCAACAUGAUUUAUCCCCCGACCCAGCCGUCUGCCGUCUAAAGUCUUCUUCCCCGCCGCCGACAGCCAUCGCACCCGCAACACCCUUAAUGUAUCAGCAGAGGCCUACACGGUGUCACAAGAGAGGUGGUACUCUUCCAUAUGUGCUUAAGUUAUCGAUCUCACCCAGAAAAUAGAUCGUAAUUUGUUUACUGUACUUUUCUUGUCCGUACAAAAUCGUAGUGGCUAGUUGAAAUCAAACAUUAGUUGAGAAGUAGCUUUGUCCGCUUUGCACCUUCAGAUCCGCCAUGGCACGGGCACUAUACUCGUAAAGCUUAUGGUUUCCCCCCUUUAUAUUCACUACCAUCAUCGUAGGUGCUUCAUGUCGUGCUAGCACAGCUCCUCAAGACCUCAACCGAAAGCUUAUGUGUUGAAAUACGAAUCUGAAAUGAUGCUCAUAUCACUAAAACAGAGAACAUUUAAUUGGUGACCUAAUGUUCCUAUAUUCGUUUCGAAAAGCAUGUGCGCCACCCACUGGUCCAACUAGUUCCACUUUCCUGAUUUUACUCUUGAUGCUUAGGGUUUUCCCCUUUUAUCUACUCUACUAUGAUCUGCGUAGGUGCUUUCUGUCGUACUAACAUUACUCCACCCUUCAAGCUAAACAACACAACACUCAAAAUUCCAAAGAUUAGUUGUUCAAAUAUGAUUGUGAUAUGAUACUGAUAUUAGUUAACAGACACAUUUAAUUGGUUAGCUAAAGGUCCCACUUGAGCUUCCAAAUGCAUGUCGUGACAUAUAGAGAGACAGCAGAAUUGCAUUUAUUUGUCACUGGUUGACUGUACUUUCUUGUCCAUACCAAAUCUUAGUUGUUAUUUCAAAGCAAACAUUGGUUGCUAACUACCCUUUGCACGGUUUGCAGCUUCAGAUCUACCAUCCCACUGCCACGGUCAACACUAUACUCAUCAUGCUAACGGUUUCCCCAUUUUAUGAUGACCACGAUCAGCCUACAUGGUUCGUGUCGUAAUAGUAUUGCUCCACCCAUCGAGCUAAACAAGCUUAGUUGUACAAAUUCAAAUAUGAUAUUAUGCUGAUAUUAGUAAAACUGAGAGAUCUUUAAUUGGUCAGCUAAAUGUUCCUACUUUAUUUUUGAAAUGCAUGUGAGGCACAUAUGGAGAGACCAGAAUGAAUAGUAUUUCUCUGUGCGCUCUGGUUCAUCAUGGGUGGCCAACCGACAUUGUAUUGAAAGACUUGUAAUAUAUUCAAUUUGCUUGCUCUUCUGCUCUUCUUUAAGAUGAUCCUCUUCUCUUGCGGUCGACUGGUCAGGUCGAGUUGUUCUCCCUUAGUAUAUUUUGAAUCUGUCAGGUCAGGUCGACUUGUUCUUCUUUACUAUAUGUUGAAGCUAUCAUUUGCGAAGUGUCAUCACUUCUGGAGCUCUCAUAUUUUGAGUAGUAGGCCACAUUAUAUUAAUGCACACACCAAAUUACAGCAUGCAUGGCAUCUCUUAAAAGAAUUGCAGAGAUAGCACAAAGGGGUUUACAGGGAGGCAGUAUUGGAUUAGAAUCACUUCUAUAUUACAAAGAUAAUCUCACUUGUUUUUAUGUUUUCAUGCAUGUCAGAUAUUGAACAUUAUCAAAAGGAAUAUGAGAAUGGGCGCACGAGAGGAAUAUUGCGGAACAAUCCACUGGCUAACAAACUUGGCAUGGUGGAGGAUGGCCUAUCUUAUUCACCCAUCAAGGUGCUUGCUCUAACUUGGCUAACAAAUCAGAUAGAUCAGCAGCCAUAGAAAACACAGGCCCAACUGUACCACACUCUACCCCUACUCCACUGGCCAAACCCCUAUUAUUACUGCUGAGAGCCCAGCGUCAGGUACUGUCUAUGAUAUCAAUUCAAAAUUUGAACUCCUAAAUUUCUGUAUGUGCCUUACCUUCUCUCUUGUACGAAAACUAAUGUAAGAUGAAUCUCCUUGCUCAAAGGAUCAUACGAUAUCACAACAAUACUGGGCUCUGCAUUUCUCUUGUCAGUACCUCUCGCCCUUUUGCCUUGUAAAGCUGUACUUAAUUAAUUGCUAUUUGAUUAUGUAUCAUCUGUCUGCACCUGAGCUUCAUUAUCCUCUGUUUCUUCCAAUAUUAUUUGAUCUAUAUUUACUCUUUGCAAAAUGUAGAAUAAUGGCAACGCUUAUAAAGAAUUUUCGUUGGGGAGUUUAUUGAAUUAUCCUUCCAUCAACAUGGAGAAGGGCUUUGUCCAGCCCGUGUUAACAUGUAAUGUAAGUUCAUCCUUCUCAAUCCUUCAAACUUUGUUCUAGUAUAGAUUUGGGUAGGUAUCAUUUCCUCCACUGUUGUUUACUUUGCGUUUACAUCUGAUUGGAUGUUUGCAACAACUACCAGUUUUAAAUUGUAGUUGUAAAAACAUGUUCCUUAUGCAGAACAGAUCCAUUUAUUUGCUUAUAUAAUUCAGAAACCUAUUACGUGUCUCCUUGUUUCUCUUUCAGAUUCGUAUCUCUUAUGACAGUCAGAACUUUAGGGAAGAUAGUGAGCCAAACCAUCUUGAGGACAGCGAGAUGACCCCAAGGUCCUAUCUUGAUGAAGACAGUGAGUUGAAGGUACUCACCAGCAGGUGUGAGACAACCUCUGUGCAGUUGCUACUUCAAUCAGUUCGACUUCUUCAGUCUCAACUUAAAGCGGAAAGGCUUGCUUCAGCUCAGCUCCGACUUGAAGUCAAAGAUGUAAUGAAGAUGUCAGAGGACUGCCUUGCGCACUAUCGUGCCAUACAGCUAGGGAUGAAGCAUCUAUCGUUGACACAACUGAGGUCUAAUCAGCUUCUUCGGCUAUUUGCGGGGCCCGACCUGGCCAGGCCUAGUGCCUUCUGAAGUGCUCUCAGUUUUGUAUAUUCUUUUGUCGGCGCGUUUAUUUGCACUGGUGGCGAACUUUGAUGCCCAGUGGAUGUAAUAUGUGUAAUAGUCGUGAUAGCCUAGCGUAAGUUGCUUGCUUAUUUAUUUCCUUGUUGUCUUGUUUAUUUGUUUGCUUGUAGUCAGUGCAGUUCUUUUUCCGCGGUUUGCUAGUGGCCGCUAUGACCUAUUUUUUAAAACUAGGCCACAAUAACCAUGGGCUACAUAUUUACUGUAGUGACACUGGGCCUCCUACGGGCCGUAGAAACAAUGGCCCUUCUACGGGCCGUAGAAACAAUGGGCCUUCUACGGGCCAUAGAAAAAAUGGGCCCUCUAUGGGCCGUAUCAUCAAUGGGCCAUAUACGGGCCGUAUGAUCGAUUGGCCAAACAUGGGCCAAUAACAGACCGCAUUAUGGCGUAAACGGGCUAGAGUUGGAAUCGUCCGUUCAUGGGCCGACCAUAACGGGCCGUCGUUAAUAGGUCAUAUUUGGUGACGCUAUCAAAACGGCCCAACGUAUUAACGGGCCACAAACGGGCCGACUGUAACCACGGGCUGAAUUUGGCCCACAAGCAGAAAAUGAUAGUAAUGGGCCGUAAGUAACUGAAUGCUGGAAAUGAGCCCAAGAAUAAAUGGGCCCUGAGAAGGCCGAAAGAUAAUAAUGGGCCAUUAAUUGGUAUAAAGUGAUGCACUGUUCAUUACGGGAUAGUUUCACCACGGGUCGUUAAUGGGCCAAGAGUUACAAAGGGCCUCAUAUGGGCCGAAAGACGUCAUGGGCCAUACAUGGGCUGGAACUUAAAAUGGGAUGGAAUCAUAUUGGACGGCCCAGAUGACGCUACUGGGCCUAAUUCGGAUAGGUCGUAACGGGCCUUGGGUUAGCGGGUUGUAAAUGGGCUAUAUGCGAAUAGGCCGUUAACAGGCUUUCCGUGGGCCGGCCCGCCACCUUUUGACCAAGUCAAAUGGGCAGGCCUUUUCACAGGAAUGGGCCUCUGUUGGGCCGUGCCACGUGUCGACGUAUCAUAGGCGCCUUCGGUCCAAUGAGUGGAUGACAUCUAUCCCAACGGUGAGCCGACACGUGUUUCCUCCAGCCAAUGAUGAUUUUACACGUGGAAAAUCCCCAUUGGUCAGGGCUGUUAAUGGUUUAUCAGAUCCAAAACCGGACUCGAUAGCUUAACGGCGUUCUGUUACGGUGUAUGCCACGUGUCGGUCACCCUUGACGAAAGCACUUCUACGACGCGCAAUUUAUCUUCAUGGAAGUGGACACUUCCGUGAUGAUAAUUUUGGUAAUGUCAUGGAACACUUCUACGACAGCACAUGUAUGACUAUCUUGAUUCUGUCAUGAAAUCAUCAUGGAUGUACAUGCAUGAUAGAAAACGUGACCUACUGUGACAAACACGUAUCAUCACGGAAGUGUAUUUUUUUGUAGUGCUUACAAAGAGCUAGGAUAAACUCACCCGUUGUCGUAGUCUCUCCGCCAUGUGGCCCGUUUGUACUCUUCAUAGUUACUCUUUUCAAUAAGACCCUGAACUAGUUAAGGUUAAAACAACGGAUUUAUGUCAUGUGAGAGCCGGCUUACGGGAUAAAAACUGAUUUUUUUUCAAAAAACAGAGUAGAGCUACACUCUUCUAGACCUAUAAAGCUUCCGGCUUACAGACUUACAUAUUUACAGCAUCAUUAUGCUAUUGUCUAUAGGUAUGAAUUCAUAUUUGAAUAAAUACUUGGGUUUUUAACUCGUCCUGGUUAUAGAUUUUAACUCGCCAGAACAUAUUAUACUGAACAUUAUAACCCGCCCUGGCAUAAACCGCCAGGGUGUAUGUCGUUCACUGUAUGUGCAGGAACCUUGUAAAAUAACAUGAUAUUCCUUGAAAGCUCAUCAAUGGCACAUGGAAAAAUCAUCAGCAGUUUCAAAAGCUAAAACAUGCACGAUGGCAUGGCAGAUCAUUGUUUUCACCAGCCUAUUACACGGCUUUCCAAGCCCAAACGAUUAAGAGUUUUUCAAAAGGAGACGUCGUCCUGCAGUUGGAGAGCCGCCUCGUGGAUCAGUUGUCCUGGUCAUGGCGAGUUGAAGCUUCCGGGUUAUCCUGCGCCGGUUCUUUUUCUUCUUCUUCCGUCGUUUGGAAGUUAGGCGAUGACCAGUUGAUGCCAGUCAAGGCUUGAAAUUCAGAUUCAUCAUCGAUAAGUUUGGACGAAUCAAUGUUAGGUGCAAAAGUGUGCUUACGCAUUGGAGGGAUGAUAACCACAACGUCGUAAGCCGGCGCCCUCACAUUGGAUUUUUCCACUGUAUAAGCCGCCUGAUAUCUGGAUAAGUCAGUUUCUUCGGCGAGCUUACUUGCCAGUGGGAUCAUUUCCUUCACACAAGCAGCAAAGUCUUCUCGAUCAAAGGGAGACCCAUCUUCUUUAAAGCUUGGGCAGCCAGUGGCCAGCUCUGCCGGGUCUAGUUCUGCCUACCACGCCUUCGCCCGGCUCAAGGCAGUAAUAGUGCCGACUCUAGCAGAUGAUCGCUUUAUCUCUUUGAUUCUUGUGGGCAGGACAGGGAGUUUGUUCAAAACCUCCCUGAGAAAUGAAGGUGCGUGCUUGGUGUGAGAGAUGGCGACUAUUGAAUCUUCAGCCGGUUUAUUCAACUUCAACUUUUUGCUGGGUUCAGCAACACCGCUGAAAGCAAGACAUAUAACGAUGCUAAAAUAUCAAUUUGAAAGGUGUUCAAAGGAAAACAAAAAAGUCAAAUGUUCUCACCCAAGCGCGACUUUGAAGAGAGGAAUCUGAGUCCCCGUUGAGUCGCCAGAAGAUGAAUGAGAAGUUCCCUGAUAAUUAGAGGCGGACGAAUUAAGCAGUUGACGAAUAAGACCCACUUUAGGAAAGGAGAUGGGUGAAGUCUGUAGCACCUCUUUUCGGCGUUUCCAAGGAACCGGCGUGUUGGGUAAACCGGAGGAAAGGUUUCCACAACCGCUAUUCUGGGUGGUGCGCCAAGCUUCAUACUGUUGUUCCUUCAAAAUAAAGUUUGGAUCCAAGUAAGCUAAAGGGUGAGAAAACCUUACUUUUCGGUUCACUUGUCGAACUGACUGUCUUGGCAAAGGCUUUGAGUCGAAGGAAAGGAUAGUUACCUCUUCACUGUCUGCGUUGUUGGCCUCCGCGUCUUCCUGAUAGCAAUCAGUGUUAAUAAGAUAACUGAAAAAGGAGCCAAGGGAGUCAAGGACUACCUCCAACUCAUCAUCAUCAUUCAGCGCAAACAACUCUGAGGUGUUCGUUUUCUUCUUGGCAGGCUUCCUGACAGCUUUGUUCUUUCCCCCUACUCUUUUUGGCCGUCUUGUCUUGAAGUUUUUUGUUCCAAAAGGGGGAGUCAGCCUACAGAAAUCAAGCAAUUGUGAGAAGACAAUUUAUGUAAAUAAGGAAUGAGUUAGAAAUUGCUCCAAAUACUUACAUCUAGAGGCUUGUUAAGGGUGCAGAAGGGAUUCAACCCUGUCUUGCUGCAAGUUUCCAAGCUCUCGUUAAGCAGUCUUUUGGUCAUUCUGUUGAUCUCAUCAUCCUUCAGUCGCACUUGGCAGUGAUGUUGUGGAUCUUUGGCAUCACCGGUAUAUUCGCACAUUAAGCCGGGCCGGCGGCUCAAUGCUAAAAUUAUCCAGGCGACCUAGCAUCAGACCAAAUCAACUCCGGUCAGUCCGUUGGCCAUUAAGUCUCUUGUAUUUGAAAGAUGGGCAUAUACUUAGCUCGUUCUUCGGUGCUGAUCCGUUCUGGGAGGGGAUGUCUUCAGCUAAGCCGGUUUUCACGGAAACCCGACAGAGUAUUUUCACCCGCUGGAGAGGUAUCUUGGCAAUAAAACCAAGUUUGGUUCCAGUCCUUCGGGUGGCCGGGAAGUGCGGCUGCAUGGAAGACAGCUUAUUUUCAUCGUUGAAUAGAAAUCCCGCCAAGUUCUAAACAGGGUCCGUCUGUGAACUCAAUCUAGCGGUUCAAGUAAUAAAAUUCUCUGAACAAGUCCACAAUGGGCUCUUCUGGAAGAUACACUUUGCAAAAAACUUGGAAGUUGCAGAUAUUGGACACGGAAUUGGGUCCAAUGUCUUGAGGGUGGAGUUGAAAGAAAUGCAGCACAUCACGGAAAAAAUUUGUGCCGGGUGGCGAGAAACCCCGGAGCAUAUGAUUAGCAAAGACUUGACCUCGCCUUCCUUUGGGGCGGGUAUAGCCUUGUUUCCUGGAGCUCUCCAGUGGAUAACAUCUUUAGGUGCUAAGCCGCCCACUUUAACGUGUUCAUGGAGAGAUUGAUCUGUAACAAUGGAGACGACCCAGUUGCAUGAAGUGACGGUUUUGGUCAUUCUUGCGGAUGAAAAACCUAGAAAGAGAAGUGAUGCCGGGUCAGGAUUAUGAUGUUAAGCCGUCCAGUGAUUCGAAAGCAAGAGUAUCAGACAACGUCAAUUCGUAUGCAGAGAGUACGUGCUAUAAAGGUUGGCAUGAUUAAACCGGCAAGACAUCGCCUGGUUACACGGAUACUGGAUAUACACUAGCGGUUUAAGGUGGGCAUAACAGUGUUUGGCGAGUUACAAGCUAUCAGGUAUUUAAUCAAAAUUUAGGAUCUACCGCAGUUCAGAAAAUAAGGGUAAAUCUUAAACCUAAGGUUGCGGCAGUGGAAGAACUCGCGAAGCUAAGGUUGAAUCUGGAACAGAAGGGGGCAUUUGCAUUUGGAAAAUGAUGCUAAAACUGCUACUGCACGACCUCUGUGCCGUUUUUCAGAUCAAACUAUUCGUUUUAAAGGAGGAGUAUGAGGAACGGCGAAGAACACCGACGAACAGUGGAAACCCUAAUGCAGAUAUGUUAUGGGGAGAAGUCAGUAUUUACCGAUGCUGAUGAACAGCGGAGGUGCACCGCGUUUCUCUGGUCCGUUCAGGCCGAUGCAGCGGCCGGUGCCGACGUUGCUGAGGGAAGACGGCGGCGGCGGAGCUCGGGCUGCGGUGGCGUCGCGAGGAAGGAGACGAAGAGGAAGAGGCAGGGGUAAAAACUGAAGAAGAGGGCCCCCUAUCCCUAUUUAUAAGGAAGGAAAAAGAUGGCAUGCGCAAGAAUCGAGGCGGCAAAAUGAUUAUGCUGGUAAUGCGGGCGCCUCGAUUUUCGAAAUGUUCAUUAAGAUAAGGAUCCGUUGAGAUAUCCGGAGUCUUGUGCGGAAUUAAUGUAUACUAUGUCAUGGCGGGUUGUUAUGGUUCUGCCAUGUGACGUCAUGGCGGGUUAUGCCAGACAGGUGGAAAUUAGCAAGUAUAUAUUCUGCUAAGUGGAAUGGUGUAGAUUGAUGUGAACAAGUUCAAAACAAUCUAGGGCCUAAUGUUGGGAAUAUAACUCCCAGGCAUGACCCGUCCAGGAGGGGCCGGGUCAUACCGUUGGCGACUUAAGAUGAGAAGGCCCAAUGAGGUCCAAGAAUCCAGAUGUCGGUUCAUAGCGCAAGCUUAUUGGAGGCCCAAGACCCGGAGAAGGCUCGAGGCCCAAGGGCGUGAGCCAUCAUGUGUUAAACUUGUUCUGUAAGAUAGGUUUAGUUAGAAAACGAGCCGGUCACGUUUGUGUGAGCCGGCCGAGAUUCUGUAAGCCGCCGAGGACAUCAACCUGUAUAUAAAGGGGUGAUCCCGUGGCGGGUUAACUCAAGAAACAAGCAAUGAAAGCUAGGUCAAGUGUAUUCCCUUCCUGGUAAUCGAAACCCAUGAAUCUAUCUAUUAUAAAAUUAAAACAAGAGUCAAACAAGCCAUCACGUUCGCCCACAUAUGUUAAAUUAUAUCAAUCGUUAAUUCUAGAUAUAAACGGACAAGAUUUAAAGAAGAAAACGUUAGAUACAAUAUUGUUUGUCGACACGUUUUUCAUAUAAAUAUCCUGUCACGUAGGACAUAUAUUAGAUGGAAGGGUGCAAUCACCAUCACAAAAGAGACGUGUAGGGAGUUUGUCACAUAGUACAUAUAUUUAGAUGAAAAAAGGUGACGUGUAGGAGAAGGAGACCUACAUGUCUAUACUGAUGGAGAUUUAAGUUGGACUACAAAGAUAUACUACUGUAUAUGGUAUCAGAUAUGUGUUCAAAUGUAGAAAAUUAACGUACAGCACAUGUGGGUGCCUAGACCAACACGGAAGACAAUCUAGCAACCAAGUCUACACGGACAUAUACUGUAUAUUGCAUGCAUGAUAUCAUGCUAAUGCCAUUAAAAAAUAUGACCCGACAGACAUGUCCGUUGCUUCUAAUUAGCUUAAGCCAUUGUAAACUACGUACAUCCAAUAAAUAGCUGUGGGUCAGCAGCCUAACUGGAGUAUGAAAGACACGCUAGAAAAAAGUGGAGCCAAGAACAGAGUCUUUGUGUAUGUUUUUCUCUCUCUGAACUCCACUACAUGUACGUUUCAAGGCCACUACAUGCAAGUUUAAAGCAGUAUUAGCCCAACUCUAUUUCCAUUGCUUCUUUUCUAACACUGAAGCCCGUCCAUACGAAGCAUCCCAUGCACGUAGCAUAUUUUCCUAUCAUUCAAUCAGACUGAGCUCAGUGCACAUAGAAUUUAAUAUGUGUAGGAGACAUACAUACAUAUUGCCAAAAUUAGGGCCUCUUUUAACUUUAACAAUUAAUUAAAAUACAAAAGCGCAAAAACAUAGAAUUGCAAUUUGAUAUCAAUUUUCUGCAUGGCUGAGUUUGAAAAAAAAAAUGAUUGCAACACAGCGAAAAGAAAAUUAUUUUAGUGUUUUUUUGUCAGAUGGAAAGUUAUAUUUGAAACGUAUUGUGAGUUGUUAGGAAAAAUUCUGAUCCUCUAUUUUUUUUUCAAAAAUGAAACAAAGGGGACGUAAAAGAGAAUCAUGCCGGCCAGCACAACCGCGCGGCAUGCACGCAAACCGAAUUAUAUUAGAAUAUAGAAGAUAAAAAUGAAAAUAAUUAGAAACUUCUGUAGCAAAAAUAAAUUAUGUAUACACAUGUUAAGAAGUGUUCUAUUCGUUUGUUAUUGAGAAGCCCAUGUCAAGUGUAACAAGGUUUUUCAGAUGUGUUCAACAAUAUGACUAUGAUAAAAAAAUAUUCAAGAGAGAGAGAGAGAGAGAGAGAGAGAGAGAGAGAGAGAGAGAAUGCAACUGUUUUGUGCGUACACCUCAAUAAUUGUGAAAUAAGGAUGAGAAUGUAUGAAAAUAUUUUGUGGGAUGAUAUUGCAAAAAAACACAAGAGCAUACAACCAAUAUUUACGUAGAAUCUGGCCGUUAUCUUUAAUUUUAGUUUCUGAUGGAAUGAUGGACACAAAUGAAUGAUUGAAAAGCGCAAGUGUAAGCUAGAGUAGAAUGAGACUGUAUAUUUAUUUAUUUAUUUAUUAUAUAAUGAGCAAAGAUACUAACCACAAUGUUUCCUUUGACAUUAGCAUAUCACAAUCUUUACCAGCAAACACACACAAAUAAUGAAAAUAUUUGAACUAAAGCCCAGUAAUUGUCUCCCAAGGUAUACUUAUUGCCGAUAUUGAACGAUAAAUCAGUCAUGUUAUAUAAUCAAAUAAAUUUAAAAUAGUCUGUCUUCCACAAAUAUCUAGCUAACAUAUAUUAAAAUAAGUGUUCGCAUGGUAUAUUUAUGCUGCAAGUUUUCAAUAAAAUAUUAAAAUGUCUGUAAAAUAAACUAUUAGUACAAGAAAUGUUAGAAAACACAAACAUAAAACCAUAUAAAUCUAGCCGCGCAAAUGCGCGGGUUACCCGACUAGUUACAACUAAAAGGAGUAGGCUUUUACCUCCACUGUGAGGGGCCGAACCUGGGUAACUCUUUGUGUCCUUUGUCCCGUUCAACCCCUUCAAGCUAACCUAGUUGUGAUGGCUCCACACCUAAGUCCUUUCACUGGGACAUCUGCCAUGACAAAACCAUGACAGUACCCAUAAGGGGAAAUGACAUUGAGUUGCCACCUGCUUUUCUAGAUUAUAAUGCUAUGGUACACUACCAGUUUCUUAAGAGGAACGAAUAGUCCCUCCAGUACCGACUAAUCUUUGACAGACGGCGUGCUGCCCGUAUUACCCUUCCUGCUCCUGCCUUCUUUAACUUUCAGGUAAAAGGGAGAUCUUUUAUAACCAGAGAGGAGGCAAAUGAGUAUGAGAGAACAACAAAGGCCGCUCGCCUCCAGGAAGCAGAUCGCGAGGCGGUAGCCGCCGCAACACAGUACGACCCCAACUAUGAUUUCGGAUAUCAUGCAGGCCAGUGGUGGCCCUAGACCAAGGCCAAAAGCCUAAACUUGGGGGAGUACGUAUUUCUCACCGACAUUACAUUCAUGUUCACACACUCAUUCUAGUUGUCGGUGUUCAUACUUUUUCAUUGUAUUAUCCACGCUAGUUUAUUUUCUUUUUCUUGCUUUCUUCUUGUGUGCAUGAAAAACUUUGAGAAAAAACCAAAAAAUUUAGUUGUAGUCGAGUUUACUUUCCAUGUUUACUUAGUAGUAGUAUUAAAAGGAUAACCCAAAAAGAUUUCUCGUUUGGGAGCUUUCCCGUGUAAAUAGUUUUUCUCGUUCUUGUUUUACUUCCUGCAGAAAAAGUAAAACUUCAAAAACAUUUCAGUGUGUUUCUUUGAAAUUAUUUUCUUUUCUUUAGGGGUCGAGAGGAGAAGACCACGAUGAAAAUGAUGAGUGGCUCUCAUAUGCACUAUCGUUGAUCUAACAAAGAGCCCAUAUUACCUUGUCUUCUCCUUUGAAUAAAUGUUUGUAGAUUCCAACAUAGUCCAAUGCACGUGCACUAUUAUUAUUAUCGACACCAUUCGGUCGUGCAAGUGAAAGGCAAUAAUGACGAUAUAUGAUGAAAUGAUUGAGAUGAGGAAAAGCUGGUAUGAACUCAACCUAUCUUGUUUUUGUAAAUAUGAUUAGUUCAUCGUUCCUGAUUCAGCCUAUUAUGAAUGAAACAUGUUUGCAAUGACAAUUAGAGAUUAUAGUUAUUCUUGUCAUGCUUAAUUAGCUAGGAGUUUAUAAUGGUUUACCUUGCGUGCCAACAUGCUAUUGAAAUGGUUGUGAUGUAGUAUGAUAGGAUGGUACACUCCUUUGAAUGAUUCGAAUGACUUGACUUGGCCCAUGUUCACGCAUGUAGUUGAAACAAAAUCAACAUAGCCUCCACGAUAUUUAUGUUCAUGGUGAUUUAUAUCCUAAUCAUGCUUGCACUCAGUGUUGGUUAAUCUCAAUGCAUGUUUAUGACUGAUGUCACUCUCUAGUUGGUCACUCCCCAGUCUUUUUCUGGCCUUCACUUGUACUAAGCGGGAAUAUUGCUUGUGCAUCCACUUCCAUAAACCCCAAAGUUGUUCCAUAUGAGUGCACCAUACAUACCUAAAUUUGCAUGUGCCAAACUGUAAACCUUCAGAUGAAAUUCUGUUCUGUAUGCUCGAAUCGCUCAUGUGGCAACUAGGGCUAUCUAUAUCUUCCAUGCUAGGUGGGUUAUUCUCGCGAUGAGUGGACGUGCUCAUCAUUCACGAGAGAAUGGCUGGUAAUCAGGAUGCCCAGUCCCAUGCUCAAUUCAAAUCAAAAUAAUUGCAAACAAAACUCCCCCAGGAUCGUUUUUAGUUGGACGGUACCCGUUGUUUCGAACCAGCUAUGGAGUGUGCUUGUUGGUGGUGGGGAGUAUAAAAUUUACCAUUCUGUUUGGGAACCGCCUAUAAUAUAUGUAGCAUGGAAGAUAUCGAGAUCUCUUGAUUGUUAUGUUGACAAUGAAAGCAUACCGCUCAAAAUAUUAUUUAUCUCUGUUUCAAAAACUCAAGGACUAGCACCUCUGCAAAUCCCUGCUUCCCUCUGCGAAGGGCCUAUCUAUUUACUUUUAUGUUGAGUCAUCAUCCUCUUAUAAAAAGCACCAGUUAGAGAGCACCAUUGUCAUUUGUAUGCGUUGUUAUUAAUUGAUAUUGAGUAUGACUGUGACUGAAUCUCUUUUGCCAUGAAUUACAAUGUCUAGUCUAUCUUUGAUCUUCAGGGGUCACUACAAAAAAAAUACACUUCCAUGAUGAUACGUGUUUGUCAUAGUAGGUCACGUUUUCUUUCAUGCAUGUACAUCCAUGACGAUUUUAUGACAGAAUCAAGAUAGUCAUACCUAUGCUGUCGUAGAAGUGUUCCAUGACAUUACUAAAAUUAUCAUCCCGGAAGUGUCCACUUCCAUGACGAUAAAAUCGCACGUCAUAGAAGUGCUUUCGUCAAGGGUGACCGACACAUGGCAUCCACUGUAAUGGCUCGUCGUUAAGCUAUCGGGUCCGGUUUUGGACCCGAUAACCCGUUAACAGCCCCAACCAAUGGGGAUUUUCCACAUGUAAAAUCAUCAUUGGCUGGAGGAAACAUGUGUCGGCUCACCGUUGGGACACAUAUCAUCCACUCAUUGGACCGAAGGCGCCUAUGAUACGUCGACACGUGGCAUGGCCCAACAGAGACCCAUUCCUGUGAAAAGGCUGGCCCGUUUGACUUGGUCAAAAGGUGGCGGGCCGGCCCACGGAAAGCCUGUUAACGGCCUGUUCGCAUAUGGCCCAUUUACAGCCCGGUAACCCAGGGCCCGUUACGACCUAUUCGAAUUAGGCCCAGUAGCGUCAUCUGGGCCGUCCAAUAUGAUUCCAACUCAGUUUAACUUCCGGCCCAUGUAUGGCCCAUGACUCUUUCGGCCCAUAUGAGGCCCGUGGUGAAUCUGGCCCGUAAUUAACGGCCCGUGGUGAAACUGGCCCGUAAUGAACAAUGUAUCACUUUAUACCCAUUAACGGCCCAUUAUUCCAUUGGGCCGUUUCCAGCCCAUGUUAUCUUUCGGCCUUCUCAGGGCCCAUUUAUUCUUGGGCUCAUUUCCAGCAUUCGUUUACUUACGGCCAGUUACUGUCAUUUUCUGCUUGUGGGCCAAAUUCAGCCCGUGGUUACAGUCGGCCCGUUUGUGGCCUGUUAAUACAUUGGGCCGUUUUCAUAGCGUAAUCAAAUACGACCGAUUAAAGACGGCCCGUUAUGGUCGGCCCAUGAAUGGACGAUUCCAACUCUAGCCCGUUUACGGCCAUAAUACGGUCUGUUAUUGGCCCAUGUUUGGCCAAUCGAUCAUACGGCCCGUAGAAGGCCCAUUGAUGAUACGGCCCGUAGAAGGCCCAUUGUGUCUACGCCCCGAAGAAGGCCCAUUGUUUCUACGGCCCUUAGAAGGCCCAGUGUUUCUAUGGCCCGUAAGAGGCCCAUGGUAACUACAGUAAAUAUGUAGCCCAUGGUUAUUGUGGCCUAGUUUUAAAAAAUAGGUUAUUGCAGCCACUAGAAAACCACGGAAAAAGAACUGCACUGACUACAAGCAAAAAAAUAAACAAGGCAAUAAGGAAAUAAAUAAGCAAGCAACUUACGCUAGGCUAUCACGGCUAUUACACAUAUUACAUCCACUGGGCAUCGAAGGUCGCCACCAGUGCAUAUAAACGCGCCGACAAAAGAAUAUACAAAACUAAGAGCACUUCAGAAGGCACUAGGCCUGGACAGGACGGGCCCCGCAAGUAGCCAAACAAGCUGAUGAGACCUAAGUUGUGUCAACGAUAGAUGCUUCAUCCCUAGCUGUAUGGCACCAUAGUGUGCAAGGCAGUCCUCUGACAUCUUCAUUACAUCUUUGACUUCAAGUCGGAGCUGAGCUGAAGCAAGCCUUUCCGCUUUAAGUUGAGACUGAAGAAGUCGAACUGAUUGAGGCAGCGACUGCACAGAGGUUGUCUCACACCUGCUGGUGAGUAGCUUCAACUCACUAUCUUCAUCAAGACAGGACCUUGGGGUCAUCUCGCUGUCCUCAAGAUGGUUUGGCUCACUAUCUUCCCUAAAGUUCUGCCUGGCAUAAGAGAUACGACUCUGAAAGAGAAACAAGGAGAACCGUAACAGGUUUCACAAUUAUAGAAGCAAAUAAAUGGAUAUGUUCUGCAUAAGGAACAUAUUUUUACAACUACAAUUUAAAACUGGUAGUUGUUGCAAACAUCCAAUCAGGUGUAAACAGCAAAGUAAAUAGCAGUGGAGGAAAUGAUGCCUAUCCAAAUCUAUACUAGAACAAAGUUUGAAGGCUUGAGAAGGAUGAACUUACAUUACAUGUUAAUACGGGCUGGACAAAGCCCUUCUCCAUGUUGAUGGAAGGAUAAUUCAAUAAAUUCCCCAAAGAAAAUUCUUUAUAAGCGUUGCCAUUAUUCUACAUUUUGCAAAGAGUAAAUAUAGAUCAAAUAAUAUUGGAAGAAACAGAGGAUAAUGAAGCUCAGGUGCAUACUGAUGAUACAUAAUCAAAUAGCAAUUAAUUAAGUACCGCUUUACAAGGCAAAAGAUACUGACAAGAGGAAUGCAGACAACAAUGUGUGUAGUGGCAUUGGCUCUAUUCAACAUUGUGGUAAGAGUAAAUGUUGAUACGAUAAUUUGGAGAAAGUGGAGGGCAGGGAAGAUAAGAUGCAGAGUAAUGCUAGACAAUCAACUAUCUCGUGAUGCAAGAACAGUAAUACCACCACCGUCCGUUAUUACUUGUCGCUCAAAUGGAUGUAUCUAGCACUAUUAAGUUCUAAAUACAUCCAAUUGAUCAACAAUUAAUUCGAUAUAGAGGGAGUACAUGACAACAGGUACUUACAUGAGCAAUCCAAAACUUCAUAACCAUUGUGUUGAUUCUACAUUUAUACAAGAGUAACUAUAGAUCUUAUAAUUUCAAGCAAAGGGAGGAUAAAGAAGCAAACAUUUACAGUGAUGCUACAUAAUCAAACAACAAUGAGUGUAAGUAUGCUGACAAAGGGCAAGAGGUACGGACAAGAGCAAUGCAGAGCCCAGUAUUGUUGUGAGAUCCUAUGAUCCUUUGAGAAAGGAGAUUCAUCUGAAAUUAGUUUUCAUACAAGAGAGAAGGUAAGGCACAUGCAGAAAUUUAGGAGUUGAAAUUUUGAAUUGAUAUCAUAGACAGUACCUGACACUGGGCUCUCAGCAGUUCUAAUAGGGAUUUUUCCAGUGGAGUAGGGGUAGAGUGUGGUACAGUUGGGCCUGUGUUUUCUGUGGUUGCUGAUCUAUCUGAUUUAACAGGUAUCGCUACCUUUUCCAAAUACCUAGUUUGUACUCCUUGAGGAUCUGCACUCACCCUCUUCCUUUUGGACAUCUAUUACGAAAGAACAACAUUUGACUGGAAAAACAUAGUAUCAUGACACAUGGAAUAGGUACAGAAAAUGGAUAGGUAUGUCAUAUACUCAUAUAUGAUGCUUAAACAAAGGAGAUGGUGUAACAAACUAGAAGUAAUGCAAGAGGUCAGAUGGAAAAUAUGUGCGACCAAUACAACCUUGCCAAGUUAGAGCAAGCACCUUGAUGGGUGAAUAAGAUAGGCCAUCCUCCACCAUGCCAAGUUUGUUAGGCAGUGGAUUGUUCCGCAAUAUUCCCCUCGUGCGCCCAUUCUCAUAUUCAUUUUGAUAAUGUUCAAUACCUGACAUGCAUGAAAACAUAAAAACAAGUGAGAUUAUAUUUGUCGUGGAAUUGUCACGGCAGAUGUCCUCAAGGAAGGAAUUAGUCGUGGAGCCAUCGCAACUAGGAAGCUUAAAGGGGUUAAAGCGGGACAAAGGACACGAGGGUUAUACUGGUUCGGCCCCUUACGGUGAAGGUAAAAGCCUACUCCAGUUGAGGUGGAAUUGCUAGGGUUUCGAUGACCAGGGAGCGAAUCCGCUAUGCCCGGUUAUCGAUUUGAUGUUGCUUGUCUUGAACCGCCACUGGGUCAUCCCUUUAUAUACAGAGUCCCGGCUGGCUCAUAAACAGUGUCCGGCUCGGUCUCAGAGUCCCGGCCGGCUCAUAAACAGUGUCCGGCUCGGUCUCUUAACUAUUCUUGCCUUACAAUACAAGUCAUGCCUUUACGGCGGUUUAUCACUACGGGCCUUAAGUCGCCUAUGGGCUUUAGGUCCUUUACUGAACCGCCAUCUUCAAGCUUGAUAUUGGGCUUCAUAUGAUGAAUCGCCAUAAUGUAACUCGGCCCCUCCUAGGCGGGUUACACCAGUAGUUAUAUCCCCAACAUUAGGCCCCAGAUUGAUUUGAACUGGUUCAUGUCAAUCUUCAAUACCUUAAGAAAAAACUUUCUGGCUUCUGUCUGUGCAAAAGUUAUAACCCGCCAUGACGUCAUCUUCUAGAUUCCUGAUAACCCGCCAUGAUGUCAUCUUCCAUUAAAUUCAUUUUUUAUUUUGUCAUAUCCCAACGGAUCUUUAUCUUAAUAACCAUCCCGAAAAUCGAGGCGUCAGAGUCACUGGGUAAUCAAGUUUUCGGCCUCCUCAUUUUUCGCGCCCACUUAUCAGUCUUCCCUUAUAAAUAAGCACGACUAGGUCUUUUCUCAUUCUCCCACUUUCUGUCGUCUUCCUCCUCUCGCGACCUUGCUGCCGCUCGAGCUCCGCCGCCACCGCAGCGCACCUCAUCUUCCUCAACCUCGGCCGCUGCAUCAACCUGAGUCAGUCCAGAGAAUGGCGGCGACUCUCCGCAGUGAAUCUGCAGCCGUAAGUCUCCUCCUUCUCGAACGUCAGAUCUGCAUUAGGGUUUCCAAGUUCUUCCCUGUUUUUCGUGGUUCAUCACGGUUUCUUCGUAGUUCUUCCACUGCGGCCUCAUUUGAUCCAAAAGUAAUGUGGAAACUCAUGCGGAAGUUGUUUCGCGUCCAUUUUUAAUACUAGCAGAUCCCUUUCCUUCGUGCAGAGGCCUCACCAGGACUCACGAACUCAUAUGUACCAGUUUUUAGGUCUAGAAUAUUUCCUUUCUGAACGACCGUUUGAUCCAAAAUAACAACUGCAAUCUGUGAAACUUGUUUGUACGACACUUAGGCAAAAACUGUAUCUGUUAGCCAUGGCGGCUCUUAUCGCCGGCUUAAAGAAGGCCAUGCUCAAUCAAUAAUCCUGAUCACGCACAGUGGCUUUGAAUAACUUAACUGUUUAUGACGCCCAUGGCGGCUUGAAUAAUCUGACUCAAUUAGCCAUAUGUCAUUAGGCCCCUUCAUAAGCCGCCAUGCUGAAUAUGAAUUGAAAUAUUUUCUCCGGCUUAAAUUUGAACCGGAAAUUAUUAUUUUGUCAUAGGCUUCCAUCUUCAUAAUGCCGCCCAAGGCUCCCAAAGCACCCGUCACAUGCAACUGGGUUAGAUCCACCGUCACCGAUAGCAUCUUAAACGAUUUUGUGAAGACUGGUUAUCUGCCGAAGAAAGAGGUCAUGUCCUAUCGUGCUCCUGAUCCCUCAGAAGAAAAACCUCAACCCAAGGACGGGGAAGUUUUCAUUUUUACUGAUCACAUGAACCGGGGCUUUGCUCCACCCGGCUCAAAAAAUUUCCGAGACGUCUUGCACUUUUUUGACCUGCGACCUCAAGACAUCGGAUCCAAUUCCGUGUCAAAUAUCUGCAACUUCCAAGUGUUCUAUGAGGUGUACCUUGGAGAAGAACCCAACUUACUACUCUUUAGAGAGUUAUUUUAUCUGAACCGUCAGAACGAACGUGCCAAUGGGCCCAGCUUGGAGCUUGGCGGAAUCUCAAUCCAGCGACAGAGAGACUGCCUCUUCCCAUCUGCCGAACCGCCAAGUCACCCUAAAGAUUGGAACCAGACAUGGUUCUACUGUCAAGACACUUCUCCGGCUAACGAGAACCCUCUGCGCGGCUUUCGCGCCCUGCGUCUGGAGUCAAAUCACCCUUUACCAGAUAAACUGUCUCCGGCUGAACGUCAGACACUUGCCCCCACCCUAAACAAGCUCAAAGCUCUUUUGGGGAACGGCCUAAACAGCAUUGACUUGGUCCGGGUUUGGAUUGCCUGGCGGGUGAUUCCUUUGAGCCGCCGCCCCGGCUUGAUGUGCGAUUACACAGGCCAGAAGAAUGAUCCUCUAGGGCACAGUCCUGACGACUUAUCUAAAUAUGUUAUCGAUGAUAUGACCAAGUCUCUUCUGAACGAGAGCCUGGCAGAUUGCGGGAAAGUGGGCUUAAGCCCUUUCUGUAAGGCUAACCCAGCUCCAGCGGUAAACCAUUAACUUGAGCAUUUUACUUUCCACUUUGACAAUUUCGCCUUUACUCAAAAACCUUUGUUGUAUUUUACAGGCUGAUGAUAAAUUUUGGAAGGUCAAGUAUGACCAUGAGGCUGCAAAGAAGGCCAGGAAGGCUAAGAAAGCCGCCAGGAAAGCUGCUGCCCGCAAGAAGGGGAACAAACCUAGCGCCUCGGAUAUGCUUCAUCUGGAUGAUACCUCCGAGUAAGAGGUAGCUCUUGACUCUUUAGGCUCCUUCUUUAACCAUCUUAUUGACACUGAUUAUCAGCAGGAGGAUACAGGAGCGAGUCAUGCAGUGAUUGAAGAGGUAACUAUAAUUUCCUCCGACUCCGAGCCUUUGCCGAGACAAAAAGUCCGAAGAGUAACCCGGAAAGUAAGAUUUUCACAUCCUUUAGAUUAUCAAGAUCCUCAAUUUCUUUUGAAGCGACAGAUUCACGAGAGUCGGAGGCAGACUCGGACCAGUAAAGAUGCGGACCUCUCCUCCGGCUUACCCGAUGUAAGAAGAAAGCGCCGGGCUGAGGUUAUCUCUGAUUUAUAUUCUUUGUACCCUUUGGCGGGUUUCACUCGUCAACCACUCAAUUCUUCUGACUCAAACUAUCAGGGGACUUCACCUUCCUCCGGCGAAUCAAUGCAGUCUAGCAUGCCUGCUUUCAAAACCGCUCCAGGGUAAUGAUAAUCUGUUGAUCUUGUGCUUAUCUUACUCAUGUUUUUGUACUAACCCUUUGAUUUUCAGUGUACAAGUAAAGCCCAGCAAGAGGGCGAAGAGAAGUAAGCCGGCUGAAGAGCCGAUCUUGGCUGAACCGGAGCUCAGAACGGCUGCUCCUGAUACUUCCGCUCAUGAGCCGCCGCCUGAACCAGCCCAUGAUGUUACAACUCCCACCACUGAUCCAUCUGUCGAACAAGCUAUGGAAGGUUCUGAGAACCCGGAGGUCCCUAGCCCGGCCAGGGCGGAUGACCCGGACGUCGAAAUCACCCGGACUGAUUUUGUUGAACCGGGGAGACCUACCGUGCUGGCUAAGUGCUCUGCCAAGGAAGAACUUCUGGAACACCGCAAAGCCAAGCUGGACGUCACUGAUUAUACUCAUCUGAGUAUUGGAGACAUCGUCUCUAGCUAUCUGAAUCAAGUGCACAACAGCCGUGACCUGGAAAUUGACAUGGUGAAACAGAUUCACCAAAAAUCUGAGGUAUAACUCUCGUUGCUAUUCCUUAGUUAUCUUUACUAUACCAGCCCCCAAGUCUACUGCUUAUGAUCAAAUAUGUUGUAGACUUAACACCAGCUUAGUAAUCACUGCAAGAAAACUGGCUUACCCUGUAGCGCCCAAGGGCCGGCUUAGACAGCAUAUUUGAACCGGUCCUCACCGUGUUUUAACCAAGUACUUGACCAGCAAUAUGCAUUAGCCCCCAAGUGCCGAGUACCUUUGCCUGCAAAAGUGCUUGGGACUUAUUUCCAUGACCCGCCACUGUAAAUAGAGCUCUUCAGCAUACAUUAGCCCCCAAGUGCCAAGUAUCUUUGCUUGCAAAGUGCUUGGGAGUUAAUGUUGCAUUAUGAUGACCCUAACUGUAACCCGGCAUUUAUACAGGCCGCCAUUAAGCAAUUUGAAUCGGAGAUCUCUGAUUUGAAGAACCGCCUGAAAACUCAAGAGAAUGAGACCCAAAAGGCCAAUUCCAAGUUUGAAUUCAGUGUAUCCGAACAAGAGAAACUGAAGAAGAAGUUUGAAACAAAGAAGAAGGCCUGGGCUGAUGAAAAGAUCGCCUUGCUCAACCGGGCUGAACAAGCGGAGGCUACUCUUGCCGUUAACAACCGCCGAGCUAUCCGGUUUAAAAUGCCAUGUAUCUCAAAUGGUCUCAGCAAUCUUUGGUAAGUUACUCUGCAAGUCUGAGCAAUCUUUUUCAACAAGUAUCUCAAUUGUCAUCAGUUCACCUGAGUUUGUAAUGCAGGCCCCAGGAGUUCCAAUCUUAACCAAAGCAUGCUGACAAAGUUGAAGGCCGUAUAUACACUGGUGGAACAACUCUACACCGGGUCAUAACGUGCCUUAGCCGUCGUGGCUUUGUCAAAUGAAGUUCCCACUCAUCUGGCGGAUGUACUAAGACGGCUUGCCGUGCUACCUCAACGGUUUCAGGAAUUAAGACGAGCUUCUGCAAGAGCCCGAGACAUAGCCGCAUUAAGCCGGGCCAAGGCGUGGCUACCGGAGCUAGACCCGGCUGACAUCGCCCUUGGGUAUCCCAGCUUGAAGGAGGACGGCACCCCAUUUGAUCAGAAGGACUUCGCCGCUUGUGUGAAGGACAUACGCCCUGUGGCCACUCUGAUCGGUAAAGACACGGACCUUACCAAAUACCAACCGGGUUAUGACGCCGAGAAUCACAGAAUUCCAACACCACGUUAUGAAGCAAUCAGCCUCAUCCCUCCAACUCGUAAGCAUACCUUCGCCCCUGAAGUUGACCCGGCCGGGUUAAUCGAUGAUGAAGCUGAAUUUGAAGCCUUGAGUGGCAUUGACUGGAAAUCAUCAACCUUCCAGGACAGGGAAACAACCGGAGGAGCGGAAAGGGAUGACCGGAAGCUUCAGGCCAACAACACCUUUAACCCUUCAGGCGGCUCAUGUUUACGUCUUGAUGAAAACAAUGCUUCAUUAUUUGGACACGGGGAGUCAUGUAAUAGGGUAGAAAAACACUUAAUUUUGUCGUGCCAUCGCGCACUUGUGUGGCGCUCAACACUUCUUAAGCCGCCAUAUUAUAUUCCUCCGUACUAUGCUGAUCCUCCACUUUCCUUGCGUUUAAAGAGCUGCUUUAAUUGUCCUGCAUAGAGAACAAAUCACAAGUCCUUUGGCGGCUUACCGCAUGGAGGGUCAUAUAUUUUACAUAUAACCCGGAGUAUGUAACAAUCUUAAAAACCGGUUCUCAAUCAUAUCUUUGAGACAUAAUCAUAACAGCAUACCUGUGAUCCUUCGAUUAUGCUGCCGGUUUAUGUGAUCCGAACAAUGAGGUUAAGAACCCAACUCCUGUUUACCAGCACAUAUGAUGUUUAUUAUGUGCUAUCAACUUUAUUGAUCAGGGUUAAGCCGGUGGAAUAAAAUCAUCCUUGAACUCUUUAGAUAUGAUCAAAAGAACUUCAAGUAAAAUUAAAAAAAAUGUUUGCAAGAAGAGACUUCAAAAACUUUAAGGCUUCUGGUUCGAAUACGACCAGAAAACCGUCCCAAAGGGGUUAGGCUAAGAUUCGAAUACGAUCAUAUAGCCCCCAGUGGCUUUGGCGUUGCCGAUCAAGAGGGUACCGACAGCUAUGUUCUCUUUGGUUCGAAUACGACCUAUGUUUGAACAGGAAGCCCCCAAAUGACCUUGAGAGUUGUUUAAGGACGCUGAUUCGAAUACGAUCCACGUCGGUUCCCAAAGGGGGUUGAGCUAUGAUUCGAAUACGACCAAGAAGCCCCCCAAUGAGCUCGGCAGUGUGCCGAUCAAGAGGGUACCGACAGCUAUGUUCUCUUUGUAAUGCAGAAGUGAUUCUAAUCCAAUACUGCCUCGCUGUAAACCCCUUUGUGCUAUCUCUGCAAUUCUUCUAAGAGAUGCCAUGCAUGUUGUAAUUUGGUGUGUGCAUUAAUAUAACGUGGCCUACUACUCAAAAUAUGAGAGAUCCAAAGGUGAUGACACUUCGCAGAUGACAACUUCAACAUAUAGUAAAGAAGAACAAGUCGACCUGACCCGACAGACUCAAAAUAUACUAAGGGAGAACAACUCGACCUGACCAGUUGACCGCAAGAGAAGAGAAUCAUCUUAAAGAAGAGCAGAAGAGCAAGCAGAUUGAAGAUAUUACAAGUCUUGCUAUACAAUGUUGGUUGGCCACCCAUGAUGAACCAGACCGCACAGAGAAAUACUAUUCCUUCCGGUCUCUCCAUAUGUGGCUCACAUGCAUUUCAAAACUAAAGUAGGAACAUUUAGCUGACUAAUUAAACAUCUCUCAGUUUUACUAAUAUCAGCAUAAUAUCAGAUUUGAAUUUGUACAACUAAGCUUGUUUAGCUCGAUGGGUGGAGCAGUACUAUUACGACAUGAACCACGUAGGCUGAUCGUGGUCAUCAUAAAAUGGGGAAACCGUAAGCAUGAUAAGUAUAGUUUGACCGUGGUAGUGGGAUGGCAGAUCUGAAGCUGCAAACCGUGCAAAGGGUAGUUAGCAACCGAGUUUGCUUUGAAAUAACAAGUAAGAUUUGGUAUGGACAAGAAAGUACACUCAACAAGUGACAAAGAAAUGCAAUUCUGCUGUCUCUCUAUAUGUCGCGACAUGCAUUUGGAAACACAAGUGGGACCUUUAGCUACCAAUUAAAUGUGUCUGUUAACUAAUAUAAGUAUAAUAUCACAAUCGUAUUUGAACAACUACGGUUUGGAAUUCUGAGUGUUAUGUUGUUUAGCUUGAAGGGUGGAGUAAUGCUAGUACGACAGAAAGCACCUACGCAGAUCAUACACUACAAAAAAAUACACUUCCGUGAUGAUACGUGUUUGUCACGGUAGGUCGCGUUUUUUGUCAUGCAUCUACAUCCAUGAAGAUUUUAUGACAGAAUCAAGAUAGUCAUACCUGUGCUGUCGUAGAAGUUUUCCCUGACAUUACCAAAAUUAUCAUCACGGAAGUGUCCACUUCCAUGACGAUAAAUCGCGCAUCACACAAGUGCUUUCGUCAAGGGUGACGGACACGUGGCAUCCACCGUAACAGAACGUCGUUAAGCUGUCGGGUCCGGUUUUGGAUCCGAUAACCCGUUAACAGUCCCGACCAACUGGAGAUUUUCCACGUGUAAAAUCAUCAUUGGCUGGAGGAAACACGUGUCGGCUCACCAUUGGGACAGAUGUCAUCCACUCAUUGGACCGAAGGCGCCUAUGAUACGUCAACACGUGGCACGGCCCAACAGAGGCCCAUUCCUAUGAAAAGGCCUGCCCAUUUGACUUGGUCAAAAGGUGGCGACCGGCCCACGGAAAGCCUGUUAACGGACUGUUCGAAUAUAGCCUAUUUACAACCCGCUAACCCAGGGUCUGUUACGACCUAUCCGAAUUAGGCCCAGUAGCGUCAUUUGGGCCGUCCAAUAUGAUUCCAACCCAUUUUAACUUCCGGCCCAUGUAUGGCCCAUGACGUCUUUCGGCCCAUAUGAGUCCCUUUGUAACUCUUGGCCCAUUAACGACCCAUGGUGCAACUGGCCCGUAAUGAACAGUGUAUCACUUUAUACCCAUUAACGGCCCAUUAUUCCAUUGGGCCGUGUCCAACCCAUGUUAUCUUUCAGCCUUCUCAGGGCCCAUUUAUUCUUGGGCUCAUUUCCAGCAUUCAGUUACUUACGGCCCGUUACUGUCAUUUUCUGCUUGUGGGCCAAAUUCAACCCAUGGUUACAGUCGGCCCGUUUUUGGCCCGUUAAUACGUUGGGCCGUUUUCAUGUAAAAAAUUCGUUGGGCUGUUUUCAUAGAGUUAUGAAAUACGGCCUAUUAACGGCCCGUUAUGGUCCACGAAUAGUACGGCCCAUGAUUGGCGAAGUGAUUAUACGCCCCGUAGAAGGCCCAUGGAUCCUACGGCCCGUAGAAGACCAAUGGAUCCUACAGCCCGUAGAAGGCCCAUGGAUCGUACCUCGCGUAGAAGGCCCAUGGAUCGUACGGCCCGUAGAAGGCCCAUGGAUCCUACGGCCCGUAGAAGGCCCAUGGAUCCUACGACCCGUAUAGAAGGGUAAUGGAUCCUACGGCCCGUAGAAGGCCCAUGGAUCAUACGUCCCGCAGGAGGCCCAUGGUUACAACAGUCCGUGUGUUGCCAUGAUUAUUGUGGCCUAGUUACCAAAAAUAGGUUAUUGUGGCCACUGGAAAAACACGGAAAAAGAACUGCAGUGACUACAAGCAAACAACUAAACAAGACAAUAAGGAAAUAAAUAAGCAAGCAACUACCGCUAGCCUAUUACCACUAUUACACAUAUUACAUCCAUGGGCAUCAAAGUUCGCCACCAGUGCAAAUAUAGGGAACAAAGCACCAUAUUACAUACACUGGCCGUCAAAAUUGGCCACCAGUGCAAAUAAACGCGGCAGCAAAACAAGAGCAUAACUGAAACAACUUCAGAAGAGCCCAAGAAACGUUAUCCUGGGUAUCCACCAUGCUGGCAAUAAGCUUAGCAAGCUUAUUAGCUUUGUCCUGUUUGGCGCUAAAAUCCUCCAACGCUUGCUGUUGCACCAGAAAGUAUGCAUCUGAAUGCUCCAGGGACUUCCACAGUCCUUCCGCUUCUUGUCGCAGCACAGCUGAUCGAUGUCUUUCAGCUUGUAGUUGAGACUCAAGAAACCGAACUGAUUCAGACAGUGAGUUUGAAUAGCUUGUGCAAGCGGUAGUGGCCAGUAACUCGAACACUAAACAUAGACAGGACUUUAGGGUUGUCUCACUGUCUUCAAGAUAGUCUUCCUUAGCUGUUUUAUCAGCUUUGUUGGAGACCAACAAGGAUGUCUCACUAUCCUUAACCUUAUCUGCAUUACUUCCUUUACCAUUGCUUAAUAAGGCGCUUUUCCCAAAUAUUUUGUCAGCAUUCUAAAAGAAGAAACAAGCAGACACAUAACAUGUUUAGCAUGUACUAGUAUAUGAAACUCAUUUCGGUGAACCAGUUCAUUAGUAAGGUGGACAGGAUUAAACUACCAAGUCUUCUAUUGCCAAGUACUAGUACAUAAUAAAAGCAUCAAACAAACAUAUACCUAUGUCCUAUGGUCACGGCAUUGUCUUGCCAAAUCAAAAUAGAGACACGGUUCAAAUCAUAUCAGUUCAAGAGAAAGCAGCAGUGAAAGAAUACGAAGCGUGGGAAACUACACGGCACAACAAGAUUUCAGAUGGGUACCACGGGUCUACAUGUACAACAACACUAUUGGCUCUGUUGUGAUGUUAGUAAUGUGCAUGAUAUGAGAAGUCAACUGUAUACACAACUGAAAUUGAAAUCAACAGAGCUAUUGAUAAGAGCAAACCUGUUAAAGAAACAUGCGUGAACAUACCUGUUGUGCCAUUGGAGUUUCGAUUGGAUCCUUCAAUUUAAAAAUAAGUUUGUAUGAGUAAAUACAGUGAUACAAGAGCAAAGCAGUAUGCACGAUAGCAAUCAUAGUUAAAAAAGGCGCGCCUAAGCGAGCGCUUAAGCGUGCCUAGGCUCUAGCCGUUGGCAAAAUGCAUUGCGCAUACCUACGCUUAAUCUGUGCAUAACUGCGCAUAAGCAUGCGCUUUGGUCAGUAAAGCGCAAGGCGGUGGCAAAACACAUAAUUAACGCCAAGCGCUUUUUUGAACUAUGAUAGCAAUGGAAUAUUAAAUUAGAACAGUUGUUCUUCAGGUUUAGGCACUUGUUCUACAUGAACAGAGUACAGUAAGACGCAAGAAUAUAGUACUUAAAAAUAGAAAUUGAGCUCAUAGACCAUACCACAUUCUUGGUUCGGGACCAGUACAGAACAAGGCGUUCCCAGUCAUCGUCCAGUAAAUGUGUCUCAGGAGAACGUAAGGGAAUUUUAUGAUUUUCUUUGCCGGUGAAGUACGUUUUCUUCAGAUAAUUCCGAUACUGCCACCAAGCAUUCUUGAAGAUAGCAGAGGUAUUAGCACAGGUUACCUCAUCCUGAGUUUCCAAAUUAGUCCUUCUCUAUAGAGAAAAAUGGGAAAAUUUGCUGUAUUAUAACCAUCAUGGAGGUAGGAUGUAUGGGACAAAGCAAAGUAAUUGCCAUGAAUAACAUUACUUACACAUAACUCCUGGACAAACACCUGCAACUGGCAUUUUCCUUAAUCUUCAGUAUAAUAUUUCCAAGAUCACUACUAGGGAAAACCCUAGCAGUAGCGCAGGUAUUUUGCCUAUCAGUAGCGCGGGACGUCGCGCUACUGAUAAGGCGCUACAGCUAACGUGUAGCAGUAGCGCCUGUCAUCCCAUGCUACUGCUAUACAUGGCUAGCAGUAGCGCGCUUUAGGGAAGAGUGUUGCUGCUAAUAUCUGCAGCGCUUUUUAGAAGGAAGCGCUACUGGUAAGGGAGCGCUACUGCUAACUUUGUUCCCCUCGCUACUGCUAGUUUUAUUAGUUUCUGUUUUUUUUCUACAUAUUUGUUUUGUAUUUGAAUAGGCUUUAUACAAUAAUCUUUAGCAUAUCAUACACAUACAAAUGUAAUCAUAGCAUAUACAUACAAAUAGUCUCAUCAAAUCAUGUCAUCAUCAUAAUCAUCAUCCAACACAAAGUGGUCUCUCGUCAUCAUCUCGACAAUAGCGAUACAAGUCUCGAUUACUUGCAACUACAUCGUCAUCCAUCUGAACAAUGAUAUACGCGAGAAGAACUACACUAUGAGUGAGAGCAGAACUAUGAAGUACAUGAGUUCGUAUCCUCUCUCGCAUUAGCGUGAACCUAAACUAACUAUUGGCUGUCGCUUGGAAACCGGAAACCGGUACACCUGGGCCUGACACUCCGGCCACUCGUCGUAUACUCUUGGCGUAGCACUUCUUCGCCAUCGAUGAUCUAUGCACCUGCAUCGUCACAUGAGUCGAUGAUAUGCAACAUAUAUAGUUGAGCAACAAAAAGAGACAGACUUGGCAAAAAUAGAAGCAACAUAUCAUAAGCAUAAAUAACAAAGUUCAUCGUACCCAAAAUGCCCUAACUAGAGUGAUCUUCGCUAGUCGAGGAGGAGGACGGUUUAAUUACAUCACAAAUAAAGUUUCGCCGUGCAUAACUCAAAGUUUUGUCAUAUAGAAAGUAUGGACUAAACGGACACAUUGUCAUAUAUCGACAAUCAAUCCAACAUGUCGUGCCAUCCAUCCAUGUCAGGAAGAAAGUCCCCGAGCUUAGUGAAAGGCUUCAUGUCAAGACGCUGAGAGGCUACGCGUGUUCGGACGUCUUCCCGCGACAUUUCUCCUUCUUCAUAGAACAUCCCUGUUUUUUCAACGACCUCCUUCAUGAUGAUUUGGGCAAGUUCGCGCUGGAUGUGAUAGAACUCAGCUCGAAGUCGAUGAUCCUCGAUAUCUCCUAAGUGCUUUUCCCAUUGCAGAAUAUGGGCAUCGCCGGAUUUAGGUGACAUGAGAAGGUUCUGGUGAUCCCGUCUGUACUCCAGCAUGUGGUGUAGGACAUACAAUCCAUCAUUAAGAGAAUCACUCGGUUGCUGGAUGCAGCAGAAGUCGGUCUUAUGGCUGAAGGCGGGCCUGCUGUUCCUUGUCUUCUUGUCGUUGACCUCUCCACCCCCUUUGCCGUAGUAAAAGAUAGCACUGUCGAGAACAGACUUGAUGUGGGUGUAAUCCUUUUUGGUAAUGUUCUUCGAUGAGUCCAAGUAAAGAGCGUGGGAGUAUCAGGGGUAGAGGAUGAUGAGGACGGCGCGCCCGCCGCUGCGCAAAAUAAGUACACCUCAAAUUAAUUAGCCUCCACCGUGCAAAUGAAUGAUUGAAAUCGAAGGAAGGAUAUCCGCGCGGACCACUUACAGGGGAUGAUAAGGCACGAGAAUCGCCUCCUUGUCCUUAUUGGCGAGCAUGAAAUUGACAAGGUAGUCCCUCGCGAAUUCACAGUGUUUUGCGCAAACUGGCAAGAAGCCCUCGUGCAUGAAGUACGGGUCAGCGACACAGAUAAAAGGUAUCUGCUCAACCCUGAUGAGGUAGUUCAUGUGCAAGGCAUAAAGGCGGACAAACGUAAAUUCUAGCUUCUUCCAGUGAUACAUGUCGAAGAUGUAAUCGUAUCGAAGGAAGAACUUGUCCGCGGGGAAUGUGUCGACGUACAACAAUUGCCGCGGCACAUUAACCACGUAGAGUGGGUAUCCUGGAUUUUUCGAGGCGACGAGGCCUUUCUAUCUCCGCAGCACAUCGUCAUGAAGUCUCCUUACAUCGCCGAAUUUGGCCCCUAUCGCUGCUUCAGGUAGGAUUGGUUCACCGGCGAUAUGCCAUUUUGCCGCACCGGGGAUAUCUAUACGGUCUUGAUCCCGAGGCUGCUGAGGCGGCUGGAUCAUCGAAUCAGGUUUUUUGCCUUUCCUCGGUCUCUUCCUAGACUUCUUUGGUACCGGAAGGUUCUCCAUAAUACGUUCAGACUCCGGAGGCAGCAAUUCAGGCACCGACUCAUGACGCUCAAACCCUAAGUAGGCGCCAGUAUUGACAUAUUGUUGAGUGUCAUCGUCAUCCUCAUCCUCAUCUAUGGCGACGUCACCAACGACUAAUGGAGCCUCUUCCUCACCCCCUCCGCUAUCACCCAGCACGACAGCCAACGCUAAUUGAGUAGGUGAGGUGUUGAUGUUCAUACCUAACUGCGUGCUCGUGGGUGUGCUCCCAGCCACCUCCAGACGAAGCAGACUCUUUGGCCACAACAGGACCCACCCAUUGCAACAAUCACCAAGCCGCCGCGGGGUCUCGUCGUCAUCCCCCACUACUACUAGAGGAGCCAAAUUCUUGUGGCCCGGUUUGACACUGGCCACGGAAACCUUGAAGACAUCCGGGGGGAUCGGCCGGCUGUGGAAUAAUGGUUCCAUCGGCUCCAUUAUCGUCGCCUUCCCCACGUCCACCUUCUGGUCGUCGAUGGUGUACAAUAUGGUGCACGGGGUUUCGUCGGCCUGCAAAGAAAAGUCUGCGAUGUGAGACAUCCUAAAGGCAACGAAAACGGGAGAUUAUACAUUUAUUGAAGAGGGCCGGUGUGAUAGAUACCGUGAGGGCGUCGAGCUCAGCCAAAGACGAAGCACCGCCGAGCACGUCCGGUGCCGGAGCCGGUGCUGGAGCAGGUGCGGGAGCCGGUGCGGGAGUCGGAACCAAGGUAGUAGACAUAUCUACAAGCACCUGUUUUGCGGUAGCUACAGCUGUUGCGACUGUCUCAGAUGAUUUCUUCUCAUCCGCAAUCUCAACCUUCUUGUCGAUGUUUUCUUCAGUUAACCUCCGUCUUUCCUUUCUCUCCUCCGUGGUCUCACGGUAGUACUUCUUCCAUGUAGCGCCGUCUCCGACACCCUGCACGCGUCCAUACGACGGUCGAGUCUCCACCGGGAGUCCUUUCAAUAUGUUCAACGCCCGGUUGAAUGGAGUGUCCCACUCGGGCCUCGGCAACGCCUCAGACGGCGAGUCGCUUUCGGCCGCAAUCCUGUGCUGCUCUCUCAGCAAAAGGCACAAGGAUCGUUUACAAAUAUGACUAACGUGCAGUCAAAUUGAUCAGAAACUAAAAUUACCAGCAGUCUCAUGAACUCCAUCGUGACCGAGUUCCUCUUGAAAACCUUCUUCACUGGGUCCCAACGGUGCCAGGCCCUGAGGAUGUCACGCUCCUGCGGGACGGUGAACUCCGCCAAGGGGUCUGGGAUGCCCAGACUCGCGGCUUCCGCGUCCUCCUUGGCCCAUAUGGACCUCUUCCUGCCGUAACCACGGCUUCCGAGGUGGUGGCUCCCAAUGUUCCUCUGUUGAAUCCCCUUCAUGUACUUUGACUUUUUUUGGUAGCUUCAGCCUCGCAAGACGCCUUGAAUAUUUUAAAGUGCUCUGCCGUGAUUGUCGGAUUAUCCUUUACAAUCUCGGAGUAGGGUUCCUUUUUUAUGACGAUCCGAUAUUUCACCCUUGAUUUCCAGGCGGCCAACGCGUCGCUAAACUUGGUCAUGACGUGUUUGUUUAUCUUCUUCAUUGUCGGGUCCUUAUCUGGAUCUUUAUAAUCCUUUUCAUUCCGGCCCAGGAACAAGAAUAUCUGGUGCAGCUUCUUUAGGAGGGAGGGCCUCAUAUUAUCUAUCUUCUUUAGUUUCUCAUCGUUGAUGGUGGCAGUUGUCCGUAUGAUGCAGCCUAUUUGAUUGCCGUAGCACACGCGCGCUUCCUCGAGCGCGGUUGGCUCAAAAUUGCCGUCGUCCACAUCCGUGACCACCAGUCUAGUAGUCACACACACAUUAUAUUCUCGAACCCUUCUCUGCCUAGGACAGAACCCAAUUAAAUUGCAAAGGAACUCCAUUUCUCUAACCCUUCUGACCUAAUGCUCUAAAAUAAAAAAUUUCUCUAACCUAGCCAACCUACUUAAGCUAGCUUGUUAAUCCAACGAACCUAAUUAACCUACCUAUUUAACCUAGUUAGUUAACCUAGUUUACCUAGAUAAUUAACCUAAUUAAACUAGUUAAAUAAAUUUUUGCACUAACCUAGAUAAUUAACCUAAUUAAACUAGUUAACCUGACUAGUUCUCUGUCAAAGCCCUAACUAAAUUUUUGCACUAACCUAGAUAAUUAACCUAAUUAAACUAGUUAACCUAACUAGUUCUCUGUCAAUGCCCUAACUAAAUUUUUGCACUAACCUAGAUAAUUAACCUAAUUAAACUAGUUAACCUAGGUUCUCUGUCCAGUGUUUGUGCUAUAUAUGCAUGAGAGAGAGAGGAGGGGUGGGGGCUUAUAGAGGAUGGCUCCGGUGGUGGCGAGGGAGGCAGUGGUGGUGAGGGAGGCAGGGGCAUCUUCGGUGACAUUGAGGGAGGCAGUUGUGGCGAGGGAGGAUCCGGUGGCUUCGACGGUGGCUCCGGUGGCGUUGAUGAGGCCGCGCGGCUCCGUGGCGUUGGGGGCGGCUCCGGUGGCGUCGACGGCGCGCGGCUCUGGUGGCUCCGGGGGCGUCGACGUCGGCAGGAGACGGCGGCGAAGUGGGGCGACGGUGAAUCGGGGAGACGGCGGAGGGGUGGGUCGAGGGAUUUGGGGGAGAACUGGUGGCCGGGGGGAAAUGGUUUUUUGGUAAACUUAGCGGUAGCGCGUUUCGCAAAACGCGCUAUAAAUAAGGUAGCUAUAGCGGUUUUAGCGAAACGCACCACUGCUAUAGCUAUGUAAUUUCCUUUCAUUUUCUUAUUUCCUUUCCUGUUUCUAUAGCGGGGGCCUAGGAAACGUGUUGCAGCUACAUUAGCUAUAGUGCCUCUUAUGAACAUACGCUACUGCUGCGCCUUUCUCCUUUUUCGCUUUUUCAUUUAUUUUGCCUUACAUUUUAUUUUUCCUUUCUCCUUUUUCUAUUUCUUUCAUUUUCAUUUACUUUUCUAUUUGUUUUUAUUUUAUUUUAUUUCAAUUAGCAGUAGCGCUUUUCAUAGGAAACACGCUACUAAUUAUGUCCUAGCGGUAGCGCGCUUCUUUCAAUCCCGCUACUGCUAUGCGUAGCCUAUCGUCUUAGCAAUGGGAAUAUUAGUAGUAGCGCUUUUACACGUGCAUGCGCUACUGCUACAAUUUUAUCUGUAGCGCCCUUUUCACUCACGCGCUACUGCUAUCUAGCACUAGCGCCCUUUUUUGACCCGCGCUACUGCUAAAUUUCUGUGUAUAAGGUUUUCCCUAGUAGUGGUGGGAAGAUACGCACAUAGGAUUUAACAACAUCAAAUGCGAUAGAUGCUAAACUACGACUAGCUGGUUGUGCUUCCUCCACAGGAAUAGGCGUACUAACUGGUGGAGUUGGGGUUGGCUGUGGUAGUACUGGCCCUUUGGGCACUGGAGCUGCCUUACUAACUGCUCUUGUUUGGGAGCUGUGUGGUAGAGAUGGUGCUGUGUCAACAGGAACUGGGUUACUAUCUGCUGGGGUUGGGGUUAGAUUCGGUGAAGCUAGUUCUCUGUCCAUCGCAGUAGGGGUACAAUCUGCGGGAGUUUGGGUUAUGUGUGGUAGGGCUGGUUCUCGUGCAUGUACAACCGGGGUGCUAUCUCCAGCAAGAGGUAGCACUGUUUUAUUUGAAGACCAUGUUUUUACUCCGCUAGAUACUGGCAUCACCCACUCCAAUUCAAAUGGCUGAUAAACAGGAAACAUAGUUGAAUCUACACACAUUGUAUGAGAGACAGAUGCAAUAGAUAGUGUGGAAAAAAGAGAGCAUGAAAUAGUUGACAUGUAUAUUGUUUAACUAAAACGGAUAGCAUGACAUAAUUUCACAUAUAUGACGUCUAUCUAAAAUGGAUAGCAUAGCAUAACAGAAUUCAAAGAUAUGAUGAAUAACUAAAAAGGAUCGCAUGACAUAAUUCACCUACAUGUUAUCUAAGUAAUCAGGAUCGCAUGAUUUAAGUCACACAUGUGAUUUAUAUGCUAAACAGAGGGCAUUCGAUAUGAUGUCUGAACUAAGAACAUGGUGUUGAAUAUUGCAUAUAUGAUGUCUAAACUAUGCAAUGCAAGACACCAUAUGCAUGAUAUGAGCAGUAUAACCGUGCCAAGUUAGAGCAUACACCUCGGUGGGGGAAUAGGACUGGUCAUCUGUCUCUGAAUCCAUCUCUGAGGAGCUAUCGGGACCCAACAAGAGAUCUGCUUCGACAGGUAGCACUGUCUGUUCUAAAGGCCUUGUUUUCACUCCAGAUUUUUCAUCUCCCACCCAAAUGGCUGAUUCAAGGGAAGAGUAGUUUAAUGUACAAACAUUGUCGACAAACGGAAAUGUAAUGAAGAAAAGGAUGGGCAAGAUAUCAUUCAAAUAUAUGAUGCCUGGUUAAACAGGAUGGCAUUGCACAUUUCACAUAUCUUAUGGCUAGCUAAAAGACAUGAGACUGCAUAAUUCCCAUAUAUGAUAUAGAAACUAAACAGGUGGCAUUACAUAACAUGUCUAAACUAAGCCGAUGACAUAUAUGAUGUCAAAAGUAGGCACUGCAAGGCAACAUAUGCAUGAUAUGACUAACAUCAUCAUGCCAAGGUAGAGCAAACACCUUGGGGGGUAAAUAGGAGUGGUCAGCUGCGUCUGAAUCCGCCUCUGAACAGAUAUCUUCCGCUGGAUUACAAUCUGGAGAUGGGGGGAGGGUUUUCCAUUGAACCCACCAUGGAGCGAUGUCCGCAUGACAUUGUAUUGCCGCGCAAAACUCUUCUCUUUUUCUCUACAUGUUCAGCAUGACUAUGUACAAUAUCUGACAUGCAUACGAAAAAAAUAUGGUGAGAUUAUGUAAGGAGAGCAUGCAGAAAUUUAGAGUGAUGGUAAAAACCAGUGGAUGGAUCCAAAAAUAAUGAUAGCAUGCUGAUGAUUACUUUAAUUUAAUAAAAAGACAGGUGAUGAUUGCAUUACUCUUUGUUUCCCACCCAAGAUGAACAACAUAGGGAUACCCUAGGUGAACCAGAUAUUAGACAGAGAUACUAUUCGUUGCUGCCUCGAUAUGUGCCCCACAACUAAUUUAGAACUCAAGUUUGAACAUUAAUUUGGACCUGACUUGGAGUUCAAGAGGUGAACAGGACGAUAAAGUCGCAAGUAAUUUUAAGCAAUGCAUAACAUAAGCAGAAACAAAAGAGUGCGACCUCUCUUGUGGACCCGUGUACUCCUCAGGUUCAUCUGCUGAGUCGAUGAUGGUGAUGCCGUUGCGGUGGGUGCCGGCGGCAGGGAAGGAGAUCUGAGGCGGCGAAAGACGGUCAGGAGUCGUGAUGUCUGGUUUGGUGGAUGCUUCUGUCGAUGGAGCAGCUCAGGUGAGGUGGACGACGUUGCGGCAGGAGCAGGACAAACCACACAAAGUUCCCUUCGACACCUACCUGUAACUGAAGUAAUUCUGUAAGGGCUCAUUUGGCUUGCAUGAUUCUAAAAAUGCAGGGAUAGGAAAAACACCGGAAUAGGAUAGGAAUGCACAUGGUAAACAGAGCAUUUGUAAGCACAGGAUUUCAGUCAACUUGGGUGUUUGGUUGACAUGAAUUGGAAGAGCAGAGGAAUGCAAAGAAACAUGGCCAAAUUAAAGUGAAACCAUAUGAAAGCGUGUACAGUUAGAAUGUUAUUCUGCCACUAAUGCACUUGUUCUUGUUUUCAUGCAUAGGAUUUUGAAAAGUAGGUCCAGGUGGAUGUUUUGCUCCAUUCCUUUCAACAAAAUGCAUGAAUAAUUGAAUAGUAGAGUGCCACAAUUCCCUAUUGCUAUGUUUUUCCGUUGAACCAAAAUAGCCCUAAUGGAUCGACAUGAAUGUAUAGUAAUAAGUGAUGCAACAAGUGUACAACCUCUUUGUCGUAGCCGUGUCGACCUCAGCAUCAUUUGGUUGGUCGCUGAAGCAGUUGAGGCAGAGGUGGCUGUCGGAGGUGUGGAGGAAGAUCUGAGGAAUCUGUAGACGGCGUCGAGGGCACUGCUCUGUUGUGAUGGAUCGUUCUGUCGUUGGAGCAGCUCCGGUGAGCCGUAAGACGUCAACGCUGAAGCAGCACAAGACAGACAUCGUUAAUCUCAAGUGGGAUUCUAAUAGUAUCUCCAAUAGAUGAUGUAAAAUAGAUGUAAAAUUUACAUCACCAAAAACCGCGUGACUACAACAGAUGAGGUAAAAACUGUUGACUCUGAACUUAACUGUCGAAACUGAAAUUUACUGUGGAAUCUGAAUGUUACUGUCGAAACUGAAUGCAAUGGUAGCAGAGAGGCACUUGACAUGUAGAUUAGGGAGGGAUUGCAGUUCAUCUUCCCCUGAGCCGCCAGCCACCACCGGCCGAACCGGCGGCCCCAGCGCCGCCUCGCCGCCCCGAAACAACUCCCCACCGCCGGUCCGCCGCCGCCCCGCCGCCCCGGCCAGCCCUCUAGCCCCCCCUGCCCCCACCCUGAAGCCUAAGAUAGAUAGUGGGGUACCUCUCCGACGAGCCCCCCUCCCCACUGCGGGUGGUUCUUCCUUAACUCCGGCGAGCCCCCCCUGAAAAUCGACUGACCCAAAAGUUGAUUCAGUCGACUGAAGUGUAGCUAAAUCGGAGCAGAGGAGCAGCACGAGCGAGAGGGAGAGCAGCAGCAGUGCGAGCAAGCGAGAAAGAGCCGGAACAGCAGCGGCAGCAGCGUGAGCGAGCGAGAGCCAGAGCAGUAGCAGCUGGGCGAGCGAGCGAGAGCCGGAGCAGCAGCAGCAGCGCGAGCAAGCAAGAGCCGGAGCAGCAGCAGAUUCGGCUGGUAUGGACGCCGCCGCCGAAGGGGCCUCGCACAGGGGCAGAGCCGCCGUGGAGAUGUCGCCCGCGGCGCCGGCUUCAAGGUAGCCGCUCCAUGGGGGUGCGGGAUGGAGCACCAUCGGCGCCGGGAGGUCGAGUUAAGGAGAAGGUGCGAUGCAAUGAGUGUACAACUUCUUUAAUGGCGCCGAGUAGGCCUCGGCUUCGUCCGAGGAGUCGGUGAGGAUGUUGUUGUUCCGGUGGAGCAGGUUAAGGCGGCGCUGUGGGGAUGGAGCAGCCGCGAUAGAUGAGGCGAUCGUCGGAGCAGCUCCUUGGAGGUGGAGGACGGGGCGGCUGAACCGGCGGGACAACGAGAUGGACGACGGAUCCUCAUCCGGGGAGGUGGACGAGGGACGUAGAGCUGUUGCGGUGGAUGAUGUCGUCGGGGAUGAGGCUCCGGUUGGGCAGCGGUGAGGUGGCGACGGAGGAGGGUGGGGUUUCGCGGCUGGAGCGGAGAGGUUAUGGCGGCCUGGGAGUUCGAAUGGCGAAAAGGAGGCGAUGGGAGGGGGUGAACCAUGACUUAGGGACGCGCUUGUCCAAUAUGUAGGGUGUGUUACAAAAGUACCCGCACCGAUUUGCACUAGCGGCCCUUUUGGCUUGGGGUUAGAAGGGGGAUUUUGCGUGUCGGGAUUUGGCAGCUGGAAGGAGUUUUCGCGCGCGUUGUAAUUUCGGGAUAGCAAGGCACGGGUUGUGAAGGCGCCAGUUUUGGGAGCACGAUAUCUGAAUUUUUGGGAUAUAACAAGGCGCGGGUUGAAUUUUAGGGACAAGCCUAACGUGUAAUAUUGUACUUGUACGUACCAAAUCGUGCUCCCAAAACUGGCACCUUGCUAUCCCAAAAAAUUUAGGGACAAGCCUAACGUGUAAUAUUGUACUUGUACGUACCAAAUCGUGCUCCCAAAAUUUUAGGGGCACGAUAUCUUCUUCAAGUAUCCGUAUCCACUUUUUUAUAAUGAAUUAUGAUCUUUGUUCGUCUUUUACAGCUUCACGAUCCUCUUCUAUUUGUAGCUAGCUAGCGCUAACUUUCUAUCAUGCAUGCACACGCUCGCCCCUCUCUCACCCUCCCUCAGCAUCCCCUCCAUCGCGCACGUUCGUUAUUUCUCUUUAGGUCAUUCACCCGCAGUGUGUGUAGGCCCCCAGCUCCUUCUUUCCGGCACACACCGGUCGAUAUACCUCUCUAGCCAAGUGUGCCUACCACAAACACAUAUAUACUUCCCCUCUUCUCUUCUCACCGUCCAUGCCCCCCUAUGUCCAAUACGGUUCCACGCAGGUGCACAUUCCCGCCCCUCUUUUCAUUGAUCUCAUACUCGCACACUCCUCCCCCCUCGACAUGGUAGGCCUAUCACACCACCUCCUAGCCGCACCCCUCUCCCAUGUCUGUCUCUCCGAACCUUAUUUGCUUCUAACACAUGCAUGCAUGUAUACGUACCGAUCUCCCUACAUAUAGCCAGGUCGACUAUAAUUCGUUUUCCCCACGCACCGAUACACUUACCUCGCUAGUUAUGUCUCUCCCUUUCUUGGGCACACUGAGGGAGUCCUGGACUAAGGGGUCCUCAGGCGUCUGGCCUGUUAGCCAUGGGCCGGACUGAUGGGCCAUGAAGAUGUGAAGGCCGAAGACCCUCCGCGUGUCCGGAUAGGACUCUCCUUGGCGUGGAAGGCAAGCUUGGCGACCAAUUAUGUAGAUUCCUGUUUAUGUAACCCUAGAUCUCUCCGGUGUCUAUAUAAACCGGAGAGAGUCCGGAUAGGCCGACACACACAUUAUCAUAACCAUAGGCUAGCUUCUAGGGUUCAGCCUCUACGAUCUCAUGGUAGAUCAACUCUUGUAAUUCUCAUAUUCAUCAAGAUCAAUCAAGCAGGAAGUAGGGUAUUACCUCCAUAGAGAGGGCCCGAACCUGGGUAAACAUCAUGUCCCCCGUCUCCUGUUACCAUCGACCUUAGACGCACAGUUCGGGACCCCCUACCCGAGAUCCGCCGGUUUUGACACCGACAUUGGUGCUUUCAUUGAGAGUUCCACUGUGCCGUCGACAAAGGGCUCGAUCGUCCAUGAUGACGUUGUCCAGGGAGAAACUUUCCUCCCCAGACAGAUCUUCGUAUUCGGCAGCUUCAUACUACGGGCCAACUCGCUUGGCCAUUUGGAGCAGGUCGAUAGCUAUGCCCCUGGCCAUCAGGUCAGGUAUGGGAGCUCUAACUAUGUCGCGGACAUCCGUGGAGACUUGAUCUUCGAUGGAUUUGAGACCGCAGCAACCGCUCCCCUUCGCCCCGAUGAGCACGGCUUAAAUCUGCGAUGGGGCCGCAUCCAAGAGAUAGCUCCUGGGACAACUCCGGCCUUAGAUCUGGAGCAGAUCGGGUCAUCCGAAUACGGGAAGCUUAACCCCAUCACGGAGGCUGUCGAGUCCGCGGCGUUGGAGCCGCACACAGAUUCUGCUUCAUAUGAUAUCUGUAUCAAUAGAACCCCGGACUCGUCUCCGGCGAUAAGUUCUGAACCCUGCGAGUCCGCGAAUACCGAACUCGAUCGGUUAUCGAUCUUCAAGUUCAGCGCCGCAGACAUCUUUCAGCACUCACCUUUGGGCGAUGUGCUAGAUUCUUUUAAGAAGCUGUCCUUGCCAGGGAACUCACGGCCAAACUAUGACCAGUUCGGGCAAGGGGCUAACGAGGGGGAAUUUUGUUUCCCACCCAUCACCCACUUCAUAGCCACCGUCGAUGACUUAAACGACGUGCUUGACUACGGCUCCGGAGACAUCGACGGUGUGGACGACGAUGCCAAUCAGGAGCAGGGACAGGACCCGCCAUUCACUGGACCCUGGACGGCCACUUCCUCAUAUGAUGUCUACAUGGUAGACAGGCCAAAAAAUAACAGCAGCGAUGGCGGGGAGAGUCCAGCAAAGGAGGACCCCCCCUAAAACAGAGCCAAAGUGCCGACUUCAGCGGCGCCUAAGUCCCGCCGCAGCAGGGACAACAAUACCAGCACAGGAGAUGACAACACUCCGGAUGGCGCCGAAGAAACAGAAGAACCCGAUGAGCAAACUAUCGAGUGAGACAAUCAGGAGCCAUGGCAAGUCAACCCUGACGAACAGGCCGCAGAAGAAAAUUCGGAGGAUGAUAGUUACCAUCCGCCCUCCGAAGAAGAGACGAGCCUCGACAACAAAGACUUCAUCGUGCCUGAGGACCCUCUGGAACAGGAGCGCUUUAAGCUUCAACUAAUAGCCACUGCAAGGACCCUGAAGAAGAAACAACAACAGCUUCAAGCUGAACAAGACCUGCUGGUCGACAGAUGGACCGAUGUCCUGACAGCUGAAGAAUAUGGCCUUAAGCGCCCAGCCAAGAGCUACCCGAAACGCAAAUUGCUACCUCAGUUCGAUGAGGAGGCACCGGAGGAACACUUACCUCCCUUGCGUAAUGUGGAACGACCACCUCGAGUCCGAAACAGUGCGGCGGACCGACCACCCCGUGGUCCGGAUAAAGCGGCAACUCAAACCGAGCAGCAGCCUGCUCCACCGCCCCGUAAAAAUAGAGACAGAACAACUCGAGAUCACACGUACGACCUGCGGCAGACCCUGCGCAGUAGAGCAGGACAUACAAGAUCGAUCUACGGAUCACGAGGACGUUACUCGAGACACGACGACGGCUACCUAUUCGGACGUGGCAAACCUACCACGCCCGAGCCGAAUGCCGCAGAUGGACUCCAUCAGAGCUACGUCGCGAUGCGGCCCGAUACAGAGGCGCCGCACACCCCCUCUACUUCACGAACAAAGUACUGGAUCACGAUUUCCCUGAGGGGUUCAAGCUCGUCAAUAUGGAAUCAUAUGACGGCACAACCGAUCCCGCGGUAUGGAUCGAGGACUUUAUUCUCCAUAUCCACAUGGCUCGCGGAGAUGAUCUCCACGCCAUCAAAUACCUCCCACUAAAGCUCAAAGGGCCGGCUCGGCACUGGCUUAACAGCCUGCCUGAAAAUUCCAUCGAUGACUUAAGCCAUAUAGUUCAACAACCUGGAGAAUCAGCCAGGCAGUUCUGGACUCGGUUCCUAACCAAAAAGAACCAAAACGUCGACUGUCCGGAUGCCGAAGCCCUAGCGGCCUUUAAACAUAGCAUCCGUGACGAAUGGCUCGCCCGCCACCUCGGCCAGGAAAAGCCAAAAUCUAUGGCAGCCCUCACGGCACUCAUGACCCGCUUUUGCGUGGGUGAGGAUAGCUGGCUGGCUCGCAGCAAAAAUAUAGCUAGCGAAACAGACCCCUCCGAGGUCAAAAGCAGCAGCGGCAGGCUCCGACGUAACAUGCAUAAACGCCGAAACAACAGUGACAACACCGAUGACACUGCAGUCAAUGCCGGAUUCAGUGGCUCCAAGUCCGGGAAACGGAAGAAACCGUACAAAGGGAACAAUCAGGGACCGUCCAGCUUAGACCGCAUUCUUGAUCGUCCGUGCCAGAUACAUGGCACCCUAGAUAAACCAGCCAAUCAUACCAACAAGGAUUGUUGGGUUUUUAAAUAGGCAGGCAAGCUAAACGCCGAAAACAAGGAAAAGGGAUCACAAAGUGAGGACGACGGUGAAGGGCCCUGGCAACCGAACACAGGGGGACAAAAGAAGUUCCCCCCCAGGUCAAAACGGUGAACAUGAUAUAUGCUACACACAUCCCCAAAAGGGAGAACAAGCGCGCACUCAGGGACGUCUAUGCGAUAGAGCCAGUCGCCCCAAAAUUCAAUCCGUGGUCGUCAUGCUCGAUCACCUUCGGUCGUCGAGAUCAUCCGACUAGUAUUCAUCAUGGCGGUUCAGCCGCACUAGUCCUCGAUCUGAUCAUCGAUGGAUUCCACCUGACACGUGUCCUUAUGGACGGCGGCAGCAGCCUCAACCUUCUCUAUCAGGAUACAGUGCGGAAAAUGGGCAUUAACCCCUGACGGAUCAAGCCCACAAAGACUACCUUUAAAGGAGUCAUCCCCGGCGUAAAGGCCCGUUGUACGGGCUCAAUCACGCUGGAGGUGGUCUUCGGAUCUCCGGACAACUUCCGCAGCGAAGAACUCAUCUUCGACAUCGUCCCCUUUCGCAGCGGCUAUCAUGCCCUGCUCGGACGAACUGCGUUUGCCCGAUUCACUGCGGUGCCCCAUUAUGCUUAUCUUAAGUUCAAGAUGCCCGGUCCACGCGGCGUUAUAACAGUCAAUGGAAAUACAGAACGUUCUCUCCGUACAGAAGAACACACCGCCGCCCUAGCAGCAGAGGUACAGAGCGGCCUUCUCAAGCAGAACCGGAAUCCGGCCGCCGAGCCCCUGGACACAGUCAAAAAGUCCGAACCACGCUGCAGGAGGACAACCCUGCUCGUCAUGAGCUCAACUAGCAGUCCGACCUCCGUCCGGGCCCUGAUCACAUAGUAGCGCGAGUACCAUGCGUACAUAACUACCCACUCAAAAUACCAUGGGCACCGACGGAGGUAUACCUUGUGGUCCAUAGUACGGUUCGACCGACCUGGGACUCACUCAUACUUUCAUCCUUUUUCUUCUUUUUUAUUUGUUUCAGGUUCCUUUUCCCGCGGGCCUGAUCACCAGUCCUUUCGCAGGAUCGACACACAAGGGCGGCAAGCAGCAUAGGUGUGUAGGGUAACCUCUAUACAUUCUUCUUGACGGUAUUUCUACUUAUUUCUCAGGACCCACAUGCUGCGUGUCAGUACCCCGAUUCUAAGUCACACCGAUCUAGCCUGUAACACCUCAUAUCACUUUGCGGCCUCACGCACGGUAUUCCCACGGGUGUCGCCUUAUCAUGGCCCGGGACCAUUUGCGCCUUUUGGCUCACGUAUAUGAUAGUGUCGCUAGCAUCCAUAUGACAGAGAACCCGGGCCGACAUGACUAGUCGUGAACCCAAAGUGGCACAAACUUACGGGGACAGGCAUACAUGAAUCAACAUCGAGCAUGUCGGUCAGCAGCGUGCGAAUCCGGGCUGUAGCACUGGGCUAACAGGACUCUGGGAACCCGGGCUGUAGCAGGCUAGGCAGGACUCCGGAUGUCACCGCGUGACAUUUCCCCGAAGGGACAGACACAGGAACGAAGUGAAACACAUGCCGUCUAGUCAAGUGUUCCGGAACAGUAGUGCUGGGCUAGCAGGACUCCGGUGAACCAGGCUGUAGCGGACUACUAUGGCUCAUGGAAGCACAAGACUACAUUUCCCCAUAAGAGAGGCCACCAAGGAUAAACAACUAGGUUGUCGGAUCCCACACAUACCAAGCAUUUCAAUCAUACACACAAUAUGCUCGAUAUGUGCAAAUACAACAUGGCAUCACAACAAGACUCUACGACUCAGAGUAUUUAUUGAUUAGGCUCUGAAGAGCCAGAUAUUACAAACAUGGGUCUCUCGACCCAGCAUUCAGAGCAUACACGUCAAACACAUGCGGAAGCUUAACAUGUCUGAGUCCAGACAACUAUAAAUGAAAAGGCUGAGAAGCCUGACUAUCUACUAGAUCCUGUCGAGGGCACAAUAUCGCAGCUGAGGUAACAAGCUAAUGGUCGAAGUCCAAGCGGUACUACUAGCGGGGCUGAAGUCUCUCUGCAAAAACGUAAAAUAGGCAAAUGUGAGUACAAAUGUACCCAGCAAGACUUACAUCAGAACUAUCUACAUAUGCAUCAGUAUCAAAAGCGGGUGGUGGAGUUUAACUGCAAUAAGCCAGCUUUGACUCGGUGGCUAUCCUAAACUACAACUGCAAGUAACUCUUUUGAGGUGGCGCACACGAGUCCACAUAUUCACCAUUUCAAUACACCACUAUGGAUCCGUUCCCGUCUCCCUACGAGAACGCCAUCCAUAGCACUCACCCUUAUCUUGCGCAUUUCAGAGUAUCCACUUUCACUUGUCUAUGAACUGUUAUAGGCAACCCAGAAGUCCUUUACCGCGGACACGGCUAUUCGAAUAGAUGAUGUUAACCCUGCAGGGGUGUACUUCUUCACACACGCUCUCGCCACUUACCGCCAUGUACACAUCAUGUAUCUCGGCAACCUUCAAGCGGAAGCCUGGCGAGGGUGUCGGCCACGGCCUACCUAAACACUCAAGUCUCUAGUCCAGGUUUAUCGCCUAUUCAGGUUCCAUCUGCAGGGAGUCCGCCCGAGGUUUCCACAUACGGCCCCGAACGAUGUGUGCAGGGUUCCCGAGACACCGAACGGGCGCCCGGUACACCGUGCCACGUGCCUACCGCAUCAUAGCCCACCCCUCGAGUCAGCGCUGCCCACGGCCUCCAGCAUACUACAAAUACCAGAAACUACUUACAACUCCUGGACAGAGGACAAGGGUGGUUAAGAAGCCGAGAGAGUCAAUUAAGGAUCCCAAUGUGUGGUAGUAGCUGUUCAUGGAUCACAAACACAGAACUCAGUUCCUGAGGACGGUUUCAAUGAGACAACCCACCAUGUACUCCUACAUGGCCUCUCACCGCUACCUUUACCAAUCGUGUUCACACACUUAGCUCACACACAAUAGGACAUGUUCAUCACCACUCCAAUUCAUCCCCGAUGAAUCAGACCCGACUCAACUCUAAGCAGUAGCAGGCAUGACAAACAAACAUGAAUGAGUAGGCACAUCAGGGCUCAAACAACUCCUACUCAUGCUAGUGGGUUUCAUCUAUUUACUGUGGCAAUGACAGGUCAUGCAGAGGAUAAGGGGUUCAACUACCGCAACAAGUAACAGUUGAAUCGUUGUUGUCCUAAUGGAGUAAAAGAGAGCAGGAGCGAGAGAGUAGGAUUGUAUCGGAAUGAACAAGGGGGGUUUUGCUUGCCUGGCACUUCUGAAGAUAGUAUAGUUCUUCAUCGGUGUCAUCGAACUCAUCGUCGGAACGUCGUCUACUGAGAGGGGGCAAUUACCGGCAAACAAGGAAGAAUACAAUCAAUGCAAUGCAACAAUAUGAUGCAUGAUCAUGACAUAGCAAUAUGCUGUGAUUUGGGCUAAUGCAAUAGAAAGUCAUUUUAAUUGAAGUGGAAUUCAAAACUACAUCAAAUUCCAACUCCAAACCUAUUAUGAAAUUUGCCCUAAUCAUGUUUCAUCCUAAACAGUGAGGUUAACUUGCUCAAACAUGCAUGAAAAUGACAUAAACAGAUUCUUUGGAUUUUUCUAAUCAUUUUUCAUAUAUAAUUCUUUUCAAUCUGAGUUAUAGAUUAUUUUCUAUGAUUUUUAGAAGUUUGCUACAUUUUCUGGAAUUUCCUAUAUAAAAAUAAAUCCAAAAAUUCCUUUACUGCGUCAGCAUGAUGUCAUCACCGCGUCAGCGAGUCAACGGGCUGGCCAGGGUCAAACCUGACCAGCGGGACCUACUGGUCAGUGACCCUGGGUUAGUUAGGUCGCCGACAGGUGGGCCUGGUCAACGUUGACUAAGUCAAAGUCAAGCUGACACGUGGGGUCACAUGCUUAGCACUAAUCUAAACAUAAAAAUGGGCGCUGGGGCCCACAUGGCAGUGGCUCUAGGGUGAUUAGCGCGGUCAUUAGUCUAAAUAACUUGUGGUUAGGCCGGAGUUUAGCCGGCGGCGACAGCACGCACGGCGGAGGCUCACCGGAAUUCCUCCUCCGGCGGCCUAAAGCGCGAUGGAGGGCAUCUACGCGUUGCUUGUGCUCGUCCGCAUCGAGCAGUACAAGCAGCAGUGGCUAGGGCGGCCCGUAGCGACGGCAAUGGCUACAAGUGCGGUCACCGGAGCUCGGUGGUGCACGAGCGCAGGGCUACGGCUCGCCCUCGAGGGAACCAGGUAGCUAGGCCGCAUCUAGGGGGCCCUAGGAGCACGGUGGGCAGCACAGAUGGGCGUGGUAAGCUCAGAGGUGAGCAGGAGGUCGGCCAUGGCGGGCGACGGCCUCGGGAGCUCGUGGGGCGGCGGCUAGAGGAAGCUAGCGAGAGGGGAAGGUGAGGGGAAAAGCUCAGGGGCUCACGGUGAUGUCGGUAGGGUGGUCAGUGGGCUCGGGGACGCGCUCGGGGCGACGAAUCGACAACGGCGAUCUCCGGCGGCCGAAGCUCCAAGACGAGGUCGAGGGCGACGAUGCGGGGCUUCCGGCGUCGCGUGAGUCGGCGAUGAGGAAGAGGGCAUCGCAGCGGACCUCGGGGACAGCUUGGAGAGACGAGGAGGUGGCUGUGGCCGCGGUGGUCGGCGAUGGUGGCGACGGGUGCGCUCGGGUGGGUGAGAGAGAGGGGUCCAGAGGAGGGGAACGGGGAAGAGGGGGAGAGCGAGGGGGUUCAGACGGCUCCAGGGGGUCGGGGCGUGUGCGUGGCGUGCUCAGGGCGCCUCGGGGAAGCAGGAGGUGGCUCGCGCGUGGACGCGCGCGGCGAGCACACGCCUCUGUCCUCCUGGCGAGAGGAGAGGGACGACUGGCAUCGGCAGGUGGUGGGCUGGGCCAGCCGGCUUGCUGGGCCGCCAGGUGAGCGUCAGGUAAGGCCCAGGUAAAACCCUUUCCCCUUUUGUUUCUGUUUUCUAUUUCUGACAUUUGUUUUAAUUUGGUUUUUGAACCAAAUCAAUUCAUUUUCUUCUGAAAGUUAUUAUAGGAACUAGUUGGAUUGUUCCAAAGCCCCACACUAAAAAUCAGAAUUAUUGGACAUAUAUUAAAUAUAUAACUUUUAUAAAUCCAAUGCAAAUAGUUAUUCAAUUAAUUUCAAAUGCCCAAAAUAAAUAUUUCUAAGACUCCAAAAAUAUUGGUUUGAAUUUUAGCUCUUGCUAAUAUUUUCAGGGAUUAGCAGGAACAUUUGUUGGGCUCAUUUGAAAAUAUUUUAAUGUUGAUCAUUAUUUUAAAAGAUUUCUGAGGCUUGAGAAUUCCCUCAAUUCAAUUUCCUUGAAUUUAAGAUGAUGCAUGGAUGCAUAUGCAAGGACAAGCAAAGGCCAAAGCUAGGGCUGUGACAACUCGCCCCCACUAAACAAGAAUCUCAUCCCGAGAUUCAAGACGUGAGGUAAGAAGACAGAGGGGACACAAAGCUAACACGAUCUUCAGGGUCCAACUGUCCUUCUCGAAGAUGUUGACUCAUUGCUUCAAAUUGAUCUUGACGUCUUUGCCUUCGAGAUCUUUAUCCAACACGAUGAUGGCAGAAAGAAACUCUAUAGAAAUCGAUCUCCUUAAAGAUCAAGAACUCACGAUCAACUCACGGAGUGAGACGUUGAACAUCUCUUGAGCUGAGACUCAAACACAUACAUCGGGAGAGGUGGAUAGUAACAGAUGACGAGGGUUCAAGUUGGUAAGCACAACACUUAAGUAAGAUGGUGCAAAGUUUCAGAGUAGCGAGGAGUUGAUUGCAAUGAUUCUGAACGGGGCACCUUAGGGAAGGUGACUCGUAGAAUUAGUGGCAAAAAGGAUUACUUUUGAUACGGAGAUCAUUGGAACUCUUCUUACCGGCCUAAGGCAAUUUACAAACGAUCCUUUGAUGGAGUUCGAAAGAGUGGCAUACUCAAACUAGAGUGGAUGAUGUGGACUACCUUGUUGAAGACAACGCAAUGGAUUAUUUUUGCUUAUCAUCGGAUGUGGAUGGGACCCAUGGUAGGACCACUUUUGAAGAUGAUCCUGAACAGCAAUUACUGAGAAGGGUAGCCCAUGGAAAAUUGGCACAAUGGCGGUGCAAGCUGGGAACAAAAUGCAAUUUUUGGGAAUGUUCCAACCAUCAUAUAUGCCUGAGAUUCAGAUCUGGUUGGUGUCAGGAUAUUCCAGACUCAUCAAGUCUACAAGAAAAAUGAAGGUUUGCAACACAAAUCGACGAGAUGCCGUUGCGAGAUUCUCGGGAAAUGGACUACGGUAGUAAGCUCCAAACAUGAGCUGGUUCUGCUACAAACAUGUGAACACGUUGUCCCAGACAAGCAUGCCCACAUGGUAGUCUUACAAUAAAACACUACCAAGUUCUGGUUGGGAACCAUCAACGAGGAUAUCGAAGUUCUUUCAUAAGUCCGGAUUAGCUCUUAUGAAGGAAGUCCUUCUCCUUGAACAAAUCAGUCAGUGGCUUGGUGUGUUAGAGAAUUCAUAUGGAAUGAAGAUGAUCAGUCUAACAGACCACGGAAUACUUCGCACGUGCAUAACUGACUUGGGAUGAUUCCAGAGGAGGCAAAACAAACUUUCUUGAAUUCACGGCGGCAACUUGCAUCAAUGCACGUGAACUAAGAGGAAGUCACUACUUAUGUCGGGUGGUUGGUGCGACAUAUGCCAAGGGAUGGCUUAUCAUUGUGGGAGCCAAUAAAACGUCGCCGGUGCCUGGAAACGGGAUGAGGCGAAGACAUGCACGCCGGCGAAUCUUACCCAGGUUCGGGGCUCUCCGAGGAGAUAACACCCCUAGUCCUGCUCUACGGGGUCUCCGCAUGAUCACUAGAUCGAUAAAAGGUAGCUACAAUCGCUCCUAGAGCUGUUGAGAUCAAGGGAGAAGAAGAACAAGGCUAGCUCUUGCUUCUCUCUAUCUAUGGUGUGUGUGCUAUGCUUAGAAGGCAACUCUAUGCUCAGAAGCCAACUAUGCUUAGAUGCCAACCCUUUGCAUGGGUGCUCCGGGGGGUUUAUAUAGGCCUACCCCCCGGGGGUACAAUGGUAAUCCGGCUGGGCUCUGGUCCCAGCCGUCAGUGUCUACGCUCGCCGGCUUCUCCGCCGGCUGGUGGGUCCCGCCGGCUGGUGGGUCCCGCCGGCUGCCGGCUACUUGGUCAACAGGCCGGCCCCACCGCCUAGGGUCUUGUCAGCGGCUGCUUACUGUUGCCUCGCCUGUGAUGACGAGGGCUUUGUCUAGGUAAGCGUGGCUACAGUGGGCCGCCUCGGGGGCUAUCACUGUAGCCUUACCUCGUCUUGUCUCCUUAAUGGGGCUCCUGCUUCGAGGAAGGGAAUAGCCGGCUUCUGGAGGCCGGCUACGCUCUUGGCCGACUGGGAAAGACCGGGCCGCCUUCACGCCUCUCUCUGGCUGAAGGGGCCCGCCGCCCGCGGGCCGUACGGGAGUCGGUCGUGGGUGACGUCGAGGCUAGUAUGGCUACAGUGCCGGGCCGCACGGGAGUUGGCCGUCCCGUACGGCCUCCUGUAGCCAUGCCUGCCUCGGGCUUUGGGGGUAGUGGGCCGCACUGUGGCCACACCCCGUUGCGUCGCCGUUAUGUGGGAGUGGCUUGAAGUGGUUGUGGUCUUGGCCGGCUCCUAGGAGUCGGCGUCCUUCUUGGCCGGCUUCUUGGAGUCGGCCACCCCGUAGUCGUCCUGGGGAGGAGUUGGUGAGGCUGGGUCGCCUUCUAGGAGUCGGCUUCAGAGGUAGCCGGCCAGGGAAGGCGGCCCAAAUGCUCGGAGUGCUUGGAGGCCCGAAGGCCUGAUAAUUUUUUCAGAAGAACCAGGGGCAGUCGGUUAGGCUACCCGUGGCCAUUUACUCCGACAGUAGCCCCGAAGCUGAUCGGGCUUCGAGGCGGAGUGGGGGUUGAGAAGCUCGAUCGGCUUCCUAUCGUGACAAGCCGGCAGCUGGGAGCCGGCCUUGGUCAGGCGCGUCGCCUGAGUCGAAAUCUUCUGGAGUCGGAGGGCGGGAACCCGCUGGCACGUGCAUCGGGCCGCGGGCCGGCCACGGGCCGUCGGCGAACCACGUGGCCGGAAAGCCUGCCAGCCCACGCGCAUGACGGGAUGUCGCCGCAGGGAGGGGGGCCGCCACGUCCGCGCCGCGGCCCAGGCGCGGAUCCUUUGUAUCCCGAAACCGCCCGCACGUUCCGUGCGGCAGUUUCGGCUCGCACUUAUGCGCAAUAAUCGCGAGACGUGGGGGGAGUGGGCGUAGUUAAUCCCACGUCUCCCCCCCCCCCACGUCCGGCCUCUUCGGCCUCGUGAGGCUAUAAGUAGGGGGAGGUGGAGGGCGGCAGGCCCUCGCACGCUCCUCCUACUUCCACCGUCUUCUUCGUCUUGUUAGUUCUUGCGACAGCGCCUCGCCGCCGCGCUCUUCCACCGCACGCUCCUCCGCCGUCAUGCUUGCUUUCGCCAUGCCUCCCACCGUAGAGCAGCUUGGCGGGGAUUGGGACGGCUCCAACGUCCAUGACGACCACGUCGACUUUCUCCGCGACACGCGGCGGCUGCCCAGCGCAGACAAAGUGGAGGUCCGCCUCGCGCCGGUGAAGGAAAUCAGGCCGCAGCCGCAGGAGGGCGAGCGGGUAGUCUUCCGCUCGCACUUCUUGCGCGGCUUCGGCCUGCCAGUGAGCGCCUUCUUCCGCUCCUGGCUCGAAUUCUAUCAGCUUCAGCCGCACCAUCUCACCCCCAACACGGUGGUGCUGCUGUCGGCCUUCGUCACCCUGUGUGAGGGCUAUCUCGGCGUCCUCCCCACCCUUGAGCUCUGGGGGGAGUUCUUCCAGUCGAAGCUGGGCACGCGCAGUAAAGGCGUGCCGGCUCAUACUGGCGCCUUCAUCGCGUCGCGGAGAUCGGGCGCCGACAACCCCUUCCCCGUCAUCACGUUGAUCCAAUAGGUGAAGAAGUGGCAGAAGUCGUACUUCUACGUGCGGAACAUUGCUCCACGGGGCGACUACAUCAACCUGCCGGCUUACGUAGCCGGCCCACCGGCGGGGAGGCUGCCCCAGUGGUCCUUCCGGGCGGUGACGCUGUCACAGGCUGGAAACGCCGCCAUCGCCCGACUGCGGGUGAUGGUCCAGUCGGAGGGCCUAACGGGGCCCGAUCUUCUGGCUGCGUUCGUCAUGCGCCGGGUCCUUCCGCUCCAGAGCCGGCCUCAUCUGAUCUGUCAAAUGAGCGGCCAGCUCGAUCCGAGCCGGAUGUGCACCAAGGAGAUGCCGCGCCAUGAGGUCGCCUACAUGGUGAACUACCUUGCAAACUGCCAACUCACUUAAGAGUGGUAGUUUGCCAAGGAGCCAUAUAGCCGAGCCAAUCCUCCGCCUACGGUACGCUCCCCUUGUCUCUUUUUCUCUCUCUCUCAGCCUUGUUGCCGAGCAUCUCUUGGCCGACUCUAACUUAGUCGGCUUGUUCUUUGACAGAGCCCUCUGCUUCGGCCGGCCGGUGGGUCAGACGUGGAGCGCCGCUUCGUCCCCGACCGGACCGAGCACGACCUGGAGGACCCCGACCUGGGGGCGGUCCAUAUGGACGACGUCGUCGAGCCGGGCGGUGGCCAAGCCGGCGGCGAAGCAGGCGGCUCCGGGUUCACUGCUACCUUUGACGACUGGCCGGACGAGGAUGAAGCCGAAGCCGUCCCGCGCCGCCAGCCGGCAUCUGGACGCGGCGCGGGCUCCUCCACCGCGCAGCCUGCUCGGGGUGGAGGGCAGAAGCGUCGCGCCGCCCAGGGUCUAUUCGGCAGCCGAACGAAGAAGCCCAGGGGCGGGGCGGCAGCCACCAGGCGGGAAGAGGCGGCCGCGAAGGCGGCUCGUUUCCGCAAAGUGGUGAAGCAACCGCAGACCAUGUCCGCGUAAGUUCUCUUUCUAUGUGUACUCUCUUUCUUUCUUUCUUUGGUGGUUCUGAACCUUUGUCUUUUUCUUCAACGAUCAGAGCUCUGUUGUCACUUGAGCGGGCAGCUGCCGGCUCAGUCGUCGAGUCGCCAAGGGGCUCUGGGAGCACCACCCGCCGCGUGGACCCCCGCGCCGACCUCCAGGAGGCGACGGAAAGGAACGCGCGGGAGGCGCGGGAGGAGCAGGAGGCACGGGAGGUGGAGGCUCGGAAGGCGUCCGCCGCCUAGGCGGCUCGGGAGGAGGAGGCGGCGAAGGCACUCGCCGAGGCCGCAGCCAGGGCCCAGGCAGAGGCUGAGGCCGCGUCGACGGCGGGGGAGGUUUUGAUAGUCACCCCCCUGCGCGCCAUGGCGCCUGGGGACAUGGAGCCCUCGCCAGGGGGAGUCAGCGGCGACCAGCCAGGACUGGCGGGAAGCGGCGACGACGUCAUCAUCUUGGAGAAGGCGUCGGAGCCGACCCCUCCGACUGGGGCGGCCCAAGGUGGCUGGCCUGAACCGCCGCCUGCACAGUCGGCGGAGGGCGAGCCGGCCGCGGGGGUUGAGGUGGCGGUCAGGAUUCCGCCAAGCCGACGUGCGGGGAAGGCCGUGUCGGAGCCGCAGAAGGCUGCGUCGGAGCCACAGCCGGCCGUGGGCUCCAGCUCGUCGGCCCAAGAUGCGGAGGCGGCCAGCGCUACCUCGAGGUGGACACUAGGCGGAGGGACGGCCGUGGUAAACGUGGCUGCACAAGACGUCCGGACCCGGCUCCAAGGCCAAGCCGCAGCGCUGAGGCAGUUCACCGACGAGUUCCUCGCAACGAGGGCGGCCAUCCGGGUUAGUAUUCCCAUCUUGUUCUUUCUUGAUCUUGAUUUCUCUUCUUGAUCUUGAUUUCUUCCGUGGGGGCGCGUCAGCGCACCCACUGGGUGUAGUCCCCGAGUUCCGAGUCGGCUGCUGAGCAGGCGGCUUGGAACUUCUUGGAGGUUUUUGUCUUUGCUGUUUUUGUUCUCACUUCGGUCUUCUGCCCAUCUUGCAGGACUACCACAACCUUCGAGCGGCCGCCUUCAACUCCCAGGCUCGGGAGCUGACUCAGAAGACCGCCGACCUUACUGAGAGCCGAGGUACGUGACUUGAUCUUUAUCUCAUGUGGGGGCGCGUCAGCGCACCCACUGGGUGUAGUCCCCGAGAUUCGGGCCGACUGCUGAGCAGUCGGGUUGGAUCUUCCUUGACGACUUCUUCCAACUUUGCAGCGGCCAACGCCAGUCUGAGGGCACAGCUGGGGGAGUCCCAGAUUGCUCUUCGUGCCAAGGAUGCCGAGCUCGCCGCCUUGGUGCAGGAGCGCGACCGCUUGGUCAAGAAGCUGGCCGACCAGGAGGAAGGCCACAAGGCAGCGCUGAAGGCUGCACAGGAUCGCGAAGCCGCUCUCCAGGCCGAGUUCGAGACGGAGGCGGCUGGCUGGGCUGAGGCCAGGCAGACUCUGGUCUCUGGCUACGGCCAGAUCGAAGAUCUGGUUGACGGUAAGCUGCCUACCUCUCCGUCCUUUCUUGCCGUCUGCCACUUUGGCUUGUUUUUCUGAUUUUGGUGUUCCUUUCUUCCUUUCUCCUUGCAUAGAGUAUUUCCCUGGCUAUUCAACUGCCGCCAACCAGACCAUCGAGGCCCGUCGCCAAGCGAAGAGGCAAGCUGGCUUUGAGAUCUCGCCAACCGCCGGCCGCUCGCUGGAGGAACAGCUCCUGGCGAUCCAGGCUCGCAUCCAGCUGGCUCACCGGCUGCUCCGCCGGCUUCAGCAUGCCGGGGCGCAGGUCUUGGCCGCCCUCUGGCUCGGCCAAGCGGUCCCUCGCACCCCCAGUCAGACCGCCGACUGGCUGGAGGUGGCAGUCGGCCGCCUCGAGGCUUGGAAGGCGUCGGCGGCUCACUCCGGUGCCAGGCGGGCGCUGGAGUUCGUCAAGGCCUGGUAUCCCGGCCUGAACCUGGACCAGCUGGCUACCUGGCGGCAGCAAGCCGACACGGAGCUGGAGCCGGCGCGGCCGGCCAUCAUCCGGCGGGCUUCGGCGAUCGCCGACUACACCGACACCAGUGUCUUCGCCCCCGAGGUGGACGACCAUGGAGUUGCCCAGCCGGAGGAGUGGUUCGGGCUGGACCCGGCGUAUGGCGAAGACUCAGCGGAGGAGAUCGACUCCAGUGACGAGGGUGAGGAGGAGGAGGAGGAAGGUGAGGACGCCGAGCCGGCUGGUGGAGCAGCCGGCCAGCCUCAGCCUGACCGCACCUCCAGCACCACGUCGCGCGCGAGUGCGUCGCCUGCCGUAGGUGGUGGCCAAGCCGAGACCCGCUAGGCGGCCACUCCUUCAGCCGGCGAGGCCGCCUUCACCGACCAACUCGGCCUCCAUGUCGCGCCCUUAGUCCGCCAUUUUUUUGCUUUUCCUGUCUUGUUACUCUUUAGAACAAUGUUUGGUUAAAUUCUGCACAAUUCCACCCACUGGGUGUAUUCGAACUUAUGUCUGUUGCUGCCUGUUGGCGGCUUUAUGUAUAUAUAACUUAUGCAAUUGGCCUUUCCUUGUACUUUUGCUUUUUUGUCCUUCUGCUUUUUCCUUUGCCGCCCUCCCUUGGUUGCCGCCUCCCCAAUCAAACAGUUGCUCUGCAAUCUGUAGCCGGGGGAGUGCCUGGCCGAUUGGGGAGGGGGAAGUACUUUAGCUCUGCUGGACUAAAGCUAAGUUUUUUAGGAAGCCGGCCAGCCGGCUGCUCCGGUAGCCGGCAGGCAUGUUUGGAGGCCGUCUCUUUGCUAUAUAGAUUGGUUGUUCCUUAGCCGUUUUUCGUGUGGGCGUCCUUUCUGUCUUUCCUCUUGCUAGUCGGACAGUCAGUUCUUUGAGCUGCGACUUUCAACAAGGGAGGACUCGGGAGCCGGCGCACUACUUUUCUGACUUUAGGACAAACUUUCAAUAUAGCUCAAGGCGGCCAGUCCCCGAGCCGACUAGUCGAACCCGGUGCCGGACAGAAAUUCAAAAUGUAAUAAUACAUUCAUGGAUAUGACACUCGUCAUUCAUAGAUAAAUAAAAGGCAGUCCCCGAGUACUGUUCGGGGGGGCCUGUUGGUUUGUACUUAAUACAAAAGGGGAGCGUGAUACAUACUGCUUUUCAGCUGUAAAAUUGUCUUAGGAGGUUUGCAUUCCAUGGUCGCUCUGACUCCUUGCCGGAGUCGUCUCUCUUGCGUGCUCUUGGUUUUUGCGCGUCGAUCAAGUAGUAGGAGUCAUUGCCGAGUGCCUUGCUGACGACGAAGGGGCCUUCCCAAGGGGCCGAGAGCUUGUGCUGGCCGGCUGUUCGCUGGAUCAGCCGGAGCACAAGGUCGCCCUCUUGGAAGGAUCUUGGCUUGACCUUGCGGUUGUAGUAGCGGCGCAGCCCUUGCUGGUAGAUGGCGGACCGACUGAGGGCUAACAGCCGGCCUUCUUCCAGUAGGUCGACGCCGUCUUCUCUUGCUUCUUUGGCUUCCUCCUCCGUGUACAUGGUGAUCCGAGGCGAGUCGAACUCGAUGUCUGUUGGGAUGACAGCCUCGGCACCGUACACGAGGAAGAAUGGAGUGAAGCCGGUUGACUUGUUGGGUGUAGUGCGCAGACUCCAGAGGACAGCCGGCAGCUCUUCGAGCCAGCAGCCGGCCGAUCGCUCCAGUGGUACAACUAGUCGGGGCUUGAUGCCGGAGAGGAUGAGUCCAUUUGCUCGCUCGACCUGGCCGUUUGACUGUGGGUGGGCAACGGACGCUAAGUCCAGUCGGAUGCCCUGCGUCGCGCAGAAACGUGCCAGUGCUCCUUUGGCGAAAUUCGUGCCGUUGUCGGUGAUGAUGCUGUGCGGCACGCCGUACCGAGUAGUGAUGUCGGUGAUAAAUGUUACGGCAGUCGGCCCAUUGAGCUUCUUGAUUGGCUUUGCUUCAAUCCACUUUGUGAACUUGUCCACAGCAACAAGUAGAUGUGUCAGGCCACCGCGGGCUGUCUUGAAAGGGCCCACCAUGUCCAGUCCCCAGACGGCAAAAGGCCAAGUGAGGGGAAUGGUCUUGAGGGCAGAAGCCGGCAGGUGUUGCUUGGAACUACAAACUUGGCAUCCUCUACAACUCUUGACUAUUUCUUUAGUAUCCUCCAAGGCAGUCGGCCAGAAGAAACCGUGGCGGAAAGCCUUGGCCACGAGGGAUCUUGAGGCUGCGUGAUGGCCGCAUUCGCCUUGGUCGAUGUCUUUGAGGAUUGCCACUCCUUUUUCUGGCUCGACGCAAUGCUGGAAGACUCCAGUGACGCUGCGCUUCACAAGCUCUCUGUUGAUUAUUGUGUAUGCUGCGGCUCGUCGUUGCACUAGUCUUGCUGAGAUCUCGUCAGCCGGCAGCUCUCUGCUGACUAGGAACUUGAGGAUGGGCUGGGCCCAUGAGGGAGCUGUGACUUCUUCUUCUGUUAAUGUGGCCACCAUGACUCGGGUGGGUGGGUUAGGUGUUGCAUUGGAGUCGGCCACCGCUUCUUGUGUUGUUGCAGUCCCCGGGCCGACUGCUGCAGUCCCCGAGCCGGGUUCUGAAGUCCCCGGGCCGGGUGCGACUACGGCAGUCGCCGGGCCAGUCGUCGAAGUCCCCGUGCCGCCUGCGGGAUUUCUCCAGUCGGAUCCGGCUGUUUCUGGUGCAGGCAGUACGAAGAUGGAAUCCGACUCUGGAGACGGCUUGAUGGACGGCUUGAGGAGGCGCUGGAGGGAGACGCCAGUCGGUAUGGCUUGUCGGGUGGAGCCGAUCCGUGCUAGGGCAUCUGCUUGGUCGUUGUCGGCCCUUGGCACGUGAAGGAACUCGCACCCUUCGAAGUAGCCGCUUAUAUGCUGGACGAGGAAACGAUAGCUCGCCAUGUUCGCGUCAUUGGCGUCCCAGUCGCCAGAUGAUUGCUGGACCACCAAGUCUAAGUCGCCGUAGCACAGGAUCCGGCGUAUGCCGAGUUCUUUGGCUAGCCGGAGCCCGUGUACGAGCGCCUCGUACUCGGCGACGUUGUUGGAGGCGGCGAAGUGGAUCUGCAGCGUGUACAUGAGCUUGUCGCCUUUGGGAGAUGUGAGGACGAUGCCGGCUCCCAAGCCGGUGCGCAUCUUGGACCCGUCAAAGUGCAUCCGCCAAUGGGUAGAGUCGGGAGCCGGCGGUAAGUACUGGGUCUCGGCCCAGUCGACGAGGAAGUCGGCCAAUGCUUGCGACUUGAUGGCGGUGCGGGGUUGAUAGAAGAUCGUGUAGGGCGCCAAGGCAAUGGCCCAUUUGGCCACCCGGCCGGAUGCAUCCCGGCUGCCUAUGAUCUCGGCGAGCGGGGCAGUGCACACGACCGUGAUGGGGUGCUCUUGGAAGUAGGGCUUCAAUUUCUUGGCAGCGAAGUACACUCCAUAGCACAUCUUUUGGUAGUGCGGGUAGUUUUGCUUUGAGCUGGAUAGUACUUCGCUUAGAUAGUACACCGGCCUCUGGACCAGCUGGGCUCGGCCUUCCUCCGGGCGUUGGACCACAACAACAGUACUGACGACUCGGCUAGUCGCGGCGAUGUAGAGGAGCAUGGGCUCCUUCUCAGUCGGCGCUGCCAGGACAGGCGGAGUGGUCAACAUUUUCUUCAACUCAUGGAAGGCUUGGUCGGCUUGAUCAUUCCACUCAAAGUGAGUGGACUUCUUCAUGAGUCGCUACAGGGGGAGAGCCUUUUCUCCUAGUCGGCUGAUAAAACGAUUCAGGGAGGCUAAGCAGCCAGUGAACUUCUGCACAUCUCGCAACUUGGUGGGAAUCUCCAUCCUCUCGAUGGCCUUGAUCUUGACGGGGUUGCACUCAAUGCCGCGUUCGGAGACCAGGAAGCCUAGCAACUGGCCGGCUGGCACUCCGAACACGCACUUCUCGGGAUUGAGCUUGAUCUGGAAUCGGCGCAAGUUGGCAAAUGUUUCUUUCAGGUCUUCCAACAAGGUACCGCGCUUCUCUGUCUUCACCACAAUGUCGUCUACAUAGACGUGGGCAUUUCUGCCAAGUUGUUUCAAGAGACAUUUCUGCAUGCAACGCUGAAAAGUGGCACCGGCAUUUCUCAAGCCGAAUGUCAUUGUCAGGUAGCAGAAAGCUCCAAAGGGUGUGAUGAAGGCAGUCUUCAGGCGGUCAGCCGGGUCCAACUUGAUCUGAUGGUACCCUGAGUAUGCAUCCAAAAAACUUAACAGCUCGCAUCCGGCUGUGGAGUCUAUCACUUGGUCAAUCCGUGGCAGAGCAAACAGAUCCUUUGGGCAGGCCUUGUUCAGACUAGUGUAGUCUAUACACAUACGCCACUUGUUAUUCUUCUUCAAAACCAGAACUGGGUUGGCAAGCCAUUCUGGAAAGAACACUUCCAUGAUAAAGCCAGCGGCAAGGAGCCGGGCUAUCUCUUCUCCCACAAUUCUUCGCUUCUCUUCUGACAGUCGGCGGAGGGGCUGCUUGACCGGCUUCGCAUCAUCUCGGACAUGUAGCUUGUGCUCGGCGAAAUCCUUCGGGACACCCGGCAUGUCCUUUGGGGACCAUGCAAAGAUGUCUCGAUUCUCACGGAGGAAGUCGACGAGCUCGCCUUCCUAUUUACUGUCCAUGUUCGCCCCGAUCACAGCGAAUCUCUCCGGGUUCUCUGGGUCCAGAGGUAUCUUCUUCGUCUCUUUUGCAGGCUGGAAGGAGCCCUGCGCAUCACAAUCCUUGGGGUUGGGGGACAAGGCCGGCUGCUUGCCGGCCAUGGCCACAACCCGUUCCAACAUCUUCUUCUCUUCUGCCACCACGAGGGACUCGGCCAGCCGGCUACUGGCCAUGGCACACUCGAUGGACUUCUUGUCGUCGCCGGCUACCGUGAUGAUCCCCUUCGAGCUCGGCAUCUUCAUCUUCAGGUAGGCAUAGUGGGGCACAGCCAUGAACUUGGCCAAAGCAGGUCGGCCAAGUAGUGCAUGAUAGGGGCUCUCCAAAUCCACUACCUCGAACCAUAUUGCUUCCCGGCGAAAAUGAUCUUUGUCUCCGAAGAGAACAUCCAUUUUGAUCUUGCCGAUUGGAGAGCAAGAUAGGCCGGGUACGAUACCAUGGAAGACGGUGUGGCUCGGCAUGAGCUGCUUCGCUUUGAUGUUCAGCUUCUCCAUGGUAUCGCGGUACAGUAUGUUGAUACUGCUUCCGCCGUCUAUCAGGACGCGGGAAAAUCUGGCAGCUCGCCUCUCCGUCGCGAGGGUGACGUCCAAGACCAUCGCAUAGGAUCCAGGCGAAGGCAUCACCUCUGGGUGGUCGGCCUGGCUCCAGCUGAUUGGCUUUUCUGACCAGUGCAUGAACUCGGUGGUGCUAGAGGCGACUGCAUUCACUUCUUGGUGCUGUCGGCGUCGGCUGCGCUUGUCGUCGGCUUUACUUGUGAAGACGACGUAGGCGGCGUGCUCUUCGGGGAAUUCGUCUUGGAUGGCGCCGACUGCCGGCCGAGCCGCCGGCUGCUGGGGGGCUGGAGGCGGCUGGCCGGGAGGCGGAGGCGGCAACAUUCCCUCACCCUUGGUGAUGCGGGUGAGCCAGUGGCAUUUCCGGGUUGUGUGGUUGGACGGCUUCGCGCCGCUGUCGAACUUGCAGGGGGCAUCGAGUGCCUGUUCGUAGGAAAAAGACGGCUGGCAAGGCGGCCGGCCACCCUUCUUCUUGGGAGCGGGCCGAUCCUCGGGCUGUUCGCCUUCAACUGUGGCCACCUGCCCACUGGAGGAAGUCGGCAUGGGGCCCUUGCGCUUGUGGUCGUUCUGGUAGGGGCGCCGAUUAGGGUCGCCAGCCGGCGUCUUGGGAGCCGGAGUAAUUACUUUCCCCGAGGCGUCCACUCGGAGCUCGGUCUUCAUGGAGGAGUCGGCAGUGGCGUACUUGUCGGCGGUGACUAGCAACUCAUCGAGGGUAGCCGGCUCGUCGCAGAGGAGUCGGUGCUUGAGGAGGGUGCCCUCUCGGCACCCGACGGUGAAGUACUCGAUGGCCUGGAACUCGUGCACUCCCUCGCAGGAGUUGCGGAGCUCGGCCCAUCGCGUGAGGUAGUCGCGGGUCGACUCGUUGGGCCCCUGGACGCAGAGGGAGAGCUGGCGAGGCUUGGGAGGCCGCUUGUAGGUGCUGGUGAAGUUGCGGACGAAAACUUCGGUGAAGUCCAGCCAACUGUUGAUGCUGUAGGGCUUGAGGCUGUUGAGCCAUGUGCGCGUCGUGCCUUGCAGCAUCAGGGGGACGUACUUCACGGCGACGCGCCGAUUGCCGUUGGCGAUGCUGACGGCCGUGGAGUAGUUGAUGAGCCAAUCUUCCGGCUUCACUGAGCCGUUGUACUUGGGCGUGUCUCUGGGGAGCGAGAACCCUUUGGGGAAGGGCUCGUCGCGGAUGCGGGGGCCAAAGCAUGGCGGGCCGACAUCGUCUUCUUCUUCUAACACCAAGGAUCGAGCAAGGCGGUCGAUCCUGUGGCGGGCGUCACUCUCGCCGACUCCUUCUCGGCGGCCGAGUCGGUCGCCAAGAGUCGGAUGUGUGAUGGGCGGCGGAGUGAGGCGUCUUUCUCUUCGAGGCGGGGGAGGAGGCAGAUUUCCUUGGUGCUCUACAGCUCGAGGGCGGCCAUCUGCGUCGCGCUCGAUGGUGAUGCGAGUCCGGCUGCGGCUGGCAGCCGGCUCCUUGUCUUUCUUCUGGCGCGCGCCGCUCGCGGUCGGCGAGCGGGACGUCGCGGCGUGCUCCCGGCGUGGGGGAUGACUAUCAGCACGGGCGCCGGCUUCGUGCCGUUCUGCAGCCGCGUCGAUCAGCUGCUGGAUCCGUCUCGUCAUGUAGGGGAGCUCAUCGGCUCCCAGCCCAUUGAGCUCUUCUGCAGCCGCCCGAGCGGCUCGCAGAUUCUCGAGCGGGGUGGCGUAGACGGGGCGAUCUGCGCCCAGCAUGCUGGCGACGGCUGCGCCGCGCUUCUGGACGAAGCCGGCUCGGCUCGGGCCGCUAGGCAGCGGCGUGCCAAAGGCGGCGCAGUCGACUUCGCGCUGGUGGGCCUCGGUGAGGCGUCUCAUCGAGGCUAUCUUCUGGCCCUCCGCGAUGUGGGCAAGGCGGCGUGCCUCCAGGGUCUCGGCGUCGGCGUCGGCCGGGAUGGGGACGGAGAGGUCGUGCAUCGCCGCUUGCUGAGCGUCGCGGGCAUUCUCGCCCGAGUUGGAGACGUGGCUGAUAACCAGCACUUCGGUGACAGCGCUGCUGCCGCUGUCAGCUCGAGGGAGGGGGUCGUCGAAGACCACCACGUCGGAGGGGUAAGCGUCAAGCGACGCGGUGUCGGAGUCGAUGAGCAUCGGGUCUGUGGAGCCGACAGACUCCAUGUCCGCAGCAGGCUCGCUGGAGACGUGAAGUUGGUCGAGGAGGCUGACGAGGCGGCUCUCGGGGUAGUCGGUGCCUGCGUCGGACGCAGGCUCGUCGGAGAUGCGAGUCUCGCCAAGCAGAUCGGCGAGGCGGCUCGCUGCGCAGGCGUCGUCGACGCCCUGCAGCGCGUCGAGGCAAACGCCAUCGGGCGCAGCAGGCUGGCUGCGCUCGUGGGGGAGGAAGAGGGUUCCCGUUCAGAACAGGUCUCCGGACGACGGUGCACCUGGCCCCACGGUGGGCGCCAAAUGUCGGGUGGUUGGUGCGACAUAUGCCAAGGGAUGGCUUAUCAUUGUGGGAGCCAAUAAAACGUCGCCGGUGCCUGGAAACGGGAUGAGGCGAAGACAUGCACGCCGGCGAAUCUUACCCAGGUUCGGGGCUCUCCGAGGAGAUAACACCCCUAGUCCUGCUCUGCGGGGUCUCCGCAUGACCACUAGAUCGAUAAAAGGUAGCUACAAUCGCUCCUAGAGCUGUUGAGAUCAAGGGAGAAGAAGAACAAGGCUAGCUCUUGCUUCUCUCUAUCUAUGGUGUGUGUGCUAUUCUUAGAAGGCAACUCUAUGCUCAGAAGCCAACUAUGCUUAGAUGCCAACUAUGCUUAGAUGCCAACCCUUUGCAUGGGUGCUCCGGGGGGUUUAUAUAGGCCUACCCCCCGGGGGUACAAUGGUAAUCCGGCUGGGCUCUGGUCCCAGCCGUCAGUGUCUACGCUCGCCGGCUUCUCCGCCGGCUGCUGGGUCCCGCCGGCUGGUGGGUCCCGCCGGCUGCCGGCUACUUGGUCGACAGGCCGGCCCCACCGCCUAGGGUCUUGUCGGCGGCUGCUUACUGUUGCCUCGCCUGUGAUGAUGAGGGCUUUGUCAAGGUAAGCGUGGCUACAGUGGGCCGCCUCGGGGGCUAUCACUGUAGCCUUACCUCGUCUUGUCUCCUUAAUGGGGCUCCUGCUUCGAGGAAGGGAAUAGCCGGCUACGCUCUUGGCCGACUGGGAAAGACCGGGCCGCCUUCACGCCUCUCUCUGGCGGAAGGGGCCCACCGCCCGCGGGCCGUACGGGAGUCGGUCGUGGGUGACGUCGUGGCUAGUAUGGCUACAGUGCCGGGCCGCACGGGAGUUGGCCGUCCCGUACGGCCUCCUGUAGCCAUGCCCGCCUCGGGCUUUGGGGGUAGUGGGCCGCACUGUGGCCACACCCCGUCGCGUCGCCGUUAUGUGGGAGUGGCUUGAAGUGGUUGUGGUCUUGGCCGGCUCCUAGGAGUCGGCGUCCUUCUUGGCCGGCUUCUUGGAGUCGGCCACCCCGUAGUCGUCCUGGGGAGGAGUUGGUGAAGGCUGGGUCGCCUUCCAGGAUUCGGCUUCAGAGGUAGCCGGCCAGGGAAGGCGGCCCAAAUGCUCGGAGUGCUUGAAGGCCCGAAGGCCUGAUAAUUUUUUCAGAAGAACCAGGGGCAGUCGGUUAGGCAACCCGUGGCCAUUUACUCCGACAACUUACAUCCAACCAUAUCCUUCAUGAGCUGACACGAGGAAAAUGCUUACACAAGUUUCCAACACUAGCUUAGAUGUUCAACAUGAAUCAUGGACAGGAUAAGGAUGUUGUCGAUGGCUCAACAAGAAUUCAUCCAGGUUUCCAUAUAAAUGGAAUCCCACAACUAUGUGAACAAGAUGAUAGCAUUGGUCAGACCCAAAGGAUAUAAUGGUGUAUGCUCGAGGAAACGACCACGAGUAAGACAACAUUACGAACAUCGUUGGUUCUGAUUUGAUUUGAAGAUAGCCCAUACUCAAAUCAAAGUUUUGGAUAAAAUGAUAGGUCCAUUAACUGAUCACGAGGAUCAAUCGAUGAAAAUACCAUCUUUCUUCAACACAGAUACAAGAUAUCCCUUAGGGAUGAACUAGGCCGGGCAAGAUUUUAUCUUCCAACUCUCCAAGUUGUUGUCUAGCUCAACCAACUAGCUCAGGGAUAUCCAACACAGAUUCUUGGAGAAGGGGUGAUUUAUAAGAAAACAAACUUGAUCACGAACUCAACAUAGCGGUCAGGUGACAACCUGGUAACACUUCCGAGAAGAUAUUCAGAAAUCACGAGCCACCGGUAUGUUACUAAGCUCGAGAACAAUCUUGCUUUUCAGGGCAAGACGAUGUGAUCAAAUGAGCGAGGAUUUGUCAAAAUCCUAACUCAUCAAUCGAAGAGUGCACCAGAAAUAAGGACAAGGUAGCACGAUCAAUCCUAGUAUAGUGAUUCAAUAACGAACACGCUAAAAAUGAUAUUAAUGUCCAUUAACUACCAAGCAACGGGGUUGCUAGGAGUAUUGAUUUCACACAGCAUAGUUCACUUGUCGGCAUUCUAGUUGCAACAACACGGGACCAAGAAAUGAAUGAUGAUGGCGAGGAGUAUCACUGUAUCAAGAAUUCAUAAGAGGAUGUGCAAUUCUCACGUCAUUCUUGAUAAGAAAGAGGGUGACACUCCAUGGUAGAACAGAACAAAAGAUGGAUUAUCAUUUUGAUCUGUGGAAUACAACUACUUUGACCCAAUCCUAGACAUGGACGAGGUACUGGAGUUUGUUUCUCCUAGUCAUUCCGGAUUAGAAUGGCUUGACAGACCACAAGAAUAAUAGGCAUCGAUAACACAAAUGCACAAUUACUCCUGACUAUCAAUUGAUAGACGAGGGCCGAAAUACAACUAAAGAGGGACAACUCAAAGGAACAUAUGUUUUUCUGAGUUGUGGUUGCAUGGAUUAGUAUGUCGAACAAAUUCAACAUAUUUCUUCCGGAUAACCCAUGCAGAAAGUAGAACUGGCAGAUUCAUAAUAUAGAAAGGAGAAUUCAUCGAGAGCACUCUGGUUGUGAUCUUUUGUUUCAAAAGAACUCCUGUCAAGAAUGGUUCAUGGUAUUUGGAAGAACGAUAUACCACAGACCUCGAAGACUAUCACAAAGGUUACAAAUAUCUUAAGGGAACUAGCAAAUACUAACAACAUGAAGUAAGGUGAAUCUCGGGUUCAAGAACCCAGGAAUAGAAUACCUACUAACUAAUAACAUCACGGGAUGCUUUCGAGAAUGACGGCCAGAAUCAUCUCAUUGGGAAUGCUAAUCAUGGCUAGAUUACUAGAUGGUUUCAUAAGACACCUACGGUCAUAAUAAUAGUUCCAACAUAUAUGUCGAGGCAAUAGAGUACCUCAACUCACCGAUUAGUGUGGUUAAUCUGGCCCAAAGGAACAUCGGAAACGGAAAGAAGGAAUUUGCAAAUGCUUCAGACUGUUUAGAAACCUGGGAUGACUCUGACAGCAUAACGGCUGUAAAUGCUCAAUGGAUUUGAGACAUCCUGCAAGAAAUGGUGGCAUAACCACUCAACAUCACAAUAUCAAGGUUCUGAGAUCAACUGUGAACAUACGGAAGUAGUAGGAACUGAACUGAUACUUGAAUCCAACAAUCUUAUAAGUCUAUGGAUUAGUAACACGUCAUCCUGAUAGAUAGAUGAGAAGGCCUAGUUCUUAAUCCCCGUAGAAAAGAAGAGGUUGACACAGAUCAGAAGGGCAUAAGGUAAAGGAGUAAAAAGAGCCUUACGUUCCCUUCCACAAUCAGUUCCCUUAUAUAACUAAAGCAUUUCUAAACUCAACUUCGACCAGUUUGGCUUCGUAAUCCUACAGGCAGUCAGGCUCUGAUACCAACGCUGUCAGGACCCUGAUUCUAAGUCACACCGAUCUAGCCUGUAACACCUCAUAUCACUUUGCGGCCUCACGCACGGUAUUCCCACGGGUGUCGCCUUACCAUGGCCCGGGACCAUUUGCGCCUUUUGUCUCACGUAUAUGAUAGUGUCGCUAGCAUCCAUAUGACAGAGAACCCGGGCCGACAUGACUAGUCGUGAACCCAAAGUGGCACUAACUUAUGGGGACAGGCAUACAUGACUCAACAUCGAGCAUGUCGGUCAGCAGCGUGCGAAUCCGGGCUGUAGCACUGAGCUAAUAGGACUCCGGGAACCCGGGCUGUAGCAGGCUAGGCAGGACUCCGGAUGUCACCGCGUGACAUUUCCCCGAAGGGACAAACACAGGAACGAAGUGAAACACAUGCCGGCCAGUCAAGUGUUUCGGAACAGUAGUGCUGGGCUAGCAGGACUCCGGUGAACCGGGCUGUAGCGGACUACUAUGGCUCAUGGAAGCACAAGACUACAUUUCCCCAUAAGAGAGGCUACCAAGGAUAAACAACUAGGUUGUCGGAUCCCACACAUACCAAGCAUUUCAAUCAUACACACAAUAUGCUCGAUAUGUGCAAAUACAACAUGGCAUCACAACAAGACUCUACGACUCAGAGUAUUUAUUCAUUAGGCUCCGAAGAGCCAGAUAUUACAAACAUGGGUCUCUCGACCCAGCAUUCAGAGCAUACACGUCAAACACAUGCGGAAGCUUAACAUGUCUGAGUACAGACAACUAUAAAUGAAAAGGCUGAGAAGCCUGACUAUCUACUAGAUCCUGUCGAGGGCAUAAGAUCGCAGCUGAGGUAACAAGCUAAAGGUCGAAGUCCAAGCGGUACUACUAGCGGGGCUGAAGUCUCUCUGCAAAAACGUAAAAUAGGCAAACGUGAGUACAAAUGUACCCAGCAAGACUUACAUCAGAACUAUCUACAUAUGCAUCAGUAUCAAAAGGGGGUGGUGGAGUUUAACUGCAGCAAGCCAGCUUUGACUCGGUGGCUAUCCUAAACUACAACUGCAAGUAACUCUUUUGAGGUGGCGCACACGAGUCCACAUAUUCACCAUUUCAAUACACCACUAUGGAUCCGUUCCCGUCUCCCUACGAGAACGCCAUCCAGGGCACUCACCCUUAUCUUGCGCAUUUUAGAGUAUCCACUUUCACUUGUCUAUGAACUGUUAUAGGCAACCCAGAAGUCCUUUACUGCGGACAUGGCUAUUCGAAUAGAUGAUGUUAACCCUGCAGGGGUGUACUUCUUCACACACGCUCUCGCCACUUACCGCCAUGUACACGUCAUGUAUCUCGGCAACCUUCAAGCGGAAGCCUGGAGAGGGUGUCGGCCACGGCCUACCUAAACACUCAAGUCUCUAGUCCAGGUUUAUCGCCUAUUCAGGUUCCAUCCGCAGGGAGUCCGGCCGAGGUUUCCACAUACGGCCCCGAACGAUUUGUGAAGGGUUCCCGAGACAGCAAACGGGCGCCCGGUACACCGUGCCACGUGCCUAACGCAUCACAGCCCACCCCUCGGGUCAGCGCUGCCCACGGCCUCCAGCAUACUACAAACACCAGAAACUACUUGCAACUCCUGGACAGAGGACAAGGGUGGUUAAGAAGCCGAGAGAGUCAAUUAAGGAUCCCAAUGUGUGGUAGUAGCUGUUCAUGGAUCACAAACAUAGAACUCAGUUCCUGAGGACGGUUUCAAUGAGACAACCCACCAUGUACUCCUACAUGGCCUCUCAUCGCUACCUUUACCAAUCGUGUUCACACACUUAGCUCACACACAAUAGGACAUGUUCAUCACCACUCCAAUUCAUCCUCGAUGAAUCAGACCCGACUCAACUCUAAGCAGUAGCAGGCAUGACAAACAAACAUGAAUGAGUAGGCACAUCAGGGCUCAAACAACUCCUACUCAUGCUAGUGGGUUUCAUCUAUUUACUAUGGCAAUGACAGGUCAUGCAGAGGAUAAGGGGUUCAACUACCACAACAAGUAAUAGUUGAAUCGUUGUUGUCCUAAUGCAGUAAAAGAGAGCAGGAGCGAGAGGAGAGGGACGACUGGCAUCGGCAGGUGGUGGGCUGGGCCAGCCGGCUUGCUGGGCCGCCAGGUGAGCGUCAGGUAAGGCCCAGGUAAAACCCUUUCCCCUUUUGUUUGUGUUUUCUAUUUCUGACUUUUUUUUGAACUUGGUUUUUGAACCAAAUCAAUUUAUUUUCUUCUGAAAGUUAUUAUAGGAACUAGUUGGAUUGUUCCAAAGCCCCACACUAAAAAUCAGAAUUAUUGGACAUAUGUUAAAUAUAUAACUAUUAUAAGUCCAAUGCAAAUAGUUAUUCAAUUAAUUUCAAAUGCCCAAAAUAAAUAUUUCUAAGACUCCAAAAAUAUUGGUUUGAAUUUUAGCUCUUGCCAAUAUUUUCAGGGAUUAGCAGGCACAUUUUGUUGGGCUCAUUUGAAAAAAAAUUAUGUUGAUCAUUUUUUUAAAAGAUUUUUGAGGCUUGAGAUUCCCUCAAUUCAAUUUCCUUGAAUUUAAGAUGAUGCAUGGAUGCAUAUGCAAUGACAAGCAAAGGCCAAAGCUAGGGUUGUGACACUGCGCCCCCUAGAUUCCGGCAUGUCAAAUAGCCCGGAUACUUCUCGCAUUAUCUGUACAAGAUACGCCUUGACGUAUCCAUCCAUUUAUAAUGAAAAUAAUUUGCGACCCAGUUCCUGUGGUUUUCGCUUCUUACUGCAUUUUAUUUCGAUUUGCUUAUCGACGGCAUUCGUACACUUUGGUACGCCUCUUAUUCGCUAGGGGCUCACGAUCGCCCCAUAAUACGGCGGCAAAGUCCGAACACUUCUUAUCGAUAAGUUCGGCACCCCGAAUUUAGCAUUAUAUGCAUUGGCUCCGAAUCAUGUCUUUGGUCAAUAGUUGGGUUGCCCGGCUCCUGUGCUUGCCACCCUACGUUCCGCUACAUCGGCUAGGGUAGUAAAGGGAGAACUACUGUGAUUGUGCCCUGGCCUAAACCGAAUGAGCACCUCAGUAGAGAAAGCCGAAAACUGACUGUCAUGAUGCGGCAAGAGCCGGUCUGCUAUUCGGAUGUCACAAAUCGUUAGGGAUUUUUUCCGCGUUGCACGAAGGAUCGGUACUUCCCGAUCAGACGCAGACAGCACUCUGGUUAGUAUAACAGGGGCUGCGCCUAUGUUUUAUUAUAAAACUCCUAUGGCUAAGUGAGGGCGUUUAAGCCGCAUAUUCUGAUUGCCUGGUUCGUUGCGCUAAACAGAUCCUUCAAGGACCAUAUAAUUGGACAAAGAUUGUUUAGAUAACAUCCUGAACACCUCCGUACUACCUACGUGAGGGCAGAAGCUGACGACUGGCCAACCCUCAGAUUAAAUGUAACACGGCCGCACAGGAGGAUACAAUUAAAACAUAACAAUCAUUCCAUUACAAGCCGGCUUUGUUUUUAUUACAUAAGGCAGGGACAAAACCCGAGUGUAUUCAUUCGAAAAUUAUGUCCCGCCCGCACUGCCCUGACGCAAGCUGAGACCCUUCAAGGACGUCAGCAAAAUAUCGCUCGGGUGUGCGGUGCUCUUUGCCUUCCAGCGGCCCCGUGGCCACCUUUACGGCGUUCAUCUUUGCCCACCACAUCUUGCAGCGGGCGAAGGCCAUGCGGGCACCUUCGAUGCAGACUGAUCGCUUGACGAUGUCUAGACGAGGACAUGCUUCUACCAUCCGCUUCAUGAGGCCGAAGUAACUGCUGGGUAUCGCCUUGGUUGGCCACAACCGGAUUAUCAAAUACUUUAUGGCCAGUUCGGCCAUCCUGUGCAGCUCGACCAGCUGUUUUAGCUUAUCGGUAAAGGGCACCGGAUGUUCUGGCGCCGCGUGCUGCGUCCAGAACAUCUUCUCCGUCGAGCUCCCUUCUUGGGCCUGAAAGAACUUCGCCGCAUCAGACACGCUGCGUGGUAGAUCCGCAAAAGCCCCUGGGCAACUCCGAAUUCGGGUUAGUAAAAGGUACUUCCUCCCGUAACACUCGCUUUGCAUGUUAAAUGCCUUACCCGCCGUGAUCUUCCUGGCCUCCUGGAUCUCCUUGAGGGCAUCCCGGGCCACAAUCCGCGCGGCCUCCACGCUCUGAUGAGCCUUGGCAAGUUCGAUCUCUCGGACCGACGCAUCAUGCUCCAAGGCCUCGCAUUUCUUCACCGCGUCCUGGAGCUCCUUCUAGACCUCGCCGACCCGGGCCUUAAGCUUCUUACGAGCGGCUUGUUGCUGGACAGCCUUCCCCUCGGCUUCGGCCAGGGCCUUUUUCAAGGCCUCGACCUCGGUCGUCGCUCCUACACAUAUUAUGACACUCUGUCAAUACAAGACGCUUACUCUUUCCGAAUACAAAGCAAGUCGUUACAUACCUUGCUUCUCCUGGAGCUGAGUUUUCGCCUCGCCGAGCUCGUUCUCGGCUCGCUCCAGCCUCUGCUUUAGUUCAGAGACUUCAGCAGUAUGCGAGGUCGAGGCCAACUGCGACGUCUGCAUCGCAAUUUAAUGCAGACAUCGUCUGUUCCCUGUAAUAUAUGAUCGAUCCUCUGCCCGGCAUUUCCUUCCAAAUGCCGGACAGUGUCUCAGGGGCUACUGACCAUAUACGAAACCUGUUAGCAGGCUGCGACAGGCUUCGGUUAAUCCGCUUUCGGCGGACCGAACCUUUUCAGUCACCGUGCCCAUAAGGACACGAUGCUCCUCCACGAUGGCGGCGCCUCGUAGCACCUCCAUCAGAUCAGUUGGUGCCCCUGGAUGGCCGGGGGUCACCAGGGGAGCUGUGGCACCUCUCUCUUUUGAAGGAGGGUGCGCUCCGGAUUCUGGAACCACUUCGGUCUCCGGAACCGUGUUCGGCUGGGUGCCGAACACGGUGCGGCCCCUACUCUCAGUCUCCAGGGGCCGGAAUCCCCCUGGUGCCCAAGGAUGGAGGUUUCGCCUUUUGGCGCCUCCUGAGCCCCUCCCCAGCCUGGGGAGGUCCUCCGGGACCUCACUUCCUCAUCACCCGCGGCCUCGGUGGAGUGAGCAGUCGGUGGCGACUCGCUAGCCAUCUCCUUUGGAUCUAGCGAACCUCCACAUGAGGAACGCUGGAUACUGGCGCGGGCCGGACUGUAACGAUGCAACUGAAUCACAUUAAACACAAUGAGGAUGAGAAGCCGUACACACGGAAACGUGUGAUUCAUGGAACUUACGACGCGGCUCGGGGCUUUGUGCGGGGGUGUCGCUCCAGACUGCUGUUGAUGUCCCACGCGGCGUUAGCCGCGAUGACACCCUUUCCCUUCUUGGGCGCACCCGCCUCCAGAUUCGUGGAGGCCGCCCUAUUCUUCUUUCCCUCCUCAGGGGGAGGGUUCUUUUCCUCCUCCUCCUCUUCACCGUCGUCGUCCUCAGGGAGGGAGGAAUGGGUUUCUUCGUCUUCGGACGUUAUGUCCGAAGUACCCUUACGACAGGGGCCACCUUUGGCCCCCUUGGCCUUCUUCUUGGCCUUCUUCUCCAGCGCCUUAUAGGGCGCCGGCACCAACAUCCUCGCCAACCACGGGAUGACUAGCUCUUCAGGCGGUGGGGCCGGACACUGGACCCGCUCCGCCCUCUCCGUCCAGCCCUGAAAAAGCGGCGAUGAAAGAUCAGACAUCGUCCCCGAAGCAAACAAAUAAGGGAUGCUUUAAAAAUAACAUACCUCGCUGGCGGGGUGGUUAAUGUCGUGCCUGCGGUCUGAAUCUGUGGCCGGCGGGUUCUCGUUGCUAUUGAAGAGCAAUUUCCAGGCGCCCUCGUGAGUGGUCUCGAAGAUCCUCUUUAGGGUAUGGUGCUUCUUCGGAUUGAACAUCCACAGAGGACGGCUUCAGCUUUGACACGGGAGAAUCCGGCGAACUAGCGUCACCUGGAUUACAUCGACGAGCUUGCUAUCAGCUCGUCUGGCGAACACCAAUCCGGGCUUUUCUCGACCUAGGAGGUAAGCCGCAUCGGGGCACCUGGGUUGAAUUCAGCAGCUGCGGCCCAAUCGGAACCGCGGGGUUCUGUGAUAUAGAACCACUAUUUCUGCCACUCCUUUACUGUCUCCACAAAAGUGCCCUUUGGCCAGGAGACAUGGGACAGUUUACUUACCAUGGCUCCUCCGCACUCCACUUGCUAGCCAUCCACCACCUUCGGCUUCACAUUGAAGACUUUGAGCCACAGCCCAAAGUGGGGCUGGAUGCGGAGGAAAGCCUCGCACACGACGAUAAACACCGAAAUGUUGAGGAAGGAAUUCGGGGACAGAUCGUGGAAAUCUAUCCCGUAACAAUACAUCAACCCGCAGACGAAGGGGUGGAGUGGAAACCCCAGUCGCGGAGGAAAUGAGGGAGGAAUAACACCCUCUUGUUGGGCUUCGGUGUGGGGACAACUGGCCCCUGGGCUGGAAGACGGUGGGCGAUCUCCUUUGCCAAGUACCCGGCCACCCGAAGCUCAGUAAUGUCCUCCUCCUUAACGGAGGAGACCAUCCACUUGCUCCGGCCUCCAGACCCGGACAUGGUUGCAGUGCUAGCCCAAGUGGAAAGAAGAUAAGGACUUGAGCGCUGGAGCUCGAGAUUGGAAGGGCGGAGGAAGAGAGAAGGCGUUGGGGAAGAAAGGAAUCCUUAUCCCCUUAUAAAGGCAGUGAAUAUCUCACGCCUCCCUAGUCGCCUCGAAACCCACCUAUUCCCAAGGUCUGUGUAAACGGCACGGUUGGGUUACCCACGGCCAUAUUAAUGAGAAUGCCGCGAUAGGGGGACAUGAUAUCUGCUUUGACAAGACGUGCCAACGAAGACCGCAUCUCAAAAACACGAAGCGGCAGGCGAAAACGGUUCGAAAUAAUGAGCCGGACAGGUGUGAUGACGCAUUACAAAAAUUGUCAGCGGACUGGACUCGUGAAAUAUUGUAUUCUCUGUAGUUGCCUACACAGGUCUGGACAUACUCACUAUGUCCGAAAAUUAUUCUAGAGUUCGGAAGAAGGGAACCCGCAUUGCAAUGCCGAAGACAAAUAUGUGCGCCAGACUCCUCGUCAUUGAAGCCAGGUUCAGGGGCUACUGAGGGAGUUCAGGACUAUGGGGUCCUCGGGCGUCGGGCCUGUUAGCCAUGGGCCGGACUGAUGGGCCAUGAUGAUGUGAAGGCCGAAGACCCUUCGCGUGUCCGGAUAGGACUCUCCUUGGCGUGGAAGGCAAGCUUGGCAACCAAUUAUGUAGAUUCCUUUUUAUGUAACCGACUCCAUGUAACCCUAGAUCUCUCCGGUGUCUAUAUAAACCGGAGAGAGUCCAAAUAGGUGGACACACACAUUAUCAUAACCAUAGGCUAGCUUCUAGGGUUUAGCCUCUACGAUCUCGUGGUAGAUCAACUCUUGUAAUACUCAUAUUCAUCAAGAUCAAUCAAGCAGGAAGUAGGGUAUUACCUCCAUAGAGAGGGCCCGAACCUGGGUAAACAUCGUGUCCUCCGUCUCCUGUUACCAUUGACCUUAGACGCACAAUUCGGGACCCCCUACCCGAGAUCCGCCGGUUUUGACACCGACACAAACGACGGUUGAUCUUCUUCUGUAGUUACGUAUGCUUACCACAACCAUAUCGUCUCCCCUCAUCAUCCUUGCAUACCUCCCGACCCCUCUCUCACAUGCACGUGCAUAGACAGACAGACAUCCCCCGCCCUCACUUAUUGAUAUUGCACUCGUACCCUCCGUUUGUCUAGCAGGCCUCUACCACAAUUUGUGAGACGCCACUCCGCCACCAACCCCCUAACACUCUACCUUUGUAUUUCUCCCAACCUUAUUCCUCCGCUACACAUAUCCAUGGAUGCCGAUCGAUCCCCUCAAUACAUAGCUAGGUCUCUCUCCUUCCCCACAAAUAUACUAGUCGACCGGUCUCUGCCCCCUCCCCCCCCCACACACCGAUAGUCGAACGUUGUAGGUAGGUAUCCAUGCCACAGAGAAAAACUGCACCUCUGCCCUCUCAAAUUCCAGUAGGCCAGCCGCCCUGUAUCUUUGACGUGGGCAAACACAAAUUCGAUGGCACUCUUUAUCGAUCGCGCAGCCACACAAUUCAUCCCUGUUUUCAAUUCUAUCGAUAUCUCACGUCCAUGACUCCGUUUCACACACAUUGCAUAUGUUACGUUUUUUGUUUGAGAUAUCAACACAUUGCCUCUGUUUCGCAUAAACCAUCUCUCUCACACCCACCCACGUAUGUACGUGCACCUAAAGAAGAGGUGCACGUAGGACGCACGUACUCACGUCUUGUUCCCGGGCACACCCGCGCGGGUACACGGUGGAGUUCGUUUUUGUACGAAAAGGUAGCCCACGUGAUAAUUUGACGCGUGUAGCGGUUGUUUACUCGAAGGAGGGUCGUGUACCACGCCUAGACUAAACAAAGUUCGACUUGACGCGUUAGUACUAAAUAAAGUUAUAUAUUCCACAAUGGCACGUACAGAAUAUAAAACGAUUGCCGUGGGAAAAAUGGAAAAAUGGGUUUGUCUCUUGUCACAGCAUCUCACACAAGGCGGCGGUGGCCUCUCUCUCUCAGCGUUGGUCAGUGAUCCAGCCGCAUCCCGUCCACCGGCGGAAAGGGAGGAUGUGCAUCGUAUCUCCGUUCGACGGCGUUGAGGCAACACGUCCCGAUCUGCGGUACCCGCCGUUCUCUCUGACCAAGCUCCGGCGCGGUAGGGCCUUUGCCACUUGCUCGCUGUCGCAGUAUGGGCAGAUCCCGGUCGUCGGUGCCCUCCUAGUAACAUCCCGACGACCCUCAGAUCCAUCUUCCUCCGGCCUUUCUCCACUGCCCAUCUUCCCACAUUGCUGCAUGUGGAUCUUCUUUAGUUGUUUUCUUAAAACGUAUCCGGCCGACGUACUUUCCAUCUUGCAAUCUCGUCCUCAAACCAUUUUUGAUAAACCACCAUGUGCUAUCAUUCCCUUAUUACAUGGAAUAUGCUUCUUUUUUGUCAACGUAUGUGUCUUCAGCUCGUGUUAUUGGGCAGUAAUUGUUUCCUUUAUACCUCCUUUUGCAAACAGGGCUAUCCAUUUUCACCUCGUUGCUAUUGCGACCUUUGGGUGAACUGCACAAAUCACUUUUUUCUUAAGAGUGUUUUGUGCAGUUCCGCCAAAAUGUCACACGGGCAACGUUUUUACAUUUCUGUGGGACUGCGGAAAGGGAGAUUGGUUUUGCUAUCCUCCUCAUCCAACUCGGUGCCUAAUCUUCUCCAACAAGUAGUUAGUCCUAAAGAGAGAUCAUAGAGGUGAUCGGCUUCUAUUUGUGUGUGUUAUGUUGCAUCAUCUAGUUCCACUAUUAUUGUAAUCACACUAACUGUAUAUCUUUGCAAACAGGGAUGGUCCGCUCGAUUUUAGUGGAGCUGCACAAAAUGAUCGGAUUGUGGUGUCCUCCAUACACCUCUUUUUGGGCUACAGCGCUGGGUGAAACUAGCUGCCAAGCAAUGACCACUGUGCCAAGGAAAUGGAGCCAUGCCUACGAACAACAUCGAUCAAUUAUAUACUUUUCUUUAUUUGUACACCUUCUCACAACUUUGUCUUCAGUUGUGAUGUGAAUAUUGGCGCUGAUCUGCGAACCAUUGAGAUGCAUUAGCAGCCAUGGUAGUUUCAUUUGUAUUUGAUGGAAUGUUGUAACGAGAUAAUCUUGAGGCAAGACACAUGAAUCCUAAGUUGAAACCUUUUUUUCCCUGCGGGAACGAAAGUUGAAACCUUCAUAGCAUCACAGUAUAAUUUCAUUAAAAUUAUGCGUACAUAUAAACAAAUCCUAAAGGAUUGAUAGCAAUGUCAAAAACAAUUCAACUUCGUUUCGCCGACAUGUGGGACAUCCUUCAUCCGGCUCCAUUUGCCAUGCAGCAAUAUUGAGUGCACAACUGCAGGGAAAGAUUCACCCCGGUCGUUGCGCCACAGUAGUAAUGACUAGUGAGCAGUCAAAUCACAGAGCCCCGCCUUCGCCAUAGUAAGUUGCUCGGAUGAAGCAACCAUCAUUUCUCUGUUCCUUGAAUCCGCUGGUACUCCCAUAUUCCCAGAGUAAUAAGUUGCUCUGGUGAAUCAACCAUCACUUCACCUUUCCCACAGUAAGUACUAGUACCUCCUUUUUUGCUCUAGAAACAACCACACGCGAAUAUUGGAUGGUAGCAGCACAGCAACUGAAUCAAAAAUCGAAACCAACCAAUGAACUACUACUACUGGUGACUGUUUGCUAGUAUAUACAUGGACAGACGGAGUACAUGAUACGUACUAGCAAACGAUCACCAAUAGUUGUAGUUCAUUGGUUGGUUUCUAUUUUUGAUUUGGUUGUUGUGCUGCUACCGUCCAAUAUUCGCGUGUGGUUGUUUCUAGAAAAAAAAGGAGGUACCCCUACUUAUGUUACUCCCACUACGCCUAGCCUAAGGUUAGUAGGUGACCUUGCACUUGGCUCUUCGCCUCUUCCGGAAGUCGAUGGUUCGACAGUAGUACUUCUGGCAAUCUGACACCAAACAAACUGCUGCACGUCCACCGCUUGUAAGGAAAAGUUCCUCCUCGUGCUGCAAGCCACCGCGCACGCAUUGGCGAGGGAGAAGCCGUAGUAAGCAAGCUUCUCAUCGUUAUGCGAGUUGAUGGGACAAAUCAAAGUUAUUUAGUACGUACUCUCUCCAAAAAAAGGUUGACCAUGUCAUGGCUACCAUCCCGUGCUCCGUCGUUGAGUACAUGCACUAUUCACGUGCCAUCGAGGAGAAAAAAUAUUGCAUAGUAGGUGCCUUCGAAGUGCACGACUCACUUACGCACUGCUUAUCUGAUUAUCUCCAUUUUCUUGCAUGACAUGUGCACCUUGAUGCUAGAUGUCUUGCGUGUUGGCAAAAGGAUGAACAAAGCUCACGUAAAAAAAGAGUUGAAGAACAUAGAUUCCCGACGACCGAGAAGGAGCAAGGAACCUCGCGGUGGAGCGUCUGCAAGGAACCUUGCGCAUUUUCCCCUGUUUUUUUGCCGCCUGCCCACCUAUAAACAAAUAAAAGAACAUGAACUCUUUGCUAACCACUAGAGACGAUACAUCAGGAUGCUAAGUUGAAGAUGUUUUAUAGUUUAUAUUGAUAACCACGCAACCAGCCACGCAUGUACAGGACGCAUGCAGCCACGCAUGUACACACGCCAACGCACUAACUCCAUCUGAUCCAACUCAUGCACAUACGCGUACAGCAUGGAGCACACAAUGCACGUAACAACACGUGCAUGCACACACACUCGGCCACAGAAUGCACGUGAAUAACACAUGCAUGCGCACACACUCGGCUGCAUGGAGGCAUGCGCCAUCUGCAGCAACGUCCGGUUCAUCGUGCUACGGCGAAGCUCGCACACAACGGCGCCUAUGCAUCUCUUGCAGCACCUCUUUGCCGUCGUUGCACAACGACUAGUCGAAGACAAAGACGACCGCAGCCUCGGCCUUAGAGCUAUCACCGAUGGAAAAACACGCACGCUGCACGCACAUGAGCACAUACGGAGUGCCCACGACGUGGUGCGUCCCCAGUCGCCUCUACUCCUUCUGCGCAUGUUGUCUAUCAAGGCGGUUGCAUGCCUAGUGAUGAUGUGGGUGAGAUCUUCUAGGACUCAGAUGAAGACGAGGAAAAUUAUGAGACUACCCACAGUGGGAGUAACAUAGGUAGUAACAUCACACAUGUCUAGAUAAAGUAGAUGAUGUGGCAAGCAACAAAUGAAGAAAGAGAGGAAAGUAGUAACAUCACACAUAUCAAGGCAAGAUGUGUCUAUAGCCUAAUAAAUGAAGUGUUGCAUGUUACCACAGAUAUGUUACUAUAGAGGUAGUAACAUAGACUAGGGUGAUAUGCAUGAAACUACUAGUGAGUAUGGGAGCACAUGAUAUUUCCCCGUCCGGACCGAUCCCAAGUUGGCUUCUCACCUUCUUGGCCCAACAAAAACCCCUCCCCCCUCCCGCGCGCGCUUCCCGCCCGGCGCCAGCUGAGCCCUCCGCUCCACAUUGAUGGCAAGUCAGGGCGACGCAACCUCUCACUGCUUCUACCGUUAAGUGGCGCGCCGACCGAGGGCGCCGCCCGCUGCACGCACGACAUUUCAGACUACAUAGUGGAGAGUAACUUUAGAGCAAGUACUACAAUUAGAUGACAUAAGCAGGCUAUAAGGAUUUAAAUAUAGUAUUUGUGCUUAGUUGAAGGAGAAAGAAGAGGAGAGAGAAGAGAAGCGGGUUGUAAACUUGUAGUCGGUUGUAGCAGGAGCCCCAACAUACUUUGUGAGACAAAAGGUGGGGCCAUUAUUAAUGAUAUAGUAUUUAUACUAAAGGGACUAACGGACGCCUUAAUUACUCAGUUUUUUUGAGACAAACCUUGGUGGGGCUAUUAUUGACUUGGACGUGGGGUUUGGGGGCCAAAGGCCUACUAUUAUACUUGGUCUUACUCGCACGACCGACCUGACAUGCUCUACCCUAGACGUCGUUGUAUCAUAUGGUUUCGCACCGUUCCAGAUCUUAGCGCCGCCACGCAAUUCUUCUCCAUCCCUCCUUCCGGCGUGCACCGCGAGAAGGGACAGCAGUCCUCCAAACCCCGCCUUUCGUGAUCCUGUACGAGAGAGGGGCGGUCAGGUUUUUGGGGAGCACACUCCUGUGACUGGUGCCAGCGACGACUUCCUCAACGACAGCCUUCUUCCCCGACCUCGGUAACCUCUUCAUCAACGACAUGAGUGACAACAUCAACCACAGCGGUUCUGCUCCCGCUAUACAGUAUGUGAUUCCGUCCUCCUGGUUUAGUCCGCAUCAUUACUUUGAUGUUUGCAAUUGUCGUCAUGAUCUAUUUACUGCUGAUUCGGAUUAAAUCUCAUAGUAAAUUGCUCAUAUAUUCAACAAUCCAAUCCAAAAACCUGAUUAUAGGCAAUUUACUCCGAGUGGUUUUGUUGCGCUUUUGAAGCUGCCUACUUUUAAGGGGGUGCAAUAUAAAAGGUGGCGCACAAGAGCAGUAUAUUGGUUUCAGAUCAUGUACUGCUAUGACGCCACUAAGGGUAAGCCUGAGGGUGAUCUUAAUCCUACACAGCAGGAAGCUUUUGAGAACAUGGAUACCCUCUUCAAAGCCGCCCUGCUGAGUGUUCUUAACGAUUCCAUUAUGGAUUCAUAUAUGUCGUUUGACAGCGGCAAAGACAUGUGGGCUGUGCUCGAGGCCACGUUUGGGGCCUCGGGCGCUGGCAAUGAGUUGUACGUCAUGGAGCAAUUCUGUGACUACAAGAUGACUGAUGAGCGCUCUGUUGUUCAGCACACUCAUGAGAUACAGUCACUCUCUAAGGAACUUGAGUACUUUAAGUGUGUGUUGCCGGACAAAUUUUUUGCUGGGACCAUCAUUGCCAAGCUUCCACCUUCGUGGAACGAUUUUGCUACUUCUCUGAAAAACAAGAGACAUGAGUUUUCUGUUUUGGAUCUCAUUAGCACUCUUGAUUUUGAAGAGAAGGCGAGAGCAAAAGACACACGUGCUCGGGUCGCUGAGGGAGCUUCUAGUGCGCACAUGGUACACAAGAAGAACUUCCAGCCCAACCAGCCCCAAAACAACAAGAACAAAUCUUAGGGGAAAGGCAAGUUUGAUGCAAUGAACAAGCCAUCACAUUCUACCAACUUCAAGAAGAAUUAUCAUAACGGGAAGGGAUACAAACCUCAAUUUUGGUAGCACCGCACAAAAUUUAUAUGGCUGCAUCUACCUGCUAUCAGCUAACCUCAUGGUGCUCCAAGUAUUCCUACAUUUUUAACUAGGUACAAUGACCACCGCAAGAUAAAAUAAGCUUAUUCGUACGUUGACUUGCUGAUUGCAGUGUGGAACGAUCCUGUCAUGUGUGGAGAAGCAAACAAGCAGUGCAGCCGAAGGUGGAAACCAACCAAGGACUUAUGAAAUUAUAUAUAAUCUUCCUUAGGCAGGUCAGUAUCCCCUUCGUCGAGAUGAUCGUGUUUUGUCAUGCCGAGCUAUUGAUAUGUGCUACUGUUUUGCAACACCGUUUAAGUAUAGCUACUGUUUUCCUAUCUUUUCAGAUUCAAGAAGAUGAUUUCAGGGGAACUGCACAAUAUGGACUCAUGUUGAGUCAUCUCUAUUGCCUCAUGUGUUUGCUGCAAAUGUGUCAGCAUCAAUUGCAAAAUGAGGCAGCUAGCUAGCUGUGGAGUUGCCAACAUGCUCAAAGUGCUCGCAACAUUGAGAAGAAACAAGCAUGCCCAGGAAAUUAAUGCGUGUGCAGGGAGUCCCUUUGCUCAGAGAAGCAUCGACUGAUUUUCUUUAUUUCCACACCUUCUCACAGCUUUGUAUUGGUUAUAGUAUGGUGAAUCAUUGAGAUGCAUAAACAUGUUGAACUUUUGUUCUUCUGAAUAUUAGUAUGCAUACCGUAUCUUCUAAAGCUUAGUUUAAUGUGAGUGUCUGCAUCCAGUACCGCAUCCUCUAAUUUGGUGGAUGCUAAGUUGAAAAAGGUUACCGAUGAGUAGCCAUAAGCUGGAGGCAUCUCUUUUUUUUCUUUCGAAUGGGCAAUAAGCUGGAGAGUGUCUUGGGCUGCCUCUAGCACAAGGCCCUCCAGUACGAAAACGGGCAGCCGACUGGGCCGAUACAAAAGCCUAUCCAUCUUAAAGCCCAUUUGUUUUUGUUUUUUGCGAGGAGAAGCCCAUAUUUCUUGAAUAGGGGGUGAACCCAGAAAACCCUCCUUCCUCCUCGCUUCCACUUACACUCCCUCCGUCCGGGUUUAUUCCCAUGAGCCAAUUGCUAAGACCAAGAAGAUGCACAGGGAGAAAAUAAAUCUCCUUAAUUUACUCCAUAACCACCCUAUUAAAUAGGCCUAGUAACAAACCAGGCGCAUGCAGUGGCCGACGGGCACAUGCAUCCUGCAUGCAUGGCCAGUCAGCCAAGUCCAUGCGCCAGCUCCAAUGCAGCAAUGCAAAAGAAGAAAGCGAUUCUUGGGAAAAAGCGAGUAGUUAGUGCAGCGGGCCUUAUAAACACGAACAACUCGCUCUCCCGCUUCCGUCUCCCCCCAAUUCCCCCCGCUCCCCAAUCUUCCUCACUCGUCCAGAAAACCCCCGCGCACCUUCUUCCUCACUCAUACAUAAAACGUCUGCUCCUCUUCUUCCACUCCUACAGAAAUCCCCAGCCCUCCUUCUUCCCCACUCGCACUGCCACUAGGCUCGUCUCUGGCUACUCUGCUCAAACCCAUGAGCUCAGUGCAACGCCCACAAGGAAAAUGGAGUCGGUUGGCCCCAGCUCUAAGAAGAUGAGGCUCCCGCCAGCGGCGAUGNNNNNNNNNNNNNNNNNNNNNNNNNNNNNNNNNNNNNNNNNNNNNNNNNNNNNNNNNNNNNNNNNNNNNNNNNNNNNNNNNNNNNNNNNNNNNNNNNNNNNNNNNNNNNNNNNNNNNNNNNNNNNNNNNNNNNNNNNNNNNNNNNNNNNNNNNNNNNNNNNNNNNNNNNNNNNNNNNNNNNNNNNNNNNNNNNNNNNNNNNNNNNNNNNNNNNNNNNNNNNNNNNNNNNNNNNNNNNNNNNNNNNNNNNNNNNNNNNNNNNNNNNNNNNNNNNNNNNNNNNNNNNNNNNAGAAUCUCCGGUGGACCGCAUCAGCGAUCCCCCAGACGUCAUCCUUGAGGAGAUCGUCUUGCUUCUCCCCACCAAGGAUUGUUGCCGCACACAAGUCCUCUCAACUCGGUGGCGCCCUCUAUGGCGCACCGCGCCCCUCAAUCUCGACUGUCGUCAGAUAUCUGUCCUUCCUGAAUUUGAUCUCCUCAGAGCCAUCAUCACCUCUCACCAGCAGGGCCCCGUUCAAUGCCUCUGCAUCCCGACACGCUACCUGUUGUCCAUACCCGGCACGGUGGACGCUUGGCUGACAUCCCCUGAAUUCGGAAAACUCCAGCAGUUUGAGUUGUACCAUUACAACAAAAGUUUCAUACCACGAACACACCAAGAAUUCGUGCCCACACCACUGUUGUCCAUCUCGCGGUUUCCUCCUCUCUCCACACCGCCACCUUCGCCCGAUGCCAUCUACCAGACGAUCUGGUACAAAUGCUUCAACUCCCACUGCUAAAAAAAACUUUCUCUUGUGGUGGUUUAUCUGUCGGAGGCCUCACUACAUAGCAUCAUCCACUCCAGUUGCCCUGCCCUGGAGCACCUGUUGAUUGUUUUGGGAAUAGAAAUCCGUAUCAGUUGUCUCCAAAUAAAGUCGCCUCACCUUAAAAGCAUUGGAAUUUGUUUUGAAGUACAGCAGCUCAUCAUCAAAGAUGCCCCUUCACUUCAAAGGUUGCUCCUUGAUAAUUUUUAUAAACCUUCACAAAUAACUGCCGUCUCUGCGCCCAAACUGGAGACCUUGGGUGUAAUUCAUGACCCGUUUAAUGAUCACAAGGAGUUGGUGUUUGGCUCCUCACUUUUUCAGGUACCGUAUAUUAUCAUCUACACAUUUGUAAUCAUAAGCUGCAUUUUUCAUUUGUGCGCAAAAGUUUUAUAUCAUCUUGGAGUACACUUUGGGUACUAAUAUUAUGGUAUAUGCUCAAUGAAGAGUUCAUCCAUUGAUAGCCUAUCAAUGCUGCUGGAUUCUAUCAAGAUCAUAUAUAUCAUAAUGUUUAGUUUUGAUCUGAACAUAAUUAUUGGCUUGCUGCGAUGCUUUCGAUCUCUGGAGAAUUUAUAUAUAGAGGUGGUCAUUUCAUGCACAUUGAAAGCCCGUAUAUAUUGUACUAGAAUUAACUUUUCAGCUGUCGUUGUUUCGACAUACUCAUUUUUCAGACCUUAACUGUUUUCAAUCUUCAUGUCUACUUAGGCACAACCACAUGGAGCAAAACAUAUAACCAAUCGGUGGCGUAAUAAGCACCAGGAUUUUCUCAGUUCUCAUGACAUUCGUUUGAGUACAAUAACGAUGGAAGGAUAUGCAUCCAACCAGGCAAACAGAAGCUUUGUCACAUUCUUCUUGUUGAAUGCGAGGUUACUAUUGUCCAUGAGGCUUAAUUUUUACCGCAAAAGAUUUCUCACAGACGGACACGUUGAACAGCAAAAAAAGAAGUUUCAGGUGGACAAAUGGGCUUCUAAACGUGCUCAGCUUCUAUUUACAACAAGUUGUAGUCAUCCUGAAAUAAAUUUUUUUGCACAGGAUGUUGAUUUUAUGGAUCAGACCGAUCCAUUUGUUUGUGACUGCAAAAGAGAGUGGUUGGGUUAGAUGUUACUGCCAUGUUCAAUCUGGGUUUUGUCUGAAAAUUUGAUGAACAAUUAAUUCUCGGGCUUUGUGUACCAUUUGUAUGCUUGAGUUGCAUGUUGUUGCCCUCGAACUCCCCUCCACCUACCACUACACUGCCGCAUCUUCCAUGGCUGCUGUUCGUUCCUGUCCGAGGCCUCACCGUCGUUCUCCGCCUUGGUUCGCUCGUUGUGCUCGCCACCAUCUGGCGUUGUCAACAUGGUCAACACGAAGAGGAAUCAGGAGAUGACUGUAUGUGGAGAGGCUGACAGUAGGGACCCACCAGGGUCAUUGCAUUUCACAAGCAGGUGCCUCGUUAUUACAAGCCAAAAAAAUACUUCCUCAUAAUUGUUUGACAACUAGGUCCCACGCCAUUGUCAAUGUAGUCAAUAAACGAGAAAAUUACACAACAAGCGGAUAACACCAGGGACCCAGCAACUCGCCUAGUUGUUUUUUAGUUUCAGAGACGGAGCUCAACUGUGUGUUGUGCGGGGUCUGUGGCCCGUCUAGCCCAUGCUUACGCUUUUAUUUAAGCACAUGACGAGCCCAAUUGAUAUAUUUUUUCUUUCUAAAAAUGGCUAGCCCAGUUCUUUUUUUUGGAGAAUACCAAAACCGAGGCCUACUUGCUUUUCUCAGCCCUGUUGGGCUACAAAUCAUUCAAGAUGAGGAGCGAUGUAAGUAGUAAGAAAUGGGCUUCCCCAGAAAAUGGGCUAUAAGUUGUAAGAAAUGGGCUGUAAAUUUUUAAACCAAAGCCAACCGGCAAUUGUAUUAAAAUAUCAUUUUUCAGGAUUUCUCUACUCUCUACUCUUAUAAAAACCAAAGCCAACUGGCAAUUACAUUAAAAUAUCAUCUUUUCUCCCACAAGAUAAACUACUCAUACAAAUGCAUCUUCAUGUUCCGUGCAACGAACGGGCAUCUUGCUAGUUAAGAUUCUAAAUUUCAUUCUUUUUUUGCGGAGAAUUGUUUUUCGAAUUUUAUUUUGAUAUAAUUUUGAAAAAAUAUUUUUAACGUGACUCAAAAUUUUGUGAUUAAAAGAGUUCGGACCCCACCGAAAUAUGCAAAAUUUCGUUGAAUUUUUUAGCAGUGCCCAGAAUAUAUGGUCUAUAAUGCUAAUAAAAAGAAUAUGGGCAUCAAAUAUCCUUAAGAAUUAGCAAAUGGGCUGUAAAUUGUUGAAAAUAAUGGCUAAUGGGUUGUAUGCUGUUUUCCAUAGAUUUGGAGGCUGACUUCUGGGCCUACUAGGUUGACGAUGACGCUAUCCUAAAAAAAUUGACGCGUACGCAAGGCUUUGUAAACUUAGUCAAUACAGAGCAGUGACUGUUGGAUGUCCAUCCAACGGCCGCCGUGCUUCUUCAAUCUCUCAUCUUCCUGCUCCGGCCGCCCAAACUAGCGCCGGCGGGACUGCCUGCUCCCUCCUCCCGCGGCUGGCUGUGCUGUCGCUAGGCCAUCCCUCUAACCACCCACACAUCCUGUUAUUUUCCGGCGACGUCAGCCUCACCCCGAAGCCGACCAGUCAGCGCUCGUACUCCCCUCAGCGUGGGCAUCCGCUGCGGUGGCUUCGCCAGCUCCGGGUGGUUCCCUUCCUGGGCCUCAGCCUCGUCCACCGCGUUUGUGCUCUCGGCGUGGCGAGGUCAACAUGGUCAACAAACAAUAGCCAUCGGAAGAGGCUGACAGUAGGGGCCCACACAAGGAAAUUCCUCCUUAUUACGCGCAAAAUAAUGAUUCCUGCACCUGACAGCUGGGACCCACUGGAAGGGCCUCUGUGUUUCGCGAAGAAAAUGUUCCCCCCGCUGUCAGCUCGGAUCCACCGGAAGUGGCUCCUUAUUACGCACAAAAAAAGAAUACUCCCCCUGCUAGCUGGGAACCACCUUGGUGGGAGGCUGACUUGUGGGCCUACUAAGUUCAUGGGGAUGGAGGGCUUUGUCAACUUAGUCAAUAUGAACGAUUCUAGCUCUAGUGACCGUACGAUGUCCAUCCAACGGCCGUAGUGCUUCUUCAACCUCUGGUCUUCUUGCUCCAGCCGCCCAAAGCAGCGCCGGUUGUGCCGCAUGCUCCUGCCUCCCGUGGCCGGCUGUGCUGCCGCGGAGGCCUCACCGCCCCCUACUAUUCCCACCGCUGGCCAGGCCCUGCGGCGACGGCAGCCUCACACCGCAGCCUAACAAGUGAACCCUCAUACUCCUCUUCGCGCGGGCUUCCACCGCCGCGUCUUCCCCGGCUCCGCGUCGUUCCCUUCCUAGGCCUCGCCGUUGUCCACCGCCCUGGUGCUCUCGGCGCGGCAUGGUCAACAUGGUCAAGGAACGACUUCCAUCGGAAGAGUACUGUACGUGGAGAGGCUGAUAGCUGGGUCCACGGUAGUCGCAAGGAAGUGCCUCCUUAUUACAUGCAAAAUAACUAUUCCUCCACCUGAUAGCAGGGACCCACCGGACGGGCCACCGUAUUUCACGAAAAAAAUGUUUCCACCCUGACUACUGGGACCCACGAGCUACAUCUUCGCAUGCACGAAAGUGCUUGACAGUCGGGACCCACCUGGUCGAAGCGUACGUAGCGUUGUCAUUUUGGUCGCGAACGUGUACGUACAUACUGGUCGAUAUAGACGCGCACGUGUCAUAGUAGAGGCACGCACAUAGCAUGUACACGUACGUACAGCGGCCAGGGUGCAAGAAAGUAAAUACGGCCACGUACGUACAUACGGGCGGGGUCUCGAACGCCUACUCGCGCAUACGUACGGUCGGGGCUCGUGUACAUGGCUGGGUCAGAACGGAGAAACUGCGUCGUCGUCGUGUUCAUGGGGAGGCAACCGGCUGGGUCGGAACGGAAUGCGUUGUCGUGUUCAUCGGGAGGGCUUGGACGGAACAGCCGAUGGAAACGAGGCCUGGCGUACCACAAAACGGAGGAAACAGCCUUGUGUUCGACCGACCACGGUCGAAACGGGAUCUUGUUCAUCGGAGGGGUCUGGCGUACCGCAAAUCGGAGGUAACGGACUUCUGUUGGACCUCCUACGGUCGAAACAGGGUCCAAUUGAUCGGGAGGGGUGUGGCGUACUGCAAAACGGAGGAAACGGACUUGUGUUGGAGCGCUACGGUCAAAACGGGGGUCCUAUUCAUCAGGAGGGGUGUGGCAUACCGCAAAACGGGACUCCACGGGAUACUGUUCAUCUCCACCGUCGACCUCCUCCAGCCUCCACGGGCUACUGUUCAUCCACCGUCGACCUCCUCCAGCCUCCACCUGCGACUGUUCAUCCACGGGCUCCUGUUCAUCCAGCCUCCACCGCGCGCUCCUCCACCGGCUACUGCUCAACCAGCCCUCCCCACGGGCUCCUGUUCAACAACCCCUCCACGGGCUACUGUUCAUCCAGCCCUCCACCGGCUACUGUUCAACCACCCCUCCACAGGGUCGUCCUAUUCAUCCAGCCCUCCACGGGGUCCUGUUCAUCCACCCCCAACCGGCUUGAUCGGGGUCCUGUUCAUCCAGAGGCAACACCACGGGGUCCUAUUCAACCACCCCCACCGGGAACUGUUCAUCCAAACCCCCCAACAACGCUCAUUGUUCAUCAAGGGAAGGAGGCAGCAGGGCGUUCGAUCGGCUUCAGUUAGCAGCAAUAGCGAAGGAAUCACUCGGGUUCAGUAACAUAGCUAGUGCAAUCGCUUGGGUUCAGUUAGAGCCCAACGCCUUGCUCGGGUUCAGCUACAGUCCAACACCUCGCACACACACGCGUACGUGUACGAGAGAAACACGCAUCGCUCAGCCCCCGACCACCCACCGUAACGGGGAACUCCCCAAAAUUUUCCUCGCCCUCGCUUCUACCACGGUUUUUUCUGUCAUGGACGGCCCAAAGAAUGUCGUGCAGCUGCGUCUCUGGCCCGCCCAGGAAGAAAAGCCUAUUUUCUGUCAUGAUUUUUUGUCAUAGAAGUAGGAGCCCACCACAUCUAUGAUGAUACCAGGUUUUGUCACAAUUAUCAUCAUAGAAGUGUCAUAAGUAUGACAGAAAAAAAUUCGUUCGGCCCAAAAUGUCACGGAUGUGUCUUUUUUUUGUAGUGAUAGUAGAGUAGAUAAAAGGGGAAAACCCUAAGCAUCAAGAGUAAAAUUAGGAAAGUGGAACUAGCUGGACCAGUGGGUGUCGCACAUGCUUUUCGAAACGAAUAUAGGAACAUUAGGUGACCAAUUAAACGCUCUCUAUUUUAGUGAUAUGAGCAUCAUAUCAGAUUCGUAUUUCAACACGUAAGCUUUGGGUUGAGGUCUUGAGGAGCAGUGUAUCACGCCCAACAUGCGACCCUAUCCUAAAGGAACUCGAAGGUCCCACCAAGGAUAGAAGCGCAUAUUGGAGACGCUUUUGCAAGGUGGAUAUCAUUACAUCGUACCAUUACAUAAUAGUUGGGGAUACAUACAAGAGCCAGGCAAUGCCACAUGAAUACAACAACAUCAUACAUAAGAGCAACAUCCGACUACGGAUGAAACACAAACAGAAACUCAAAUGAUAUCCACCCUGCUAGCCCAGGCUACCGACCAGGAACCUAUCCCCUAAACGACUAAGCAGAAGAAGAACUCAAAACAAGCAUGCACCGCUCUCGCGUUAUGAUCAUCGCAUUACCUGUACCUGCAACUGUUGUAGUUGUAAUCUGUUAGCCACGAGGACUCAGCAAUCCCAUUACCAUGGGUAUCAAUACUAGCAAAGGUUAAUGGGUAUGAAAUGGAUAAGUGGUGAGGUUGCAGCAGCGACUAAGCAUGAUAUGGUGGCUAACUUACGAAUACCAGAAUAAGAUGAGAAGCUACGCAGACGGUUGCAAACUAGUAAUGAUCAAGAAGUGAUCCUGAAACUACUUACGUCCAAACAUAACCCAAACCGUGUUCACUUCCCGGACUCCACCGAGAAGAGACCAUCACGGCUACACACGCGGUUGAUGCAUUUUAGUUAAAUCAAGUGUCAAGUUCUCUACAACCGGAUAUUAACAAAUUCCCAUCUGCCACAUAACCGCGGGCACGGCUCUCGAAAGUUUAUACCCUGCAGGGGUGUCCCAACUUAGCCCAUUAUAAGCUCUCACGACCAACGAAGGAUAUUCCUUCUCCCGGGAAGACCCGAUCAGCCUCGGAAUCCCGGUUACAAGACAUUUCGGCAAUGGUAAAACAAGACCAGCAAGACCGCCCGGAUGUGCCGACAAAUCCCGAUAGGAGCUGCACAUAUCUCGUUCUCAAGGCACACCGGAUGGGCCAGACGUCGGGUUGACAUAGACCCUGGUUGCCCAGGGGGCCCCGGACAUUGCCCGGUUCAGACCAACACUUAGAGAAGAAUUAGCCCGGGGGGUUUAAAUAAAGAUAACCCUUGGGUUUAUAACUCCCAAGGGAAAGUUAGUAGGUUGUUAGGCAAAUGUAAAACCAAGGUUGGGCCUUGCUGGAGGAGUUUUAUUCAAAGCGAAUUGUCAAUGGGUUCCCAUAAACCCAGCCGCGUAAGGAACGCAAAAUCAAGGAACAAAACACCGGUAUGACGGAAACUAAGGCGGCAAGAGUGGAACAAAACACCAGGCAUAAGGCCGAGCCUUCCACCCUUUACCAGGUAUAUUGAUGCAUUAAUUAAAUAAGAGAUAUUGUGAUAUCCCAAAAUAAUCCUGUUCCAACAUGGAGCAAUCUUCAACUUCACCUACAACUAACAACGCUAUAAGAGGGGCUGAGCAAAAGUGGUAACAUAGCCAAACAACGGUUUGAUAGGAAGGCUGAAAAAGGUUAGAGGCUGACAUGGAAUUUGGGAGGCUUGAUAAACAAGUGAUAGGUAGCGCAGCAUAGCGAUAGAACGAAGCAACUAGCAUAGCAAUGAUAGUAGAGAUCCAGGGCAACGGUCAUCCUGCCUGAAAUCCCGCUAGGAAGAAGAACGAGUCCAUGAAGAAGAUGAACGGGCGAAGACGAACCAAGCGUAGACGAACGAAUCCUCACGAUCGCAACGAAACAGGAACUAUCGAGGAGAAGCACAAUCGAAAAGAAGCAAACAACAUGGUAAACACACAACACAUAAACAUGACAUGAUGCUCAACCAAGUAUGAUGCAUGACAAAGGCUAUAUGAUGCUACGCAUGGCAAGAGAUGAUGCAUACAAUAACAACAUAUCAAAGCAAGUUUAAAUGAGGUCGGAAACAACAUAUAACAAAUCCGGUAAGUCCCCAUAUGCAAAUUUCGAAAUUGGUCAAGAUCUAAAUAAACCUUAUGUUCAAGUUGUUAAACAGCAAGUUAAGAUGCACCAAGAUGAUCUACACGAAAUUCUGGUCAAGUUACAUAUAAAGUUCAUUUAAUUCGGAGCUACGGCCUAGAAGAUAUGAGCAAAACAAGUCAAACAUGACAUUUAUGCAAAACACAUUCAAACAUCAAGCAAACACUCUCAAAACAUGGAUGCAACAUUAUAAGAUGAAACUACAUGCAAAAUCAUACAAAUUUCAUAUAGAGCAUGCUCAAAACGGAGCAACGGUGCAACACAUACACUCCAAAAAAGAUAUAACAAUCUGCCCAAAACAGCAAGUAGGCACUUUGCAAACAUCAAAACAACAUACUACAAGAAUCAUAUGAGCACAAACUUGACAUGCACUUCAUUUAUAGAUAACAUAAUUCAAAUAUCAUUAAGGUUCAGGUUCAUAGGCAUCAAUAUUAAACCAAUAUGAUCAAAGCAAAAUGCAACUUUAUAACACAGGAGCAUAUACAUGAGCAGAGUUAACAUGAUGGCAACUUGAGAGCAACAAAGAGACAAGCUACAGCAAGUAAACAUAGCAACCAAGGGCAUGGCAUAACAUUAAACAUAACAAAGAGAAAAUAACAUCAUGACAUCAUAUACAUAUGGCUCAUGGAUUAGUAGGAACCAACAAGACAAGAUUGAAUGUUGAAACAGUUUCAGCAAGUGUAAAACACCAACAUUAUGAUAGCAUGAUUGCAAGCAUGGGACAGAGGCAUAUGACAUCCAAAAUUACUAACCAUGGCAUGUGAACAAAGUACUCAUAGCCUACUACAAAACAUGUAAUUGCAGCAUAUCCAGAAUAGGCGUGUAUCAACUAAUAUCAAGCUCACAACAAGACAUCAUGAAGUUAACAGAAAUCUGGAACAACAUGUAGGCAUGUUCAUUGCAACUAAAACAUAUUCUACAGACAUAUAUAGGGCAUCAAAAUGCAUGAAAAGAUAGAUCAUAACACGGAAAACAAAACAUGUCAACUAAGCAUCUCCAGAAUAUGCAUGGAUUAAUUGGUAGCAUCAAGCAAACAUGGCAUCCUGAUGUUACAGAUUCAGCAUUGACAGAACAUUAACAGCGAGUAGCCUAGUUCACGAGCUUGAUGCACUCACUACAAGGCAUAUAAAAUACAUGUAUUGCGCCCCUGUAAAGAAGGCAUGAUUAUGCUCCUAAAACAUGUAGACAUUAUGCUCAAAAAUAAUAACACAAAAAGAUAUGAAAAUGACAAAUAGGCAAGUUAUAACAGUUUUCAGCAGUUAACAGCAACAUGGAGUUUUGCAACAGAGAUUAAGAUAUCAGGAUGCACCUUAACGUGAAUGCAAAGCACAUCAACGUGUAGAGAAUAAAGAGUAGAACAGGUGCAUAUCAAGAUCACCAUCAUGGGAUCAACACGGCCAAAGUUAUGGCACUCACAACAUGCAUACAUGAUGUUAACAGUCAGCAGAUUUCAGCAGUUUAUAUCACUUAGCAGUUUUGCAAUGAAGAUUAAGACAUCAAUAUGAACAGAAACAUGAAUUCAAAUGCAGCCAUCAUGUAGAGCAUCAAGAGAGAACGUUUUGACAUAUUAUAUGCACAAAACGGAGCUAUAUGCAUGGAGAUAUCGCAUGUCAAAGUGGUGCACAUAACAUAGGAAUUUAGGGACUUGGAGAGAAAACGACCUCGAGGGGGAAAAGUCAACGGCGGCGGAUCUCGCCGGAGAUGACGAGGGAGGGCCCGGGGCGGCCGGAUCGGAGGCGGGGCGACGGAUCCGGGCGGCUCCUUCCCGAAUCCGGCCGGAGGCGGGGGCCGGCGAUGAGGGGGAGGCCUUAGGUGGGAUCCGGCAAGGGCGGAGGAGCUCGUCGUCCGGCGGCGGGCGGCACUCCGGGCGGCGGCCGGAGGACGGGACAACAGGGAGGCGAGGCGCUGAGGCGGCGCGGGACGAGCCAGGCAGCGAGGCGCGCGAGGCAGCGGAGCUGGAAGCGGGCCGGGCGGUGGCGAGAUCCGGGCCCGCACGGGUUUGGGAUGGGCUCCGCGGGCCGGCGGCGUGGAGGAGAGAGAGGGAGCCGGCGGCGGUGAUGUGUCGCCUCCUGGUUGGGCGCGGGAGGUGGCGGAGUUGAGGUGGUGGCGCUCGAUUGGUCCGGGCGACGUGGAGGGGGGACAUGUCUGGCACGGACGGAUGUGUCCGGCGGCGCGAGGAGGGAGACGGUAGGGUUUCAUCCACGAAUUUCGAGGGGAGGGAAUUAUUUAUAGGUAGAGGGAGCUAGGAGAGUCCAAAUGAGGUGCGAUUUUCGCCCACACGAUCGUGAUCCAACGGCGGAGAGCGUGGAGGGGAGUUUGAUGGGCUAGAGGGCUGUUACGGAGGGGUGCUGGGCUGCAAAGAGAAGGGAGUUUCGGUUAACGUGGUUAACCGUUGGGGCAUCAAACAACCUCCAAAUGGAACAAAAUUUGACAGGCGGUCUACCGGUGAUAUACCAAGGCCACUCGGCAAAUCUCGGCUCAUUCCGAGAACGUUUUUCGGCGGCUCACAAAACAAGGUUUGAGAGGGGCGACGGGUGCAUGCGAGUGUGUCUGGGCUCAGAACGGACAACGUAGAGAACCGGGGGAACCCGAACGGAUGCAUGUUUUGAAAAACAUACAGAUGAAAUACAGAUGAUGACAUGGCAAAGUGCAACACACAAGCGAAUGACAUGGCAACAAUGGCGAAUAACUGGAAGACACCUUGCGCAUUGGAUUUGGGGUGCUACAACUCUCCUCCACUAACAAGAGAUCUCGUCCCGAUAUCUUAGGAACGAGGCGGAAGAGAAAGAGGAAGAGGUGAAAUAAUAACGUAAGAGAGAAGAUGAACAAAGUCCGAGAGCGCUCGGGUAGAAAGAGGAACGGGAAUAUGACGAGAAUCAAAAGCUCAUGGAAUAAGAUAGACUCUGAAAUCACUCCGGUUAGAACAAGAUAGAAAAGGAAUAGAACAUAAGAAUUUGGGCAGCAUUCCGACUGAAAAUGGAAGGAAUGGAGACAUGAACUUCACAAGAUGGGAUGACACUAGAUGAGAUGAACAACGCAAUGCCUCUGGAAGAAUUGAAAUAAUGGACUGAAAAGAACGGAUAAGAGAACAACACUUCCACCAUAAAUGAAUUCGAUAGCAUCCUUAGCGGAAGGGUAGAACGGAGUUGUUGAGGAAAUCAACAACAAAAGAAUAAGCUUGUUGUGGACUUAUCAAAAACAUCUCAAAACUUGAGGUGAAAUUAUACCACAACCAAAUGUCUGAAUAUCUGAGAAGAACGAAGAAAUGGAAAACUCCACUUCAGAAGAAUACGAAGAAUUAAUUGCACUUUGAGACGCGAGAAGAAAAGAUACUUGAACUCCUCCAACAAAAAUCUUGAUGAAAUCUUGAAGAAUGAAUUAAAUCAUGAAGAACCACCAUGAAGAACUCCGGUGACAAAAGGAAGAUGAGAUAGAAUGAAGGAUGAAAGAAUAAGAUGAGCCUUGCGGUGAUUUAGAUGGAGGUUCCGACGAGAUGGCCGAGGAAAUUUGAACUCCUGAAAAGAAAAGAUGAAAACACUUGGAACUAGAAUUUAUUCAUCAAGAACAAACUCCGAAGGAAGGGAUUAAUCACUUGGAGGAAAUAAGAAUAAGAUUUAUUGUAUGCUUAUCCUCAUCAAAUUUAAUUGAUGACAACCGGAUUUUGCAUGCAACUUAUUCCUCUUGAAAAAGGAUUGAGAAGUGACAUAGCGCAAACUUGAGAAGGUGUUCAACGAGCCACCGGUAGGAUUGAAAAGAACGAAUGAAUUGAUAUGAUGACAAAGGAAGAGGAAUGCUGAAGGAACCACCGUAAGAAUUCGAAAAUGACUGAUGAAAGAGAAUGAAUCACCGGGAAGAAUUAUAGGAACAAAUAUGCUUGAGGAGAUUUAGAUACAAGAGAACGGGAAGAACUCGAGCUGAUUAAAGAGCACUUGAAUGAAGCGCUGGGAUAAUUGGAUAACGGUAGCUGAAAUAUGAGGACGAAGAAUUCCUAUGGAAUGAUGGCCUCCUGUGAAAAGAAACGGAAAACAACUCCUGACAUACUCCGGAUGGGUAAGAAAAUAAUAUCUGACAAAUGGAAUAGUUCGAGAGGAUAACAUGAAGCUAGAACCACGAAUCUUCGAGAGAACGGGCAAGAUUUAGAAGGAACUCUUCUUCGAUCUUCAAAUGACGACGGGAAACACCACCAAAAUUACUGAGAUACUCCGGGAUAAUGGGAGGUGAAGAGGUUGAGCCACCAAUGAAAUGAUUUGAAAUCGAUCUUGGAAAGGCAUCUGACUCAUGAAAUUCAUUCUUACGUCAAACUCCAAAAAGAAUUAGGAAUGGCUCCAGAAUAGAGUCAGGUAAGAUCCUAGGAAAAGACCUGUGGGUUAGGGCCCACUAAAAAGAAAACACCAUUGAAAAAGGAUUGGAGAGGAGAUAGAUGAUGCACCGGAACAAUUGAAAUAUUUGAAUGAGGUGAUAACCUCGAAUAAAUUGAAACACAGACGAAUCUCCUAAGAUGUCUUCCGAACUCCAGAAUGAUUAAAUGGCGAGAGGCGAACAAGCAAGGGGAAACCAUUUGAGCUGAGGAAAAGAAUAUGAUCAACACCGAAUACUUGCAUUGAGUCCACCAGAAAGAAAAAGAUGAAGAAUGACGAACUAGAUAAGAAAUCACCGGUUGACACAAUUGACGAAAGACUGAAGAGGCUCCGCGCGAAUGAAAUAGAUGCUCGAAAGAGACUCGGGCUCCGGGAAGAANNNNNNNNNNNNNNNNNNNNNNNNNNNNNNNNNNNNNNNNNNNNNNNNNNNNNNNNNNNNNNNNNNNNNNNNNNNNNNNNNNNNNNNNNNNNNNNNNNNNNNNNNNNNNNNNNNNNNNNNNNNNNNNNNNNNNNNNNNNNNNNNNNNNNNNNNNNNNNNNNNNNNNNNNNNNNNNNNNNNNNNNNNNNNNNNNNNNNNNNNNNNNNNNNNNNNNNNNNNNNNNNNNNNNNNNNNNNNNNNNNNNNNNNNNNNNNNNNNNNNNNNNNNNNNNNNNNNNNNNNNNNNNNNNNNNNNNNNNNNNNNNNNNNNNNNNNNNNNNNNNNNNNNNNNNNNNNNGAAAACACUGGUUUAAAGAGGGUGGGAGGGCGGGAAAACAAAGGCAAAUUGGAACGGGGAACCGACGAAUAACUUGAAGAGAAAACACUGGUUUAAAGAAUGCAAAGGCUUCGCACGAGUAGGAUGGAUACUCGAUUACGGACUCCGGCUCUGAGAAGAAAAAGGGGUGGGCGGGUGGGAAAAAGAAAACACCUGGGGAUGAGGAAACAACUUCGAUGAGAAAGAACUGAGGAUUGAUCAUGCGAGAACAAGGAGGUCGAAUCGACUUGACGACAAAUGCACCGGAUGAAAAGAGCUGAGAACCAACUAUCGGAAAACCAACUGCGUAAUCCUAAAGAAAAAAUUUGAAGGGAGGAGGAGUAAAUCAAAACACCUGCGUCCAGAUUCCUCACCAGAGCAACGAAGGGGCUGAGGAGUAAAAAGAAUUCCUACUCUCCGAUAUAACUAGACUCCGAAAACAGUUUUCUUCUAGACUCGACAACGGCCAAUCUACGAACAAUCAAGGGGGCUCCUAUGGUCGGUCGACGCUCUGAUACCAACUUAUCAUGCCCAAUAUGCGACCCUAUCCUAAAGAAACUCGAAGGUCCCACCAAGGAUAGAAGCGCAUAUUGGAGACGCUUUUGCAAGGUGGAUAUCAUUACAUCGUACCAUUACAUAAUAGUUGGGGAUACAUACAAGAGGCAGGCAAUGCCACAUGAAUACUACAACAUCAUACAUAAGAGCAGCAUCCGACUACGGAUGAAACACAAACAGAAACUCAAACGAUGUCCACCCUGCUAGCCCAGGCUGCCGACCAGGAACCUAUCCCCUACAAAGCAGAAGAAGAACUCAAAACAAGCAUGCAUCGCUCUCGCGUCAUGAUCAUCGCAUCACCUGUACCUGUAACUAUUGUAGUAGUAAUCUGUGAGCCACGAGGACUCAGCAAUCCCAUUACCAUGGGUAUCAAGACUAGCAAAGCUUAAUGGUAUGAAAUGGAUAAGUGGUGAGGUUGCAGCAGCGACUAAGCAUGAUAUGGUGGCUAACUUAUGAAUACCAGAAUAAGAUGAGAAGCUACGCAGACGGUUGCAAACUAGUAAUGAUCAAGAAGUGAUCCUGAAACUACUUACGUCCAAACAUAAUCCAAACCGAGUUCACUUCCCGAAGUCCGCCGAGAAGAGACCAUCACGGCUACACACGCGGUUGAUGCAUUUUAGUUAAAUCAAGUGUCAAGUUCUCUACAACCGGAUAUUAACAAAUUCCCAUCUGCCACAUAACCGCGGGCACGGCUCUCGAAAGUUUAUACCCUGCAGGGGUGUCCCAACUUAGCCCAUUAUAAGCUCUCACGACCAACGAAGGAUAUUCCUUCUCCCGGGAAGACCCGAUCAGCCUCGGAAUCGCGGUUACAAGACAUUUCGGCAAUGGUAAAACAAGACCAGUAAGACCGCCAGGAUGUGCCGACAAAUCUCGUGCUCAGGUCACACCGGAUAGGCCAGACGUUGGGUUGGCAUAGACCCUGGUUUCCCAGGGGGCGCCGAGCAUCGCCCGGUUCGGACCAACACUUAGAGAAGCACUGGCCCGGGGGGGUUUAAAUAAAGAUGACCCUCGGGUUUAUGACUCCCAAGGGAAAGUUAGUAGGUUGUUAGGCAAAUGUAAAACCAAGGUUGGGCCUUGCUGGAGGAGUUUUAUCCAAAGCGAACUAUCAAGGGGUUCCCAUAAACCCAGCCGCGUAAGGAACGCAAAAUCAAGGAACAUAACACCGGUAUGAUGGAAACUAAGGCAGCAAGAGUGGAACAAAACACCAAGCAUAAGGCCGAGCCUCCCACCCUUUACCAGGUAUAUAGAUGCAUUAAUUAAAUAAGAGAUAUUGUGAUAUCCCAAAAUAAUCCUGUUCCAACAUGGAGCAAUCUUCAACUUCACCUACAACUAACAACGCUAUAAGAGGGGCUGAGCAAAAGCGGUAACAUAGCCAAACAACGGUUUGCUAGGAAGGGUGAUAAAGGUUAGAGGCUGACAUGGCAAUAUGGGAGGCUUGAUAAACAAGUGAUAGGUAGCGCAGCAUAGCGAUAGAACGAAGCAACUAGCAUAGCAAUGAUAGUAGUGAGAUACAGGGUAAUGGUCAUCUUGCCUGAAAUCCCGCUAGGAAGAAGAACGAGUCUAUGAAGAAGACGAACGGGCGAAGACGAACCAAGCGACGAUCGCAACGAAACAGGAACUAUCGAAAAGAAGCACAAUCGAAAAGAAGCAAACAACAUGGUAAACACACAACACAUAAACAUGACAUGAUGCUCAACCAAGUAUGAUGCGUGACAAAGGCUAUAUGAUGCUAUGCAUGGCAAGAGAUGAUGCAUACAAGAACAACACAUCAAAGCAAGUUUAAAUGAGGCCGGAAACAACAUAUAACAAAUCUGGUAAGUCCCCAUAUGCAAAUUUCGAAAUUGGUCCAGAUCUGAAUAAACCUUAUGUUCAAGUUGUUAAACAGCAAGUUAAGAUGCACCGAAUGAUCUACACGAAAUUCUAGUCAAAUUACAUAUAAAGUUCAUUUAAUUCGGAGCUACGGCCUAGAAGAUAUGAGCAAAACAAGUCAAACAUGGCAUUUAUGCAAAACACAUUCAAACAUCAAGCAAACACUCUCAAAACAUGAAUGCAACAAGAUAAGAUGAAACUACAUGCAAAAUCAAACAAGUUUCAUAUAGAGCAUGCUCAAAACGGAGCAACGGUGCAACACAUACACUCCAAACAAGAUAUAACAAUCUGCCCAAAACAGCAAGUACGCACUUUGCAAACAUCAAAACAACAUGCUACAGGAAUCAUAUGAGCAAAAACUUGACAUGCACUUCAUUUACAUAUAACGUACUUCAAAUAUCAUUAAGGUUCAGAUUCAUAGGCAUCAAGAUUAAACAAAUAUGAUCAAGGCAAAAUGCAACUUUAUAACACAGGAGCAUAUACAUGAGCAGAGUUAACAUGAUGGCAACUUGAGAGCAACAAAGAGACAAGCUACAGCAAGUAAACAUAGCAACCAAGGGCAUGGCAUAACAUUAAACAUAACAAAGAGCAAAUAACAUCAUGACAUCAUAUACAUAUGGCUCAUGGAUUGGUAGGAACCAACAAGACAAGAUUGAAUGUUGAAACAGUUUCAGCAAGUGUAAAACACCAACAUUAUGAUAGCAUGAUUGCAAGCAUGGUACAGAGGCAUAUGACAUCCAAAAUUAAUAACCAUGGCAAGUGAACAAAGUACUCAUAGCCUACUACAAAAUAUGUAAUUGGAGCAUAUCCAGAAUAGGUAUGUAUCAACUAAUAUCAAGCUCACAACAAGACAUCAUGAAGUUAACAGAAAUCUGGAACAACAUAUAGGCCUGUUCAUGGCAAUGAAAACAUAUGCUACUGGACAUAUAUAGGGCAUCAAAAGGUAUUGCAAGAUAGAGCAUAACAUGUUCAACAAAACAUAUCAACUAAUCAUCUCCAGAAUAUGCAUGGAUUAAUUGGUAGCGUCAAGCAAACAUUGCAUCAUGAUGUUACAGAUUCAGCAUUGACAGAACAUUAACAACGAGUAGCCCACUUCACGAGCUUGACACACUCAAUACAAGGCAUAUAAAAAUAUAUGUAUUGCGCCCCUGUAAAUAAGGCAUGAUUAUGCUCCUAAAACAUGUAGACAUGAUGCUCAAAAUAAAAUCGCACAAAAAAAUAUAAAAAUGACAAAUAGGCAAGUUAUAAUAGUUUUCAGCAGUUAACAGCAACAUGGAGUUUUGCAACAGAGAUUAAGAUAUCAAGAUGCACCUUAACGUGACUGCAAAGCACACCAACAUGUAGAGAAUAAAGAGGAGAACAUGUGUAUAUCAAGAUCACCAUCAUGGGAUCAACAGGGACCAAGUUAUGGCACUCACAACAUGCAUACAUGAUGUUAACAAUUAGCAUAUUUCAGCAGUUUAUAUCACUUGGCAGUUUUGCAAUGAAGAUUAAGGCAUCAAUAUGAAAAGAAACAUGAACGCAAAUGCAGCCAUCAUGUAGAGCAUCAAGAGAUGAACGUUUUGACAUAUUAUAUGCGCAAAAUGGAGCUAUAUGCAUGAACAUAUGGCAUGUCAAAGGGGUGCACAUAACAUAGGAAUUUCGGGACUUGGAAAACGACCUCGAGGGGGCAAAGUCAAUUGAGGCGGAUCUCGCCGGAAUCUCGCCGGAGAUGACGAGGGAGGGCCCGGGGCGGCCGGAUCGGAGGCGGGGCGACGGAUCCUGGCGGCUCCUGCCCGAAUCCGGCCGGAGGCGGGGGCCGGCGACGAGGGGGAGGCCGGAGGCGGGAUCCGGUAGGGGGCGGAUGAGCUCGUCGUCCGGCGGCAGGCGGCGCUCCGGGCGGCGGCCGGCGGAUGGGACNNNNNNNNNNNNNNNNNNNNNNNNNNNNNNNNNNNNNNNNNNNNNNNNNNNNNNNNNNNNNNNNNNNNNNNNNNNNNNNNNNNNNNNNNNNNNNNNNNNNNNNNNNNNNNNNNNNNNNNNNNNNNNNNNNNNNNNNNNNNNNNNNNNNNNNNNNNNNNNNNNNNNNNNNNNNNNNNNNNNNNNNNNNNNNNNNNNNNNNNNNNNNNNNNNNNNNNNNNNNNNNCCACGCGGGUUCAGGAUGGGCUCCGCGGGCUGGCGGCAUGGAGGAGAGAGAGGGGGCCAACGGUGGUGACGUGUCGCCUCCUGGUUGGGCGCGGGAGGCGGCGGAGCUGAGGUGGCGGCGCUCGAUUGGUCUGAGCGACGUGGAGGCUGGACAUGUCUGGCGCGGACGGUUGUGUCCGGCGGCGCGAGGAGGGAGACGCUAGGGUUUCAUCCGCGAAUUUCGAGGGGAGGGAAUUAUUUAUAGGUAGAGGGAGCUAGGAGAGUCCAAAUAAGGUGCGGUUUUCGCCCACAUGAUCAUGAUACAACGGCGGAGAGCAUGGAGGGUAGUUUGAUAGGCUAGCGGGCUGUUACGGAGGGGUGCUGGGCUGCAAAGAGAACGGGGUUUCCGUUAACGCGGUUAACCGUUGGGGCAUCAAACAACCUCCAAAUGGAACAAAAUUUGACAGGCGGUCUACCAGUGAUAUUCCAAGGCCACUCGGCAAAUCUUGGCCCAUUCCGAGAACGUUUUUCAGUGGCUCACAAAACAAGGUUUGAGAGGGGUAACGGGUGCAUGCGAGUGUGUCUGGGCUCAGAACGGACAAUGGAGAGAACCGGGGGAACCCGAACGGAUGCAAGUUUUGAAAAACAUGCAGAUGAAAUGUAGAUUAUGACAUGGCAAAGUGCAACAAGCAAGCGAAUGACAUGGCAACAACGUUGAAUAACUGGAAGACACCUGGCGCAUUGGAUUCGGGGCGUUACACAGUGCUAGCAUGACACGAAGCACCUACGAUGAUGGUAGUGAAUAUAAAGGGGGGAAUCCAUAAGCUUUACGAGUAUAGUGACCGUGCCAUGGCGGAUCUGAAGGUGCAAACCGGACAAAGCUACUACACAACCAAUGUUUGCUUUCAACUAGCCACUACGAUUCGGUACGGACAAGAAAAGUACAGUAAACAAUUUACGAUCUAUUUUCUGGGUGAGAUCAAUAACUUAAGCACAUAUGGAAGAGUACCACCUCUCUUGCGACGCUGUGUAGGCCUCUGCUGAUAUGUUGAGGGUGCUGCGGGUGUGAUGGCUGUCGAUGGCGGGGAAGAAGACUUUAGACGGCAGACGGCCAAGUCGGGGGAUAAAUCCUGUUGCCGUGGACGACGCGGUCAUAGGAGCAGCAACGGCAAGGUGGACGACGGCGCUGAUGAAGCGAGAGGAUGCAAUGAAAGGAUCCUGGUCCGGCAUCAUGGAUGUGAGACGUCCAUCUCUUGCAGUGGAUGACGGGGUAGGGGUAGCGGGUCCGGCAAGGUGGAGGAUGGAGUGGUGGACAGAGGAGGCUGGCCACAGUGGGGAGGUUGUCGUGGCGCCGACGGUGUAUGAAUGGGGAAAUGGAGGGGGAGGGGGAUCUCAAACUUUGGGACGCGCUUGUCUGAAAUGUGGGAAAGUUACGAACUUAUCCCCCGUUUAAAAUUAUGGACAUCACGUCGGUUGGGGAUAGGACGGUAAUCUCGCAUCUCCCAAAUAUUUGCUGGUACCGAUUUUGGGCGAGGAGAGGGUGUUUUGCCGCCCACGGUUAGCGCCCACGGUGUAUGAACGAGGCUGACAGGUAGGGUGGUUGUGUCACGUCUGAGGGAAGUUACACAUCUACCCCUAUUUAAAAUAUUAGCCUACAUUGAUUUCGGACGAGGAGAGUUUGUUUUGCUGCCCACCAUGUAUGAGUGGGGAAAUGGAGGGAGAGACACAUGUCUUUCGGACGAGCUUGAACCAAAUGUGUUUUGCCGCCCAGGUUUGGCGCCCACCGUGUCUGAAUGGGCUCAAAGGCCAUCGUGUCAUGUCUGAUUGAAGUUACUAGUCUACCCCCAUCGACAGCAGUGUAAAUCCGAUCGAUAAGGAUGUCAAGUGUCAGGGGUAGACAGUAAUUUCCAUCUCGCAAACACUUGCUUCGGGCAGCACACAAAUUAUAGUGGGUGUUUAGCCGCUUCAUUCAAAACUUGGGACAAUUAGCAUGCACGUUUGCCCUGGGCCAUGGCAACUAAAUUCAAAUCCAAUUUGUAUUCGAUUACGAAUAUCCACAGAUAAUUCUAUGUUUUGUUAUUUAUUUCUUCAAAACCACAACAAAGAUUUAUUCCACCUUUAUAUAUGAUUAUGAUUUAGAAAUGUCGUGAUCUUCGAAUUCAGUAGGUUGGAUACACUUUGAGUCAAACAAUUAUUUCAUGCAAUACAAUAUGCUCACACGAAAAACAGUUCACCUUAUGUCAAUCAUACAAGUACUGAGGAUUACCUCGCCUAAAAAAUUCGGAUCAUUACAACACAUGGACAACAUAGGGGGUCUUACAACAUAAUCCAUUCGAAGACAUGACAUAACAUGCAAGUACAAUAAUCUAACGACAAUUUCAACCGGUAUCUAAAGAAGAACAGGGAAUACCCUGGGCUUCAGAUAGUAGAAAUAGCAGGACCUCCUCCGUCUUCAAAUGCAACAUUCUUACUUCCUCCAAUUCUUGGGUUGCUUGCAUAAUGUGUGCCGCUAAUUGCAUAAUUUUCAGCCUCAAGAUCAAGAUUACCUCAUUCAUGGCAGCCAAACCAUCUCUUUAUGCCUCUAGUAGAGCCUCAAGAACUAUAAUAUCUAUGCUCAGACUGCUCUCCGGCGGUGUUGCCUCUGAACUGCUACCAUCUGGUAACAUGGAUGGCGCACUGCUUCCACAAAUAGAUUCUGGGGUUGUACAGUGUGUCCUAUUGUGAACGGCAUCCUGAAAGGUUUCCGCUGGACAUAAGUAAGAGAUAGUUAUCGCAUGAUCCAGGCAGUAAGCUUACAUGGUAAACGACAUAUAAAUUAUUGCCGAGAAUGGUAAGCUAUAUUUAAAUGGUUCGAACCAGCAUCAGCCGAAAAGAAAUUAAAAUGGUAAGAUGAAACUAGGGAUGUAAGUGGCAAAUAAACGACAUCCGCCAGUCCCAUCUAGUUAGAUUUUGCUAGCUCCCUAGUUCAUUUUCCUCAAAAAACAGAAAAUCUUUUGAACUAUCAUAGCACUAGUGGACUUUAAUCGGGAUUAAACGGGGCCCAGUUGACAUCCAUAGUUGAAAGGGAGUGUACCACCGCUAUAUUUAAGUUGCCAAGGCAUCUAAGCAGUUGAAAUAAUCUGAGAAAUCACUUAACAAUGUGGCCUCAUAUAAACUACAAAGACAGUCUUGUGGUGAAGUUCAGAGGAAAAGUUAAGGACUCAAAUGAACUAGGCAUGCAUUUCUUUACGAUAGUAAAGCAGGCACUGCUGACAUAUUGGCCAACUCAGGUAUAGCGUAACAAGUAACAAACAAGCAUUCGAAUCAAGCAAUACCGUAAAACAGACAACUGAACUAUUUGUAAUUCUUACAGGUUGAGGGCACAAGCCAAGAAAACAGCCCACUCGCAUUACAUUUCACAUGUACUAAAACAUACUGGCUUACCAUAUGUUGCUGUGAACCCUCGCUUCUGUUGCAAUGUUCUUUGAGGAUAUCGUUAGCAUCCCGUGGUUGCAAAUCUAGUUGUUGUAGUUUAUUUUGCACCCUCUAUUUAGGUAAAAUUAAUUUUAAUCGCAUGCACUGGUUCGAAUUGAUCAUCAAUGGUUCAUCUAAACUAAUGAAAGAAGGUUGUGUGCAUACACGACAAUAUAUCUGCUUCCCUCUAUUUUUAUGCUUGUUCGAGGUGUCAGCCCCAAAAGAACAAAUAUUUUGCUUGAUGGGGUUGGCAGCUCCAUAAUUAAUAGAAGCAUCAAAUUAGUCAUGCAACUUGGGAAGAUCAAGAACACACAAAAAAGUAAUGAACAAAGGCUCGGAGCAGUGAUGUAAUAGCUAGCAUCAGAAAAUGUAGGGUAAAACAAACAAAAAGCAGCGGAACCACCUGCUAGUUUGUUGAUGUGUAAUUAAGCAUAGAGAACAUGAAGCAGACUGAUGGAACCAACAUGUGGCAUCAGAACAACACCAUUAUCAUAAAUAUAGCAUGCAAGAAGUAAAAUCAUAGGCAGUGAUAUCUAGGAAGCACAGUAAUCCUUAGGACAAAACUAAAGCAUAUUAACUAUGUGUGCACUGGUAUGUAAUUUAGCACAUGCAACAUGUUCACUGCCACACGUAUGGCCCUACAGGUGCAAGCAGAAUAACGCGUCUCAUGAAAAAUUGAAUGAUGCCCUGAAGAAAUUCAAAGGUGUCGUGCUUAUGCUAAGAAAGUGAACGCAUGGGGCCGGUCGUUGGAUAAUAGUACCUGAUUCUUGGCGGCGUAUGGGUAUCGUUGUCAUACUUGAUAGCUAAGGAUCGUCGAUGGUGCUCGUGUUGCGGUUGAGUUUGGGCCGGCUGUCGCCGUCGCUGAAGCGACUCCGUUGCUUCGGUUGCGGCGCCUGUCGACAUACAAGAAAGCUCAUCUGUGGUAAGUGAACAGUUGCACGAUAAAGAAGAGAAAAACCAAAGGAGUACAAAUCGAAAUAACCUGAGGAGGCUGCGGCGUCGGUAAAGCAGGGCCGGUGGAGUUGAAUAUGGCGUCCUAGCGGGUCCGGUGCAGUGCACGAAGGCUUCGGCGGGCGCGAUGUAUAGUGCUUUCGGUGAGGCGGAUCUGUUGCGGCGGAUGAGGGCUUGUAUGAAGGGCCAGCGAUGGGAGGAUGAGGGAGUUAGUGAAGGGCCUACACUGUGGAGGACGAGGGCGCCGGUUAAGCAGAUCCAGUGCGGUGGACCAUAGUGGCGGUCAAGGAGAUCUGGAGCGGUGGACAAGCCAGUCGCUGAAGCGGCUCCGGUGAAGUGGUAAGUUGGCAGUUGGGGGUUCCAAGGUGCGGAAGGUAGAUCCGGCGGGGUGUCAGGUCCAUCGCUGCGGCGGAGGACUAGAUUAUGCGGCUUGUCGUGGUUGGGGGGUCAGGGAAGGGAAGGGGAGGGGCUCUGGGGAAGAAUGUUGGUGGCAAAGAGGGAAAACAAUGGAGUUAUCAAAGCAGCACUUUUCCGUUCAUUUGGCAGGGGUAAAACAGGAAUAUCGCAGGGCUAAAAUUUUGGUCGCGAGAUAUUUCGAUGUGAGCGGGAAGUUUGAAAGCUUUUGGCGCCUGAAAUUAUAAGUGUUCUGCUCUUGUACGGCCGACUAUGAUAUCAUGGCCAAGAAUUUGUUUGUUUUGCACGUAAAAAAAGUGCAAGUUUUGAAAAUCAAUGUCUCCAACUCGAAACUUAGAUUGUCCAUUCAAUUCAAAUAUGGAUCAUUGAGCUAGUACAAGCAAAUACCAUCAUACGGUCCAAUUCAAAUGAAAUUCCAAAUGUGUUUAUCCUAAAUAUGAUGACAAAAGCAAAAAUGUGUAUGUGUAUGAAUAAAGUGGAUGAUUAUAAAGUUUGAACAUGCCCGUAUGUGUAUAUCUCUAGGUUUGAUAUAUGAAUUUGAAAUCACGAAAUCCCGGCUUAAAAAUGUACCUCUGUUUAAAUGAAUUACAAAAGCUAAUGAUGGAGUCGAAUUCCAAAAUUCCAAUCUUAGGUUUGUAAUUCUGGUACAUCAAGGUAUAUCACGCAUGUUCAAAAGUAUCGUUAUCUUAUAGUCCAAACUGUGAAACUAAUUGAUCAACCAUGAGUGCACACACUAUUGACCAUAUAUAUCUAAAUUACGCUAAAGUCCCUCAAAUAUAGACACCUCACUCUUUAUCUGAAGCCAACCCCCCACCCCCCUCCCCCCCCCACACACACACAAGUCGUUCUCUUCCCAGACACGAACACAAGAGCACAUUAACACCCCUCUCUCUUCUAAAGCCCGGACCCCAAUACAGGUCUCUAUCACUUUGUCUCUCGGGCAUGCACACAUCUCUUCCCCAACUCUCUAGGUCUCCCGGCAUCUCUCUUUCCCAAGGACACGCACUAUGUAGAGUGUAUCUUUCCCAUACACAGAAAACGUCGCCCCCAAACGUCUAUCUCCCUAGUUAUGUGGUUCUCGCACACUCACCUCACACAACACCCCCACUGCAAACAAGCACACUUUGUCUCCUUGUGCACCACUCUCCUCUUUGUAUCUCUCCCACAUGCGGACCCGCCCCAGCUCCUUCCCUGUAUACAUAUAUGUCGUGACUCUUUCCAUAGCUCCCUAAUGUAUCAUCAUUCUCAAUCUCGCACGUUGUUCUCUACACCAUCUAUUCUAGAUCUCUCAUGAAGUCCCUAUCACACACACGAUGACUCGCUUCCCUUGCGUCUCUGUACAUAGGCCAAUUUCGAACAACAUCAACAUUGUCUCCCUAUCUAUAUGCCAUUCAUGGACACAAACGAUCCCUCUCUCCCCCCUCUCUUCCUCUCUCUCUCUCUCCGUCGCUAGCUCUCUCUCUCUCACUCUCACACCCCUCUCACACACACACUCGAUGUCUCUUCCAAAUAGUCCACUCCCUGCCCGCACCCAUGCUAUCCCGCUACUACACAUGUCACACCAUUCCCCCUACCCUUAUACUAGGUUUACAUCAUUAGUGGUCUCUCUACUCCACAUACACACACACUCCCUCUCACACACAAACGCGCGCACAAACACACACAGACAUGCACAAACACCCAUUUAUCUGGAUCCUCAUCUCGCCCCAUGUCCGCAUGUGUAUCUCACACACUCACUCUCUUAUUAUGUCUAUGUGUCUCCAUGUUACACAACACGAAGCCCCAUGUACAUGUCUCUCUCUAUCCUCCACACACAUAGCCACACAGAAUCUCUUAUCAUUGCCUCAGUCUCUAGACAUAUCACACACGCACACUGUCUCUCUCUCUCGCUCAACAAGGGUUUCCCCGUGAAUAACUUACCGUCUAUUCAUCAACAGUCGUGGCAGUACGGCGAACACGAGACGUGAAAAAGAAUAAAUCUACACGUGCGUAGACCACCUAGUAUGACUACUAGGACUAGAGCAAGCCGAAAGCGCGCCGCCGUCACCCCCUCCUUAUCGGCGACGGGAAAACCUUUGUUUUACACAGUCGAGAAGUCAUUGUGCUAAGGCCCCACAUGCUGAGGCGUUGAAUAGAAUGUAGAUCCUAGUUUAUGGAAACAAGUAUCAAUAAUAUGUUUGUAUCUCCAUACUUAUAUUUCUUCUCUUAUAAAAAACCGAGUUGGUGAUGAUGGUACGCGUGCCAUCUUGCAAUAUAGACCGUCUGAUCUAUAUCUGCCGGAUGGAAAUUAAACUAAAAGAUACCCGCACCUCUCUCCACAUUUGCAGACAAGGCCUUCCCUCGUUCAUCCUUAUCUCCAACAACCUUAUUGUUGAGCAAUUAAAAAAGGAAGCCUCUGGAACAAACUGGCCUGGUGGCCGCUGUCGGCGUCGUCCAUCCCCAUGCCUCCGCUCAGUCCGACCACCAAUCACCACCAUGCCCCACUCCUCUUCACCUUAUCUCCUAUUUCUCAAGAUAUCAUACACAUGGGAUUACCCCCGCAUGGGUCAAUCACAACAAGUGUUUUAUAAAAAAUGCAUCUUGAUGUUCCGUGCAAUGCACGGACAUCUUGCUACUACUCCUACAGAAGACUAAGUUGGUGAUGAUGGUGUGUCUACCAUCCGUCAUUUCUGACCAUUAGAUCUACAUCUAACGACUGUGAGGUAAGUUGUUGCCUUUUCUCACCAACAUCCCACUUCUCUACCAAUUUACAGAAAACCCAUAAUUAGUAUCUUAAAACCAACCACAUCCCUCCCUCACCUCAACAAAAUAGCCCAAGGAAUAUAUUCUGAUUGAAACAUAAUAUAUCUCUAGUGAUAUAUGUAUAUCAAAAUUAGAGUGUUUUGUAUCAAGUUUGUGAAUAAGUAUUAUUCUAAUUAUGAUCCGUUGCAACGCACAUGAACAUUGCUAGUAUUUCCAUCCAUGCAAAAAAAUCCCUAGUAUUUCCAUAGUUUCGAGUUUUCCAUCAAGAUAUUAGUCACUCAUGGUUGAUAUUAACUUUCAAUCACAUACACAUAUGCACUAUUUAACUAGCCUUUCUUAUUGGCUUCCAAAACUAACUUUUACUCCUACUUACAAUAUGCAGACUAUUUAACAAAAAACUACCACUUUCAAUCGGCCCUUGGAAGAAACUAUUGUACAAAAAUUAGCAAAAACAUACCCAAAAUUUCUUAAUCCAUGCCAAAAACUACUACCUAGUACAAAUUAGGCUCGUUUAAACCCGUUUAUAACAGGGUUGGCCCACACGUCCAUGCUGACGAGGCAGCUUAAACCAACACAUUUUGUUUGACCGUUGACACGAGGGACCCACAUCUGACCUUCUAUCCUGUUAUUCCCCCUCAAAUCAUUAUUGUUCCUGAACAUUACUUCAAACAGCAUUGAUGCGUGUUCGUUAGUGGCGCCGGUGAUGACCGAGUUGGCCGCCACUCCGCCGGACGGGCCGGACGCCGCGCUGGCCUCCGCACGGGUUGGCAGGCUGGCCCGAGCGUGACUCACGAGCAAGCAAGCCGCCGCGCUGGCCUUCGCUCGAGCCAGAUGGCUAGCCUUCGCACGGCUCGCGCGAGCAAGCCGCCGCGCCGCCGUGCCAAUCUAGCUAGCAAACCUUGCAGACAAGCAGCUGGACGGAGCUAUCUUGGAUGGCUAGCGCCCGCGAGCGCCAGAUGGAGCUGGCAUCCGGGCUGCCGCAAGAUGGGCUCCGCACCGCCGGCGGUUUUGACCUUGCCUUCUGCCGGUGGCGGUAGCUGCGUCCCAUGGCCGAGAAUGAGUAGGUGGACGGGCCGGAGGUAGGAGGUCACUCGGGGAUUUUUGUGCAGACUGUCAUGUAUGUCCCACAAGUCAUAACGCCUAAUUUGCCGGUCGAAGAGAAGGCGUUGACUUAAGGGGCGACAUGGGUUGAAACGUCCCUAUAACGACACUUUGUAGAGUAGUUGUUUCUUGGUAGGGCUGGUUGGUAAGGGCAUGUACAAUGGUUGAUAUGGUAGUCUUAUCUUAAGUCUGCCACGUACGUAAGUGGUAGUAGUUUCUUGGCAUUAUUAGUGGUUUCUUGGCAUUAUUAGUGGUUUCUUGUAAGGAGAAUUGUACUACUAGAGACAAAAGGCGAUUCUAGGUUGCGUUGUACUCCAACAAGUACUACUAGUGGUCGCGGGAGUGUAUACCUUGUUUUGUGGGUUCGAUCCCGACCAAACGCACGGCGGCCUUUUUUAAAUAGUAACUUCGCUGUGAACCAAUAUUGUACACUGGUAGUUUGAGUUUUGAAGUCGAACGGACGUGUGGCACCACAAUCUGGGUGCACUGGAUAGCCUAGCCACGUGAACGGGUUUUCCUUCCCAUCAUCUCGUGGCUCGCGUGCUCGCCCUAGCCGCACCUCGCUUGCAGCUUCCUCAUCAGCUAGUAGCAUAUUUAAACUAACACCUCCCAAUUAAGCCCGAGGAGCUGGAAAAGCCUGGUGUGGCAUUGGGAACUGUGCAAUACGGCUCUGUAUGUAAAGUGCUACUAGUACUCUACUACUCUGUAGCUUCUGGCGUUGCAUGCAUGGAUUCACUCCCUUAUCGGCUCUAUAAAAGAAAUUCCUCUUGACGUGAUUUUUUUUAAAACGGAGGAAAAAGCUUUGCCUCGUCUCAUUCAUAAAGAAGGAACUACUAACAAAGUUCGUCGAGAUCCAUUACACAAAUGGAAGCGAAAAGCCUAAUCUUGUUGUAUCAAAUAACUCAAAUGUUCUGCCCCUGCAGUAACCGUCGCUGAUAAACAGGCUGCUAGUGUGUGCGUGAGAGGAGCGGCUGAGUAGGCCAGCUACGCGCUUGAAUAGAGCACCGAGAGUACCCACUACGUAGGUGUACUUUCCCUGCAUUGAUAGUACAGCGAUGGUUCUAGAGAACAGUAGUACCCUCCACUUCCAAUUGUAGCUCCUUGGCCCGGAGAUUCAAGAGUUCAAAACUGGUGCACUAUACUAGAAGUACAGUACAUCGCACUACUAGUUGAGAAAGUAGUACUAGUAUUGCUACAGUAUGAGUACGUAGUACUCCCUCCGUCCGGGUUUAUUGGGCCCUUGAGCCAUCAUUUGAUGUUCGUGUUUAUAAGGCCCGUUGCACUAACUACUCGCUUUUUCCCAAGAAUCGCUCUCUUCUUUUGUGUUGCUGCAUUGGAGCUGGCGCAUGGACUUGGCUGACUGGCCAUGCAUGCAGGAUGCAUGUGCCCGCCGGCCACUGCAUGCGCCUGGUUUGUUACUAGGCCUAUUUAAUAGGGUGGUUAUGGAGUAAAUUAAGGAGAUUUAUUUUCUCUGUGUGCAUCUUCUUGGUCUUAGCAAUUGGCUCAUGGGCCUAAUAAACCCGGACAGAGGGAGUAAAUAAUAGACUCACCCCUUCGCUAAGGAACGAUCGAGGAGCUACAGUUGGAAGGGACGGCGAUCUCCUCCUCGCUAGUUCCCCUCCCCCCGAAGAGAAGGCAGUUCGUUGCUGCUCCCAUGGAUUCACCAGGCGGUUCUCCUCCUCGUCGGGGCUGGGAGACCUUGGACGGCGAUCCUCUGGGAGAAAUUGCACGCCGCUCCGACGUCCUCACUGCCGCAAGACUCGGUGCUUCCUGCACCAACUUUUUCAAGACGGUGCUUAAACAUGCUUGGGAAAAGGCCAUGCUUGUUCGUCUUCCAUGCGUCCUCGAGGAGAAGGUUCUUCUAUGGGACAAUCCUUCGAACAGUCCACCGCUCCCUGGCCAUGGUUGCACGUUGACUCCGCUAGAGUUGCCAACGUUGAGAGGUAGUCGAAUUUUGUUUGAUGAGCAGGUCAGUCAUGGAGUUUGAUCAUGUAGUACUUAGUUAUUCAAUUUCCAUCCCGUAAUUUCUCCGCUGCCCACCGUCUUAUAUAUAGGUCUGGGUCAGUGCCAACGAAGAUUGGCUUGCAUACCUCUGGCCGGAUACCACCAUCAUUUUGCACAACAUCCACAGCAGUGCGGCCGUUCCCGUAGACCCCUUCUCCACCAUUGGGGUCGGCCUUCUGGACUGGCUGGGCUUGAAUACGUAUGAUGAUGCCUACAUGAGAUUGAAGAAGUUCGCAAUUGCGGACCCGCCGACAAAGCGACGCAGCUACGAUGAUUACAAUCUCAUCGCGGUGUUCGACAUAAGGAUUGCCAUCAAUGGAAGAGGCAGUAACGGGAGAGGCUGGCGCAUGUUGGCCGCGGCAGAUUUGUACCCCUACAUGUUUGAAGACACCGUGCGCCAUCUAGGCCACAUCUUCGCGGUGACAAGCCAGGGAACUUGUUUCAUCUGGUUGCCAUCCUACGGUACGGGAGAUUACAAACGGAAUGCACAAACCAUCAUUUGCAUCCCUAACGGUACUCCAUUAUUUUGCAGGGACCAGUCAUCCCCCGAUCAAUUAAGAUCGCCAAUCCUGGAUGUGCAUUUGCAUCCGUGAUUCGGUCUAACCUAUAACCUUGUAGCUGACUUUGGCAUAUUGGGAUCAACUAUCUUAGCAGUCGUUACCCAUGGUACCACUGAUGUGCAACAUGGGCACACAAUCUACCAUGAUCGGACCGUCACCAUCUACCGAGGUGUUCCAUUUAGUAUUAUAUUUUUUAACCCUCUCGCCUUCUCUUUCAUUGUUGUACUACUUACUAGUACUAGUAGGAGUACUUUUUACCUUGGAGGACGCGUAUAGCUAGCUAGGCCCUUGAAGACUUGAACCCACUAGCUGCCACCAUUUUUAUUUUUCCAUGUCUUACUAUCUCAUCCAUGUAGCCAAGAGUGGCUAUAUAAUAAUAAGCCAGUUAUUUUACUUCCUCUAUACCGGAGUAGUACUAUUUGCUCCACAGUAUUACUGACUGCCAUAUUUGAGCACAACAUUAUUAUGCAUGGACCUUGACUAUGUACGUCAUCACCAUGUGUCCAGAUCUGAGAUGCCGCGUGUACCAGAUGAACGACGAUGAGUUCGACCCCCGUGGUGCUACGUGGGUGCCAAGGAACACUCUUGGAGAGUACUCACUUUUCAUUGGGGACAGCUACCCCAUUGUGAAGCGGAUGCCACAUUCCGUGCACGACACCGAAGGCCUGCCGUUCAUGAAGAAUGGUUGUGUCUUCAGUGCGCACCGCCGGAUGAACGACAUGCUGGGACACGCUAUCCCUGAUUUAUGCCGCUUCAGCUUGGAUGAGUCUCCAUCGUGUGGAACCGGACUAGAAAGCUGCGACAAUGGUUCCCGUUGCCCACCGCUAUGGAUUGUGCCAUCCAUGAAGAACACCUGGGACUGGAACCUGGAGGAGGACAUGUAGCCCAUCUAUAAUGUGUAAGUGGAGUAUUGUAAAUUGUGAACGGUAGCGCUGUGAAUAUAGACUAGUCGUGCACAAAUUUAUCACAUGAAUUGGAGAUGAACUUGUGUGGCAUACUCGCAUUUGUCCUUUAGAAUUUAUUACUAGUAAAUGUGUUAUGUGUACGUGCAACUUGUGUGGUUGUUGCACGGGCUCUAACACGCUCUUUGAGAAAAAAAGGUGGCACAGCUUUGGAUAUAGGUGACGUGGCGGCAUCAUACAGUAGCAUCGUUCGCUAUAGUUGUAGUAUACUCCUACUAGGACGACAAAUCCUAUAAAACCUUGCGCUUGGCUCUUCACCACUUCAGGAGGUUCAACAGUUCGUACUCGUGUGAACCUUGCACUUGGCUCUUCGCCUCUUGGGAAGGUCCAACAAUGAUGAUACUACAGUACAAUAUGCUUCUGGCAAUCUGACACCGAUUGAACUGCUGCACGUCCACCGCGAGGGCGAGGGAGAGGGAGAGGGCGCUGUAGUCAAAACCCUCUCCUCGUCCUGCGAGCCACCGCGCGCGUGAGCGAGGGAGAGGUGUAGUAAGCAAGCUUCUCCUCGUUCGGCGAGUUGACGGGACACAUCAAAGCAGUACUAGUACUAGUCCAUACUGCGUCCUUUCUGGUUAAUAUGGCUUAAUUUGAAACAAGAAAAAUACAGUGGCGGUCAACGUAUGUAACAAUACGCUCUUUACAGUCACUAUAUAUAGUUUUGCGGUGAUUAUACGAUCACUAGCUCAUCGUAGAGCACCGUAUUGCACCCUAUUGACCGGCCACAUAGUCGACGUGGCACUUUGUUGACUGAUUAAAUUGUCACCUGGUUUCUGGGUCCCACCUGUCAAUUGGCAGAGCAAAGAAACCAGUUAAACAAAACUUUACGCAGGCGCGAUAGGAGUUCAACCCUUGCGCGCGAACCAUCCUGGCUGUGUAUGUGAGUGCAUGCACGUGUACUCCCUCGGUCUUCCAACAAAGAGUGUACUCCCUCCGUCCGGGUUUAUUAGGCCCAUGAGCCAAUUGCUAAGACCAAGAAGAUGCACACAGAGAAAAUAAAUCUCCUUAAUUUACUCCAUAACCACCCUAUUAAAUAGGCCUAGUAACAAACCAGGCGCAUGCAGUGGCCGACGGGCACAUGCAUCCUGCAUGCAUGGCCAGUCAGCCAAGUCCAUGCGCUAGCUCCAAUGCAGCAACGCAAAAGAAGAGAGCGAUUCUUGGGAAAAAGCGAGCAGUUAGUGCAGCGGGCCUUAUAAACACGAACAGCCAUCGAUGGCUCAAGGGCCCAAUAAACCCGGACGGAGGGAGUACAUCGGCUAAAGAACAAAGAGUGUACAUCUACACUUCCAAUGCAUUUAACCUUUAAUCUAAAACGAUAUUGGUUGACUAAUGCACCAACUUGUGUUCUAGGUAUAGGCUACAUGUCUAUCCUUAAUUACAGCAUGCAACAACCUUCAUUUAAUCUUCUUCUCUCAAUGGUCGCAUGCAUACAUAAGUCUGCUACUUUUGGGCGUUAAUUAUGUGUCACGACCGGUCUUUCAAUAAAAUAGUUAUUGAGAGACCAAUCCCUUUUACAGACCAGUAAGGAAGAAUUCCUUCUCACUGGUAGACAAUAUGUUGGUCACAGAAGAAAAAUACCAGGAGUAUUGAAUAUAAUACAAGGUUGAGCGGAGACUGCCCAACAAUUUAUUACAUGCACGCCGAUAAAACAAGACGGCGGAUAGGGUGGCAUAACUACUAACUCACGAUAAUAACGGUGGUGGAAAUAUCAUCGUGAAGCGAGUGAUAUGACUCCUGAAGACUACAGCUCUUCGAGCGUCGGAGUGAGGCUCGAGGAGACUUAUUGCGGGUGGCGGAAGCGUAUAUAAUACAAGUGACCAAUAUCCGGGAUCGCGCAGGACUGACUGGGACUCCUCUAGGCGUCGGACGCGCUAUCAAACUCUUCAUCCAAGAGAUCGCCUUCGUCAACAUCUGGCCAAAUCAACAAGCCAGGUGAGUACUAUGAAAGUACUCGCAAGACAGUUCGGACAUAAGAUAUAACAAAUGUAAACAUGAAGCGUAUGAACAAAUUAACCAGUGCGUUCAGACAUAGAGAUAGUACAUACUGGGUGCCAAACGAGGGUCUGAAUGACUCCUCGGGAGGAAACUGCAAGAAUAGUAAUACUGGUGCCAAACGAGGGUCUGAAUGACUCCUCGAGAGAAAACUGCAAGAAUAGUAAUACUGGUGCCAAACGAGGGUCUGAAUGACUCCUCGAGAGGAAACUGCAAGAAUAGUAAUACUGGUGCCAAACGAGUGUCUGAAUGACUCCUCGAGAGGAAACUGCAAGAAUAGUAAUACUGGUGCCAAACGAGUGUCUGAAUGACUCCUCGAGAGGAAACUGCAAGAAUAAUAAUGCCACAGUCGGGCGUCGGGGCGACACCACAUAAAGGGCUUAUAACAGAAAAUAAAGGCAGUGUGUGCCACAGUCGGACGUCUGAGCGACAUCACAUAAAGGGCUUAUAUUUAAAGUAAGAAACAAAAACACGCCACAGUCGGACGUCUGCGCGACGUCACAUAAAGGGCUUAUAUUGUAGCUCAAUAAUUCAGUAGCUCGAGAUUAUAAAUUAUUACAAGUACGAGACAAAUAUAAGGUUAGUCCAUCCACAGUAAUAAUAAUUAAACUGGGUUUACCACUUGAGCUUGUUCACCGGGGACAAGUUUUCCACGCGGAUAGAUAUGGAUAUACUGAUUACACUACUUGAUCAUGGAUACGAUGACUUGGAAGAAUUUGACUCUGCAGAGUUUGUACUUAACCACAGCCAACGGAUUUCAGUAGUCACGGGGACUAGUUCCGUUUACGGUGUUUUGGAAGAAACACGUCUAACCAGUACACACCCAUUCAACAUUCCGAAGCCAGGGAUCACCCUCGACAACGUUCAAGAAAAUCCUUGAGAUGGGGAGGCUACAACCUCGCGUAGCAUGGGAUCAAAUUUCUAUACGCGCGCUCUAAGGGGGUGCCCCCCCUCUCGGUCCCAACCGGAAACACCCAUGCCCCCUGACCGGAUGACUGGCUUUAAUCCUGGGCCAAGGAACCAUCAUCCUGGCCCCUCUGUUUGGUGUGUACACGGAAAGAGGUUACCAACUUACUAAACCGCACCCUGGCAAAUGAAACAUGUGGCAGCACGGAGGGGAAAAGAACGAUAACAUGACUCCGCCCACGUUAACGUCGGAAUUCGUCGGAUGACGCAAGGCUGGUAUGCUACAACAGUACCACCUUGCUGCCCUUCAUGUCACCACAUGAUUAGGCCAUCUCUCACCAGAGAUCAUCGCGACUUUGGAAAAAGCGGGUAGUUGCCUCACAAGCAACGAGGUACUCACUGACACUCAUAUGCCACGCACAAACUUUCACGCAAACAUGCAAAACACCUGUCAUAUCAAAUGUUCAAACAUGCUUGCCUGGUUCGGAGAAGUCGGAGUCUAGCUCGCCGAAGUUCGCGGCUCCGUCACCUCUUCCGGAACCUACGGCAUAACGAAAACGGGCACUAACGUGAAAACCAACGCGUGCAUAAAAAUUUCUCCAAAAAUUUUCCAAGUAAAUCCCAUAAAAAACUAGACAAAAUUUUAAGACUGUCAGAAAAAGAAUCACUCAAAAAUCCCUUUUUAUUAAAAAGUUAUAAAGGUUUCUGUCCAGGGACUCAUCUGUAAUGAAACAGAAAAGUUCCAGGGUUUAAACUGAGAAAACAGAAAACGCUUCGGAAAGAAAUGCGCCAGCUAAAAAGGGAAACGUAUUUUGCCCGAAGGCGCCAACAGAAAACGGUUCGAGGGAGAAUAGAACAGAGGCUGACAUGGGGGUCCACAUGUCAGGUUCAAAAAGCUCGCCGGCGCCCGAAGACUGCGGUGGACGCCGGCGUCGAACCACGGCGAGUCAGGAAGAUCGGGGGGUACUAAGAGCUUCAGUGUGUCCUUCCGCGUCGGUGGGGGUGGACUCGACCGACGGAGAGCACCACGUCGACGGCGACACUUUCUCCGGCGGACGGCGGUUCGGGUGAUGGUGGGGAACUCCGGUGGUGAGCUGCAAACCUCGAAUUGAAGCGCGGGUCAGAAGAGUGGAUGCAUAGGGAAGCUACUGGCAAGAGAUGGGAGGCGGAGGUGCACGCACGGGGGCGAAUCGAGCUGGAUCCCGUGGCGGGUCGCGGCGGCCGGAGUCGAGGAAGGAGACCUCCUCGGGGCUCUUCCAGUGGCUAGGCGUGCUCUAGGUGGAGUGCAGAGGUGGUGUGGGUUCGAGUUGAAGCUCAGGGCCUCUAUUUAUAGGCGGAUCGAGGGGGUGGCCGUGAACGGAGAAUCUCCGGCGAGCGAUUACGGCGAGGUAGUGGUUGAGCAGGUGGUUUGAGUGGCCAGGCAGCAUCGGUGAGGUUUACUGGUGCCGUUCCACUGCUAAACUGAGUUGGUCUUGGCGUAAUGGCGUCGGUCCACGGUGGGGUCGCCGCACGGGCACGUCGGCGGCAGAGAGCGCGCUCCGCGCCCAGCGGUUCACGACGAGGGUGGCAGCGCGUUCUGGGGAGUGGAAGGCCACGCGGCGAGCUCCGGUUGCUUGGGCGGCGCUGGGUGGCGCCGUCGGCGCCGCACCUCUCUCUGGCGGCCGCAAAGCCGCCGCUGGCGUCGGUCAUGGGGUGGCGCACCUCCUCCUGCUCGUCGCCGACGUUCGCAAGCGUCCAGGCGCUCGUGCGAUGCAGGAACAAGGGGGAGGGGACGGGGAGCAAGGCGACAUCGAGGCACUGUCGAGAUCGACAACAAGUUCUGAAGAAAACGACAGUGUACUGAAACUGUUUCUGAACUUUACUGAACUUGACAUUGACAAUGCACUGCAGGUGUUCGACAGAAUGAUUUGGCAAUGAGAAAAACUUUCCUAGGGCUGGGACUUGGUGAGGUGACCACUCAAUGCACCCAGAGGCUGCCUGAUUUUACUUGGAAUAUUUGGAGAAGGAUUUGAAUGAAUUUCACCAAAUUUGACAAAUCUGGUCCAAACUUGCAGCAAGUGUAGUUUGAAAAAUUUGAACUGAAGACCAGUGGAUCUUCAUGGAUCUUGGUUGAGGGUUCAAAGGACUAGGAAGGGGAGUUGGUUUGGGGGCAAAAAUCAAAACAGAGAUGGUAGCCCCUUUGUAAAUCUCCAAGGGCUAGAAUAGAAGACAGAAAUUUAUUUGAUAAGAUUUAAAUGGAAAAUAAUUAUAUGGAGAGGUACAACUUGCGGGAUUUGAUGCAAAACAUGAUCCAAAGAUGAGGGAAGGUUUAGGAUAAUGGAUUUGCACUAAGGCCAUGGCAAGAGGGAAUUGUUGAAAGUGGUAAAGGAUCAUUCCAAAAGCCAUAGUGCAAAUUUCAAAGAGAUUUUCAAAAGGCAUUUUUCUCAAGUGAAAAGUAUUCUGUCUUGAGUCAAAAUAAAAAGGCAAGGACCUCCAAGACCAAAAGCAAGUCUUGGGUGAAUCCAAAAUAAUAAUAAAACUCUUGCCAUAAAAAAUAUAUUGAAAGGGAGGUUUCUUUGGAAGAAAAAAUUUAAAUCACCUCCCUCAAGUCAAAUAAAAUCUUUUGAAAAAUCCAAAUAAAAUUUUGGGUAUCACAUUAUGCCCUGGUCAAUGUGUAAAUCUCUAAAUGUACAGUCUUUCACGGACGUAGGGAGUAGGUUGAGCACUUGAGCGUGAGCGUGUGUGUUGCGUCGUGUGCUAUGUGUCGCAUGGGUGCGUGAGUGUUGCAUGCAUCCAUGUGUAUGUGUGAGUGUUGCAUGUUGCAUGCAUGCAUGCAUGAGGCUUUUACUCCCUCCCAUUGACAUGUUCAUAUUUCGAACUUCCUUUGUUCCCUACAUAUGGUGAUACUCCCUCCGUUCCCAAAUACGGAGUAAAAGCCUCCAUCUGUUCCCAAAUACGACGUAUUUGUCUUUCUAGAUAUUUCAACAAGUGACUACGUAAGGAGCAAAAUGAGUGAAGUGAGCGUAGAGGCAUAGGGAUACUGUAGAUAGGAAGUCUUCGCGAUCCAUUAUUCCCCAUCUCGGUCAGAGAGAACUAUUCAACUAGUCUUCGCAGUGAAGUGACAAUACACGCCGCAGCAGAUGGGAUACUUAAUUAAUAAGCUGAACCAGUGUGUUGGUGUUACUAAAUCAGCCUUACACAGUACUGCCAUCAUAUUUGCCAGUAGAGCACGCUUCCGCAAAUACGCCUAUGCACCUCUCUCCUCCAUUAACUGACAUAUGGGCCCUCUUGAGGUAGACCCACAUGUCAUCAGUGUAACUAUUUACACUCCAAAGACAGUAUAUCCUGGUAGUAGUACUAGUAGAAUUGCGAUUUAAUGCACUUUCUUCCCCGUCUUUCACUCUUCUUCCUCCUCUCUUCUUCUUCCUCCUCUCUUCCCCAUCAUCGGCCGCACACCAUUUCCUCCCGCUCACUGCUCGCCCACCCGCGCCAUCUUCCUUGGUAGCUCGCGCGUACCAUAUCCCCUGCUCACUGUUCGGCCACACGAGGAGAAGCUUCUUCGCUCGCCCACCCAAAUCCACUUCCCCGCUCGCUCGCAGGCACCGAAAACCCCAAUGGCAAAACCCCAAUUCCCUCCCCGAUGUUCUCUUGGCCCACAUCUGUAAUCGUAUGGACCUACUCAGCACCGUCCGUCUGGCCGCAUGCUCAGUGUCUUUGUACCGUCUACUCGUCUGCAAAUGGCCGGCUCUUUUCAAGACACCCUUGUCGGUGUCAAAACCGGCGGAUCUCGGGUAGGGGGUCCCGAACUGUGCGUCUAAGGCUGAUGGUAACAGGAGACGGGGGACAUGAUGUUUACCCAGGUUCGGGCCCUCUCUAUGGAGGUAAUACCCUACUUCCUGCUUGAUUGAUCUUGAUGAAUAUGAGUGUUACAAGAGUUGAUCUACCACGAGAUCGUAGAGGCUAAACCCUAGAAGCUAGCCUAUGAUUAUGAUAAUGAGUAUCCGCCUAUCCGGACUCUCUCCGGUUUAUAUAGACACCAAAGAGAUCUAGGGUUACAUGGAGUCGGUUACAUAAAAAGGAAUCUACAUGAUUGAUCGCCAAGCUUGCCUUCCACGCCAAGGAGAGUCCUAUCCGGACACGGGUGCGAUCUUCGGUCUUCGUAUCCUCACAGCCCAUCAGUCCGGCCCAUGGCUAACAGGCCGGACGCCCGAGGACCCCUUAGUCCAGAACUCCCUCAGUAGCCCCUGAACCUGGCUUCAAUGAUGAGGAGUCCGGCGCACAGAUUUGUCUUCGGCAUUGCAAGGCGGGUUCCUUUCUUCGGAACUCCAGAAUAGUCUUCGGACAAGAGAUGUAUCCGUAUCUGUAACAUGAAUACCAAACACACAGCUGUGGAGAGUACAAUAUUCCACGAGUCCAAUACGCUGACAACUUUUCAUAAUGUGACGUCACGCCUGCCCGGUUCAUUAUUUCAAACCGUUUUCGUCUGCCGCUUCGUGUUUUGAGACACGGUUUUCGUUGGCACGUCUCGUCGAAGCAGAGAUCGUGUCCCCUUAUUGCGGGAUCCUCAUCAAUAAGGGUGUGGGUAACCCAACCAUGCCGUUUACACAGGCCUUGGGAAUAGGCGAGUUUCGAGGCGAAUGGGGAGGCGUUAGAUAGUCACUGCCUUUAUAAGGGGAUAAGGAUUCCCUUCUUCCCCCACGCCUUCUCUCUUUCUCCGCCCUUCCAAUCUCGAGCUCCAGCGCCCAAGUUCUUAUCUCCUUUCCACUUGAGCUAGCGCUGCAACCAUGUCCGGAUCCGGAGGCCAGGGUAAGUGGAUGGUCUCCUCCGUUAAGGAGAAGGACAUUACUGAGCUUCGGGCGGCCGGGUACUUGGCGAAGGAAAUCGCCCACCGUCUUCCAGCCCUGGGGAAAGUUGUCCCCACGCCGAAGCCCAACGAGAGGGUGGUAUUCCUCCCUCAUUUCUUCCGCGAACUAGGGUUUCCCCUCCACCCCUUCGUCCGUGGGCUGAUGUAUUAUUACGGGAUAGAUUUCCACGAUCUGUCCCCGAAUUCCUUCCUCGACAUCUCGGCGUUUAUCGUCGUGUGCGAGGCCUUCCUCCGCAUCCAACCCCACUUCGGGCUAUGGCUCAAAGUCUUCAACGUGAAGCCGAAGGUGGUGGAUGGCCAGCGCGCGGAGUGCGGAGGAGCCAUGGUGAGUAAACUGUCCCACGUUUCCUGGCCGAAAGGCACCUUCGUGGAGACAGUAAAGGAGUGGCAGAAACAGUGGUUCUACAUUACAAAACCCCGCGGCACCGACUGGGCCGCAGCUGCCGAAUUCAACCCAGGCGCCCCAAUGCGGCUCACCUCCUGGGUCGAGAAAAGCCCGAACUGGUGUUCGCAAGACGAGCUGAUAGCACUGCAGACGCGCAUUCAAAGCAUGGUGGACAAGGACGUCAAACUCGUCGAUGUAAUCCAGGUGAUGCUAAUUCGCCGGAUUCUCCCGUGCCAAAGCCGAAGCCGUCCUCUAUGGAAGUUUAAUCCGAAGAAGCACCAUACCCUGAAGAGGAUCUUUGAGACCACUCACGAGGGCGCUUGGAAGUCGCUCUUCAAGGGCAACGAGAAGCCGCCGGCCACAGAUUCAGACCGCGGGCACGAUAAUAACCAUCCUGCCAGCGAGGUGUGUUAUUUUUAAAGCAUCCCCUACUUGUUUGUUUCGAGGAUGAUGUCUGAUCUUUCAUCGUUGCUUUUUUAGGACUGGAUGAAGAGGGCGGAGCGGAUCCAGUGUCCGGCCCCGCUGCCUGAAGAACCGGUCAUCCCGCGUUUAGCGAAGAUGCUGGUGCCGGCACCAUAUAAGGCGCCGGAGAAGAAGGCCAAGGGAGCCAAAAGUGGCCCCCGUCGUAAGGGCGCUUCGGACGUGACGUCCGAAGACGAAGAAGCCCAUUCCUCCGUCCCUGAGGAUGACGACGAGGAAAAGGAGGAGGAGGAGGAGGAGGACAAUUCUCCCCCUGAGGAGAGGAGGAAGAAGAGGGCGGCUUCCGCUAAUCUGGAAGCGGGGAAGCCCAAGAGGGGGAAGGGCGCCCUUUCGGUCAACACCGCGUGGGAUGUCGACAGUAGUCCGGAGCGACACCUCCGCACUAAGCCCCGGGCCGCAUUGUAAGUACUAUGACUCACAUGUACCGUAUCUCUGGCCUCUCCUCUUUAUUGUUUUGAUGUGGUUAAUUAUGCUAUUGCAGUCCGGCCCGCGACAACAUCUAGCGAUCCUCUUCUGGAGGUUCAUUGGAUCCGGCGGAAAUGGCCAGCGUGUCACCGCCGACCGCUCACUCCCCCGAGGCCCAGGAUGACGCCGAAGUGUUGUCCUGAAGGACCGCUCCGAGCCGGGGAGAUGCUCAGGACGAUGUCCAGGGGGCGCUGCAAGGCGAGACCCCCACUGCCGGACACAUGGGGGACCAAACCCCUAUGGAGACUGGCGAGGAGGGACGUGUUCAGUUUGGCCCUCAGCCGAAUACGAUUCCGGAGACCCAAAUGGCUCCGGAAUCCGGCAAGCACCCUCCUUCAAAGGAGGGGGUGUGCCGAUUCCACUGGUGGCCCUUGUCCAACCAGGGGCACCGGAUAACCUGAUGGAGGCGCUGCGAGGCGCCUCCAUUAUGCACGAGCACCGUGUCCUUAUGGGUGCGGUGGUCGAGAAGGUUCGGUCCGCCAAGAGCGGACUAAACGAGGCCUGCAGCAACCUGUUGACAGGUUUUGACGUAAGUCGCACAGAAAGAGAACAAUCCCAUGCAGACAGUAGCCCCUAAGACACUGUCCGGUGUUCGGAAAGAAAAGCCGGACAGAGGAUCAACCCUUUGUAGGAGACUAACUUGAUAUGUACGAAUAAGCAAGCGUCGCUGUUAGCCGCGACUUCACAUACUGCCGAAGUCUCUGAACUGAAGCAGAGGCUGGAGCAAGCCGAGAACGAGCUCGGCGAGGUGAAGACUCGGCUCCGGGAGAAGCAAGGUGUGUAGCGACUUGCUUGUGUAUUCGGAAAGAAUAAGUAGUGUGUAUUGACCAGAGUGUCAUAAUAUGUGUAGGAGCGACGACCGAGGUCGAGGCCUAAAAAAGGCCCUGGCCGAAGCCGAGGGUAAGGCUGUCCAGCAGCAAGCCGCCCGUAAGAAGUUCAAGGCCCGGGUCGACGAGGUCCAGAAGGAGCUCCAAGACGCGGUGAAGAAGUGCGAGGCCUUGGAGCAUGAUGUGUCGGUCCGAGAGACCGAACUCGCCAAGGAUCGUCAGAGCACGGAGGCCGCACGGACUGAGGCCCGGGAUGCCCUCAAGGAGAUCCAGGAGGCCAGGAAGAUCGCGGCGGGUAAGGCAUUUAACAUGCAAAGCAAGUAUGCGGAGAGGAAGUACCUUCUACUAACCCGAAUUCGGAGUUGCCUAGGGGCUUUUGCGGAUCUACCAUGCAGCGUGUCCGAUGCAGCGGAGUUCUUCCUGGCCAGAGAAGGGAGCUCCACGGAGAAGCUGUUCUGGACGCAGUACGCCGUGCCCGAACAUCCGGUGCCCUUUACCGAUCAGCUGAAGCAGCUGGUCGAGCUGCACAGGGUGGCCGAACUGGCCAUGAAGGAUUUGAUAAUCUGGUUGUGGCCGGCCGAGGCGAUACCCCGCAGUUACUUUGGCCUCGUGAAGCGGGUGGUAGAGGCAUGUCCUCGGCUAGACAUCGUCAAGCAAUCAGUCUGCAUCGAAGGUGCCCGCAUGGCCUUCGUCCGCUGCAACAUGUGGUGGGCAAAGAUGGACGCCGUCGAGGUGGCCAAGGGGCCGCCAGAGGGCAAGGAACACUGCACACCCGAGCGAUAUUUUGCGGAUGUCCUCGAAGGGUCUCGACUUGUAGCAGCGCAGUGCGGGUAGGACAUUGUUUUCGAAUGAAUACACUCGUGUUUUGUCCUUGCCUUGUAUGAUGAAAACAAAGCCGGUUUGUAAUAUAAUGCUUAUUAUGUUUUAAUUGUUUCCUCCUGUGCGGCCGUGUUAUAUUUAAUCUGAGGGUUGGCCAGUCGUCGGCUUCUGCCCUCACGUAGGUAGUACGGAGGUGUUCGGGGUGGUAUCUAAACAAUCGUUAUCCAAUUAUAUGGUCCUUGAAGGAGUUGUUUAGCGCAACGAACCAGGCAAUCAGACUAUGCGGCUUAAACGCCCUCACUUAGCCAUAGGAGUUUUAUAAUAAAACAUGGGCGCAACCCCUGGUAUACGAACCAGAGUGCUGUCAGCGUCUGAUCGGGAAGUACCGAUCCUUCGCGUAACGCGGAAAAAAUCUCUAACGAUUUGUAACCUCCGAACAGCUGACCGGCUGUCGUCGUAUCAUGACAGUCAGUUUUCGGCUUUCUCUACUGAGGUGCUCAUCCGGUUUAAACCAGGGCCCAAUCGCAGUAGUUCUCCCUUUACUACCCUAGCCGAUGUAGCAGAACGUAGGGUAGCAAGCACAGGAGCCGGGCAACCCAACUAUUGACCAAAGACAUGAUUCGGAGCCAAUGCAUAUAAUGCUAAAUUCGGGGUGUCGAACUUAUGUAUAAGAGGUGUUCGGACUUUGUUGCCGUAUUAUGGGGCGAUGGUGAGCCCCUGGCGAAUAUGAAACGUGCCAAAGUGCACGGAUGCGGUCGAUAAGCAAAUCGAAAUAAGAUGCAGUAAGAAGCGAAAACCACAGAAACUGGGCCGCAAACUAUUUUUAUUAUAACUGGAUGGAUACGUCAAGGCGUAUCUUGUACAAAUAAUGCGAUAAGCAUCCGGGCUAUUGAAUAUGCCGGAAUCUAGGGGCGCAGCGUGCGGGUCCUGAGAAAUAAGUAGAAAUACCGUCAAGAAGAACGUAUAGAGGUUACCCUACACACCUAUGCUGCUUGCCGUCUUUGUGUGUCGAUCCUUCGAAAGGACUGGUGAUCAGGCCCGCGGGAAAAGGAACCUGAAACAAAUAAAAAGACGAAAAAGGUGAAAGUAUGUGUGAGUCCCGGGUCGGUCGAGCCGUACUGUGGACCACAAGCUAUGCCUCCGUCGAUGCCCAUGGGAUCUUCAGUGCGUAAUUAUGUACGCGUGGUACUAGCGCCACUAUGUGAUCGGGACCGGGACGGAGGCCGGGUUGCUAGUUGAGCUCAUGGCGAGCCGGGCUAUCCUCCUACAGCAUAGUUCGGACUCUUUUAAUGGUGUCCAGGGGCUCGGCAGCCGGAUUCCGGUUCUGCUUGAGAAGGUCGCUCUGUACCUCUGCUGCUAGGGCGGCGGUGUGCUCUUCUAUACGGAGAGAACGUUCUGUAUUUCCAUUGGCUGUUAUAACACCGCGUGGACCGGGCAUCUUGAGCUUAAGAUAAGCAUAAUGUGGCACCGCGUUGAAUCGAGCAAACGCAGUUCGUCCGAGCAGGGCAUGUAGCCGCUGCGAAAGGGGACGAUAUCGAAGAUGAGUUCUUCGCUACGGAAGUUGUCCAGAGAUCCGAAGACCACCUCCAGCGUGAUUGAGCCCGUACAACGGGCCUCUACGCCGGGGAUGACUCCUUUAAAGGUAGACUUUGUGGGCUUGAUCCAUGAGGAGUUAAUGCCCACUUUCCGCACUGUAUCCUGAUAGAGCGGGUUGAGGCUGCUACCGCCGUCCAGAAGGACACGUGUCAGGUGGAAUCCAUCAAUGAUCGGAUCGAGGACCAGCGCGGCUGAACCGCCAUGACGAAUACUAGUCGGAUGAUCUCGAUGAUCAAAGGUGAUCGGGCAUGACGACCAUGGAUUAAAUUUUGGGGCGACUGGCUCUACCGCAUAGACGUCCCUGAGUGCGCGCUUACGCUCCCUUUUGGGGAUGUGUGUAGCAUAUAUCAUGUUCACCAUUUUGACCCGGGGGGAAACUUCUUCUGUCCCCCUGUGUUUAGUUGCCGGGGCUCUUCGCCCUCGUCCUCGCUUUGUGAUCCCUUUUCCUUGUUUUUGGCGUUUAGCUUGCCGGCCUGUUUAAAAACCCAACAAUCUCUGUUGGUAUGAUUGGCUGGUUUAUCUGGGGUGCCAUGUAUCUGGCACGGAUGAUCAAGUAUGCGGUCUAAGCUGGACGGUCCCUGAUUGUUCCUUUUAUACGGCUUCUUCCGCUGGCCGGACUUGGAGCCACUGAAUCCGGCAUUGACUGCAGUGUCAUCGGUGUUGUCGUUGUUGUUUCGGCGUUUAUGCCUGUUACGUCGGAGCCUGCCGCUGCUGCUUUUGACCUCGGAGGGGUUUGCCUCGCUAGCUGUAUUUUUGCUGCGAGCGAGCCAACUAUCCUCACCCACGCAAAAGCGGGUCAUGAGUGCCGUGAGGGCUGCCAUAGAUUUUGGCUUUUCUUGGCCGAGGUGGCGGGCGAGCCAUUCGUCAUGGAUGCUAUCUUUAAAGGCCGCUAGGGCUUCAGCAUCCUCACAGUCGACGAUUUGGUUCUUUUUAGUUAGGAACCUAUUCCAAAACUUCCUGGCUAAUUCUCCAGGUUGUUGAACUAUAUGUCUUAAGUCAUCGGCGUCUGGUGGCCGGACAUAUGUACCUUGGAAGUUGUCUAGGAAGGCUUCUUCCAAGUCCUCCUAGCUACCGAUAGAAUUUUCAGGGAAGCUGUUAAGCUAGUGCCGAGUUGGCCCUUUGAGUUUUAGUGGGAGGUAUUUGAUGGCGUGGAGAUCAUCUCCGCGAGCCAUGUGGAUAUGGAGAAUAAAAUCCUCGAUCCAUACUGCGGGAUCGCUUGUGUUGUCAUAUGAUUCAAUAUUGACGGGCUUAAACCCCUCGGGGAAUUCAUGAUCCAGUACUUCAUCUGUGAAGCAGAGAGGGUGUGCGGCGCCUCUAUAUCGGGCUGCAUCGCGAUGUAGCUCUGAUGGAGUCCGUCUGCGGCAUUCGGCUCGGGCGUGGUUAGGUUUGUCACGUCUGAAUAGGUAGCCGUCGUCGUGUCUCGAGGCACGUCCUCGCGAUCCGUAGAUCGAUCUUGUAUAUCCUGCUCUGUUGUCCAGGGUCUACCGGAGGUCGUACAUGUAAUCUUGAGUUGUUCUGCCUCUAUUUUUAUGGGGCGGUGGGGCAGGCUGCUGCUCGUCUUGAGUUGCCGCUUUAUCUCGACCGCGGGGUGGUCGGUCCGCCGAACUGUUUCGAACUCGAGCUGGUCGUUCCGUAUUGCGCGGGGGAGAUAUGGGCUCCGGCGCCUCCUCAUUGAACUGAGGUAGAAAUUUGCGUUUCGGCUAGCUCUUGGCUGGGCGCUUAAGGCCGUAUUCUUCAGCUGUCAGGACAUCAGUCCAUCUGUCGACGGGCAGAUCUUGUUCAGCUUGAAGCUGCUGCUGUUUCUUAUUCAGGCUCCUCGCAGUGGCUAUGAGUUGAAGCUUAAAGCGCUCCUGCUCCAGAGGGUCCUCCGGCACGAUGAAGUCUUCGUUGCUGAGGCUCGUCUCUUCUUUGGAGGGUGGAUGGUAACUAUCAUCCUUUGAGUUUUCCUCUGUGGCCUGUUCGUCAGGGUUGACUUGCCCUAGCUUCAGAUUGUCUCAUUCGACAGUUUGCUCAUCGGGUUCUUCUGUUUCUUCGACGCCAUCCGGAGUGUUGUCGUCUCCUGCCCCGGUAUUGCUGUCCCUGCUGCGGCGGGAUUUAGAGCGGCAUCGCUGACGCCGGCGCUUUGGUUGUGUUUUAGGGGGGUCCUCCUUUGCUGCAUUUUCCCUGUCAUCGCCGCUGUUAUUUUUCGGCGUGUCUACCAUGUAGACGUCGUAUGAGGAAGUGGCCGUCCAACAUCCAGUAAAUGGCGGGUUCUGGCCCUGCUCCUGAUCGGCAUCGUCGUCCAUACCGUCGAUGUCUUCGGAGCCGUAGUCAAGCACGUCGGUUAAGUCAUCGACUGUGGCUAUGAAGUGGGUGGUGGGUGGGAAACAAAAUUCUCCCUCCUCAGCCCCUUGCCCGAACCGGUCAUAGUUCGGGUGUGAGUUCUCUGCCAAGGACAGGUUCUUAAAAGAGUUUGGCACAUCACCCAAAGGUGAGUACUGAAAGAUGUCUGCGGCGCUGAACUUGAGGAUCGAUAACCGAUCGAGUUCGGUAUCCGCGGACUCGCAGGUUUCGGAAGUUGUCGCCAGAGGUGAAUCCGGGGUUCCGUUGAUGCAGAUAUCAUGCGAAGUACAAUCUGUGUGCGGCUCCAACGCCGCGGAAUCGGUAGCCUCCGUGAUGGGGUUGAGCUUCCCAUCUUCGGAUGACUCGAUCUGCUCCAAAUCUAAGGCCAGAGUCGUUACAGGAGCUGUCUCCUGGAUGCAGCCCGAUGGCAGGUUUAAGCCAUGCUUAUCGGGGCGAAGGGGAGCGGUUGCCGCGGUCUCAAAUCCGUCGAAGAUUAAGUCUCCACGGAUGUCCGCGACAUAGUUCAAGCUUCCAAACCUGACCUGAUGGCCAGGAGCGUAGCUAUUGAUCUGCUCCAGAUGGCCAAGCGAGUUGGCCCGCAGUACAAAGCCGCCGAAUACGAAGAUUUGUCCGGGGAGGAAGGUUUCUCCCUGGACAACGUCGUUAUAGACAAUCGAAGGGGCCAUCGAGCCCUUUGCUGACGGCACAGUGGAACUCUCAAUGAAAGCACCAAUGUCGGUGCCAAAACUGGCGGAUCUCGGGUAGGGGGUCCCGAACUGUGCGUCUAAGGUCGAUGGUAACAGGAGACGGGGGACACGAUGUUUACCCAGGUUCGGGCCCUCUCUAUGGAGGUAAUACCCUACUUCCUGCUUGAUUGAUCUUGAUGAAUAUGAGUGUUACAAGAGUUGAUCUACCACGAGAUCGUAGAGGCUAAACCCUAGAAGCUAGCCUAUGAUUAUGAUAAUGAGUAUCCGCCUAUCCGGACUCUCUCCGGUUUAUAUACACACCGGAGAGAUCUAGGGUUACAUGGAGUCGGUUACAUAAAAAGGAAUCUACAUGAUUGAUCGUCAAGCUUGCCUUCCACGCCAAGGAGAGUCCUAUCCGGACACGGGUGUGAUCUUCGUUCUUCGUAUCCUCACAGCCCAUCAGUCCGGCCCAUGGCUAACAGGCCGGACGCCCGAGGACCCCUUAGUCCAGGACUCCCUCAGUACCCCUUAGUCCAGGACUCCCUCAACCCUACUUGUUGAUGCCCGAUCCUCGCAGGUGGCCCAGACACCGACUUGACGAUCCUACGGAGGUUGCCGUGGUGCCCCUCGACAUGCUACCACUACCCGUCCACUUGUCCUUCAUGUGCGGCCACUACUGGGCGGGCAUGAAGGCCAACUGGAUCGUCCUCAUCCACCAAUCCGGUAGUCCGUGGCGUCUCGUGGAUAUCUACACCCAGCAAGAGAUCACCCUUCCAUCGUUGGUUACCACCGCCAUCGAGCCUCGCAGGCCGCCGGACACUCCUGCCUACUACGCACGAGACGCGUCAAGCUUUUGGCUUGACCUCUGUUUGCUGAAAGUUGUAAUCUGCGAAGUGCCCACACCAUCAGAAGACUACAUGGAUUACAAGCUCAUUGCCUUGUUCAACAUGGGAUUAGUCUAUCUGGAAUCUGGUCGCCAUACAUGGUUAUGGCUCAUCGUCAAUCCUGUUGAGGCAACAUUUCUGUCUGAUGCUAUAGUGCAUGAUGGCACCGUUUACGCGAUCGACGCACAGAUUGGCUGCCUAUACUGGUGGAAUCUAUCGUCGUGUAAUUUGUUCUAUCUUGUCUCAUCUUUACCUUAUGAAUACGACUGCCUAUUCAUUGUUACAAAUUUAGAAUAGAUAGUAUGUCUAUAACCACAUCAUUGCUACAUGUUCCUCUCAUUUCCUAGAUUUUUAUGACCACACAUGUUAUUGUUAGAGUUGAUAUGAGAAAAAUUGACAUCUAAUGAUUGUUAGAAUAGAUAUUAUGAGCAUAACCUCAUGAUUCCUAUAUGUUACUCACAUUUCCAGGAUUUUUAUAACAACGCAUGUUAUUGCUUAGAGUUGAUAUGAAAACAGUAGUAAGUGCUAUGGUAGAAUAUGAGUAGGCCCUGUCAUAGCUGUUUUCCUCUUAUUGUUACAUGAUGUUUGAACUAUGACAUAUUGCUAGAAUAUGAAAGCCAUUGGCUUAUUUUUUUAACUUGGGGUAUGAUUAUGACCACGGCAUUGCAAUUCUCUGUCUAUGAUAUGUGUCACUGUUAUAAUAAUCUUAAUUCCACACAUACUCUGAACAUGAUUGUUUAUUUUUGUCCUUUUGAUUUCCAAUUUGAAUUGUUGCAGCAGACGCAAAUGCGCUGGCCUUCAUGAUUCCAGGACCUGGAAUGAUACCAGCCGAUGGGUGGUGGUUUAUCGCUCGUUCAGCUAACGGCGGUCAUUUGAUGCUCAUUCGCACAUCCAAAUUGACCAAACCAUUACAUCAAACCACAUGCAGUACAAUGCCUAGGGCGUUCGUGACAUUGAUGGCUAUGGUUGCUUCGUGUUCGAGAAAAAUCCCAACUCCGUUGGGCCAGGCGUAUUCAACUAGAGGCGGGUUUACAGCCUCGGCAACCACUCCAUGUUCCUCGGGCUCAAUUAUCCGAUCAUCCAACCAAUCAUUGAUUAUAUCACCGGCGAUGAGUACCGUGCUAUGCAACUUCCAUUCGCCAAGAGGGACUGUGUUUACACAUCAUACCAUGGGUUUCAUGAAUCACCAUAUCCAGAGAUUCGUCGACACAGCUUGUUGCCGGAUAAUCAUCAGUGUGUGAAAGGCAUCAAGCUUCCAUGCGAUGGAUGGCUUUUGCAAACCCGACAUGCGGCGAUGUGGUUCAUGCCAACAGCAAAUAUGCACAACUUGAUUCGUACUAAUAUCUAGACUGAGCCAUGUAUUCUGCUGCUGUAGCACGACCCUCUUUUGUUGGAUAUUAUGUAUUGUUGUUAGUUUGAAGCACUCCUCUGGUUUGAAGGAUAGAUACCUUUUUGGGAUCAAGUGCAUCCUAACUCACCUGCGUAGGAUGUAUUGAUAAUGAUGAUGGAGAUGCUGUGCAGAAGCCAUAUANNNNNNNNNNNNNNNNNNNNNNNNNNNNNNNNNNNNNNNNNNNNNNNNNNNNNNNNNNNNNNNNNNNNNNNNNNNNNNNNNNNNNNNNNNNNNNNNNNNNNNNNNNNNNNNNNNNNNNNNNNNNNNNNNNNNNNNNNNNNNNNNNNNNNNNNNNNNNNNNNNNNNNNNNNNNNNNNNNNNNNNNNNNNNNNNNNNNNNNNNNNNNNNNNNNNNNNNNNNNNNNNNNNNNNNNNNNNNNNNNNNNNNNNNNNNNNNNNNNNNNNNNNNNNNNNNNNNNNNNNNNNNNNNNNNNNNNNNNNNNNNNNNNNNNNNNNNNNNNNNNNNNNNNNNNNNNNNNNNNNNNNNNNNNNNNNNNNNNNNNNNNNNNNNNNNNNNNNNNNNNNNNNNNNNNNAUGGUUAAAAUGUGACACUAAAUACGACUAGUAAGUAGUACAGUAGCAGUACUAGUAUACAUCGGUCAAAUUAUUCAUCAUGUCCACACAUUGAAUUGACGUGACAACACGCUGCGCGUGAGGUGACACAAGAAUCCCGGCGGCGUGUUCGGGUAUUCUGGACUUCAGAUUUGGAGUACCACUUAUCUGUCAAAAUCUUUCAUCAUUCACUUAAAACAGUCGAUUGAUCAUACAUUGAGUACCAUAUAAUUGGAAUUAACCAAUGCAAGUCCAAGAAGGAUUGGUCGGUGCUGCCGGCUGGCGUCAAGUUCGAUCCCACGGAUCAGGAGCUGAUCGAGCACCUUGAGGCCAAAGUGAGUGCUGACAGCGCGAGAUCUCACCCUCUCAUCGAUUUGUUCAUACCAACCAUCGACAGCGAGCACGGCAUAUGCUACACCCAUCCUGAGAAACUCCAGGUAAGACACGAUCGGCCGUCUACUUGCACAAACAUAUUCCUUUGUAUAUAGCUCUAUUUUUCUUUUUAGACGCAGACCUAGUGAAGCAAUUACAAUUUGACAGUUAAUAAAAAGUGAAACAAGUGACUACAACAUGCCAAAGAUGUUAUGAAAAUGCCAACUACGUACACUAAAACAUGUAUUCGACAAUACUUCAGGUAUCACACUGAGUGGCCUAAGCAAGCAUUUCUUCCAGUGCAAUUCCAGGGCAUCCAAAAGGGGCACGUGGACACGAAGCAAGAUACAGUCGGAGUGCGGCAUGCAUGCGAUGUGGCACAAGACCGGCAAUACCUUUCUGGUGAUGGUCAACGGCCAGCAGACGGGCAGUAAAAAGGUUCUGGUGCUGCACACCAACAAGAACUUCGACCAGCAGAGGACCAACUGGGUGAUGCACCAGUACCACGUCGGGGACCUGGAGCAAGAGAAGGAGCGGGAGCUGGUCCUCUGCAAGAUUUUCUACCAGACGAACACUAGGGCCAGGAGUAAAAAAGAUUAUAAGCUAGUUUGGUAUUGGUACUUGUACUACCUUGUCGUCCGCAAGUUGGUAUUGUUGUUAACGAUCUUUCGGUAUGAACUUGGCAUUUGCUUCCAACCAUCAUGCCGAGGGUCAACGUGGAUAUAAAGCUGAAUCAUUUGCUUCGAAACGAAUUUUCAGGCACCUAAUUUUUAUUUGAUGGGUAGCAUAAGCACCUGCCGUUUGAAUUCCCAGUUCUCCAAAUUUUUCGAAACAAGUGCAUGCACAUAUUAUCACGAUGAAAAAACAAUAUACCUACGGCAUCCCAGUUAUCAAUCUAUACUUGCAGAAUUCUCUCGUUUAUUGAGCAGGUAUAUUGUUUUUUCAGGUCGAGCAAGUUUCAAAUGGGUUGUAGACUGCCCAAGCUUAGUUUUAUUUUUAACAGGCCCAGCCCAUGACGACAAGGGGCACAAAGAUCCAGCAGGUAUCUACUGGCCUCUGGCCCGCCAGCGUUAGUUAUAUUUUGUCUUACAACAUCCGCAGGCAGUUUUUUUACUGAAUCAAACACACAACCCAGUUCUAUUUUCCUCUUGAAACGCCAUGUCCUACAUCCGUUUUCUAAUCUCCACCUAUAGUUUUACUAGUUCAUAUACACGUAUCAUUAUAUGGAAAAUACAUAAAGUUCCCUUUUCAUAUUUACAUCCUUAUUUUUGUUGUUGUUUUCCCUCCCAGCGCUGAUUUGUUUACCACUGGUUUUCCCUUAAACCAACUCAAUUGUCCCACGUCUUAUUUGCUUACAAAAACAAAACAAUUUUUUGGCAAAUCAAUAAGUUCUUAAAAUUUUUUAUCAUUUCGGGAUUACAAUAGUUCGGACUCCACCGAAAUAUGCAAAAUAAGGUUGAACUUUUUGACCGUGGUCCUAGGCAGAAAAUUGGUUGUAAUAAAUUACUUAAGAAUUAGCAAAUGGGCUGCAAAUUAUUAAGAAAUAGCAAAUGGGCUCUAUGUUGUCUGCCACAGAUUUGGAGGCUGACUUGUGGGCCUACUAAGUUCAUGUGUACACAAGGUUUCUCAAAAAAGGAAACUUAGUCAACAAUCGACUCUACCAGCGUCAGACCGUUAGAUGUCAAUCUAACGGCAAUCGUGCUUCUUCAUUCUCUGAUCUUCAUGCUCCAGCCGCCCAAACCAGCGUCGGCAGAACCACCUGCUCCCACCUCCCGUGGCCGGCUGUGCUGCCGGGCAGGCCUCACGGCCCCAGCAUACUCGCAUCCAUGUCCUGUCUAUCCCUCUACUCACCCACACCUCCUGUUAUUUUCCAGCGACGACAGCCGAACCAAUCAACCCUCGUACUCCCCACCGCGUGGGCAGCCACUGCCGUGUCUUCCCCGGCUCCGUGUCGUUCCCUUCGUAGGCCGUCGUCCACCGCCCUGGUGCUCUCGGCGCGGCGUGGUCAACGAAUGACAUCCAUCGGAAGUGGACUGUACGUGGAGAGGCUGACAGUUGGGUCCACGGCAUACAAGGAAAUGCCUCCUUAUUACGCACAAAAUAAUGAUUCCUCCACCUGACAUCUGGGACCCACCCGAAGGGCCUCUGUAUUUCGUAAAAAAAACGUUCCCCCGCUGACAGGUCGGACCCACCAGCUAUAUCUUCGCACACAAAGAAGUGCCUCCUUAUUGCGCACAAAAAAUGAAUACCCUUCUGCCAGCUAGGACCCACCAUAAUGGGAGGUUGACUUGUGGGCCUACUAAGUUGACGGGGACGGAGGGCUUUGUCAACUUAGUCAAUAUGAACGAUUCUAGCUCCAGUGACCGUAUGAUGUCCAUCCAAUGGCUGUAGUGCUUCUUCAACCUCUGGUCUUAUUGCUCCAGCCGCCCAAACCAGCGCCGGUCGUGCCGCGUGCUCCUGCCUCCCGUGGUCGGCUGUGAUGUCGUGGAGGCCUCACCGCCCCCUACUACUCCCACUGCUGGCCAGGCCAUCCCUCUACUCACCCACACCCCAAGUUAUUCUGAGACGACGGCAGCCUCACACCACAGCCGAACCCGUGAGUCCUCGUACUCCUCUCCGCGUGGGCUUUCACUGCCGCGUCUUCCCCGGCUCCGCGUUGUCUCCUUCCUAGGCCUUGCCGUUGUCCACCACCCUGGUGCUCUCGGCACGGCAUGGUCAAUGUGGUCAAGGAACGACUUCCAUCGGAAGAGUACUUUACGUGGAGAGGCUGACAGCUGGGUCCACAGCAGCCACAAGGAAGUGCCUCCUUAUUAUGCGCAAAAUAAUUAUUCCUCCACCUGACAGCAGGGACCCACCGGAUGGGUCACCGUAUUUCGUGAAAAAAAUGUUUCCCCCCUGACUGCUGGGACCCACCGGCUACAUCUUCGCACGCAAGAAAGUGCAUCCAUAUUACGGGCAAAAAAACGAUUUGCCGCUGACUGCUGGGACCCACCAGCUGCAUCUUCGCACGCAAGGAAGUACCUGACAGUCGGGACCCACCUGGUCGAAGCGUACGUAGCGUUGUCAUUCUGGUCGUGAACGUGUACGUACAUACUGGUCAAUGUAGAGGCGCGCACGUGUCGUAGUAGAGGCGCGCACGUAGCAUGUACACGUACGUACAUCGGCCAGGCUGCAAAAAAAGUAAAUACGGCCACGUACGUACAUACGGGCGGGGUCUCGAACGCCUACUCGCGCAUAUGUACGGCCAGGGCUCGUGUACAUGGCUGGGUCGGAACGGAGAAAUUGUGUCGUCGUCGUGUUCAUGGGGAGGCAACGGAAUGCGUCGUGUUCAUGGGGAGACAACGGAAUACGUCGUGUUCAUCGGGAGCCAACCGGCUUGGACGGAACAUCCGAUGGAAACGAGGCCUGGCGUACCACAGAACGGAGGAAAAGGCCUUGUGUUCGACCGGUCACGGUCGAAACGGGAUCCUGUUCAUCGGGAGGGGUCUGGCGUACCGCAAAACGGAGGAAACGGACUUCUGUUGGACCUCCUUCGGUCGAAACGGGGUCCUGUUGAUUGGGAGGGGUGUGGCGUACCGCAAAACGGAGGAAACGGACUUGUGUUGGAGCGCUAUGGUCGAAACGGGGGUCCUGUUCAUCGGGAGGGGUGUGUCGUACCGCAAAACGGGACUCCACGGGAUAUUGUUCAUCUUCACCGUCGACCUCCUCCAGCCUCCACGGGCUACUGUUCAUCCACCAUCGACCUCCUCCAGCCUUCACCUGCGACUGUUCAUCCACGGGCUCUUGUUCAUCCAGCCUCCACCGCUCCUCCACCGGCUACUGUUCAACCAGCCCUCUCCACGGGGUCCUGUUCAACCACCCCUCCACUGGCUACUGUUCAUCCAACCCUCCACCGGCUACUGUUCAACCAACCCUCCACCAGCUACUGUUUAACCUUCCCUCCACGGGGUCCCGUUCAUCCAGCCCUCCACGGGGUCCUGUUCAUCCACGCCCAACCGGCUCGAUCGAUCGGAGUCAUGUUCGUCCAGCAGCAACACCACGGGGUCCUGUUCAUCCAACCCCCCACCAGGAACUGUUCAUCCAAACCCCCCAACAACGUUCACUGUUCAUCAAGGGAAGGAGGCAGCAGGUUCAAACGGCUUCAAUUAGCAGCAGUAGCGAACGAAGGAAUCGCUCGAUUGGGUUCAGUUAACAGCCAUCGAUCGAUCGCUCAGGUUCAGUAACGCGUAGCCUACAGUGCAAUUGCUCGGGUUCAGUUAGGCGAACGCCUCGCUCGGGUUCAGUUAGAACCAAACGUCUCGCACCCACACGCGUACGUGUACGAGAGAAACGCGCAUCGCUCGGCCCCCGACCACCCACCGUAACCGGGAACUCCUCGAAAUUUUCCUCGCCCUCGCUUCUACCAUGGUUAUUUCCGUCAUGGACGGCCCAAAGAAUGUCAUGCAGCUGCGUCUCCGGCCCGCCCAGGACGAAAAGCCCAUUUUCUGUCAUGAUUUUUUGUCAUAAAAGUAGGAUUCCACCACAUCAUGAUGAUAACGGGUUUUGUCAUAAUUAUCGUCAUAGAAGUGCCAUAAGCAUGACAGAAAAAAUUUCGUUCGGCCCUAAAUGUCACGGAUGUGUCUUUUUUAUAGUGGGUGCUCUGCAUUUAUGUUUUGCGGUCUCAGAAAGGGCUAGCGAGAUACCAUCUUGCUAUAUCAUAUUAUGAUUGUUUUGAGAAAGUGUUGUCAUUCGAGAUUUAUUAUUAUUGCUCGCUGGUUGAUUAUGCCAUUGAUAUGAGUACAUAUGAGACCCAAAUGUUAUUGUGAAUAUGGUUAGUUCAUAAUCUUUGCUAAAAACUUGAAUGCUGGCUUUACAUAUUUGCAACAACAAGAUCAAACAGAGUUUGUAAAAGUUUUUCUUUAUCACUUUUAGUUAAUCAACUGAAUUGCUUGAGGACAAGCAAUGGGUUAAGCUUGGGGGAGUUGAUACAUCUUCAUCGUAUCUACUUUUCAAAACUCUUUUGCCCUUGUUUUGGACUCUAAUUUGCAUGAUUUGAAUGGAACUAACCCGGACUGGCGCUGUUUUCUGCAGAAUUGCCAUGGUGUUAUUUUUGUGCAAAAAAUAAAAGUUCCCGGAAUGACCUGAAACUUCAGGAGGUCAUUUUUUGAAUAAAUAAAAAAUAUUGGCUAAAGAAUCAACCAAAGGGGACCCACACACUGGCCACAAGGGUGGAGGGCGUGCCCACCCCCCUGGGGCGCGCCCUCUGGUCUUAUGGACCCCCUGGAGCUCCACCGACCUCAACUCCAACUCCAUAUAUUCUCAUUCGGGGAGAGAGAAAAUCAGAGAGAAGGAUUCAUCGCGUUUUACGAUAUGGAGCCGCCGCCGCCUCUAGUUCUUCCUCGGGAGGGCAGAUCUAGAGUCCGGUUGGGGCUCCAAAGAGGGGAAAUCGUCGUCGUCGUCAUCAUCAACCAUCCUCCAUGACCAAUUUCAUGAUGCUCACCGCCGUGCGUGAGUAAUCCCAUCGUAGGCUUGCCGUACGGUGAUGGGUUGGAUGAGAUUUACCAUGUAAUCGAGUUAGUUUUGUUAGGGUUAUAUCCCUAGUAUCCAUUAUGUUCUAAGAUUGAUGUUGCUAUGACUUUGCUAUUCUUAAUGCUUGUCACUAGGGCCCGAGUGCCAUGAUUUCAGAUCUGAACCUAUUAUGUUUUCAUGAAUAUAUUUGUGUUCUUGAUCCUAUCUUGCCAGUUAUAGUCACCUACUAUGUGUUAUGAUCCAGCAACCCCGGAGUGACAAUAGUCGGGACACUUCCUGAUGAUGACCGUAGUUUGAGGAGUUCAUGUAUUCAUGAAGUGCUAAUGCUUUGGUCCGGUACUCUAUUAAAAGGAGGCUUUAAUAUCCCUUAGUUUCCAAUAGGACCCCGCUGCCACGGGAGGGUAGGACAAAAGAUGUCAUGCAAGUUCUUUUCCAUAAGCACGUAUGACUAUAUUCGGAAUACAUGCCUACAUUAUAUAGAUGAAUUGGAGCUAGUUCUGUGUCAUCCUAUGUUAUAACUGUUGCAUGAUGAAUGCCAUCCGAUAUAAUUAUCCAUCAUUGAUCCAUUGCCUAUGAUCUCGUUUCAUAUUGAACUUUGCUAAGUUACUUUUCCGUUGCCACUGUUACGAUUGCUACCAAACUGCUACUGUUACUUUUGCCACCGUUAACGUUACUUCCAUACUACUUUGCUACUAAACACUUUGCUGUAGAUAUUAAGUCUUACAGGUGUGGUUGAAUUGACAACUCAGCUGCUAAUACUUGAGAAUAUUCUUUGGCUCCCCUUGUGUCCAAUCAAUUAAUUUGGGUUUAAUACUCUACCCUCGAAAACUGGUGCGAUCCCCUAUACUUGUGGGUUAUCAAUCUCCAAGAACAUCGAGGAGAACAUGGUAUUGAGAAUCAAAAAGAGAAGAAGCCAUCUAGCUACUAGCUAUGGACUCGUAGGUUUGUGGUAAUCUACUCACGCUUCAUCGGAAGGGCAAUAGAGUUGAUGUAGAAGCCCUCCAUGAUCGAAUCCCCCUCGGCACGAUGCCAGAAAAGGCCCCUAGAUGGGAUCUCACGGGAACAGAAGGUUGCGGCGGUGGAAAAGUGUUUCCGUGGAUGCCUCUGGUGGUUUAGGAAUAUAUGUGAAUAUAUAGGAGGAAGAUUUAGGUCAGGGGGUCACCGAGGGGCCCAUGAGAGGUAGGGCACGCCCUACCCCCUGGGCGCGCCCUCCCCCUUGUCGCCGCCAAGUGUCUCUUUUGACUUGCACUCCAAGUCUCCUGGGUGUCUUCUGGUCCAAGAAAAAUCAUCGCGAAGGUUUUAUUCCGUUUGGACUCCAUUUGGUAUUCCUUUUCUGCGAGGCUCAAAAACAAGGAAAAAACAAAAACUGGCACUGGGCUCUAGGUUAAUAGGUUAGUCCCAAAAAUAAUAUAAAAUAGCAUAUUAAUGCAUAUAAAACAUCCAAAACAGAUAAUAUAAUAGCAUGGAACAAUAAAAAAUUAUAGAUACGUUGGAGACGUAUCAAUUUGUCAGGCUCUAGACAUCGAUCACGUUGAUCGUGUCAUCGGUCGUCAAGCGGGGGCAACUAGGACAAGGUGAGGGGUCACUGGUGGAUCACUAACCAACCUAUACUAAGCAGUUUAGGAUAAGCAAAUAAGGUAACAAUUGCAAGUUACAAAAUCAGACUAUGCAUCAGAAUAGGAUCAUACAAAAGCAGUAGCAGUUCUAAUGCAAGCAUAAGAGAGAAGGGAAAUGGGCGAUAUAAGAAUGAUCAAGGGGGUUUGCUUGCCUGGAAGCUCUGCAGACAGAUAAGAACCCUCGACGGUGAAGCAGUCGAUCACCGUAUCAACAGUGUCUCGGGGUCUAUCGAAAAAGAAGUAAUGGAGGGGGAACACAAUAAAUAACAGAGCAAUCGAAGGCAUCUCAAAGCAUGACAUGACAAUAUGAUGUGUUAGGGGUGACCUAAUGCAGUGCUACGCGUUACAGACGGGGCGAAAAAUAUCCGGGAAUAUUUCCCCGGCUUCAUGCAAUUAUCGGACAAGCAAUCCGGAGGAGAAGGUUCCAUGUUCAUUGUGUUACAGACAUGUGACACGUACAUGGAGGACAUAUUCAGGUUCGUCUUAUUUUUCUGAUCAUUUUUCAUAUAUAAACCUUUUUCAUCUGACUUACGGUUUAUUUUCUAUUAAUUUACAAAGUUUUAAAUGAUUUUUUGAAUUUUCUAUUUAUUUUAAUUUUGAAAAACACCAGUUAGAAAAUGGGUGCACUCGGUGCAGUGCAACCAUGGGUGCACCAGAGGCUGACCAAUGGGCCACGGGGUUGCUGAGUCGGCACGUCAACGCUGACCAGUUGACCAGUCAACUGGUUCAGCAGACCCACAGGCCAGGACCCGGGGGGGCUAUGCCCUGCCACGUCUGCAGUGGCGGCGUGCGAGGGAGGGUCGCGCGGCGCGGGCUCCGGCGGCCAGUGGCCGUGCGGGCGGCGGCCAGAGCAGGCACGGGGGCGGCGGGCGGCGCCAAGCGGGUUGCACGUGCGCAAGUGAUACUUCACCAACGUAUCUAUAAUUUUUUUAUUGUUCCAUGCUGUUAUAUUAUCACUCUUGGAUGUUUUAUAUUCAUUUUAUAUCAUUUUUGGGACUAACCUAUUGACAUAGUGCCCAGUGCCAGUUGCUGCUUUUUGCUUGUUUUUUACUUCACAGAAUAUCAGUACCAAACGAAGUCCAAAUGCCACGAAACUUUUUGGAGAUUUUUUUGGGCGAGAAGACAACUUGGGAGCCAAGGAAGCACCAGAGGGGAGGCCCAUGGGGCCCACCACCCACCUGGGUGGCGCGCCCUGAUGAGUGGUGGGGCCCAUGGAGGGGUCCUCCACCGCCUCCCAGCUCUAUAAAUACUCAGAUAUUCUAGAAACCCUAGGGGAGUUGACGAAACACAAUUCCGGCUGCCGCAAGUUCCAGAACCACGAGAUCCAAUCUAGAUCCCUAUUUCGGCACCCUGCCGGAGGGGAACACGAUCACGGAAGGGUUCAUCAUCCUCAUUGGUGCUCCUCCGAUGAUGCGUGAGUAGUUCAUUAUAGACCUACGGGUCAAUAGGCAGUAGCUAGAUGGUUUGUUCUCUCUUCUUGAUUCUCAAUACAAUGUUCUCCUCGAUGUUCUUGGAGAUUUAUUUGAUGUAAUGACUUUUUGCGAUUUGUUUGUUGGGAUCCAAUGAAUUGCGAGUUUAUGAUCAGAUCUAUAUCCAUGAAUAUUAUUUGAGUCUUGUUUGAUCUCUUAUAUGCAUGAUUAUUUAUAGUCUCGUAUUUCUUCUCCGAAACUUUGGUUUGGUUUGGCCAACUAGAUUGAUUUUACUUGCAAUGAGAAGAGGUGCUUUGUGAUGGGUUCGGUCUUGCGGUGUCCUCACCUAGUGACAGAAGGGGUAGCGAGGCAUGUAUGUAUCAUUGCUAUUAAGGGUAAAAGAUGAGGUUGAUUCCUACAUGAAUAGAUCUUGUCUACAUCAUGUCAUCGUUCUUAUUGCAUUACUUUGUUUCUCCAUGAAAUUAAUACACUAGAUGCAUGUUGGAUAGCGGUCGAUGUGCGGAGUAAUAGUACUAGAUGCAGGCAGGAGUCGGUUUACUAAUCUUGGACGUGAUGCCUAUAUACAUGAUCUUGGCCUUGGAUAUUGUCAUAAUUAUUUUUUCUUCUAUCAAUUGCCCAACAGUAAUUUGUUUACCCACCGUAUGUUAUUUUCUCAAGAGAAGCCACUAGUGAAAUCUACGGCCCCCGGGUCUAUCUUUUAUCAUAUUGUUUUCAGAUCUAUUAUUCCAAUAAUACAAAAAAACCUUGCUGCAUUUUUUCUUUACUUCUUUUAUUUUGUGUUUUCGCUAGAUUUAUUUAUCCAAACUCAUACAAUUUAAUCUAUAUUUUUACCGUGGAGGGAUUGACAACCCCUCUUACGCGUUGUGUUGCAAGUAUUUGUUCUUUGUGUGCAGAUACCGUUUACAUAGUGUUGUUUGGUUUUCCAAUUGGAUUGAUAACCUUGGUUUCAUAACUGCGGGAAAUACUUGUCGUAGUUGUGUUGCAUCAUCCCUUCCUCUUUGGGAAAAUACCAAUGUAGAUUCAUGCCACGUCAGCAAGGUAGUGGCGGGGAACGGCGGGCACGGGCGGAUGAAGGCGGAGCGAGCGGGGUGGGGCGCGGGCGCGUCGGGCACGCGGGCACGGCGGCGAGCCAGGCCUGAGCAGGCGAGCAGAUGAGACCGAAGGAAGCAGGCGCGGUUGGCUGGCGAGUGCGCAGCCAGGAACUGCAGCAGCAGCACGGGGGCACGCGUGCGGUAGGCCGGGGCGCGGGGGCGGAGGCGCGAUGCGAACGUAGCCGCGGCCAAGGAAUAGCCCGGAACAGGGCGAGCGUGGCCUGGUGCGGCUGGGCGCUGGCCGGAGGCGAGGCCAGGCAGUGGGCGGNNNNNNNNNNNNNNNNNNNNNNNNNNNNNNNNNNNNNNNNNNNNNNNNNNNNNNNNNNNNNNNNNNNNNNNNNNNNNNNNNNNNNNNNNNNNNNNNNNNNNNNNNNNNNNNNNNNNNNNNNNNNNNNNNNNNNNNNNNNNNNNNNNNNNNNNNNNNNNNNNNNNNNNNNNNNNNNNNNNNNNNNNNNNNNNNNNNNNNNNNNNNNNNNNNNNNNNNNNNNNNNNNNNNNNNNNNNNNNNNNNNNNNNNNNNNNNNNNNNNNNNNNNNNNNNNNNNNNNNNNNNNNNNNNNNNNNNNNNNNNNNNNNNNNNNNNNNNNNNNNNNNNNNNNNNNNNNNNNNNNNNNNNNNNNNNNNNNNNNNNNNNNNNNNNNNNNNNNNNNNNNNNNNNNNNNNNNNNNNNNNNNNNNNNNNNNNNNNNNNNNNNNNNNNNNNNNNNNNGUCUCGAUGGGGUGGAUCGACGAGGUGGACGACGGCGGCCGUGGUUGGGGAAGACGGUGAUGGCAGUGGCGGCGUCAAUCCAGCUGCGUAGGAGACGAAGAUGAAGAUGGCGGUCCUCCUUGGCACAGUCUCAUCGCUUGAGGAGGCUAGUGGUCAUGGCUAUGACGACGGCGCGACGAUGGCCGAGCUCGGGCCGAAGCGAGGGUGGCGCGAGGGGGAGGAAACGAAGCUAGGGUUAGUAAGGAUGGUCGGGGUGGCCUUGUAGACGCAGGCGUCACGGGAUGGCCGCCGCUGGGCCAUCCACGGCCACGGACGUGUGCGCGGCGUCCAGCGCACUUGAUGAACAGGAGGUUGAAGGAGAGUGUUGUUGGGCUGGCCUCGGUACUAUUCAUCAUGGGCCAAAGUGCAUAGGAGACUUUCUCCUUAUUCUUUUCUUCCAACAUUUGUCUUUGUUUUGCAUUUAAUUAAAAUAACAAACGAUUUUUGUUUGAGUUGAAACUUGGCACAUAAUUACUAGGCUAUAUAUUGGAGUUGUCCACAAAGUUUCAGAUUAAUUGGGAAAGCGAAACUAAUUGUUUUAUUUUUAAGAGGACAUUUUAUUUUCUCAUGGACCACUUAUUAGAUUCUUAGGAAUUUGUUAGUGAGUCAAAUGAAGUUGGUUUCAACAUGAAAAUGACCAGGGGAAUUUUUAGAAUAAAGCGAACAUUUUAAUUUUACUGUUUGAAGAAAUAAAAAUUUCGCCUGCUAUUUAAAUUUGAAUCUAACUUUGAUUUUUGAACAAGUGACAGUUUGCAUAGUAAUCAUGAUGACAUGGUCACCAUUAGGGGGAGAUUACUGUAGCAAGAUUCUCGAGGUGUUACACGAAGAUUGAAAGGGUCGAGGUUGGGUUCUAUCUAGCAGUGGCAAUGGAGAGUACAACUGGUGUUAUUAACAAGGUGGGGAUAAAGUAUCGAUUGCUCAAUAGUCCUUGCAUUUCAAUAAAUGGUACUUACAGUCCAGGCUUGGGCCUAAUUUAUUGUCGGCUAACAUGUACGCAAUGUGCCAAUCUAUACUGGAGCAGUGUAUUCAACAACAACAACUCAUUUCAUCAAAUUGUGCACCGAUCCCUAUACAGCAGAGCGGCGGGUGAGAUUCCAGUGAGCGUCGUUGCCGAGUGCUCCUAGUCCGCAUCCGGUACUACUAGAGUUGAUUGUCAUGAGCCGGGUCCAAGAUCAUUGCACCACACAUAUCCAUCUCUUUAUUUAUUAUUUUGUUGAACGUGUUGGAUGUGUGCGUCAUGUUAUGUAGACAUCAAGCAUUCGUUUUGUACGGUUAUAUCACCUCGGUAUAUCACACUGAACGAAAAUAUCCUUUUAUCGUUAAAAAAAUGUAUAUCCAGCGACAUGAUUUGCCCCAUCUACUGCCUUGGAUACCUUUGGCUGUUGAGGCAGUAAAUGAACCAAUCAAUGUGUGCACGGCGUGUGAAUUCUAACAUGGCAAUAGGUACCCGCGAACCCCGCGGGUAAACACCCUAUUAGAGUAAGGGUUUGAAACAAAUAAAUACCCAUGAGUUUAUGAAUUAGAAAAAUUGUACCCAUCGGGUAAGCCGGGUAUAGGUACGGGAAUGCAAUACUCAUACCCGUGCACCCGCGUACCCAUACUAAUUUCUUCUAAUAGGAGGCUCCAUGUGUCAUUCACUAAAGGAACCUAGCCAUUGUACCCUAGGCUAACGCAACCGCUAACCUCGACCCAAAAGUCUCUCCCCUUACGUAUGUGCAUGUUGUUUAAAUGUGUCGAUCUUGUUUCGUGAACUCGUGGUUUUGUUUAUCUUAUUAUAUAGUCUCUUUCGGUUGAUUAUUUCGAAGUAGGGGCUGCAAAAGUACCUUCAAUAAAAGAAAAUUAGAGAAAAUUGUGCCUGUCUUGUUUUUGUAACUGAAAGAAAAGAAUAGAUGUGAGUGUGUCUCUAAAAGUUCACGCACAGGCUACCCACCCAUGUAUAUAACUGGACAUUGUUUAGUGCCAUCUAUUUCGUGCUUAUUGCUAUGCAUUUCUGAAAAUUAAUAUCAUUCUUUUUAUUCCGUCACACAACAAGUCAUCAUCUAUAUGUGCUCAAAUGCUAAAAUGUGGUAUAUAUGUACUGAAAUGUUGAAGUAUAAAUGUUGAAAUGUUGUGUACAUAUGUGUAAAUGUUGAAAAAUACAUGAUGAAUUGUGAAUUGGGUACGGUGACCGAGGUGGGUAUUUUUACCCGCGAGUAUUACCUGCACCCGUCCGGGUGCGGGUAUGGGAACAGUUUGAAACCCGAGGUGCGGGUACGGAUACGGGUAUGGGCAAAAAAGAAUAAGACGGUACGGGUUUGGGCGACCAUUACCCGCAUCUGAACCCGGCGGGUGCCAUGUUGGAAUGCUCUGAUGACACUGCUCGUCAAGUCAAGUCAAGAUAACUACUCCCUCUCUUCCAUAUACUACACUAGUGUUAAAAGAUGUCUUACAUCAUGGGAUGAAGGGAAUAGUAUAUUCUUUUUAAACGUGGCUGAACUUUCAAACAAAUGUCUCUCGGUAGUUAAUUGGAGGUCAGAACUGAAAUAUCUUGUCAUUUUACAGUCCUUGUUUUAGUUCACAGAUUUAUAUUGUAAAUAGGCUUGUAUUGUUCAAAAGGCAGGUGGUAUUUUGGCCAAGUGAAAUGGUAUAGCGCAAAUGAUUGCCUGAAGAGAUGCCCCAUGGCUGCCCAUGGCGGCCGACCGCUCGUUGAUCAUCAUGAGCCAGGGUCUCAAAUCAUUGCAUACCUCAUCAAUUUCUCUAUACAUCGACAUGAUUUAACGUGGCUAGUACCACGGGUAACCGGUUAUAAGGACAUCUCCAACAGCAACCCGCAAAUUUUCUCCCGCAUCCGUCCACGGAUAGGGGUGACCAAUUCGUGGACACAGAUGCGGGAAGCAGUUAUUCAACCGUAGCCGCAUACAUUUUCACAACAAUUUAAACCAACCAGACAAAAUUCGUUCAAACAAGUCCGGAUUUCAUAUAAACACGACGGAUUUCAGUACAAAUACGUCAAAGCAGUGCUAGGCGGGCUCUGAAGUAUAAUUAAUACCUAAUCAAAAUGAUCGCCGGUGUCCGAUCCCCGUGUCCGGCCAUCGGCCCCGAGAAUUGAAGCUACACCAUCUCCAGUUCCGCCUCGAUGCUCUCCAACUCCGCCUCCAUAACCUCCGCUUCCGAAGCCCCAGGAACUGAAGUUGUUCGCCUCCACGUCGCCGCCAAGCGGCUAACCGACCGAAGAUGCUCAGCCCACCAAGCUUGGCGUCGACGGGAGGGGACGAGCAGUGGCCUUCCUGGGACACGAGUGGUAGCGACCUCCCGUGCACUACUAUUCCUCACUGUCGGCAGCGCCCACGGACGUGUCGGCUUCUUCGUGGUCGUGGCGCCGAGGGCGCGGCCUCAUGUCGUCGGUCUCGCCGAAAAACGCCUCACCCGCCUCCUCGCCGCACUCCUUGCCGGCGGCAUCCACCUUCGACACCCGCUGUCGGUACCGCCAGCGGGCGAGGCGAAUCUCGCGGGCGGAGCGGUAGGACUCGAGCAGCACCUCCUGCUCCACCAAAUCCGCGUCUGGCGCGACCGCCCUGCCGGCGGCGACCUGCUCCUCAGCCUACGGAUGCUCCUGGAGGAGGUUGUGGUUGUAGUUGGCGUCGGCCUGCGCCUCCCGGAACUGGUCCCCCUACUCUUCCUCACCAUGUCCAUAUAAUGGGCACGAGCCUAGCGAUGGUCAUGAUGCAAUGCACCGGCGAGGAUGGAGCGGAGGAGCAGGGUGUCAUGGAGGAAGAGGGUGGCAUUGGCUCGUCGUCAAAGGCGUCCUCUAUUUGCACGUCAUUGUCGGAGGCGUCCUUCGGCUGCCUACCAGCCUGCCAGUCGGCAGCAAUGGUGGCCAUGGCCUUCUUCUGCUUCGACGUCAGCCGUCCUAUAGAGCUUUGACGACGGAGGGGUCCAUGGGGGGAGUGGUGCGGAAAGGGAUGACUGUGGCUAUGGCAGGGCACCGGGCAGCGAUUUAUAUAGCACCGGUGGGCGGUAGAGGGACGGAGGGGUGAUGUCGGAGGACACACCUCGGCAACCGUGCGCCAUCAGUGUGGACGGCAGACGGAUGGAUGGGCAUCAUGUUGUUUGAACGCGCGGCAAUCGCCUGCACCAGGGAGCGGCGCGGGCGACGCUCUCUCGGCCGAUGCGCCGCUUCAAUGCCGCUCCAGUAAGCGGUCGCGUCCGCUCUAGCUGGGCAUGAAUGCGGGCGCUGACUCUCUCGAGCGGCGCUAACCGAAAACGCGUGAGAGGGGGAGGGGUUUUUGAUGGGUCAUGGCGGUCAGAAGCGGGCUUGGGAUCGGUCCGGACUCCCGCAAACCUCUGUCAGUUUUGUCUCCGGUUUGCGGGAGAAAUCACGUCCGAACCACAGCACGGACUGAUACAGGACCGCGCGAUCUGGAUGGUUGCGGGAGGUUUGUGGGUCGGCGUUGGAGAUGCCCUAAUGUUAGAGCAUUUACGUCCGCAAAUAGCUAAUGUGACCUUCUGUACGCCUGCGGACACGUCCGUGAACAGUGCUAGGGAGGUCCCAUCUGGCCCUACCCACAACCACACUUCCAAAUCUUAAUAUCCAUGAAAAUCCAUGCACGGCGAUCAUAUAACGCAAAUUCAUUAUAUAUUUAACGAUAAAAACAUAGUGUAGCCCGAAUAAAUUCAGUACAUGCCAAAAUAAAAUUUAAUACUUCAUGCAUAGAUAGGUAGAUAGGUGAUACAUGAAUGAAUCAAUGACUUUAGUUGUCACGGGCAUUGAUACUCUUCUUUAUGCGGAGCAACCACUUCUUCCCUUCCUCAUCCAAGAGGUUGAUGUCUUGCAACAUGAUUCUCGACUCUUCCGUCUCUCUUGCAAGCCGCAACUUCUCUUUCUCGAGCUCAAUACUAAGCAUUAUCACCAUUUGCUUAGGUUCCCACGUUGCAACCUUCUCUUGCCUCUCCAUUUUUGCUUUGUUCUUCUUCAACAUCAACUUUUCUCGGCCGAACUUCAUCUUCUCCCUUUACACAUCAAUGAACAUCUUGUACCUUUCCUCCUUCACCUCUUUAGCAUAAAAACUGCCGGUCCAAGUGGCGGACAUUUUGCUUGCCGCGCCUUCACGCACCACCCUCUCUUUCUCCCACUUGUUCCCCAUCACUUGCCAGUUUCUUGUUGGCGCGGUUGACUGCAAGUCCGCUCUCCUUCCUCAUCCAAUCCAAUUGAUUGACCCGAGCUUGACCCAUUGUUUUUCUUCAUCUUCUUCGUGCCCUUUUCAAUCUCUUUGAGCAUGGUUUGCCACUUGGUUUCCCAUUCAACUUCAACCAACAAUGAGAAAAAAUAAAUGUCUUCUUCUCUGUUUGAUGGUACAAAGUCGCCGCAAAGUUGCAUGGGUUUGGACUCUGAUGCCGCUUUGGUUCCGGCCUACAACUUGUUUGAGAUAACCAACAAAUUUGCUAACGGGAUGCCCGAUGGUAUGUGUAAUAAAAGAAUCUAUGAAUGCAAUUGGAAAGAGGCAAAAAAAUUAUACCGGGUCUUGGUCGGGCAUUCCGUCGAAUACCAAGCCGACGAAGCCGGAUGCAUUUGGAGCACCGCCGAGUGAGCCAUCAUGUCCGCGUCGGGGACGGCUUGUGAAAAGCUCAAAUCCAGGAUGCUAGUCCACUAGGAGGGAAAACGGAGUCGAGCUCCGGCGACAAAUUGUUUGUCUCCACGACCACGACGGAGGGAUUGGCUUGCGUCACGUCCAUGUCCUCGGCAGCGGUCAACAAGGCCGCAUCUGCAGCUGCCUUCUCUGCCGCCUCAUACCCACGCUACCACCGACGGUGCUCCUUCCGAGCAAGGUUCUCUACCUUACAAGGAUCUGCCACCAAGCCGGGGAGCCUGACUAAUUCCGUGGCCAUGGUGACAGACAAGAUCGUUGCAAUGACAUCAACGAAGGUGGACGAAAUGGAGGAGGGAGGCGGGACGAGUUCGUCCGAUGCGGGGUACUAGUCAAUUUUUAGAGGAAUUGUGAUGGGUCCGACUUGACAGAGCUUACGUGGCUGGCUGGCUGGCCCGGGCACAUCCGGGCGUCUCGAUCUCCGUCCCAGAUUUGGGCCGGAUAUGAGGAGUGUCGGUCAGUCUGGGCAUUUGGGCCAAAAAUUGAAGCCCGGUUGGGUCACGUUCUUUUGUCGGGGCAUUGAUCGGAUAGCCCGCCUGGGUGUUUGGGUGGGUAUGGGGGGUCCAACUAUAGAUACUCUUAGGGCAUCUCUGAUAGGAUCCAUCGAAACGCCCCACCCCUUUCUCUCCCAUGGGAGAUUAGAGCAUCUCUAGCUGAUCCCUUAAAGGUCCGACGAACUACACUCUUCCGGCCGAUUUACGGGACAGCCCAAAAAUCCGGCCCGAGAAGAUAAUGCAAAAUGGUCUGGACCGUAAAAAGUUUACGGGAGGCCUGUAAACCGCCCUCGCUUCCGGUAUAUAUGUCGGCGCCCAGACGAUUUAGGNNNNNNNNNNNNNNNNNNNNNNNNNNNNNNNNNNNNNNNNNNNNNNNNNNNNNNNNNNNNNNNNNNNNNNNNNNNNNNNNNNNNNNNNNNNNNNNNNNNNNNNNNNNNNNNNNNNNNNNNNNNNNNNNNNNNNNNNNNNNNNNNNNNNNNNNNNNNNNNNNNNNNNNNNNNNNNNNNNNNNNNNNNNNNNNNNNNNNNNNNNNNNNNNNNNNNNNNNNNNNAGGGGUUUCGGCGACUGCAGGGGCUUCGGCUGCCGCGGUGGAGGCGACGGCCGCGGCGGCGUCGUCGCCCGCAAGCGCAGGAAUGACAACGAGGCAGGCGGCUCCGGCCUCCGCCCUGUCGUGUCGGACAGGCAGAGGAAGGCGGCGCGCAAGUGCGGCGCCAAGUCCCGCAGCGCCGACGCUCCGACUUGGGCCAGCUUCCGUCGCCUCGAUGACAUCUUCGAUCCAGCACUGCAGCGUUGUAGGGAGGCGGAGGUCGCAUGGUUCAACGCGAAGGAGGCCGCCGCAGCCGGAGAUGUAGAUGCGGCCGCGCGCGUGCCAGCGCUCCUGGAGGAGUUCCAGUUGCAGGCGACCAUCUGCUCCAUGCUGAUCUACAACACUCUGCACGGCAACGAGCCUCCGCCCAAUCACGGUAGCGACAGCAACUCCGACGAGGACUCAGGCGACGAGUAGAUCUUUAAGCUAUGGGUUUGUACUAAAAAACCCCUAUGCUAUGCGUGCGAACUCCCGUAUGCUAUGCUAUGCUAUGUUGGUGUGGUGAACUCCGGCGACAUGUUUUUAGCGCAAAGUAGUUCGUUUAAAUUUGUAUCCUAUGCGGGAUCUAUUCUUGCAGCGCGCCCGGCGUCCUAAAUAAUCGUUUUUUUAGAAAAGGAGGAGGACCCCUGGUCUGUGCAUCUGGACGAUGCAUACGGCCACUUUAUUAAUUAUUCUUACAAGACCUUACAAAGCCAUACAACAAUAAGACUAAAGCCACCGUCUAAACAACAACUGUCGCUACACCUAUCCAAUUGAUGAAGGGGCGCUGAUAGCCUGGGCCUAAUACCAAACAGACAUCGCAGCCAGACCUAACAUCUAAGACCUGAGGUCCCAACCAGGACGCCUGCCGGGUAUGGGCACCCAUCAGUUCGGCGUGCUCCUCAACCAGGAAGCCUGCCGGGUAUGAAGCCGCCGCAACCACUUGCCACCAAUCCAUCUUCAGAGUUGUAUUGUUGCAUCAACCUUGCCCGGUCUAGCUGCCACCACGACGCCAGACAGUGUCAACCUCCUGUGCGUGUCCAUCACCACACAUCUGACGCCAAGCCUCCGCUACUCCAUGCCGCCAAGAGCCGCCAUGAAUAUGUAGAACGAAACACCGCUCCACCGAAGAAGCCAUCCGUUGGUCCCUCGAGCCCGCGUGCAUCUCCAAGAAUGCCGCCCCCAAGGGGGUAACGACACAUGAAUGCCGCCGUCAUCCUAUCAAUUGAUCUAGGGUUUUCCCCGGAGGUAUUGGGUGGGUUUGGGAUUUGUACCUCGAUGAUGCCUUCAUGAAGGAAACGAUGAUAAGGGCAUCGUCAUCACCGGCUCCGUCCAACGACCGAAAACUAGGCUUUCACCCGGAUCCGUCCCAAGGAAUCCACCCGACAACCUGUGCACCGUCUCGACCGCCUUCAAAGCCCCAGAUCUAGCUACCUAGAUCCGGCGACCAACCGCAACAGCAGUGCCACCGUAGGAGUCCUGGCGCACCUGCCACUGCCAGAGUGUGCCUCCAGUGGAGCCUGGGAGGAGGGCUCCCACCCCCACCUCGCCAAACCGCGAGAGCCGCAGAGAUGGAUCCCGCGCGCUCGUCACCGUCUCUGAUCCGAACCAAUCUGCAAACAGAUCACCGUCACAGAUCCGCCUUGGACAGGGACUGCACCACGCCAUGUCGUCGCGGGAAGCCCGAGCUUCACCCGCCACCACCAUCCAGGGCCGCCGCCCCGGGAUCCAGACAGAACAUCGCCGCUGCCACCGGCCUUGUUCCGCCGCCGCCCACCGGCCACUGCGACCUCCGCCGCCAUGCCGCCGACAGAUCUGGGCGAGGAUAUCCAUCCUUCCCGAGGGCACACGUCGCAGCCUCUUCUCGACAUACCUCCGGUCGCACGGGAAGCCAUUGUGGCCGCGUGCCCACCCCUCGCCGGAUGCCGCGCACGUGCCGCCCCGCCGGCGGCGAAGGCCGCCGCCACGAGGAGACCCGCACGCAGCCGNNNNNNNNNNNNNNNNNNNNNNNNNNNNNNNNNNNNNNNNNNNNNNNNNNNNNNNNNNNNNNNNNNNNNNNNNNNNNNNNNNNNNNNNNNNNNNNNNNNNNNNNNNNNNNNNNNNNNNNNNNNNNNNNNNNNNNNNNNNNNNNNNNNNNNNNNNNNNNNNNNNNNNNNNNNNNNNNNNNNNNNNNNNNNNNNNNNNNNNNNNNNNNNNNNNNNNNNNNNNNNNNNNNNNNNNNNNNNNNNNNNNNNNNNNNNNNNNNNNNNNNNNNNNNNNNNNNNNNNNNNNNNNCGCCCCCGCAUGCCAUGGACGCGAGGAGGGGAGAAGGCCCCCGCCGCCAGCCACCGCGGGGGGGUUUGCCCCGGCAGCUCUGGCCGGCGGCGGCGGGGAAGGGGAGGAGGGGGAGGGCGAGCGGCAGGAGGUGGCGGCGCCGCCCGAGUCGCCCGCGGGAGGGGCGACGCGGGGGCUAGGGUUAUCAGUCAAAGGGGCGGUCGCACGGGAAGCCCUCCUGAAUAAUCGUUUACGGGAUACCAUAAACGAUUUUUCCGGGACGGCGACUUGCAGGAUCUGCUAGAGAUGAUCUUAUCAGAUACACCGCAAUAUUUGGUAUUGUUGAUGCACCCGAUUUAGUUUAGCUAAUUUAUAAAUGUUAGAAAAUACGCUAAAAUUUACUAGGCGUCAAGCCUGGUAAGCUGUGCAAAAAAACAUCAUAGAAAAUAUGCUAAAAUUUAACACAUUCACACAAUAUAUAUGAAUCUAUGUUGUCACAAGAAAAUUCAGAUCAAAAUUGAAACAUAGUUUGAGAUACUCAGAUCGAGCAAACUAGUACUAGCGGGGAUUGGGUUGUGCACCACAAGCAUCAGUGCAGUAGAUACACCCCCUGGGAAAUUUGCGUUGUGCGCCACAAGCAUCAGAGCAAACAUGGUAAAUAAAUUUGUACUAGUAUUGUUCAAGAAGCAAUUACUUUGGCCAAGUGGAAUGGUAUAGCGCAAAUGAUUGUCACAAGAGGUGCCCAUGGCAGCCCCAACCGCUCAUUGUCAUUGAUCAUCAUGAAUUCAUGAGCCAGGGUCCCAGAUCAUUGCAAACCCCAUCAAUUUCUCUAUCCACCGACAGGAUUUGUCGCGUACUAUACCUCGGGUACCUUUGGGCUAUUGAGGCAGCAAAUGCAACUGGCUACAAUGUUCAUCACAGUGCGUGUGAACGCCCUUGACGACACUGUUCGUCAAGUCAAGUCAAGAUUUACAUCAGUGUGUGGCCCGUGAGGGCAUCAGGCCAUCUUGAAACCUGUUCGGCUCGUGCACUGAACCCCACCGAUUACAGAGGCGCGCCCUAUUCCUUUGAACCGAUUCAACACUCGUACAUCCUCCUCUGGCUCUCGCAGACGAGAAGAAUGAGUGCGUCCUCGUCACCACCCUCACCCAGCUCAGCUAGCCUCCACCAGUUCGACUAGAAACCACCCAACCGCCUGGCGCAAGGAGGGAAGGAGCCAUGGCCGAGCUCGCGACGGGCGCCGUGAGCUCGCUGCUGGUCGUCAUCCGCAGCGAGGCGCUGCUGCUGCGCCGCGUCCGGGACGACGUGCAGUUCAUCAAGGAGGAGAUGGAGAGCAUGAAGAGCUUCCUGACGCACCUGGCCAGGUGGGCGCCCCCUGGCGGCGAGCACGACGAGCAGGUGCGCACCUGGAUGAACCAGGUGCGGCUGCUCGCCCAGGACUGCAACAACUCCAUCGGCCUCUACCUCUACAGGGGGAACCCUGACAUCCACCGCGCCAGAGGCGGGCUUCGAGGCUACCUCUGGUGGGCGACCUGGUUCUUCCACAAGUUGGCCGCGCAGCACCGCGCGGCUGAGGAGCUGCGUCUGCUCAAGGAGCGGGCGCGUGACGUCGGCGAGCGGCGGUUGAGGUAUGGCGUGGAGGUCCCGGACAAGUCAGGGAAGGGGCCAUCGCCUCCGACGGCAUCAUCGUUGUCGCGGGCUGCUGCUGCUGGGGACAACGAAGAAGAAGAAGAAGAAGAAGAAGAAGAAGAAGAAGAAGAUGAUGAUGAGGAUCAACUCGUGGGGGUGAGGACGAUGGCUGCCCGUGGUCAUUCUGCUCGAAUAGCCUUCAUUGAGCCUCGCACUCUGGACGACUACGUUAGGGAGAAGCUAUGGGAGUGGUCAGAAGGAAUUCCUAUGAACGACAGCGAAAGUUUGUCAAUGGUCGUGCUGACAACCUACACAUAUCAAUACCUCCUCGCCCUUGUACAAGAAUUAUGGAUUUUGAGACAAAACCCAAAGGGCUUCGGCUACCAUCGCAGGGUCGUGGUUGACAUCCCGGCCGUGCACCACGAUUUUGCGCCCCUACGGCCCAAGGAAGUUCUCUUCUACAUUCUGCGCGAGCUCAAGCAUGCCAAAUCCAACCCCCAGGAGCAAGGCACAGAAGGCCAAGAGGAUCUUGACCCUUGGGAAGUUUACCUGAGAAGAUGGCAAAUUUACCGUCAAAAGAAGAGGGGUAUUGCUCUUCUUAAGAUCAAGGAUAAUAUCAAAGAAAUGAAGAUUAAUGAAAAGCUUGAGAAAAUCAAGAGUGACAUUCAAGGUCGACUAGAGAAGGGUGACGGACUACCCAAGGGCAACAAGCUGCAGGGUGAUUUUGACCAGCUGGACCUAGACGUACUACUUCAGCUGCUGCUCCAGGCAGCAUGUCAACAAGAUCAAAAAGGGAAGAACAAAGACAUGCAUAGAUUACCAGCGUGGGAAAACAACAACAGCAUCGCCAAGAAGCUUAAGGAGCAUAUGGAAGCAAAGGAAAAGGAGAAGAAGCUUGAAGAGGAAGAAGCAGCCAAACAUAUGGAGGCAGAGGAAAAGGAGAAGAAGCUUGAAGAGGAAGAAGCAGCCGAGCAUAUUGAGGGGGAAGGAGGAGGAGGAGCAGUAACAUGCAAACAUAUGGAAGAGGGUGAAAUAGAAGUAGCCACACAUAGGGAGGAGGAUAUCGGGGAGGGGAAAGGAGAAGUAACCAUACAUAGGGAGGAAGAGGAAGGAGGAGAAACAACUGAGCAUAUGGAGGGGGAAGAAGUAGCCAUACAUAUGGAGGAGGAGGAGGAAGAAGAGGAGGAAGAAGAAGAAGAAGAAGAAAGUCAGCAGACGACAUGGAUUCAGCUCGAUGAGGCACAAUAUGCACACAUCCUGCGGAAGCUGUUCCCCAAGAGCAGCACCAGUAGUAGCAAGCCCCUGCAGGCUCAAGACAGAUUCUUGGACAAGCAAGCUACAAAGACCACAACGGCUAUACUGGGUGAGGAUCAAAUCAAAAAACUCAUCCACGACGCAAAGGAAGACAUCUUACAUGAGCUGCAGCAAGGCAAAUAUGACAAGGGUGAAGGGACAGGUGAACCUGGUGCUCCGGAUCAUAACUCAGAAACUGUUUCUGAAAAAAUAUUUGCCUGUUUCGUGGAUCAGAUGAUAGAAAAAAUGAAGCACGAGUUCAAAGAGCAGCUCAAGAUCAAAGGACUCGUGGACAAGAUUAAAAACAACUUGAAUUAUCUUCCGGACAGGAAUAUGUAUGAAUGCCCCCUGUUUAUCAUCAAAGUUGAUGAGCUGAUGGAUGUUUCCGCAUGGGAGGAUACCAGAAAUGCUUUGAGCCUCUUAAACUGCAGCGCCGAUUUAAUGAUCGUCACCACCACAAAGGACAUCCAGCUGGCUAAAGAAUACUGCUAUCCACCACGAGAACCUAUAGACUAUUCUCUUGCUGGUCUCUACCAUGAUACAGUGCUCAAGCUUACUGGUCAGCAGAAGAAUGAAGACAGCUACAACCCCCAAAUUUUUCAUGAUAUCUUGUAUGAGUGUGAGCCACAUGAAUUCUGCAUGAAGGUCUUCACUCAUGCUUUGUAUGCUAACCCCAAGAGGAGCAGUGAGGAGUUACACAAGCUGCACGGCACCUUGGAGGCUUUACCAACAACAUCAUUCAACAGCAUUGCUAAGGUGAUGGUCAAGUUCUCUUACAAUGACCUGCCUCCUGCUUGCUGUACCUAGCUAUCUUCUCUCCCGGACAAAAGAUCAGGCGGUCAACCUUGAUUGCACGCUGGGUUGCAGAAGGGCUGACAUCCAAGGAAGAUUGGCCCAGUUCUGUGCGUCAGGCCAACCGAUGUUUUGACACACUUGUUGGCCGGUGCCUUGUUGAUCCUGCUGAUAUUGAUGCCAUGGGAAAAGUAAAGAGCUGCGUCGUAAGUGAUUCAGUUCAUGGAUUCAUUACCACCAUCGCCAGAAAACAACACAUUGUGGAGACACGCCUGUCACAUCACUUGGCUCGCCACUUCUCCAUUUUCAAUGAUCUCCAACUCCGCAGCUCUGAUAGAAUUGAUCAAUUCUUCCAUGGGCUCUCUAAAUCAUCUCAAGUAUCCCUGCUCAAGGUGCUAGAUCUAGAAGGUUGUCGGUGCUUUCUUGAGAAGAACCAUCGGUACCUCAAGGAAAUCUGCAGCAAGAUGUUACUGCUCAAGUAUCUGAGCCUAAGGAGAACAGAUAUUACCCAGCUACCUAGUGAAAUCAACAACCUCCGUGAGCUAGAGGUACUGGAUAUCCGAGAAACUAAUGUGCCUCCACAUGCAACAGCACAUAUCCUGCUAUUGAAGCUGAAGCGUCUGCUUGCUGGUCACAUUGAUCCAAGUAAUUUUGAAUCUAAUCCCCAGAUUCCUCAUAGGAUCGACAAAAUGGUAAACAUGGAGGUACUAUACAAUGUCAAGGCCAAGCAGAGUCAUGACUUAAAAGAUAUUGGAAGGCUAUGGCAGCUGAGGAAGCUAGGUGUGGUUAUCGAUGAUAAGGAUAAUCACCUAAGGAAUUUGCUUAAGGCGAUCAGUGACCUACAUGAGUGUCUCUGUUCUCUGUCAAUCACUAUUCCUGUAGCCGGACCACAUGAGGCAGAGUUACCAGAAGUCAAUGUAUCUUACCUAAAAAAACAUCCCAAGAUUCUUGAGUCUCUAAGCAUCAAGGGAACCACACAGAAGGGGCGUCUUCUUCCAUUGUUCAUAAAAGGCGAUAACAACAAACUUGCCAAGAUAACUCUAUGUCACACUCUGCUGAGCCAAGAUGAUCUGGAAGUCCUUGCCAAGCUGCCCAAGUUACGGUGUGUCAGGCUCCAACAUAUUCUAUGCACCGAGCACAAGCUGAACUUCAAGAAAGGUGAAUUCGGAUGCCUCAAGUACCUUCUUGUUGAGGACUCAGACUUGACUAAUAUCACUUUUGAGGAUGAGGCAGCCAGUGAGCUCGAGAAGAUGGUUUUGUCUAUCACCAGCAAAUGUUCUAUUUCAGGAGUUGACUGCCUUCUUAACUUGAAAGAGCUUGAGUUGAACAGCAGCUUCUGCGGCAGUUUGCUUGACGAUGCCAAACAGAUAUCCAAGCUAACUCUUCGUGGUACAUUGCUAGAGCAAGAUGCUCUUCAAACACUCGCCAAGAAACCAAAUAUACGCUCUCUGCUGCUCCGGGACAAGUCUUUUCGUGGAAGUCAAAACAAGAUUACAUUGAAAAAAGAUGAGUUCUUGUGGCUCAACCUUCUUGCUGUUGACUGCUCGGCCAUCACAAAGAUAGUCUUCACCAGAGGAUCUGCUCCUAGGCUCGAGAAGAUUGUCUGGUCAUCUUCCACAUCUCUCUCCGGCAUCAACAAACUUCCCAGAUUGAAGGAGCUCGAGUUCAACCUCAACGGUGUCGGUGACCAAGUCCCUGUUGAGAUGAGGGAGGCCAUUAAAAACCAUAAAAACAAGCCUAGUCUUAAACUUAAUGGGCCAGAAACUCAAGACAAAGCAAAAGGAGAUGAACAAGAGGAUGACGAUGAUGCUGCAACAUCCUCUUUCUGCUGGAAGAAACAGGUCUGACGCUGGAAGGGCCUCUCCGUUGAUCCCAUGGUGUGGUUUGCGUGUGCUAGUGUGGAUUGCACUCUGUUCUGCUUGCCUGUUGAUUUCAUUCUGCUGUGUGUUUAUGUUCUGCGUGCAUUACAACUGAAGUAUGUCCGUUUACUUGCUCUACAUGAGUGCCCUAGUGGCUCCGAUUGAGCAUAAACGGUUGUAUCUAUGCUUGGAUUUAAAUUCGUGUGGCUUUCCUCUGUAUCGAACAUCAUUUGCUUUUGUGUACAGUAUCAUGUAAUAAAGUGUGAAGUUUGUGCACACAUUUGACUUCUUAUUAAUGUACAGCGUGAUAUCACUAUGCUUUGGUUGGGUUUCUGCAACUCAAAGAUGAACUGGUGUGGUGUGUGUCAUGAUAUAGUUACCUGUAAUGUAGGCAUCCGUUUCUGCAAACCAGCUGAGCAGUUCUUGCAGUAAUGCCUGAUGAUGUACUUGAAGCAGAACUUUGUGCAGAUUAGGCAUGUGUAUGAUCCACAAUCUGUCUGCAGCUCCUGAUUGCCAGGCAAGCACUAGCGCCACAGGAAGAAUGGAAACUGUUUUCAGCUGUAUGUUGGCGUGCAUUUGGUUGGUAGCUCGCGUAGUUUCUCCCAUUGUUUGCUGGUGGAGAAGCCAGUAUAGUUCAUGAUAUAAAACUCAGUCAGACAGGGCACCUCGUCACCCAAUUUUCACCCCUUGGAUCAGAACCUGACGGUGGAACUACACAGUGAGAAGUGAUCCGUUAGGCUGUGACGUAUUAUCUAUGGUAGUCAUCUAUCCGAAAAUCCAUCUACCACAAUUCAUUCAGAAAAAGAACUUGUAUAAAGAUCUACAUGGGUGCAGAGGAGCAUCAGACCUUCAGAAAAGUUCAGACACUUGCAUAACAAUCUUCACUUCCUAAUGCAAGAAAUCGAAUCGAAGCAUAAGACCUGCAGAGACAGAAGCACGCCUAUUAUUGAGGCAUCGAGGAGGAAAAUCAGCAAGAAAAUGUAGUCUCUGCUGCUCUAAUUCCUCUUUCAGAUAAACAGAUCGGAAGGGGUUGGAGGAGGCGCAGCGCCCCCGCCUUACCUCGAAUCCGUGAACGACGACGAGCCGCAAAACACGACACUGACGACGGCUUUGUCCUUCCGCUUCGUUGGCACUGGGUGAUCUUUUCGGUUGGCCGCGACGGAGGAGGCCACGGCGAGGGUCCAGCCGCCGACCCUGGAAGAGGAAGACGGAGAAGAGAGUGUGGGGAUGCGGAUGUGACGGCCCACGUGUCAGCCACUGUAAAGUCACCUGACUUAAGUUAGAUGAGGCAUGGAAGUGCAUUCUCCUUUAUUGGUGAAACUUAAUUUUUCUACACAAAUUACACAAAUUCACUUUUUUGGGAAUAAUUCACCUUUUCUGUUUAGCCCUAAACAAAAUUUUGGCAUGAUCUAGUCUCAUAAACUAUUUUAGUUGGCCCAUGUUUCAAAAAGAAAAAAAAACUAUUUUAGUUGGCCUGAUCUACCCAUAUAUCUUUAUCUUUAUCUUUACCUAAUAUUAAAGGGAGGAGUGUUUCUUCAUUUUUUUCAUCUUAUAAGUCUUUGUACGUUUUAUCUCAUGCACAACCAUUUAGCCAAGCCAAUGCCUUUGCUAAAAAAGCCGAAGUUCCCUUAUUAUUGAGGCCGAAGGUAGAUCGCCUCGCUACAGGCUGCUUAGGCCGGCCCAUUUGAAAGGAUGACGUCCCACAUAAUUUUAUACUUUUGUUUGUAAGUUUUCCGUUUGUAUUUUUUAUCUUGCGUUUUUUUUCAUUUUCCUUUUUUCCUAUUUAGGUUUUUAUAGUAUUUGUCACACUUUAAAAAAAAUCAUGUAUUAUAAAAAUGUUAAACAUGUAUACAAGUAUGUACAAUGUGUAUUACAAAAUGUAGACAUGUGUUCAAAAAACAUAGACAUCAAACACUUAUUUAAAGAAUGUAAUUAUCUAUUUGAAAAAUAUUAAACACUUAUAAAGAAAUGUUCCUGAUAUAUACAAACAAAUGUAAAAUGUGUAAGAAAAAACAUAGACAGUAAAACCUAUAUUAAAAUAAUGUUAACCAUGUCUUUCAGAAAUGUUGAACAUAUGCAAUGAAAAUGUCCGUUAUGUAUAAGAAAAAUGUACAUUAUGCGUGAAAAAAGUAGAUAAGUGUUGAAAAAAGAAAAAAAUGAAAAAAAGAUGAAAACCUGAAAGGAAAAAAGUAAAGGAAAUCAUACAUAAACAAAGGAAAAAAACACUGAAAAUGAAAGAAUAAAAUAGAAAAAAGGAAAGCCAAAAAACUUAAGAAAAGCCAGGCUGCAGGCAAUGGGAAAAAACUGAAAAAAUAAAAAAAUGUACAGUAUUGGGCCAGCCCACUAUUUCCUACACGUAGACGAUUCAUAGGAAUCACUAAGAAGAGAAAUAACCAUCACUGGUCUUAUUGUGGAAGAGAGUUUUCUUUUAAAAAAGUUGUUCGCUCCACAAGCCCACUGAAUUGUUUUGCCGUUCCGUAGUACAUUACUUGACUUUUCUUCGUCAAGCUGCAUGUCCCUAUUCUCGAUGUGUUUUGACUUUUGACGAUCAAAGCGUUCGACAUCCAAACUGGUCUUGCUCUCACAUACAAAAUAAGCCUACAAAUCAGAAGAAAAAUCUAUUAAUUUUUUUAGGAGAAAAGUAAUUCCAGGCAAGGGAGAAAACCAACUCUAUGCCCAAGAGUUCAUGGAGCACAUGUCAGAUCCCCAUCAUCCAUCUCCGAUAUGUCCUUGCCUUCAUGACUUGCACCAUCGCGGACAUCUCAUGUGCGUGCGAUGUGAUCAGACACCACCCAUAUCGGAUUGAUUGCUAAUUAGUACCGCGUCCGAAGACAUCUUCUAAGGAAGGCAUAUAUAUAUGCACUGUAAUUUUACGUUUUGUAAGUUUUGUCUUAUUUUAGACAUAAAAAAAGAACGUAAGAAAACCUAUACUCGUCGUAAAAAUAUUUUAUGUUACAUAAAAUAAAAAAUGUAAAAACAUAGUGUAAGAUGUAGAUAAAAAAUUUUGACCUAUAUUUUUUUUGUUAUGCCAAAUUUUAUGCAGUAAAUCAAUAUGAAUGUAACUAUUUGUAUUUCAAAUAUAAUUUAUAUUUAUGAAAUGAUCGUAAGAUUACCUCGGGUGAAGAAUAACUUAUUCUGCACCCUGGGUGAUGAAUAGUAACAUCUCGGUGUGCCAUCAAUAUUGAUGCUAUCGUGUACCUCCCGCCAGAUGUCCAAAUACAGGCAGAUGCGCUAAUUAUCGUGACCCUUUUUAUUUUCCGAUGAAAGUUCUCAUUGAUAAUCUAGACGUAUGAAAUCGUCCAGGAGCCGUGUCCAAGGCGAUAGCAUUAGAUAGGCGGAUGUGAACGUGUACAAGGUGUGUGCAUGGCUGCAUGUAAACGACAUAGCAUCACAUCUUCAUCAACUACCGCGUCAACUAGCCGACUCCCGCAUCAAUGCACUUUGUCUUGGGCGCCAUCAGGCAGGAGCCCACCUCAUUUACCCCACUACCAUUGCUGGGUGGCAUCGUCCAGAGGCUGGUAUCUCGCACUGGUGAAUAUUCUGAUGAACAUGAUAAUUUUAUCUCCCGUUGCAACGCACGGGCAUAUGUGCUAGUAGGAUUCUUAAAUGAUAAAUGCCCACACGUGUGUCACUUAUCAACACGCCCACACGCACUCGAUGCCGUUCGAUUCAUUUGCAUGAAUUUUGAAGCAGUUGUCAUCUCGGUCGAGACCCACGUAAGCAUCCAGCAUCGUGUGGGCAUUAUCACUUAGUGCCACACAUAUGGGUGCUCCUCAUCCGAACGGACACAGGAUGCUCGCCCGAUCGUGUGGGCGAAACUGCUCUUCGCCCGCACGACGCUCACACAGUGAUAGAUGGCAACUACAGGUGUGCAUAUGUGGCAACUAGUUAAUCACACACUGGCAAUUAUGGUUGACCAUACACAACAACUAUGGUUUUAACCACACACGGCAAUUACAGGUGUGCAUAUGUGGCAACUAGUUAAUCACACACGGCAACUAUGGUUGAUAAUACAUGGCAACUAUGGUUUGACCACACGUGGCAACUUCAAUUGGUUACACAUGGCAACUAUAUUUAAUGAUACAUGUCAGACAUGACAACUACAGUUAAUUACAAAUGGCAACUAAAGUUGAUUACACACACGUUCGUGCUCACGGGUGGGGGUGAGCAGUUGCCACACAGAGUCGUGUGGGCCGUCGUAGCUGCACCCAAACGUGUGGGAAGUUUUAAUGUUCGCCCACACAGGGUCGUGUGGUCUGUCUUCUGGGUACGGCCACACGACUCGUGUAGUCGGGUAUCCAUUGUGCCACAUGUGUGGCAAUUAUCGGCAUCCAUAAGAUUUGGUUUUUAGCUUCUUCGUUUUGCCUUAUAUUGGCUACUGCGUAUCUUUUUUUGACAAAGAAUGAUUUUUAUUGGCUCCAAUGGAGCAUCAAGUGGAUACAAAUGCAAUGAGUGCACACCCGGCCUCUGCAUAACAAGCUACAUGAGUUGUCAUGUCUAGUAGCUUGGGUACCUUUAGCCUAUUGAUGCAUUCAUGCAACCGAGCACAAUGUUAAUGACAGUGCAUCGCAUGUGAACAACCUUGACGAUGCUGUUCGUCAAGUCAAGAUUUACAUUAGUGCAUGACCCAAGAGAACACCACAUCGUCUUAAAAGGGCAAUUCAUCGAAGAGCUCCUGGAAUCGGUUCGAGGCCAAUGUCCCUCGGUGCCUUCUAAUUCCCCCCCUCAAGUUACUAACUUGCAACUAGUAGUGGGUCAGUUGUUGUGAAUCGGAGGUCAAAAUUGAAGUACUUUGUCAUUUUAUAAUUCUUGAAACAAAGGAAAAGGAUAUGAAUUAUGGAGGAUAGGAUUCUUUCUGGAAUUUUUCUUUAGGUGUCAUUUGGAUGUUAUCCUAUAUUUCUUUGAACCCACCUCAUGUUUUCUUCUAUUUGUGUCUAUAAUUUUUGUGUUUUCCUAUGUGACAUAGUUUUGUAGUCUUCUCAUGGUUUUAGUUCAUGUAGGAAUCUAAGACUGGCGACAUCCUAAUUCCUCCGUUCUUCCUAUUCCUAUGUUCCAAACGGUGCCUUAUAUGAUAAAUAAGCUUGUACUUCAUCCGUCUUGGUGUACAGGGCAUGAGCGUAGUUCUAGGUUGAUAAUUUAACUAGCUAAAUAUGUAUUAUAUGUGAUAAUAAUAUAUAUUUAGAAACUAUAUCCGGUUAAGAAUACAAUGAUACACUUUAGUGAAAUAUAACACAUAUUUAGUUAAUCAAAUUGAUAAUCUAGAACUACAUGCACGCUCUAUACACUAAGACAGAGGGAGUAUUGUUCAUUGACCGUUGUGGAGUACACCGCAAAUGAUUGCCUGAAGAGGUUUCCAAUGGCCGCCCCAACCGCUCGUUAAGCAUCAUGAUCCACGGUCCCGAUCAUUGCACACCCCAUUAAUUUCUCUAUCCACCGACUGGAUUUGUCGCAUCUAGUACCUCACAUACCUUUGGGUUGUUGAUGUAGAAAUGCAACCUGCCACAAUGUUAAUAACAGUGCAUGAUAUGUGAACACCCUUGACAACGCCAUUCAUCAAGUCAAGUCAAGAUUUACAUUAGUGUGUUUCCCAAGAGAAUAUCUGACCAUCUUAGGGUGAUUCAUCGAAGAGGUCCUGGACGGGUUCCAAGCAAAUAUCUCUCGGUGGCUAUCUUUGAACUUUUUUCCUCAAGUCAUGAAGCGAAUCUACAAUGUCGGUGCUUAGGCUAGGCGCCUGGCUUCAAUUCCGAGCCAUUAUGGGCGAAACCUGGCUUCCGUUGACGCAAAAACUAUCACCAUGCACUUGCCUUUUGUUUCUCUGCGGACACUUAUUUCAGGUAUAACUGAUCAGGGUUGUUCUGAAAGCAAGUCAACUGGUGCUUUAUAAAGUGAGUGCCAGCGGCUAAUCACUGCUUUGUUCACAGAAGGGAAGAGAGAGAUACUGGUAGCCCUGUGUUGGAGACAGAAGCGCUAGCCAACAUUCCUUAUUUCUCUCGUGACGCUAGUUGCAUUGCAUAUAAGGACUCUAAACACCGAGGCUAAAGUAAUUUUCAGGAAAAAAAAUCCUCUAAUGAGUAAUGUCUCCACAAGUGUCUGAGCAUUGGAGAUGGCCUAACUUGGAACUAAAAGUUGGUCAGUUCUUGUUAAUUGGAGGUCAGAAUUGAAAUAGCUUUGCCAUCUUAAAUUCUUGUUUUGGUUCACAAUUUUAAGGCCCAUCAGAAACAAAUAAAAAAGGGUAGGAUUUAUGUAGGAUAGUAUUCCUUCAAGAAUUUUUUUUUGUUGACGUUUAUAACAAAGGAAUUUUUAUCCUAUAUUCCUUCAAAAAUCGUAUGGAAUGGAAUGCCAUAGGAAUUUUGGACGAAACGAAACGUGAGGACCUAUGUUUUCUUCUAUUUGUGUCUAUAAUUUCUGUUUUCUUAUGUGACAUCCAAAGGAUAGUUUUGCAAAAAAAUUGUGGUUUCUGUUCCUGUAGGAAUCUAGGAUACACGACAGCCUAAUUCCUCCUUCAUAUUCCUAUGUUCCAAACGGUGCCUUAUAUGAUAAAUAAUCUUGUAUUGUUCAUUGGACAUGUGGAAUGGUAUAGCACAAAUGAUUUACCGAAUAGGCUUCCUAUGGCGGCCCCCGCCGCUUAUUGAUCAUCAUUAGACAGGUCCCAAAUUAUUGCACACCCCAUUAAUUUCUCUAUCCAUCGACAUUAUUUGCCACGUCUAGUACCUCUAGUACCUUUGGUCUAUUGAUGCAGUAAUGCAAACAAGCACAAUGUUAAUGACAGUCCAUCGCAUGUGAAAACCCUUGACGACACCGCGGUCAAGUCAAGAUUUACAUUAUACUAGUAGGAAAAGGGGCUUUUACCCCGGUUUGUAAGGGCCUUUUGUCCCGGUUUUCGAACCGGGACUAAAGGGUCGUUACUAAAGCCCUAACCCUUUAAUCCCGGUUCUUACACGAACCGGGACAGAAGGUCCUCCACGUGGCCGCUGCUGCCAGCCCAGGCAGGGGGGCCUUUGGUCCCGGUUGGUGCCACCAACCGGGACCAAUAGGCAGGGCCUUUUGUCCCGGUUGGUGUCACUAACCGGGACCAAUAGGCAUCCACGCGUCAGCAUUUCAGNNNNNNNNNNNNNNNNNNNNNNNNNNNNNNNNNNNNNNNNNNNNNNNNNNNNNNNNNNNNNNNNNNNNNNNNNNNNNNNNNNNNNNNNNNNNNNNNNNNNNNNNNNNNNNNNNNNNNNNNNNNNNNNNNNNNNNNNNNNNNNNNNNNNNNNNNNNNNNNNNNNNNNNNNNNNNNNNNNNNNNNNNNNNNNNNNNNNNNNNNNNNNNNNNNNNNNNNNNNNNNNNNNNNNNNNNNNNNNNNNNNNNNNNNNNNNNNNNNNNNNNNNNNNNNNNNNNNNNNNNNNNNNNNNNNNNNNNNNNNNNNNNNNNNNNNNNNNNNNNNNNNNNNNNNNNNNNNNNNNNNNNNNNNNNNNNNNNNNNNNNNNNNNNNNNNNNNNNNNNNNNNNNNNNNNGCUAGCUAGCUAAUUAAUAGAGAGAAGUGUCCACUCUCAUCUCCGUGCUUGGUCGACGCUACGUACUAUAUACGUAUGGAGAGGACUAGACACGCUAGCUAGUAAUCAAAUGAAGGAAACAGAAGAUCGUCAUGAACAUAUGCAUACAGAGAGAAGUGGUAUCGACCACCUCUCCUUCUCCGAGAGAUUGGUCGAACAACAAGUUCUCGUAUAUCUAUCCGACACUACCGGCUACAUAUAUACAAUAAUUAUCUCUUACAAUACAAUCUCCUAAUUAAAUUGUAAGAACACAGGGUCCACAUAGUAUUCUCCGUUUUCAGCGAUCACAUGGUCAAGGAAGAAUGCCGCCAAUUCCUCUUGAAUUCCUCGCAUACGAUCUGGUGCUAGGAGUUCAUCCCGCUUCCGAAACAUCUAAUUUGAAGAAGGGGGUCAAUACAUAUAUAUAUGAAUAAAUGAAACUCAACACAAAUGAUGGUAAUAAAAUAAAAUUGUGAAUAUUAUUGCUUACGCACUUCAUAUUGUUUUUCAGAGUAGCCCCGCUCACAGGUCGUGUAGCGGAUGGACUCGCAAACGUAGUAUCCACAGUAAUUAUUCCCGGGUUCCUGCCACAACCACUUUACAAGAAAUAGAGGUCAAUCAAACCGAUAAGCAAGCAUGCUAAAUGCUAUUGAUGAAACUAGCGCUUGAAUCACUAGGAGAUGCGCGGAACAUGCUACUAUAGUACUUACUUUCGGGUGUUUAAAUUGCAGCUUCUUUGACAGUCCCGGAGCUUUUGUGGUGAAUUUUCUCCAAACCCUGCCAGACAAAGAAAACAAUUACUUGAUAUCAGGAAAUGAACAAAGUUGCUGAUAUGGUGGAUAAUGAUCGAUUUAACUUACUUCUCGAGCAUUUGAGUCAUGUUCGCAUAGUCCUGGGGAUCUUUUCGUCUCGAGUCUAAGACGGUUACUACUCCCUGCUCAAGCUUAAUCUCUAGGAGAAUAUAGUGGAAGCUGCGCAUGCAUGCAUAAGUCAUCAAUUACAUUACCAUAACCUGCACUAAUAAGGGAAACCGAAUAUGCACAAGACAGUAACACUCACUUGAAGUUGUAAGAAAAGAGUAUUAUAUCUUUGUUUUGAUUUAAUACCAACGAUUGUAGCAAGUUGGCCUCGGCUUCUUUGGGAUGUUUUUCAACCGUAUAUGCAUCUAUGAGAUUUGUGUUAAUGAACCCACUAUCACCGAUUUGUCUUUUCUUUAAUUCGGCGAUCUUCAAUCUGCAUAAUAUAGUGAGGAUAAUUAUAAAUACAUGCAAUGAAAGAGCUGACCUAUAUAGAGACUUAAUGACAGAAGUAGUACUACUUACAGACAGUAGCAAGUGAUCGUUGUUUUAUCGAGGGCCUUUUGAUUGUAAACUGGAAGAAAUCCUCAAAUGGAACAUUCAGCAGUUCAAUUCCAACGAGGUCAUGCUCCGGUUUAACUCUCAGCGUCAAAGUACUCGUCCCAUCAGACUCUCUGCAGGUUUUCAUGUACCAAUCAUGUAAUCUUCGCAUCAUCGUUGUUAGAGAUCUUUCAUCUUUGACGAGAGGCUUCCUGUAAUGGUAUUUGUGUUCGUCCACCUCCAUGAUUUCAUAAUAUACAUCGUCGGGCAGGUAAUCUCCAAGAUUGCUAUAACCGGGCACCAUCCUCGGAUCAUUAGCGACGAUGUCUUUUGACACCUUGAGCGGGGGGCACGAUUGGUUCGCUUGUUCGCUGAGCUGGGCAAUUUUUUUCCCAGCUCGUCGUUCUUUUAACCUUUGAUCACUGACAGUACUUCCCGACCGCUCCGCUUCGGCAUAUGUCUUUGCAAGAAUGCGCUCAUAGUUGCCUCUCGGCGGAGAUUUUGGUGGUUUUGUUAGGGCAGCCAGAGUGCGCUUUGCUUUCACCGGAUCUACCUUCUCCUCCGAAGGUGGAUGUUUCUUUGCUUUCACCCCUUCAAAGAAGUUUGUCACUUCGGCUCGCACGAUCUUCCUGGUUUCCUCCUCGGUCCUCUCGUAUGGUAACUUCUCUGGAGUCUUCAGAGAAGGACCGAAUCUGUAUUGCCUCCCGCCUCUGGCAGCUGUACUGCUAGACGCCGGCAGAGCAGACGGAGCGGCUGCGGCUGUCUUCUUUCCUUGCUUACGAGGCGGAGGAGAAGGACUACGACGCGCCGGAGCAGCCGCAGCGGCGGUGGGUCUCUUCCGCCCUUGCUGACGAGGCGGAGAAGGAGGAGGCUGGCUACUCUGGCGCGCCGGCGCAGGCGGAGAAGGAGGCGGAGUGCCGCCACGCGCCGGAGAAGGAGGCUGAGUGCCCUGAUCACUCGCCGGAGGAGGAGGCGGAGGAGGAGGCGAACUGCCCUUACUCGCCGGAGCCGUCCAGUUCGGAAGGUUGAUGAGCUCCUUCCGCCAUAGGCACGGAGUCUUCAGAGCUAAACCCAGCCGAGUCUCCCCUUCACCGGUAGGGUGGUCAAGCUGGAGGUCCUCAAAUCCCUCCGUUAUUUCAUCCACCAUCACCCUAGCAUAUCCUUCUGGAAUCGGCCGGCAAUGGUAGGUUGCGCCGGGUUCAGGAGGUAAAACAGAGCCAACAGCCGCCUUGACUUUGAACUCUUUGGUCCCGGUUCGUGGCACCAACCGGGACUAAAGGCCUUUGGUCCCGGUUGGUCCCACGAACCGGGACCAAUGCCCCCUUUCGUCCCGGUUGGUGGCACCAACCGGGACCAAAGGCCUUGUGCUGCCCCGCGUCAAAAGUUUAGUCCCACCUCGCUAGUUGAGAGGGCUCGAGAGUGGUUUAUAAGCGCUGUUGCGCCCACCCUCUCGAGCUCCUCUCAACUGCAGGCUUUCGGGCCUAACCGUUCUCUUUGCCUGUGGGGCCUACUGGGCCUUCUGCGGGCCUGAAUCCUGGCCCACGGAUGGGUUUCAAGUCGUAUUCAGGCCGUGGUGGCCCAGUAGGUGGCAUAAUUUUUUUCUCUGUUUUUUGUUUUCUCUUUUGCUUUAUUUGUUUUGUUUUGUUUCUACUUACAACAAAAAACUUAUUUAUUUUAUUUCUAAUUACUUAUGUAUUUUACUUUAAUUAUUUUAUUUUUAUUUAUUUUACUGCUGCUAUUUUUAUUUAUUUUACUGCUGCUAUUUUUAUUUAAUUUAUUAAGGUUUAUUUAUUUUAGUUACUAUAGUUUAUUUUAUUUUAUUUUAUUAAGGUUUAUUUAUUUUAUUAAGGUUUAUUUAUUUUAUUUACUAUAAAAAAUGAACAUAGAUGCGCUUAUAGAGGAAAUUCAACCUAAAUUCAUAAUAAAUUUCUAUGAAAUUUACUGUGAAUUUAGGUCAAAUUCCCUGUAUAAGGGCAUCUAUUUUCACUUUAAGAGGAGCUCAACAAGGCAGAGAGGGACGGGCUUAUAAACUGGUGUGAGCGCCCUUCGGUUGGCGAGGUGGGACUAAACACUGGCCGCAACUAGGACCAGCCCUUUAGUCCCGGUUUGUGGUAGGAACCGGGACUAAAGGGUGGUGGGCCAGGAGCGUGGCCCAUUGGUCCCGGUUUGUCCCACCAACCGGGACCAAAGGGUCCGAACGAACCGGGACCAAUGCCCCCACGAGGCCGGCAGGCCCCUGGCCGCACGAACCGGGACCAAUGCUCACAUUAGUCCCGGUUCGUGACUGAACCGGGACUAAUGUGAAUAUUGCCCUGUGACCAAAGCCCAGUUUUCUACUAGUGUUAGUGCAUGGCCCAAGAGACAUAACACCAUCUUGAAAGGGCAAUUCAUCGAAGAGCUCCUGGAAUCUGUUCCAUGCGAAUGUCUUUCGGUGGCUAUUCUAGUUUUUUCCUCAAGUUACUAACUUGCAACUAAUAGUUAGUCAGUUAUUAUUGCACACCCCAUUAUGGCGGCCACAACAGCUCGUUGAUCAUCAUGAGCUAGGGUCCCAGAUCAUUACACACACCAUCAAUUUAUCUUUCCACUAACAUGAUUUGUCGCAUCUAGUACCUCUGGUACCUUUGAGCUGUUGAUGCCGAAAUGCAACCGGCCACAAUGUUAAUAGCAGUGCACAAUGUGUGAACACCCUUGACAACACUAUUCUCCAAGUCAAGUCAAGAUUUACAUUGGUGUGUUUCUCAAGAGAACAUCUCUUGAAAGGGUUAUUCGUCGAAGAGGUUCUGGAACCAGUAUCAAGCAAAUGUCUCUUGGUGGGUAUAAUAAAAAUAUUCCUCAAGUCACGAAUCUAGCUUCCGUCGACGCUAAAGCACUUGGUCAUUUUUUCCCUCCAGAUGCAGGCUACGAGCGCUAUUGUGGACCCUAACAAAAAUCAAUGAUCCUGCAUGUGGCUACGUGUGUUUUCUAGCGGACGCUUGGUAGCCCUGCGUUGGAGAGGGAAGCGCUGGCCAGCUUUCCAUAUUUCUGUCGCUUGUUGCAUUUCAGAUAAGGACUCUAAACACCGACUCUAAAGUAAUAUUUUUGAAAAAAAAAUCCUCUAACAUCUACACAAGCGUAUGAGCAUUGGAGAUGGCUUAACUUGCAACUAGCAGUUGGCCAGUUGUUGCUAAUUGGAGUUUACAAAUGUAAUAUCUAUGCCAUUUUACAACUUUAAGGCCCGUCCGAAAUAAAGGAAAAGGUAUAGGAAUUAUGUAGAAUAGGAUUCCUUCAUGAAAUUUUCUUCUGCUGUUGUUUGUAACAAAGGAAUUGUUAUUCUAUGUUCCUUUUAAAUCCCUAUGGAUUGGACUAUGCCAUAGGAAUUUUGGAAUAAACUAAACAUGAGGUCCUACCUCUCAUGUUUUCUUCUGUUAGUGUCUAUAAUUUCUGUGUUUUCCUAUGUGACAUCCAAAUGAUAGUUUUUGCAGUUUUUUUUCGUGAUUUUAGUUCCUGUAGGAAUCUAGGAUAGGCAACAUCCUAAUUCCCCGCUCUUCCUAUUCCUAUGUUUCAAAAGGUGACGUAUAUGAUAAAAAAAGCUUAUACUGUUCAUUGAACAUGUGGAAUGGUAUAGCACAUUGCCGAAGAGGUUUUCUACGGCAGCCCCAACCGCUCUUUGAUCAUCAUGAGCCCGGGUCCCAGAUCAUUGCACACCCCAUUAAUUUCUCUAUCCACCAACAUGAUUUAUCCCGUUGGUACGUCGGGUACCUUUGGGUUGUUCGUGCAGAAAUGCAACCGGCCACGAUGUUAACUAGAUGACACCCUAGAGUACCUUUGGGUUGUUCAUGCAGAAAUGCAACCGGCCACAAUGUUAAUUAGAUGACACCCUAGGCCCGCGCGUUGCCGCAUGAAUCGAUUGCAAUAUAUUUUAAUGAGAUUUGAUUUGUGAAAUAGGUAAAACUGUGUCUACUAUAGCUUGCCACAGAACUAGUUAAGGGUCGCUAAACUUUUAACGGUUUAAAAGUUAUCAAAAAAUAUGAAAUAAAUAUGGGAGCGUCUCUCUAAUGUAAUAAGAUGAUCCAACGAGAGGGAUUGUCAAAAUAUGCAUCUAUGUGUCCUAGGCAAAAAUAAUAAGCAUUUCAGCUCACUGCGACAUAAAUAUAUACUGAACUAUUUGUUUCUUUUGUCCAGGACACAUACAGUCAUAUUUUUUUAAUCCCUCCGUUGGAUCAUGUUAUAUUACUAGGACAAAUGCCCGUGCGUUGCAACGGGCGAAAAAAUAUCGUAAAACUUGCUCCGUGUGGUAGUACGCGUCAAUUUUAAUAUACAUUUCUGAUAAACAUCAGUAAUAAGUUUAUACUAUUAUUGCUUUUCGAAAUAUGAAGUGUGGACGUAAAGAAGUCACCCUAACAUCAGAUAGAGGAGUAGUGCUGCAUAGAAUAGUCUAGUAAUCAGCUUUGUAUUUUAUAUUUCGGAAAACACAAAUAUUCCUUUACUUUUAAAUAACUAAAAAAAGCAUAUUUUAUUAGAAUUGAAACAUGUUUUGAAAAUGAACAUUUUUUUGAACACAAGUUUUUUGUGAAAGAGAAUUUUUAAAAAUUUGUGAUCAAUUUUAAAUGAUUUUUUUUAAAAAAUUGAACAUAUUUUGGGAAAGCGUGAAAAACAUGAAUUUCGAGCAAUAUUGAAAAGCAUGAAUUUUUUAAAGCAAGAAGAAUUUGAAACACUCUUUGUCUUUAAAAAAACACACGCUCGGUGUCUGCAACGAAAAAUGGAUUGUUGGGUCCAUACCAUGUAGUAUAAAGUUGAGAAAGUCGUAGGGAUGUCCUUUGAUGGCGCCUCCUUCAGCUUAGUACUAUCAUCAGGUGAAAGAGGAAAUGGUGUAAUUGUUUUCAGCAGGAUAUACAAACUGUGGAAUUGUUGUAUACUAUUCGAGAGUUUAACAACCAAUCCAAAAGUUUUUCUUAGAAAUUUCAAAAGAUUUGCAAAAUAUUUUUUUGGAUGAAAGAGUAGUGGUGCAUUGAAGUGGGAUUGUUUAUGUACAAUUAUUUUUGUUAAUAUUCGAAAGCAAACAAUUUUUUUACUAUAUUAAUUAUAUUUUUAGAAAAUUUUGGUUAUUUGAUUUGCAAGAUUAUAUUCCGUUCUUUUUCUUUUGCACUAUGAACUUAGUCAUCAUCAUCAUAAAAAAGCAAGCUUUUCUCUAUUCCCCAUCACAGGUAAAUUUCGGGUGAAUUGUAAAAACAAAGCUAAAUUUCAAGAUGCACCGUCGUCACAUUCUUUCUACUCUUCACAAGAAAUAUUAUUUCCAAUAUUUCACUAACUUUAAUUAUUGUAUUUGAUGAUGUAUUCAUAAGAUGUGGUAAGCUAGAACAUUAAACUAUGACAGUAAUAACAAUAAAACAACAACAAGUAAAUCGGUGCUCAUUUUUCUCAAAAGAAGUAAAUCGGUGCUCAUAUAUUUAGAAAGAAAAGAAUUGCAAUCGAUGCUAGCACGCAUGGCAAGCUCCAGCAGCUUCUGGUCGGUGCAGCCAAUAAAGAAAGCAAUCCACACAAAAGAAAAUCCCCCCCGAGACCACUACUCCGUGGACAUCGCCAUUCCUCCAGCAGCGCUGCUGCUCUUCUUGCUCUUUCUCUUUAUCCAUCCACAUCCAGUGCGCCGACAAGCCCACCCCAUCAGCGGUGCUCUCCUUCCUCUCAUCUCUAUCCGUGCUCUAGCCACACACCACCCACGCGCCCUUCUUGCUUCAGUCGACGGCUCCUCGUUCCCCUCUCCCUUCCCUCCUCCACAACUAACCAAGCACCGCCCUCUCAUGGUUCACGUUCGUCGGCCGGUUGCAGGCGGCUCCUGUUGGCCGAGCCUGCGCGCGCGGGGGCUGGCUGGGCCGAUGGCUGAGGCGCGGCAAUGGUGGCCUGCUCACGGUCGAGCUCGGCGGCUACUUGACGGGGCCGCGUGGAUCUGCCCCGAGGCUCCGGGCUCCGGAUCUGCGUGGUCAUGUCCACCUCACCCUCCGACGGCGCCUUACUGCGGCGCUUCGGGCCCAGAUCUCGCCGGUUGGCGCGUAGAUGUGCGUGCGCUCGGCUUGAGGUAGCGCAAGGAUGAUGGGGCAGCUUGGAUGGUGGCCCGUGCAGUGUGCGGCUGCCCUGUGAGCCCCGAGUUUUCUCUUUCGCGAGAGCAUCCAUCUAUUAUGACGGACAAAUCUUUGUUCAAUUUUUCUGAAUCUUCACCUCGUCUCUCAGCAGAACGCAGGCGUCCCACGAUGACGACGCAGGGGGGUGCAGCAUCUGGUCCAGCAUGGUGCGGAGGCCGGCGGCGACCUCGUGGCUCUCUCAGCAGAACUCGGGCUGCGGCGCGACGCCAAGCCACGCCUGCACUCUGCCGUCAUCUGGACGCAUGCCAUGAUGGUCACGCCCUCAAGCUCCAUGACGGAGGACCAUGGAGGCGCGCGGAGCGAGGCGCAGAGGAACGGAUCUGGUCGCGCAGAGGCCCACUUGCGGGAGAGGCAGGGAGGCGGCCAUGGCAGGUCGUUUUGGAGGGAGGCGUCCAUGGCAUGGGACGGCGGCGGCUGAGCGCAGCGCCGGCGCUCGAGAAGACGACGGACCAUGGAGGCGCGCGGAUCGAGGCGGAGACGCACGGAUCGACGCGGAGACGCACGGAUCUGGCCGCUCCCAGGUCAGAUCUGGCCGCAGUGGAGCUCCACAUCGGGAUCCAUGGUGCUCCAUCGGGAUCCAUGGGCCAGAGACAAGAUUUGUGAGAGAGAGGUCAGGAAGGGAGAAGGGAGACGGGAGAAUAAGAGAGAUAGGGCGCGCGGGAGGAGUUACGGGACGAAGGCUGGAGGUCGGUAGCGGUGGCGCUGGACGCCGGCGUGAGAUGCAAGCCAGAGGGAGAAAACCGUGAGGGAGAAAACCGGGAGGGGGGAAAGAAAAUCAGUGGGACGAGAGGUGGGUCGGGACGGGAGGAAAGAAAAUCGGGAGCGAGGGGGUCGUACGAAAGGCUUGACGAACAUAAGAGGGGAAACGAAACACUACGUUUGUUUUAGAUAGUAGAGAUAGAGAUAUAUAGGUGUGUUGGUUCAGUAUUUUUUUCAGAAUUUUUGAGAACUUUUGCACCGUUUAAACCCUUAUAGAAAAUGCUACUCCUUGUGAAAUAUAUAUAUUAUAACACAUGAAACAAAAUUAAAGAUGCAUACGACUUAUUAUAUUUGAUUAUGUAUAAUUGUAAAAUAUUAUUAAAUAUAAGUAGAAUGAUAGAAUGAAAAAUAUUUCCUCAUGCAUGGUUGCAUGUGGUGAUGGUUCUUUUUCCAUGCAUGAUUGCAUGUUGAGGUGAGCCUUAUCCCAUCAAUAAUUGUAUGGUGAUACGACAUACUUACAUAAUGAGAUAAAUAAAUUAGUGGGGAUCACUUCUUAGGUAUGUAUAGGACAACAGUGCACAAUAUGUGAACACCCUUGACAACACCAUUCGUCAAGUCAAGUAAAGAUUUACAUUAGUGUGUUGCCCAAUAGAACAUCAGACCAUCUUGAAAGGGUGAUUUGUCAGAGGGGCCCUAGAAGCGGUUCCAAGCAAAUGUCUCUUUGUGGCUAUCCUUUUUUUCCUCAGGUCACUAAGGCCAUCUACAACGUUGAGACGUAGGCCAGGUGUGAGGCCUCGAUUCGAUGAUUCCUGGCCAUUAUGGGGGGCGGGGGAUCUCUGUCCUACUAAUUGUACUAACACUGUGAGCAGAGAAGACAACGAGUACAACUUUAAUGCCCGAGAUCAGACCAUAGCAUGGGGAUCUGGUGGGUAUCCCAAUUUGCAACUCCUUUGUAAUCACGGCGCAGUCCAUCUCCAAAGUGACUGGCCGUCUGGCCGUCUGUACACUUUUGCCAGAGCAUUUAGUCCAACCAGUGCUGCUCUGGCAUCCGCCUCAUCAACACCGCUCUUGCCCUCUGUUGUUGUUAAUUGGAGUUCAGAACUGAAAUAUAUUUGCUAUUUUACAGUUCUUGUUUUGGUUCACAAUUUUCAAGUGAGAAACAAAGGGAAAACAAUAGGAAUUAUGUAGGAUAGAACUCAUUCAGAAUUAUUUAUUUCACUGAUGUCUGUAGCAAAGGAAUUGUUGUUCUAUUUUCCUUUGAAAUUCCUAUGGAAUGGACUAUGCCAUAGGAAUUUAGGAGGAAACCAAACAGGAGGUCCUACCUCUCAUGUUUUCUUCUAUUUGUGUCUAAUUAUUUCUGCGUUUUCCUGUGUGACAUCCAAAGGUUAGCUUCACAGAUUUUUUGUGGUUUAGUUCAUGUAGAAAUCUAGGAUAGGCGGCAUCUAAAUUCCUCCGUUCUUCUUAUUCCCAUGUUUUGAAUUCGUAUGUUUCAAAGGGCGCCUUAUAUGAUAAAUAAGCUUGUAUUGUUCAAUGAAUAUGUGGAAUGGUAUGGUGCAAAUGAUUGCCGAAGAGGAUUGCUAUAUGGCGGCCCCAAUCGCUCAUUGAUCAUCAUGAGCCAUGGUCCCAGCUCUUAAUGCAGUAACGCAACCAAGCACAAUGCUAAUGACAGUGCACCGUGUGUGAACACCAUUGACCACACCGUUCUUCAAGUUGAGAUUUACAUUAGUGCAUGACCCAAUAGAACAUCCCACCAUCUUGAAUGGGCGCUUUGUCAAAGAGCUCCUGGAAUCAGUUCCAAGCAAAUGUCACUCUAUGGCUAUCCUAAUUUGUUUCCGUAUGUUACUAACUUGCAACUAGUAGUUGGUCAGUUGUUCUGGAUUGGAGGUCAAAAUUGAAAUACUUUGGCAUUUUACAAUUAUUGUUUUCGUUCACAAAUUUAAAUCCCGUGGGAAACAAAGGAAAAGAUAGGAAUCGUGUAGGAUAUGAUUCCUUCAGAAAUUUUUCUUUUUGUGCCGUUUGUAUCAAAUUAAUUGUCAUCCUAUAUUCCUGUGAAAUUCCUAUGGAAGGAACUAUAUAUGCCAAAGGAAUUUUGGAGGAAACCGAACAUGAAAUCCUUCCUCAUAUUUUCUUCUGUUUGUGUCUACAGUGUCUUUGUUUUCCUAUAUGACAUACAAGCGAUAGUUUUUCAGUUUUCCCAUGGUUUUAGUUCCUGUUGUAAUCUAGGAUAGACGACAUCCUAAUUCCUCCGUUCUUCCUAUUCCUAUGUUUUGUAUUCCUGUGUUCCAAACGAUGCCUUAUAUAUGAUAAAUAAGCUUGUACUGUAGUUGGCUAUGUGGAAUUGUACAGCGCAAAUGAUUGCCUGAAGAGGUGCGCCCCAUGGCAGCCCCAACCGCUCAUUGAUCAUCAUGAGCCAGGAGAUCAUUGCACACCCCCGUCAAUUUCUCCAUCCAUCGAGAGGAUUUGCAUCGUCCAGUACCCCGGGUACAUUUGGGCUGUUGUGAUCGUGGCAGUAAAUGCAACCGGUCACAAUGUUGUGGUAGCGCACAGCGUGUGAACGCCCUUGACGACACCGUUCGUCAAGUCACGUCAAGAUUUACAUUAUUGCGUGGCCGGCCGGAAGGGAGAUUCGUCAAAGAGCUCUUGAACCCGUUCAGUUCGUGCACUGAACCCCAGCAAUCACAGAGGCACGCCUCUUUGCUUUGAACCGAUUCAACACUCAUACAUCCUCCUCUGGCUCUCCCAUAAGCGGGGAAGAAUGUGUGCGUCCUCGCCACCACCCAGCUCAGCUAGCCUCCACCAGUUCAACUAGAAGCCACCAGCCGAUCGGCACAAGGAGAGGGAGCCAUGGCCGAGCUCGCGGCUGGCGCCGUGCGCUCCCUGUUGGUCGUCAUACGCAGCGAAGCACGGCUGCUGCGUGGCGUCGGGAACGACAUGCAGUUCAUCAAGGAGGAGAUGGAGAGCAUGAAGAGCUUCCUGGAGCACCUGGCCAGGUGGGCACCUCCCGGCGGCGGCGAGCACAACGAGCAGGUGUGCAGCUGGAUGAACCAGGUGCGGCUGCUCGCCCAGGACUGCAGCAACUGCAUCGACGUCUACCUCAGCAGGGGGAACCCCGACGUCCACCGGGCCAGAGAGGGACUCGCAGGCUGCAUCUGGUGGGCGAGCUGGUUAGUUCAUAAGUUGGUCGCGCAGCACCACACAGCCGAGCAGCUGCGCCUGCUCAAGGAACGGGCGCGUGAAAUCGGCGCGCGGCGGUUGAGGUAUGGCGUGGAGGUCCUGGACAAUUCAGGGAAGGGGCUAUGGCCUCCGACGGCAACGUCGUCGUCGUCGUUGCGGGCUGCUGCAGAAGGUGGCUAUGCUACUACAGACGAAAACGAAGACAACAAAGAAGAAGACGGUGACGGUCAACUGGUGAGGACAAUGGCGACUGGCGGCCAUUCUGGUCCAAGAGCCUACAACGAGCCUCGCACUCUGGACGACUACGUCAAGGGAAAGCUAUGGGAGUGGGCAGAUGGAGUUCCUGCAAACGCCGGUAAAACUUUGUCCAUGGUCGUGGUGGCAGUGGCACCCUACACAUAUCAGGACCUCCUCGCUCUUGUACAAAAAAAUUGGCUUUUGAAUCAAAACCCAAAGGGUGGCUACCAUCGCAUUGUCGUGGUUGACAUCCCGGCUGUGCACCACAAUUCUAAGAUGCUACGAGUCAAGGAGGUUCUCUUCUACAUUCUGCGCGAGCUCAAGCAUGCCCAAUCCAACCCCCAGGAGCAAGGAACACAAGGCCAAGUGGAGGAAAACUAUCUUGACCCUUGGGAACUUUACAUAAGAAGAUUGAAAAUUGAUGAAGAAAAGAAGAGGGCUAUUGCUCUUCUUCAAAUCAAGGAGAAUAUCAAAGAAAUGAAGGUCUAUGAAAAGCUUGACAACAUCAAAAGUGAUAUUCAAGGUCGGCUAGAGAAGGGCGACGGACUACCCAAGGGCGACAUGCUGCAGGGUGAUUUUUGUUAGACUUAUAAUAUAAGUCAUGUACCCCUUUGUAUUUAUCCCGUUGUAUAAGGGGUUUCCUGCAUAUGUUCCACACCUGUACAUGUAUAUAUAUCGGCCUAUGGCCUCAUGGGAAUACAAGUUGCUUAUUCCUAACAUGGUAUUAGAGCUUUAGGUUUUUUUUUCGCACGCGCAACUCGUGCUUCGAUCCACUCCUGCCGUCGCCGCGUUCUCCCUUCGCUCGGCGUCGCUGCUCCAUCUCCUCCCGCCAGGCGCCUCUCCUCCUCGAUCGCCGUAGGGAGGCCCCCGAUCGCGCCCAGCUGGUUCCGCUCGGCGGUCGUCUCCUCUCCCGCCAGGACUCCGCCGCUCCCGCGCUCAGGCGCUCCCGCCACUCCCGCCCGCCAGCUCCCGCCGCCCCCGCGUUCAGGCGCCGCUCCCGCCUGGCAGCUCCCGCCGCCCGCCAGGUGCCCGCUGCUCCCUCCGUUCCCGCGCUCCAGUGCCUGGACUCCGCCCCUCCCGCCUGGACUUCGCAUCCCCUUCCCGCGGCCGCCGAUCUCUGCUCAGAUCGAGCAUCUCGAUUGGAAGGUCUGAUCUCUGCUGAAAAAAAAAUGUCUGCUGCAUCGGGCUAUGUUGUUGUCCCUAGCUGCCCGGUGAUUCCUGACGGAGUUUUCAGUGUUUGCUCUACUGACCCCGUCUCGCACAUGUGCCUUUCUUCCGCGCUUGGUGCUCGUUCGUCUGUGCUAUCGUCCCCUGUGGCGACUCUCGCACGUGGUGAUUGUCGCUCUACAUCGACUCCUCCUGCGACUUUCAUCGGUGAUUAUCGUUCUACACCGGCUCCUCUCACGGCCCCCAUCGGAUGUGUUGAUGCAUAUGACUCUAUUGACCCGCGUCUUCCUUUGGCGCUUGGGGCUUGUCUGCAUGUGCCCUCGUCUCCUUCACCGGCCUCUACGGAUGAUGUUGGUUAUGCUAUGUCGCCUCCUCUGGCGGUUUCCACAGGUGGUGGUGGGCCUGGUGGCCGCUCCUCUCCCAGUGCUACUGCGUCGUCUACUUCAGCUAUGUACUUCACCGAGCAGGAGAUUGUGGGACUUCGUGGUCUGCUCACUGCCUCCGGCUCUUCAUUGCCGGGUGCAUCUACGUCGACCUCUUCAGUUGAGCUCCUGACUGAGCAGGAGAUUACGCGCCUUCGGUGCUUGCUCGCUGCAUGCUCUGGUUCUUCACCGACGGGUUCUGCUGGUUCUGCUACUGACUCCUCUGACAUUGUGAGACCACCUUCAACACAGUCAGGUACAUCUCCAUGGAUUCUUGAUACUGGAGCAUCUUUUCAUAUGACUCAUGAUUCAUCCACCUUGUCUUCUAUUCGUGCUCUUGAUUCUCCUAUUCAUGUUCUUACUGCUGAUGGUACCUCCCUCCCGGUUAAUGGUCGAGGCAUUCUUAGCACCUCAUCUUUUCAUGUUCCUGAUGUUGCUCAUGUUCCUCGACUUACCAUGCAGCUCCUUUCUGGUGGUCAGAUUGUUGACUCCGGUUGUCGGGUGAUUCUAGACUUUGACUCUUGUUCUGUUCUGGAUCAUCACACUGGUGCUCUCCUUGGUGCUGGCCCCCGACACCGUGACUCUCAGGGUCUCUGGGAGCUUGACUGGCUUCACCUUCCCUCCGCUGCUACCGCCGCCAGUCUUUCCCCCUCUGUUGCCUUGUCUACCAGCUCUUUUCAGCAGUGGCAUCAUCGCCUUGGUCACUUGUGUGGCUCUCGUCUCUCAUCCUUAGUUCGACGUGGUCUUCUUGGAUCUGUCUCCGGCGGUGUGUCUUUAGACUGUCAGGGUUGUCGGCUUGGUAAACAGGUCCAGUUACCUUAUCCUCAUAGUGACACUAUGUCUCAGCGUCCUUUUGACCUGGUUCACUCCGAUGUCUGGGGUCCAGCUCCCUUUGCCUCGAAAGGAGGUCAUCGCUACUAUAUUAUUUUUAUAGAUGAUUUCUCGAUACACCUGGAUAUAUUUUAUGUCUUCUCGUAGUGAGGUGUUAUCCAUCUAUAAGCGUUUUGCUGCCAUGGUUCACACUCAGUUCUCUACUCCUAUUCGUGUUUUCCGAGCUGACUCUGGUGGAGAGUAUAUCUCCAAGAUGUUGCGUGGAGUCCUUGCUGAGCAGGGUACUCUUGCCCAGUUCUCUUGUCCUGGUGCUCAUGCUCAGAAUGGCGUGUCUGAGCGCAAGCAUCGUCACCUUCUUGAGACGGCUCGUGCGAUGAUGAUCGCCGCCUCUCUUCCGCCUCAUUUUUGGGCCGAGGCUAUCUCCACUUCUGCCUAUCUCAUCAACCUUCAGCCGUCCGCUGCUUUGCAGGGUGGCGUUCCUUUUGAGCGUCUUUUUGAUCGUUCUCCUGAUUAUUCGAUGCUUCGCUUGUUUGGUUGUGUUUGCUAUGUUCUUCUUGCCCCUCGCGAACGCACCAAACUGACCGCUCAGUCUGUUGAGUGUGUCUUCUUAGGCUAUAGUGAUGAGCAUAAGGGCUAUCGUUGUUGGGAUCCUAUCGGUCGUCGGAUGCGUAUCUCUCGCGACGUGACUUUUGAUGAGUCUCGUCCUUUCUACCCAUGCCCAUCUUCCUCGAUUUUUUCAGUGGAGGAUAUCUCUUUUCUCACUUUUCCUAACUCACCUAUCACCCCCGUUGCGCCUGUGCCUAUUCGUUCCACUCCCUCUGCUUCUCCACCUCUAGUCGAUUUGCAGCACACAUCUUCUCCGGUCUCCUCGCCUAGCAUGUCACCGGAUUCUACACCUUCAUCUCCGGUGACUUCUUCGUCGCCACCCACACCUUCAUCUCCGGUGACUUCUUCGUCGUCACCCCCCGAUUCUACCUUGGCGAUUCCUCCUUCUAUUGUUCCAUCUUUUCCUCAGCAUUACACUCGUCGUUCACGACCUGUGGAUGCCUCCUUGGAUGAGUCGUCCUCUUCCACUCAGCCUACUUAUGGCUUGCGUUCUCGUCCUCGUCCGCCUGUUGAUCGCUUUGGAUUUCCCACUGCUGGUGCUGCUGUUCUUGAGCCGACUUCUUAUCAUCAGGCUGUUGUUCAUCCUGAAUGGCAGUUUGCGAUGGCAGAGGAGAUUGCUGCUCUUGAACGCACUGGUACCUGGGAUCUUGUUUCUCUUCCUCCCGGAGUCCGUCCCAUCACUUGUAAGUGGGUCUACAAGGUUAAGACUCGCUCCGAUGGUUCUCUUGAGCGUCACAAAGCUCGUCUUGUGGCUCGUGGUUUUCAGCAGGAGCAUGGUCGUGAUUAUGACGAGACUUUUGCUCCUGUGGCCCAUAUGACCACUGUUCGUACACUUCUUGCUGUUGCCUCUGUACGUCACUGGUCUAUAUCUCAGCUUGAUGUUAAGAAUGCCUUUCUUAAUGGUGAGCUACAUGAGGAGGUGUACAUGCAGCCACCACCUGGGUAUUAUGUUCCUGAUGGCAUGGUAUGUCGUCUUCGUCGCUCUCUCUAUGGCCUUAAGCAAGCCCCUCGCGCCUGGUUUGAGCGUUUUGCCUCUGUGGUCACUACUGCUGGUUUUUCAGCAAGUGCUCAUGAUCCAGCAUUGUUUAUUCACCUUUCUCCUCGUGGUCGGACUCUUCUUCUUCUCUAUGUUGAUGACAUGAUCAUCACUGGGGAUGACCCCGAGUAUAUUGCCUUUGUAAAGGCCCGUCUUAGUGAGCAGUUUCUUAUGUCUGAUCUUGGACCUCUUCGCUACUUUCUUGGGAUUGAAGUCUCUUCUACCUCUGAUGGCUUUUUUAUAUCCCAGGAAAAGUAUAUUCAGGAUCUCCUUGCUCGUGCUGCUCUUACUGACGAACGCAUUGUUGAGACUCCUAUGGAGCUCAAUGUUCACCUCCGUGCUACUGAUGGUGUUCCUCUCCCUGACCCGACGCGUUAUCGUCAUCUCGUUGGCAGUCUUGUCUAUCUUGCUAUCACUCGUCCGGACAUCUCUUAUCCGGUUCAUAUUCUGAGUCAGUUUGUUUCUGCUCCCACAUCGGUUCACUAUGGUCAUCUCCUUCGUGUUCUCCGAUAUCUUCGGGGCACGAUCUCUCACCGUCUAUUCUUCCCUAGCUCCAGUUCUUUACAGCUUCAGGCCUAUUCGGAUGCUACGUGGGCUAGUGAUCCUUCUGAUCGCCGUUCACUUUCUGCUUACUGUGUUUUUCUUGGUGGUUCUCUCAUUGCCUGGAAGACGAAGAAACAUAUUGCAGUUUCCCGUUCGAGUGCUGAGGAUGAGUUGCGAGCCAUGGCUCUUUUGACAGCAGAGGUGACUUGGUUAUGGUGGUUACUUCAGGAUUUUGGUGUUUCUGUCACUACACCGACUCUGCUCUUAUCUGACAGUACAGGUGCUAUUAGCAUUGCGCGCGAUCCUGUGAAGCAUGAGCUCACCAAGCAUAUUGGUGUUGAUGCUUUCUAUGUGCGCGCUGCUGUGCAGGAUCAGGUUAUUGCUCUUCAGUAUGUGCCUUCCGAGUUACAGUUGGCAGAUUUCCUGACGAAGGCCCAGACUAGAGCACAACAUGGCUUUUAUCUCUCCAAACUCAGUGUUGUUCAUCCACCAUGAGUCUGAGGGGGGGUGUUAGAGUUAUAAUAUAAGUCAUGUACUUAUUGCUCUUCAGUAUGUGCCUUCCGAGUUACAGUUGGCAGAUUUCCUGACGAAGGCCCAGACUAGAGCACAACAUGGCUUUUAUCUCUCCAAACUCAGUGUUGUUCAUCCACCAUGAGUUUGAGGGGGGGUGUUAGAGUUAUAAUAUAAGUCAUGUACCCCUUUGUAUUUAUCCCGUUGUAUAAGGGGUUUCCUGCAUACCUCAUGGGAAUACAAGUUGCUUAUUCCUAACAAUUUUGACCAGUUGGACCUAGACGUACUACUUCAGCUGCUGCUCCAAGCAGCGUCCCAACAGGAUGAAAAAGGGAAGAACAAAGACAUGCAUAGAUUAUUAGCCUGGGAUAAAAACAACAUCAUCGUCAAGAAGCUUAAGGAGCAUAUGGAAGCAGAGGAAAAGGAGAAGCUUGAAGAGGAAACAACAGCCAAGCAUAUGGGGGUGGAAGGAGAAGCCACGGCCAAGCAUAUGGAGGAAGCAGGAGAAGUAACAUGCAAACAUAUGAAGGAGGGGGAAGGAGAAGUAACCAUACAUGGGGAGGAAGAGGAAGAAGCAGGCGGGGGAGGAGGAGAAACAACCAAGCAUAUGGAGGAGGAAGGAGGCGGAGAAAUCAAAAGUCAGCAGACGACAUGGAUUGAACUCGAUGAGGCACAAUAUGUGCACAUCCUGCAGAAGCUGUUUCCCAAGAGAAGCAGCAACAAGCCCCUGCAGGCCCAAGACAGAUCCUUGGACAAGCAAGCUACAAAGACCACAACGGCUACAUUGGGUGAGCAUCAAAUCAAAAAACUGAUCCAUGACGCAAAGGAAGACAUCUUACGGGAGCUACAGCAAGACAAAUAUGACAAGAAUGAACCUGGUGCUCCAGAUCAAAACCCAGAAACUGUUUCUGAAAAAACAUUUACCUGUUUCGUGGAUCAUAUGAUGCACAAAAUGAAGCCCGAGUUCGAAGAGCAGCUCAAGAUCAAAGGUCUCGUAGACGAGAUUAAACACAACUUGAAUUAUCUUCCGGACCUGGAUAAUUAUGAACGUCCCCUGUUUAUCCUCAAAGUUGAUGAGUUGAUGGAUGUUUCCACAUGGGAGGAUACCAGAAAUGCUUUAAGCUUGUUAAACUGCAGAGCUGAUUUGAUGAUCGUCACCGCCACAAAGGACAUACAGCUGGCUAAACAAUAUUGCUAUCCACAGCGGGAACCUAUAGACUAUUCUCUUGCUGGCCCCUACCAUGAUGCAUUGCUUGAGCUUACUGGCCAGCAGAAGAAUGGAGACAGCUACGACCCCCAAAUUUUCCAUGAUAUCCUGUACGAGUGUGAGCCACAUGAAUUAUGCAUGAAGAUCUUCAUUCAUGCUUUGUAUGCUAAUCCCAAGAGGAGAGAUGAGGAAUUAGUCAAGCUGCACAGCACCCUCCGGGCUUUGCCAACAACAUCAUUCAACAACAUCGCUAAGGUGAUGUUCAAGUUCUCUUACAAAGAUCUGCCUAAAGAAUACAAGUCAUGCUUGCUGUACCUAGCAAUCUUCCCGCCCAGACACAAGAUCAGGCAGUCAACCUUGAUUACACGGUGGGUUGUAGAAGGGCUGAUAUCCAAGGAAGAUUGGCCCAGUUCUGUGCGUCAGGCCAACCGAUGUUUUGAUGCACUCGUCGGCCGGUGCCUUGUUUAUCCUGCUGAUAUUGAUACCACGGGAAAUGUAAAGAGUUGCGUCGUAGGUGAUCCAGUUCAUGGAUUCAUUACCACAAUCGCCAAGAAACAACACAUCGUGGAGACAGGCCUGUCACAUCACUUGGCUCGCCACUUUUCCAUUUUCAACAAUCUCCAACUCCGCAGCUAUGAUGGAAUUGAUAAAUAUUUCCAGCAGCUCUCUUCAUCUAAAGUAUCCCUACUCAAAGUGCUAGAUCUAGAAGGAUGCCGAUGCUUUAUUGGGAAGAACCAGCGGUACCUCAAGGACAUCUGCUACAAGAUGUUACUGCUCAAGUAUCUGAGCCUGAGGAGAACAGAUAUUAGAAAGCUACCCAUUGAAAUCUGCAACCUCCGUGAGCUAGAGGUACUGGAUAUCCGAGAAACUAUGGUGCCUCCAUAUGCAACAGCAUCUAUCCUGCUACUGAAGCUGAAGCGUCUGCUUGCCAGUGAUCCAAGAAAUUUUGGAUCUACUCCCUGGAUUCCUCAUAGGAUCGGCAAAAUGGUAAACAUUGAGGUAUUAUUCAAUGUCAAGGCACAUCAGAGUCAUGAUUUAAAAGAUAUUGGAAAGCUACGGCAGCUGAGGAAGCUAGGAGUGGUCAUCGAUGAUAAGGAUAGUCACCUCAAGAAUUUGCUUGAGACGAUCAGUGACCUACAUGAGUGCCUCCGUUCUCUGUCAAUCACUGCUAUUCCUAUAGCCACACCAUGGGAAUGGGAGGGUACUCCUUACAGUGCAGAGUUACCAGAUGGCAUAGGCUCUCUCUUAGAAAACCAUCCCAAGAUUCUUGAGAGUCUAAGCAUCAGGGGAACCACACAGAAGGGGCGUCUUCUUCCAUUGUUCAUAAAAGGUGAUAAAAACGAACUUGCCAAGGUAACCCUAUGUCACACUCUGCUGAGCCAAGAUGAUCUGAAAGUCCUUGCCAAGCUGCCCAAGUUACGGUGCAUAAGGCUCCAACACAUUGCAUGCACCGAGUCUAUGUUGAACUUCAAGAAGGAUGAAUUCAGAUGCCUCAAGUACCUUCUUGUUGAGGGCUCGGCCUUGACUAAUAUCACUUUUGAGCAUGGAGCAGCCAAAGAGCUCGAGAAGAUGGUUUUGUCUUUCACCGGCAUAGGUUCUAUUUCUGGAGUUGACUUUCUUCCAAAAUUUAAAGAGCUCGAGAUGAACAACAGCUUCUGUGGCAGUUUGUUAUCAUCAUUUGACAAUGCCAAACAGAUAGCCAAGCUGACUCUUUGUGGUACAUUGCUAGAGCAAGAUGCUCUACAACUGCUCACCAAGAAACCAAAUAUACGCUGUCUUGUGCUCUUGGACGAGUCUUUUGGUGGAACACAGAAUGAGAUUACAUUAGAAAAAGAUGAGUUCUUAUGGCUCAACCUCCUUGUUGUUGACUGCUCGGCCAUCACCAAAAUUGUCUUCAACAGCGGGUCUGCUCCUAGGCUCGAGAAGAUUGUCUGGUCAUCUUCCACAUCUCUCUCUGGCAUCGACAAACCUCCAAGAUUGAAGGAGCUCGAGUUCAAUGGUGACCAAGUCCCUGAUGAGGUGAUGGAGGCCAUUAAAAACCACAAAAACAAUCCUAGUCUUAAACUCAAUGGACCAGAAACUCAAGACUAAGCAAAAAGGAGAUGAAGAAGAGGAUGACGACGAUGCUGCAAGAUUCUCUUUCUGCUGGGAGAAACAGGUUUGACACUGGAAGGGCCUCUCUGUUGAUCCCCCAUGGUGUGGUUUGCGUGUGCUAGUGUGGAUUGCAAUAUGUUCUGCUUGUAUGUUGAUUUCUUUCUGCUGCGUGCAUUACAACUGAAGUAUGUCCGUUUACUUGCUCAACAUGAGUGCCCUAGUGGCUUCAAUUGAGCAUAAAUGGUUGUAUCUAUGCUUGGAUUUGAACUCGUGUGGCUUUCCUAUGUAUCGAACAUUGUAUGCAUUCGUGUACGGUUUCAUGUAAUAAAGUGUGAGGUUUGUGGACACAUUUGACUUCUUAUUAAUGUACAGUGUGAUAUUAGUAUACUUUGAUUGGGUUCUGCAACUCAAAUUAAAGAUGAACUGGUGUGUCAUGAUAUACAGAUAUAGUUACCUGUAAUGUACAGCAUCCGUUGCUUCAAACUAGUUGAGUACCUCAUGCAGUAAUGGCUGACGAUGUACUUGAAGCAGAACCUUAUGCAGAUUAAGAAUGUGUGAUCCACAAUCUGUCUGCAUCUCCUGAUUGCCAGGCAAGCAUUAGCGAAGAAUCGACAUUGUUUUCAGCUGUAUGUUGGCGUGUAUUUGUUUGGUAGCUCGCAUAGUUUCGCCCGCUGUUUGCUGGUGAAGAAGCCAGUAUGCUGAGAAGUUCCUCUGCUCCCGUAGAAUAGGAUGUGUCCAUCUACUGCAAUUCAUUCAGAAAAAAACUUUUGUAACGAUCUGCAGCGGUGGAGAGGAGCACUAGCAGUCUAUCACCUACCAAUCCACUUGAAAUGUGCGGACGCAUGCAGCAAUCGCGGCUCUUCACUUGAAAUGUGUAACUGUGUAAUCAUAAGACCUGCAGAAAUAGAAGCACGCAUAUUAGGCGCCGAGGGAAAAUUCAGCAAUAAAUGUAAUCUAUGCUUCUCUUAUUCCUCUUUGAGAUCAGCAAAUCGGAAGGAGUUGGAGGAGGCGCAAUGCCCCUAACUUACCUCAAAUCCGUAAACUGCGACGAGCAGCAAAACACAACACGGACGGCUUGUCCUUCCUCCUCGUUGGUACUGGGCGAUCUUUUCGAUGUCGAUUGGGUUCCGCGACUCAAAGAUGAACUGGUGUGUGUCAUGCUAUAAUCACCUGUAGUGUAGGCAUCCGUUUGCUUCAAAUCAGCUGAUUAGCUCUUGGACUAGUGCCUGUCUGUUACUUGAAGCAGAACUUUAUGCAGAUUAAGAAUGUGUGAUCCAAUCUGUAUGCGUCUCCUGAUUGCCAGGCAAGCACUUGCGCCCCAGGAAGAAUGGAAAUUGUUUUCAGCUAUAUGUCGACGUGCAUUUGGUUGGAAGCUCGGGUAGUUUUCUCAUAACUCAUAUUGUUUGCUGGUGGAGAGGACAGUAUAGUUCAUGGUAUAAAACUCGGUCAGACAGGGCACCUCGUCACCCAAUUUUCACCCCUUGGAUCAGAACCUGACGGUGGAACACACAGUGAGAAGUGAUCCGUUAGGCUGUGACGUAUCUAUUGUAGUCAUCUAUCCGGAAAUCCAUCUACAACAAUUCAUUCAGAAAAAGAACUUGAUAACAAUCUACAUGGGUGCAGAGGAGCAUAAGACCUUCAGAAAAGUUCAGACACUUGCAUAACAAUCUUCACUUCCUAAUGCAAGAAAUCAAAUCGAAGCACAAGACCUGCAGAGACAGAAGCACGCCUAUUUGGCAUCGAGGACGAAAAUCAGCAAGAAAAUGUAGUCUCUGCUCCUCUAAUUCCUCUUUGAGAUCAGCAGAUCGGAAGGGGUUGGAGGAGGCGCAGCGCCCCCGUCUUACCUCGAAUCCGAGACCGACGACGAG
rnacentral:lncRNA from 1 species